rnacentral:lncRNA from 1 species
UUGGCAUCCUGUGAGAUUGAGUAUACAAACAUAGGGCUAUUAUUACUUAAAAACAAUUUACAAAUCCAUUAAAAAAUGAUAGCAUGUGUAUAACAGGGGCAUUUCAAAUUUUCAUUAGUGUUUCUAUUCAGCCAUGACUUCGAAUUCAAAGGUUCAUAUAAAUUCUUAAAACAUUUCUAUCACUGCUGCACAAAAGGGAAAAGGCUCUAAACUGGGAAUCAAAACUAAAAUAAAAUAACAGAAGUGAUUGACACUGUACCAUGCCAAUAAACAUCUAUUUAUGGACAGAAGGAGAUUUGAGGCUAAGAGCUCUUUUAACAAAUGUUUUAAUGACAUCAACAAAGGCCUUGCCAAAGUUCAGUAAAUAAGUUACUAACCUGUCAAACUCAGUGAGGGCGGUGUGAGACUCCUGCUCAAUCUUGCCAAGCUUGUAAAUCUUCUUGUUCAUUUCAGUACGAUGGUGGUAUCCAUUCUGACCAGCCCUGGCAACUGUGAAUGAAACUCUAGCAGGAUGCCAAGCACCAAUACAUGCCACUUUCCUCAAACCCCUGUGAGUCUUACGGGGAAGGCGGGUGACACCCCAACGGGUGACAACACCUUCAUAACCCUUACCUUUAGUCACACCAAUGAUGUCAAUCAUCUCAUCCUUCUGGAAAAUGGCAUCCACAGGGACUUGUUUCUCAAAGAAACCAUAAGCAUAAUCCACUUUCUGAGCAAUGGUUCCACCAUUGACCUGGAUCUCCAUCAAGUGUGCUUUCUUCUGCUUCAAUCCCUUCAUCUUCCUAAUCUAUAACACCAUGACCAGAGAAAUUAGUUAGAGGAUAAGGAUCAUUUAGGGGAUAUGAGAGCUGGAACUAAAUUUUGAAGUAUUGACAAGCGUCAAAUAAGUCAUGUCCAAUGAUGAGCCAGAUCAGAGGCUGAACAGGUGAGAGAGAGAAAAUCAAUGUUCAUUCUCCUUUUAAACAUCACAGUUCAGUUGAGGAUGGAAACUUAUAUUGGUUUCAUUCCCCAUAUGGCUAGGACCAAAAUCCAAAUGAGCAAGUAUGUCAUAUGAGUAAUUGGUAUACAAAAAACUUUAGAGAAUUAGAAAAACUAAAUCAGAUUCAGCAGACAACAGUACAAGCAUCAAACAAAAGUUUCCCAGUUCUUGCCUCCAAAAAAAAAUUAACAUAAAUAUCAUGUUAUUAAAAAGGUCUAAUAACAUGAUAUUACAUCAUUGCCUAUCAAAAAAAGGAAUGGAAAACCUAUUUAAAUGAUACUAUUACUAAUUCCCACUACUUCGAUGGGAAACUGUAUUACUACUCAGCACAGAAGGAAAUGAGUCUUAUCAUUAAAAUAAAAAUAACAAGUGAACACGACAAGCAAUUGAAAGAAACUGAAUUAGCAUCAAAUAAUGAAAUAAUGUAGUACAUCUUAAAAAAUAGACUAUCAGUACCUGAGUGUGAGCCAAAACCCGAAUGACAGAAGCAUAUUUUUUCAUUUUCUCCAGUUGUGCUUGGAUGCUUUUCUUCCCUUCUUCAGUCUCAUACUGCUUGGAGUACUUGGUGAAAGCCUUCUUCUUGGAUUUGCACCAGUUCUUAUAGAACCUACGCUUCACCUCCUCACUCAGGUGCUGAGCCCAAACUGUGUUCAGAGAACGAAGGCCACGUGGAGUCUUAACAUAAGCCACCACUCCAACUAUGACCAUAGGAGGAGUCUCAACAAUUGUAACAGCUUCACAUGUCUCCUUCUUGUGAAGCUCUGUAGAAUAUUAGUAUUAUUAGAUACAGCACUAGAUUUAAAUUGUGCAAGUUGGAAAAAAAGUUUCAAGCACCGAUGUGAUACUAAGAUGUAUUUAAAAAGUCAAAGAAAAACCUAACCAAAACUGGCUACAUGAUCCAAAUAAACUACAAACAUAGAAGGAAAUAUUUUCAACGUCUUUAGUGCAAGAAAUAAUUUCUAACAAAAAGUUCGUUUUACCAUAGGACAACAAAUAUUUUCAUGACAUGUUAUAGAUAAACUGGUGGCAACAAAUAAAAUAAAAUUUAUUCAAAAGAACAAAGUCCAGGUCCACAAAAGAAGUAUUAUUUAAGUCACCAGUCGGUUGUUGGACAGAUGAAUAUAACAAUGAAAUCAGAUCAUAUUACAUGUCGAUUAAAUCUGUAUUAUGACUUUAAAUAUUCAAGCAUUCAACCGCUUCACAAGAUUUUCAACUAAUGCUUGCUUUACAAAGAAUAUUUUGCCCUGAUCAAAGAGUGAUCUACUCCAAACAAAAAGUCUGGUCUCCAGUGAGGAAAACAAAAGGAAAGAUUCUAAAAGACAAUAUAGUACAUCAAAUUCCAAGGAAAAUUUCCUUCAAUAAAACAAGGGCAAACAAGAAUAAAUUAACCAGAAAAGUUUCAUACUUGAUCCAGGUUUUUCAACCUCCCUGACAAUGUGGGUCAUCCCAGCUUUGUAACCCAAAAAGGCAGUCAGCCUGCAAGGCUUGCUUGGGUCAUCCUUAGGAAAAGCCUUCACUGCAUGAGUUCAAGAUAACAAUGGAUUAGGUUAAAAAGAUGUAAAAUUUCAUCGUAUUAAUGUCCACUUAAAUAUCAACACUGAAGAAUCUCAUUAGCAAGAUCUAAUUUCUGAAACAUUUCAUGUUUCUUUCACGCAACUCACAUAUAAUAAGUACAGUAAUAUCCCAAACUCAGAAGUGUAAUAAGGUUAAUGUACUACUUGGAGGCAGAAAAGUAAUUAUCAUAAUCAUCAACAACUCUGAAGAAAGAGCAUGUCAUUGCUAUAAACAAAAAAGUAAGCUCUCAUGAAAAAACAUUAUGAUUGAUAAUAUGUAAAGAAGCCAUGUAUACCUUUUCCCCUAUGACGAGCAGCCCGCUUCCUUGGCAAAAAUCCAAGAGAACCAUGCCUGGGAUGCUCAAACUUCCGGUGCGACAUUCUUCUCCUCCUUCACCAUGGGAAUAAAAAAAAUAUUAAUCCUCAAAUGUUCAUAUUUACAUGGAAAACUAUUACAUUUUCAUAACUUUAACACCUAGCAUUUUUCCAUUUUGUAACAGAAUAUUAGUGGAAUUCAUCAUAAAAAAAAAUUAGAGCACAUUUAGUAAUGGAAAUAAGAACCAUUUUACAUUAUCCAAAUGGAAAAAGGAAGAUUUCACAGAAUGUCUUCUUUGCUUUUCCUUUUUUUUCUUCAUUCUUUAUGAAAUCAAACUAUAAAAUAAUUUUUUUUUAAAAAAAAAGAAAAAAAAAAAGAGGAUUCUGAAGAUGUUUGAUUGUUCCUAUUAAAUAAUGACUCCUUUCAGCCAACUAUUUUCAGUUCCAUCACCCCCACAAGGUUUUUGAGUGUCUGGUAGACAUUUUUAACUUCUCAAAUUUUCAGAAAAGAGAAAAACAUUUUGAGAAUAUGAUUCUUCAUGAGCUUCUUAGAACCAAAAGGAAAUAAAAAUGGACAAACUUAUUUCAGAAACACUUAUUUAGAAAUUAACUCACAAGCAUGUUUUUGCCACUAUUUCCAUUUUCAGAUUCAUUGAAAGGGAAAAGGGCUUUAGAAAAUAACAAUGACCAGACACUUGAAAAACAACAUCAUAUCAACGUUGGAUUCACAAGCAUUGAACCUUAACAAAAUGAAUAAUAUGAACCAGUAUCCUUAACUAAAGAGAAAAAUUAAACGGGAAAAAAAAUCAUCAGAGAGCCAUCGUGUACAUCUAAAAGCAAGUUAUAAUAUAAUCUAUGACUAGUGCCCGUAAUUCCAAAAAUCAAAAACUAAACCAUACGAUGGAACUGAAUAUGAAUGCGUUUGACUAAUACACGAGAAUCCUAAUUCACAGGAAUCGCUCAGCUCCUGAAAUGCACACUACUUUCACAUAGAAACCAUUGAUCUAUUAAGAAACAAAAAAAAAAGGACCAUUUCUCUAAUAACCCCAUGGAUUGCGAGGAAAUGCAGGAAAAUGAAGAAACCGAAAUGUUUGAACCUAAGGUUUUCCAUUGGAUCAGAUCCAAGGAAACCAAAGACUCUAACUCGAACUGAAUAUAGGAUUACUACAUGGCUUUUCGAGUCCCGCUUCUACAACAAAACCAAACAAAACAUGGCUUGAAAUAUUGUUUUCUUUACUUCUCCUUGCAUUUUCUUGGGCGGCCAAACAUAGAAGAGAAAGCUAACCUGAGAACCGCGGUCGAGAGAGAGAGGCAGAAGCUCUUGCGGCUACUGAAGCGAGGACAAAACCCUAGGUUUUUUCGCUCUUAUAUAGUAUAUACUAAUUUAAAUUUACAAUGCUGCCCAAUACUCUUUUUUCAAAUUACAAAUUCGAGCUUUUGGAGUUCUUAGCUAAUGUUUGGGCCUGACCUGGUACAGUAAUUCUAGCCCAAAUUGGGUUUGGGCUUCAAAUGAAAAAUCUGGCCCAGCCAUAAGGUUUGCAAUGAGACUCUACCAAUCUAGAUGAGGUCAAUAAAUUUCAUACUAUGUUUUUUGAGGUUUAAUAUAAUUAAGAUCUAUUUUAUAUAUAUAUAAAAAAAUUAUUGUUGAUUUUUUAUUUUCUAAAAUAAUCCUCAUCGAAUACAUUUGUCGGGGAGUCAAAUUAGUUAGUUUUUUUAUCUAUAAUUUUAUUUAUUUUUUUAAAUCUUACUAGAUUUACUUUACAUAUUUCCUCUAAACUAUAUUAAUCAAUUCAACAUAUAUGGUAAGGAAAAAAAAACAAGUCUUGAUAUAUAUACCUUAACUUAAAGCAAUAUAUGUCAAUAUUAAGUAUUUAAAUAAAUAAUUAUGACAUAUACAACUUAGUUCAAAGCAAUGAUGACAUAUAUAAGAUUUGUUGUACUGUGUCAUGACUUAUGAUGAUGCAACCUUGAAAUCAAGUCAGGAAAGACUCGAGAUGAUGUUUUAAAUUUCUCAAAGGCUUCUUUGAUAUGUCUCUAAUUCCAAUGUAGAAUCCAUGGAGGAAGAUACAUAUAUUAGCAUAUGUUUAAAGGAGCCAUGACCUAUUUGAAUACGAACCUUUACAUAUUUAUGAGUGAUAAAAGGUAGCUAUAUUGAUAGGGGCAUAGUAGUAAGAGGGCACUUUCAUUGACAUUUUAUAUAUGUCUAGGUUGCUAAUGCCCAUACCUAAACACUAUGAUGGAUGACAUAUAAGAUCAAAAAAAUAUAAUGACAUAUAAUGUAUACAAUGACAAUUAGUAGUCAUUAAUGUAGGUCUUUUUUUUUUUUUUCCUUGCGUUGCAUAUAUGAUUUUCAAAUAAGUAAGAUUUGAGAGUGAUUGGUAAAGUUAAUGGAAAUGAAAGAAACCAUAAACCAAUUUGAUGUAGAAACAAAUCAAAAUGAGGCUAGAAAUUGGAAUUUUCAUGGGAGUGCUCUAGCAACUAAGUGUGAAUUCAAGUGUCGAGGCUAUUUUUGGAUAAUUCUCAUUUUAUUUUGUUUAAAAAUAUUUUUGAUUGAGUCCGACAAGCUAGGGUUUUCAUUAUACAAAUAUGUCUCCUCAAUUUGAAAAACAUGUGUACCCUAAUCUAAGAAUGUCAUUAUCUUAUCACAUAUUCCCAAGACUUUAAAAUGCAAAACUCAUAUUCGAAAUAAAGUUAGGGGUGGUUGACCACAUCCUCUCAAGGUAUUGCUUCAUAGACAUAAAACCAAGUGUCGAUGCGAGCUAAUAUAAGUUCGUGUUUUUUUAUAUUAUGAAACUACCUGGAGAAGGGAGUGAAUAUGUAGUCAAAUAAAUUUUUACUAAUUUUCAAUUUCACAUGUGAAAUUCUCAAGGUCAAUAAUGUUAAUCAUUAAGGAGGAUUAAAAAAAACAACCACACAUAAAGACACCAUAUAUACAUAGAAAAAUCAUUUAUAUAGUCAUCUAGAAACUUUGUUCGUGUAUAAAACUAACAAUCACACGACCACAAAUAAAUUCAUUAACAGUGCGUUUGAUAGUGAUUUUAAGAAAUGUUUCUAACAUUUUUAAUAAUUGAAAGAUAAAAAAUUUCAAAUGUUAUAAAUACUAAUAACAAUUCUUAAAAUCACUGUCAAACACACUUUAAAUAUAACAAGAAAAUGCAUAGUUUUACCUUAUUGAAAUGCACCUACUCUUAGGGUCUUAUAGUAAUCGACUCCUAUACUCUUUUUCCACAUCCACAACACAACACAUCGUACUCCUUUGUAGAUCACCUCAACUCCAUGCAUAAGCUAGUAGAUCAAUGCAUCUUGUCUUUCCAACGAAAAGACCUACAAGAAAGUUCUUGAAAGAUUUGGGAGUUGAAGGUUUAGGAAGAAGUAGUGGUUAUUCAUGUGCACAAUUUUCUAGUCUUAAAAUUUUAGGUUUUUAUAGCAAAAUCCUAGGAGGAUAUUUAGAAUAGGUUAUCAAAAAUGAGAUUUAUCAAGAAGUCCUCAAAAAUUUGAAAGAUGGGUUUGAAAAACAAAAUGAAAGGAUCAACAUUUGAAUGCCCUAUGGAAACAUUUGAAUGCAAACAUAUGUUUGAAUGUUCCCUUGGAAGAUGUCCAUCAAUACAACGUUUGAAUGUUUCUUGUGUGAUUUUCGAAUGACCAUACUUUGAUUUGUAUGUUUAACUUCAUUUUUCAAUAUUCUCUCUAACAUUUCACCUAGUACAUAUGUAAUAGUCAUUUCUCAUAUCUUAAUACAUAUAAUGUAUAUAUGUCUAAAAUAUGAAUCUUGCUCUAAAGUAGUUCAAACUUGAUUCUAACCGAUAAGGCCAUUGGAAGUAUGGUACAUUAGACUCAAUGCAAUAAUGAAAUAAAAUUGUCAACCUAAUAUUUUACAUCAACAAUCUCCUUAUUUGGUAAAUUGUGAUAAAUAUUAUAAUGAAACCCUUGAUUUCUCAAAUAAUCUCAUGGAUCCUAAUCUAAAGCAUAUCUUAACCAUCAGACACCCCACUACAACACUCUUAUCAAUAGACUUGUAAUAUGCACACUUAAAUAACACACUUGUAAAAAAUAAUAUGUGACAAAAAAAGUAAAUAAAUUACAUUACUACUCCUUUUUGUUACAAAAAUAAAACGACAAAGUAGGAAGAAAGCAACAAUAAAAAACCCAUAGAAAUAAGAGAAUAAAUAAGAAAAAAACAGUAUGUAUAUAUAUACCUAUCUAUGAAUGAUAAUCCAUAAAAAAAAAUAAAAAUUAUAGUAAUUCAAACUAAGCAUUUAACUAACUACCUAUCCAAAAUCAACUUUCUAUUUACACAACCUCAAUAUUAAAAAAAAAUAUCAUUCUCACCCAAAAUCUAAUAUAUUGAAGCCUAAUAUCGUACAUUGGAAGCAUCUAUAAUGAUGAAAAAUGUCCUAAGGAAAAAUGACUUUUUGUCUUUUAAAAAAUACUUAGAUAUUUAAAAAGAAUAAUUGAUCUAGGUUUUUGGUAUCCUAAGUGCACUAAUUUUGUUCUACUUGGUUAUUUUGAUAUAGAUUUUCUUAGUUGUAAAAUCAAUAACAAAAACUAGUGACACUUAUCACUUCUAUGUCAUUCAUUAAUGUAUUGGCAUAAUAAAAAGCAAAAUUUUCAUUACAUUAUCAAUGACACAAGUCAAAUAUAUUAUUGUCUAUUUGUGUUAUACUCAAAUCUUAUGAAUGAAACAAACCUUGCAUGACUUUGAAUUAACUUAUAAUCAUGCACCAAUUAAAUGUGAUAACAUUACUAUCAUAAGCAUAUUUAAAAACCUGGUUCAACGUUCUAAGAAUAAGCAUAUUAAGGUGGCGUUUGUUUUUUUGGCUUUUUGCUGAAAGUAAUUUAGUUUUAGAAUUUAGGUUGUUUGUUUUUUUACUUUUUUAUGACUUAUCAUAAACUUUUUACUAAAUAGAAAAAACCAAAAUAUGUAGCUUUUUUUAAAUAGAAAAAAUAACAUAUUGGUUUUUUUUACUUUUUAAUACUUUUUAAUACUUAAUAGAAAUAAAAUACUACAAAAACAAACAACCUAAUAUUUAACACUAUUAAGCAUUAAGGUUUUAUUUAGAAUUAAGUAAAAAAACAAACACCACCUAAGAUAAAAUAUCAUUUUCUUAUAGACCAUGUAUAAAAGGUCAUAUUCACUUGAAUUUGUAAGCAUUAACUAUCAAUUAAUAAAUAUUUUUACAAAACCCUUAAAUGAAGAUUGAUUUGUUGAAAUUAGAAGGAAACUAAGGUGGCGUUUGUGUUUUUUGAUUUUUUGAAACCUCCCCAAAUACGAUUUUCAACCCGACCGUUGUUCUACGGCAACGUCGUUUGGUGUGAGGAAGGCAGCCCUGAGAUUGGGUGGCGGUGCGACGGUGAUAGAGUGUUCGUCGCGGUCACAAAAGAAGGCAACGUCUCACCACAUGAAAACUUGCCCGCGUAAAACCCAGCCAUGGGAUAUUAAGUGUCGCCCCACAGUGUAUGCUCCGCUGCCUCCUUUGCCUCCCGAGUGGACUGUCGUUUCAUCUGAUGCUGACGCAUCCGAUGCAGCUGUUCCUCCUCUAACACCCUAACCUGCAACUGAGUAGUGUUGGUUUCUAUCCUACGGAUCCAACAUGUACGUUUUCAAAUUUUCUUUCUAUAGUUUUGUUUGUCAUCCUCUCUGGUUGUUUGUUUGAUUAAUCGUAGGAUAUAUGUUGAAUUAAGGAAAUGUCUACAACCUGUUUGAUGAAAUGAUUCUAAUGUCUAAAAGAGAUGGUGAACUAAUCACAUGUCUACAACCUGUUUGAUUUAAAUCCUAAUAAAACCAAAAGUGCAUUCUUGAGGCGAAGUUUGAGUUGGGCUGGGUUGAGUUAGUUGUCCAAAAGCCCAUUAACUCAAUAUGUCAACUUUGAGAAUUUAGUACAUCUACGAGUUUACAAAGCCCCAGAAAUAACUCAGUUUUUGAAACCUCCCCAAAUAGAAAAAGCCAGUUCAUAUUAUUAAGUUUAAAUAUUUUAUUUUAAUUAUAUAAAAAAUAAAUAUAUUAAUUAUUUUUUGUAAGAAUGAUAAUGAUAAAUUAUUUAUUAUAAUAAUUUUAUUAUUUUGAACAGAAAUACAUUAAAUUAUAUUUUUUUUAAUACAUUAAAAUAUUAAGAUAUUGGUUUUUAGUAUAUAAAAAAACAAACAGUUUAAUACUUAAUAGAAAUAAAAUAUUAAAAAAACAAACAACUCAAUACUUAAUACUAUUAAUCAUUAUUUAAUAUUAAGUUAAAAAUAAGUUCUAUUUAGAAUUAAGCCAAAAAAACAAACGUCAUCUAAGACAUAUAAAAAUUUAAAACUAUUGCAUGCUUUGCACCAUUUUGAUAUUUGUAUUUCAAAUGCUUCUUGCCUAGUCAAAGUUUGUUUGUGUACUAUUUGAUUGAAUUUGAUGGAUUUUAUGCAUAAUUUUCUUAUCAUAUUGCACAUUCAUAAUAUUUUAGUUGCAAAAAAGUCGUACAAACCUAAAUAGAUAUCCUUCAAGUUCUUAAAGUAUCAAUAAGAAGGCAAUAUAUGAGUAAAAUCAAUAAAAAGAGGGGAGUUGGUUAACUAAGUAGUCAUUCGCUUAAAGGUUGAUUGAUGUUAAGCUAAACAACCAAGUGAUACUGUUAGGUAUGAAAAUUUUAAAAGCCUUGGACACUUAAUUUCUCAAAUUAUUCACUUUCUGACAUUUCCCUAUUCCCUCCAAAUUACUUAGGUUAAACCUGAUCUAAUCUUCAAAUCCUCUAAUCCUCUAAAACCUUCGCAAAUCCCCAUUCUUCUACUCUUUCCACACUUCCUUAUUGAAUUAAAAACCACCUAAAACCCAUUCUACUCCUCAAAUAUGCAAAAAGACACUUACAAAUAUCAUUGGAGACAAAGGGAAGGGAAAAAAAAGUUGUUGAGAAGACUUCUCUAGAGGUUAGGACUAAGGCUUAGUUUGACCCAUUUCUCUUUCACCUCCUUAGAACAACAAGAUAGGCUCUCCUAAAUCUUCUCUCAUAGGCCUAUUAUUUUGGGUAAGAAUACCAAUUUCAUAAAGUUUAAUAUUUUAACUUUGUCAAAUUAUUUACAAAGACGGUGAAUGAUUGUCAUUAGUUGGUUUACUUGAAACAAUAUAAUUGCAAUUGGUUUGAUGUUUUAAUUUGAAUGUACAGUAUGAAUAUGGUGUCCCAUACAGACUAUGGUAAAAAAAGUGAACAUAAAAUUAUCUAUGGAAAAUUUGAAUGAGAUUUUCGAAGUCCUAAAUGAAAGGGUAUGUAUAUAUAUGAAACAAAAAAUUAAUGAAAAAUUAAAAGAUUGUCCUCCAUUAAUGAGGUAUUGAAGAGGAUGUACAAUUUGCCUUUCAAAUAGUACUAGUUUAAGUCCUUGUCCAAUUAACUCACUCUUCAAAGCUAAACGGUUGCAUCACAUGAUGGGGUAUGAUGUGCACCACAAUGAUGUUUCAUUUCAAGAGGCAUUUUUGAUAAAUAGUAUUAUUGUGGGAGGGUCCAUGAGUAUAAGUUAUAUUAUUUUAGCAGCAUAUGACAGUUUAAUAUAAGAACAAAAGCUUUGUAUUGUCAUAUGAGACAUUCAUCACCAAGAUUCUAAAGACUAUAUAAGUAGUUUUUUCAAUGUCGUCAGUUGAACAACUUGUCAUUUAUGAUGCCUACAACCAAUAGAUUUUUAUUUGUAGGCAUUUAAGGAACUACAUAGUGGAUCAUAUGUUUCGAAAGGAAAACGAAAGAAAGUUGGGGAAAAAAAAAAGACCAAUUGUUUAUUACAAUUGAGAAGAUGUAUUGAGAGAUCGUUGGUAAGAAAGAGAACUUUGUUCUAAUAGACUAAACUACAAAGCUUCGAGUAUUACUUCCCCUACCUAAAGCCCAAUGCUACGUUUAAAGAGAUUUCACCUCGCAUUACACUUACGAAUUUGCUCCAUCUAACAAUGACAUUCAUAAAUAAUUACAAAUUUUAUCCAUGUCCAUUGAGUCCUUAGGCAAUAGGAGGAAAGACUUUUAACUUUCAACAUAACAAUUGCUUACAGGAGAUGAAUAGAAGAAUGGCAGUAUUAGAUGCUUAGACGGGAGAGAUUUGAGCUAAUUUUGGUGUCACCAUUACUUAGUUUGAACCAUAUCACAUGUAUAUACUUGACGUGCUCCACCUUCCACUCAAACCUUCUCUAGAGUGUCGAUCCUAUUCGACUAUUACACUAUAUUUUUUAGUGUCCCCUAAAAAGGGAAGACAUGAUCAAUAAGGGAGCUAAGGAAGGGUUAGGGGAGCCCCCUUCUUGGCCUAAAAUUUCCAAUAAAACAAAGGGCUCCUUAAAUAUAUACAUAUAUAUUGAAAAAAAAAAAGAAAAAAAAAUGGAAGUCUACCCUCACUAAAAAAAUUGAUUUUUCAAAAGCUAAGAAUAUUUAUAAUCAAAUGUUAUUGACAAGAUUAAUGAUACUUAUCUUUAAUGUUAACUAUAUAUUAGGAUUUCAAAUAAAAAAAAUAGAAUAUUGUGAGAAUUUAUUUAAUAUUUGUAAAUUUUUAAUUUUAUUUUCGUUCUUUUUCCUCUUAUUUAAUAUUAGGAUUACCUUAAUUUAUUUUUUAUUCAUUUUUCAUAAUUUUUAUUUAACGUUUUAUUAAAAUAAGUUUCUUAAUGUAUUGGCUUCAAAAUGAAAAUUCUAAAUUAUUUAUUUUUUAAAUAAAAACUAAUUUACAACUACAUUAUAUAAUUAUAUUAAAUUAUAUGCUAUUUAAUUGGAUAAAAUUUUAUCUAAUUAUUCAUAUUAAGAGAAGUUGUGUUUAAUUUAAAUUAUAGAAGACAACACAUAUAAAUUUUUUAAUAAAAGAUUUCGUCAUUUUCAAUUAAUUUGUAUUUUUAUUUAAAAAAAUAAAAAAUUCAGAUUCUUUUUACCAAAAAAGAAAUAUUAAAAUCAUUGAAAAGGAUUUUAAAAAAAUUAUUAAAGAAAUUGUAAAUUAAGUUUUGAUCAAUUUAAAUUUCAGAGAUAAAUUUAGAUAAUAAAAACAAUAAAUUGUGGAAAAAAUUGAAGGGGGUGGACUGAGGAAGCCAUGUAACGGUACACCGUUCGGCACCAAAUGGAUCCUCCGAUUAGGGCACACGUCACUAUCUUCUAUAAAUAGCCCCUUCCCAUUUCUUAAGACUAUUCCGAUCCCCAACCGUAGCCGCAUCUCUCUGUUCUUCCCUUUUUCUUUUUCUUUUUGGUUGAAUUAAGAUUAUUGUUAUUUAGUUUUGAAUGAUGAAAUCUUUGUGCAAACGCAGCUCCUUCAAUUGGGCGCAAUGAGCGGCACAUUCCACACGAGAUUUCUGACUCAUUUUCCCAUAUUUUUCUUCUUUAUUCUCUGUUUGGCUGCUGAGAAUUUGUAGGAUAAUAAAGGAAACUACGAACCUGAUUUUUCUUUUUCCUUUUUUUUUUGUCAUUAUAUAUUGAUGAACUCCGCGACCGAAACAUCGUUGUUCAAUUUUUAUGUUUACAUAUCUAGUGGUGGUUUCAGAUCUGUGGAUGGCUUCUUUUAUUUGACGGAAACGUGGGAAAAAAUGAAUAAUAGGGCAUAGUAGCUCUGUGCUCCGUUUGGAUGGAGAGAAAAUUUUCGGAAAAAGAGAUUAACGUUUCCUAAAAUCAUCAUUGGUUGCAACCUUGGGAAAAUGAAACCUUUCACUUAACUCUGCGUCGGGCAAUCAUUAGGCUGAGUUGAAUUUGAAGCUUUUGUUGUCCAUGAACCAAAACAGUGUUUGGAAAGUAAUUACUUCUAUGUUUCUUUCAGAAAAGCUUUCUCGCCAAGCAAACAGCGGGUUAAGUAAGAUUUUCUUGAUUAGAAAAUUGAGGUAUUUAAAUUGUUGAUCUUUGUUAUUUGUUAUAGAUGGUUUAGGGGUUUGUACGCUUAUUUUCCUUUAGGAAGUGGGAGCAUAAACGCAUGCCAAGCUUUUUCUCGGGUACAAUUUUCCAUACCUUUGCUGAUUCCAGAGGAAUGAAAGAAUGUGUCCACUGGGAAUUAUGGUUUUAUUUGAUAUUAUAUUUCCUUUUCCUCUCUUUUAGUGGCCCUCUGCAAGGACGAAAAUAUCGGACCUAUAUCAGUGAUAUAUCGGCUGAGGUGAUACAAGCAAAAUAUAAGCCCUAAAUGAAAAAUAAUCUUUGAAAUUUUGGACGCUGAAAUUUUCUCCUAAAUAAAUAAGUUAAUUUUAAUUAUGUUAUAAUUUAUUUUGUAUACUAAUUAAAUAUAAAAUAAAUAUAAAAUCAUAAAUAAAAUUAUCAAUAUUUUUAAAUAAAAAUAUUUUGUAUCAAAAUAUACCAAUAUUUUUAAAUAAAAUUCAUAAAUAUAUUUAAAUAACAUAAUUAGUAUAUUUGUAAUAAUUUGGUUUUAAAUUAAUAAUUUUAUUUUAUUUUGAUAUUCAAGAAUAAAUUAACUUAGUACAUUUUUAAAUCAAUAUAACAUUGAAUUUAAAUUAGUAUAUUUUUACAAUUAAUUAAAAUAUUUUUAAUAAAGGUAAGUAAAUUAACUUAAAAUAUUUAAAUCACAUAAUUAUUAUAUUUGUAAUAAUUUAACUUUAUAAUGAAUCAGUCUAUACUUACAAAAUUCACAUUUCUUAUCAGUUGACAUUAUAUAAUUAAAUUUAAUUUCGCAAAUUAUAUCAUACAUAUAUUAAUUUUUUCAAUAAAACAACUUUAAAAUGUCUAUUAUACUUAUAAUUUUAUUUUUAAAAGUUUUUUCUUACAUUUUCAUAAGUUUUGAUGAAUAUUUGGUUUAUCUAUAUUUUGUGUCAAAAUAUCCGUCGAUAUAUCUCCAAUAUAUCCGUUAUUACUAAUAUAUUCAUACUUGCUUGUAGCUAUAACAACACUGCAUGAGUUGAUACACAUAAUACCUAAUAUCCAUUGUUUACAGCUAGGACAGUGGGAUAUCUAAUCUCAUUUGCUCCCCAAACUUUUGUCUCUCGUUGUCAUUGUUGGCCAAUAGAGAUCUUUUCAAUCUCUACACAUUUCACCGCUCCACCAGAAAUUCCUUCUGCCUCUAUCGUACUCCACCUUGGCAAUUUCCACACCUUGUUUAUCUUCAAAUUGAUAAAUGGUAGUUUUUUCCAUUCAUGUAUAGAGUAUAUAUAGAGGGUAAUCACCAUUCUAAGAAUGAGAAGAAAUGAUACAAGGAAAGAAUGAUAUAAGGAAAUAACAACUAAUAUCCUAAUAUCUCAAUAUUCUUAAUAUCUCAACUUUCCUAAUAUUUAAACAUUCCUAAUAUCCCAACAUUAAAUAAUAUAAGGAAAGAAUGAUAUACGGAAAACAUUCUUAAUAUCUCAACACUCCCCCUCAAGUUGGUGCAUAGAUGUCACACAUGCCCAACUUGUCUAAAAAUUUUGAGAACACUUGACUUGAGACAGCUUUGGUGAGGAUAUCGGCCAAUUGAUCUUCUGAUCGAAUCUUAGGCAAUUCCACAAUCUUAUCAUCCAACUUUUCCUUAAUGAAGAAUCUAUCCACAUCGACAUGCUUUGUACGAUCAUGUUGUACUAGAUUAUGAGCAAUGUCACAUGCGGCUUUAUUGUCACAAAACAAUCGGAUUGGUUGCCUAGAUAGGUAACCUAAAUCCUGUAAGAGAAGUCUUAGCCAUAAUGCCUCACAAAGUCCUAGAGCCAUACCUCUAAAUUCUGCUUUUGCACUUGAACGAGCGACGACAUUCUGCUUCUUACUUUUCCAUGUCACAAGAUUACCACCUACAAAAGUAAAGUAACCAGAUGUAGAUCGCCUAUCAUCCACUGCACCGGCCCAAUCAGCAUUAGUAUAUACUUCUAUACUCUGAUGAUUAACAUUUUUAGCAAACAAAAUUCCCUUCACAUGAGCAUUCUUCAAAUACCUCAAAAUACGCAUAACUGCAUUCAUAUGUUGCUCUCCAGGAUUAUGCAUGUAUUGACUCACUACACUCAAUGCAUAAGCAAGAUCUGGUCUUGUAUGAGCUAAGUACAUUAAUCUCCCCACAAGUCUCUGGUAUCUUCCCUUAUCGGUUGAUACUUGAUUAGAUUCAACACACAAUUUUAGACCUUCUUCUAUUGGUGUAUUAACAGGUUGACAUCCCGACAUUCCAGUCUCCUAUAAAAGAUCUAAGACAUACUUUCUUUGAGACAGAAAAAUUCCUUCAUUUGAUCGAGAAAAUUCAAUCCCAAGAAAGUAUUUCAGAUGACCUAGAUCUUUCAUUUCGAAUUCUUUAGAUAGAUAAUUUUGCAGAACUUUUCUUUCUUCAGGAUCAUUUCCUGUAACUACCAUGUCAUCCACAUAUACGAUGAGUGCGAUAAUCUUAUCAUGUUGCUUUUUCAGGAACAAAGUGUGAUCUGAAUUACUUUGACGAUAGCCAAAAGCUCUCAUUGACUUUGUGAACCUUCCAAACCAUGCUCUCGGGGAUUGUUUCAACCCAUACAAUGACUUUUUCAAUUUGCACACCCUUUGACAUUGCUUUUCUGACAUCAUGCAUCCUGGUGGAAGAUCCAUAUAUAUUUCUUCAGAUAACUCACCAUGCAAAAAGACAUUUUUCACAUCGAACUGUUGUAAUGGCCAAUCUAGGUUUGCAGCUAAAGACAGUAAUACUCAAACUGUGUUGAUCUUAGCUACAGGUGCAAAUGUCUCUGUGUAGUCAAUUCCAUAAGUUUGAGUGUACCCUUUUGCUACCAAUCUUGCUUUAAAUCAUUCAAUACUACCAUCUGUCUUGUACUUCACAGUAUAGAUCCAACGACACCCAACUGGCUUUUUUCCUGGUGGACAUUCUACGAGUUCCCAUGUUUCAUUCUUCUGCAAUGAUUUCAUCUCUUCAUUCAUAGCUGCUUUCCACCUUGGGUCAGCUAAGGCUUCCUGCACACUAUUAGGAAUAGCUACAGUAGAUAAUUGAUUUACAAAUGACUUAUUUGAUUCAGACAAACGAUGGUUAGACACAUAAUUGCUCAUGAGAUAUUUGACUUUGGUAGACAAUUCAGGUUCAUAUGUGGGUUUAGGAAUACCUCUAUUAUGACGGUGUGGUAACCGUUUCAUGAAUGAAUCAGGUUCCAAAUUAAGAACACCUUCAACAAACAAUGAUUGGUUUGGUAUUUUAGUGAAGACAUCUUCAGACCCAAAUUGUUGACCACUCAUAUCCAACUCACCCGCUUCUUGGUUCACUAGUUCAGAUUGUCCAGAUUCAUUAACUUCAGGGGGAGUACCAUAAGGAAAUUCAGACUCAGAUGAAAAAUACAUUGAAUCUUCAUGAAACACCACAUCCAUUGUAAUAUACAUUUGUUGAGUUGGAGGAUGGUAACAUCGAUAUCCCUUUUUGUGCAAUGCAUAUCCAACAAACACACAUUGCAAUGCAUGGGAAGUUAACUUGGUGCGUUGGUGUUUGUGUAGAUGCACAAAUGCCACACAACCAAAAACACGAGGAGGUAGAUUUGGGACAGUUGGGGUAACUACGGCAUUAGUAAGAGCUUGGAGAGGUGUUUGGAAGUUAAUUGAGCUGGAAGGCACCCGAUUGAUCAAGUAUGCGGUAGAUGUGAUUGCUUCUCCCCAAUAAGAUAUCGGUGUUUUUGCUGCUAUCAAGGAAGCACGAACAACCUCUAACAAGUGCCGAUUUUUCCGUUCAACGACUCCAUUUUGCUGGGGUGUAUUGGAACAAGUAGUCUGAUGAAUGAUGUCAUGUCCUUCCAAAUACUUUUGAAGAUCAGAACUUUGAUAUUCUCCACCAUUAUCACUACGCAGAACCCGAACCUUUGCAUUGUACUGAGUUUCAAUCAUUUUAUGAAAAUUUUAAAACAACAAGUUCACUUCAUCUUUGGUCUUCAUCAAGCGUAACCAUGUCAUUCUGGUACAAUCAUCAAUAAAAGUAACAAACCAACGUGAGCCACUCAAAGUUGGGACUUUGGAUGGGCCCCAAACAUCGGAAUGUAUAACCAUAAAAGGAAACGGACUUUUGUUCAAAAUUAACGGAAACGAAACACGAUGGCUUUUAGCCAAUUCACAAAUAUCACAACGGAAACCAAAAAUAUCACUCUUUGCAAACAAACUAGGAAACAAUUUUUUUAAAUAACCAAAGGAAGCAUGUGCCAGACAUCGAUGCCACAACCAAAUUUCAGACUUUUUAUUCUCCCCCUCAGAUCCAUCUGCCAUCAAGGCUUGUUGCAACUUAUUUGAAUCCUUUGACUGCAAGUCCAAGUAAUAGAGUUUUCCCCGCUUAAUACCACAACCAAUCGUCUGUCUUGUUUGGAUGUCCUUAAUCACACAAAAUUCAGGCCAAAAAAUGACAAUACAAGAUAAGGCUGCGGUGAUUUGAGAAACUAACAAAAGAUUGUAAUCUAAAGAUGGAACAACUAAAACAAAAUCCAAAUUCAAAGUAUCAGUAAAAGUUAAGGAUCCUUCCCCAAUGACUAGGGUUGUGUUACCAUUGGUUGUGGAAACAAUUUUUUGUGAGGAAGGUCUAAAGGGUGAAACCUGUCUAGAAUCAAAAGUCAUAUGAUCUGUAGCACCAGAAUCAAUUAUCCAUGCACUAUUAAUAACAGGUGUAAAAGUAUUUAAAAACUUACCACCAUGAUCUGUAGCGGCUACCAAUGCAGAGGCUUUCUCAACAACAUUAACCUCUGUUUUUAUUUCGGCAACAGUUGCAAUCGAGGUUUUCUUGGAAUCCUUCUUUUGUUAAUCACGAUUAUUAUCAUUAAUAACAAAGUGUUGAUAGCCUAAACAUGAUCUAAAGGUCCAUGAUUCAAACCCUCGGUUCCUCAUUGUUUUCCUGGUCAUACCAAGAGUUGUUGCUUUGAAAUUGUGGGAUAUCCAGAUUGGUGGGAUCAAUCUUAUUGCAGUGAGUGCAUUUGAAGGUUGACUUAUCAAUAUUAGGGCUUGUCUUAGGAUGGAUGAUCGCUGUCGGACUACCAUAGCGACAAAAUAUCCAGGAUUUCAGUUCUCUGGCUCUGAUACCAUCUUCAAAUUGAUAAAUGAUAGUUUUUUCCAUUCAUACUUUCAUUCGUUCAUGUACAGAGUAUAUAUAGAGAGUAAUCACCAUUCUAAGAAUGAGAAGGAAUGAUACAAGGAAAAAAUGAUAUAAGGAAAUAACAACUAAUAUCCUAAUAUCUCAACUUUCCUAAUAUCUCAAUAUUCCUAAUAUCUCAAUAUUCUUAAUAUCUCAACUUUCCUAAUAUUUAAACAUUCCUAAUAUCCCAACACUAAAUAAUAUAAGGAAAGAAUGAUAUACGAAAAGCAUUCCUAAUAUCUCAACAAUCUAGGGUUGAGCGCUGGGAUUUGACGACAGAUUUAACAUGACUUAAAGUAACUUAAUGAUUUAAUUUAAGUUAUUAAAUGAAUUAAGCAUGUUUGUUAAAAUAACUUAAUAUUACAACUUAAAGUUAAAAAUGAUUUUAAAUAUUAAAUCAUAAUAGUUAAUUUAUUUUUACUUAUAUCUAAAAUCAUUUUUAUAAAAAAAUCAAAAUUAAUAUAAAUUAAGUCAAUAAGUCACUAAAUUGAUUUAACAAAUAACAUGUACUUACUUUUGAAUGAACCUUUUAUUCAAAAAGUAUAUAAAUUAGGAUUAAAACUAUAAACUAUAAUAUUCAUUUCAGACCAACACUUCCAUGAAAACUUAAACAAAAUCUAUUGACCCAAUAAUUCCAGUUGUGAUCACAACAACGCUCUCAUGUGAUAAUAAUGUCAUUGCGUUUCUUUUACUCAUAUGUCAAUCCUUCUUUUUUAGGUGCCUUUUUAUGUUUUUUUAUUUUUAAAAAUAAAUAAUAAUAAUAACUUUUAUAUAAAGUCCAAGAAUUAUAAAAGAUCAAUAUUAAAAAUCCAAUGAUUUUUAAAAACUGAUUAAUAGCCCGUUUGGCAGUGAUUUUUAAAAGUGUUUCUACCCUUAAAAACACUUAAAGUGUUUUUGGGAUGAAAAUAAAGUGUUUGGCAAUUUUUAAAAAACACUUUUGAAAAUCUGGAAAAACACUUGAAGUGAUUUUUAGAGAAUCACUUGACAGGUGUUUUUUUAAAAAAAACACUUCAAUUUUUUUGAAAUAUUCCAAAAAUGCCCCCAGUGAUUCCCGAUAUCUUUCUUCUCUUUCGUUCAUACCUCUCUCCUUUAUUCUCCUCCUCCAUCGCUCUCCAUCUGAGACAACAUAGUAAACCUCUAUUUUCAUUCGAGAUCGUGGAUCGAAGGUAACCCUCUAUUCUUUUUUUGUUUUCCUUUUCCAUAUUUUUUUUAAUGUCUGAUUGCCUUGAAAUGUUAGUUAGGGUUUUGGGUUUUAGGAUUGUUUGGUUAGGAGGAAAGUAUGAGAAAAUGAAAUCUGUAAAUCCUCAAAUGUUUUUAUAAAUUCUCAAUCAGCAGUAGCUUCAGAAGGCCACUCUACUGCCACUACUCCCCAAUCUCUGUUUCUCCUCGGAUUCUCUCUUCUGUACGUUUAUUAUUUAUUUUUAUUUCUGUUUUGUUUAUUCAAUUCUUGUUUUUAUUGUUCAAUUUCUCUCCGUUUAAUUACAAUUUCUUUUUAUGUUUUUCUUUUUUAUGUGAAAGAUGUUAAAAAGAAAUAUCAAACUAUGCAUGUUUUUCUCUGUUUUUCUUGAUGAGUGGUGGGGAAACUGUGCUAUAGAUUAUGUAUAUGCCCUUUUGCCUGUUUGGUUGUUGAGAAAAUGUGAUAGAGCAAUUUGAGAAUUGAAAUUGUGAGCGGGUUUUUUUUUUAAAAAAAAAAAUUAAUUAGUUUUUUUAUUUUUUGAGAUCCCAAGAAAGUAAACCUCACUUGGAAGAGAUUCAACCAAUCAUUUAGGUUAGUUGAGUUGAUUCUUUGUUUUCAGUGUUUCCUUUCUUUUCUGUCAUUUUCUGGGCUACCAAGCAGAGGGGUUUGGGGUUUUUUAUCCCCUUAUAAAAGUUGCAAUUUUGAAGUAAGACACAAUGGUAUGUAAUUAGAGUACAUUUAACAUUCUCUCUCUCUCUCUCUUUUGUUACUCUUUUUGAUUGAGGAUUGUGUUGAUAGUGAUAGAAAGAAACUUGAUACUGAACUUGUUUCAUGAAUUCCCUUUUGUAAUUUUCUUUUAAUUUAAUUUGGAAUAUACCCUUGUUAAAAUAGAAUAAAUUGAACUGCAUUUUAUUACAUAUGGGCAAUGUUACCAAAAAAAAAAAUUCAAGGAAAAAAAUAAGCGUUUCCAGUUGAUCCCAAUCAGCCACACAACUCAUUCCAUCAUCUCAAAAACCUAAAUAGUUAAAAACAUUACUGAAAAUGAUACCCGGGAUAUAACCCAAACCCAAUCAAUCAAUUUUUGAUCGGGUUGUAUUCAGGGUUAUGAAAAAACCUUUUGUUUGGCUCAAUGCCAGGCUCAACCUAAGAAUUCUUGUAAGUGCAAUAGAGGGAUUAAUGAGACUACAGUUUUGAUACAAUUAGGUUGCCCCAGUUGGAUGGAAGAGGGAAAGGAUAAGCCAAGUCCAGUUCUCGGUAGGUCAGCUACUAGGAAACCUUUAGUCGAUUAUAAUUGGACCUUUUUCAAUCUUUACUAGUGUGUUUGAUGUCAUAGAAACUGUGGUUACACUGAUCUGGCGGAGCCACAGAAUGGCACCAUGUCAUUAAAGAUUCUAUGACAUCACUUUCAGUCUUUUCUCAAAAUUUUAUUUUAUAGUAAUAUAAUUAAAAUAUAUUUUUUUUAUGUACAGACCAGUGUUCCAUAUGUAAGUUAAUCGUCCCUUCAUCAUCUGCAUAGUAAUUGUGCAGGUGAUGUAUUCAUCAAUUGUCAUGAUUGCUUCACUUUAUUAGUAGAGACCCGACUUUAGGGACUUAGAGGGGUGCUACGGUCUUUACCGUACCUUCCCGAUAAGUAACCUGACCCUCGAACCCGAUCCGGUUUUUUACAGACCACCUUUUCCAAAACAAGGAGUCAUACUUAGGGUUUUUCUUUCUUAUUUUGUUUACCCUUUAAAAAUAAAACAAAAAGAGACAAAACAGCAGGGUUAGCCAAUGAAGUAAUUGAUGUUUGGUUCGAUAUGAAGAGUGGGUUAUAUUCAGAACAUUAAUCCAUUCUGCAUUACCUAUUCUAGAUUAAAGCAUGGUCCACACUAGCAAAUUAUGGAAAUUCUAAACUUUGCACUGAUUGUUUAUCAAUUAAUGGACCACAUAUAUUCUUGAUGUUUUGUUCCUUAAUUCUUUCUUUAUUCUUCAUUUUAAUUGUGUGAUUCUUUGUUUGAAAAUUAUUAUUUCUCUAAAAUAUAUAUAUUUUUAAAUAGAGAAUGUCUAGCAAUAUUGUUCAACCAUUUCAACAACCAAGUGGUGGAGAAAGUGAAAAACAAAGCAACGCUUAUUGGGAUGAUAUUACAAUGGAUGCUUUUAUCAAAGUUUGUGUGACUGAGACUUUGGCUGGAAAUAGACCAAAUAGUCACUUUAACAAGUUGGGAUGGAAAAAUGUGAUAAAAGCCUUCAACAAUUUGACUGGAAGAAACUAUCAAUAUAGGCAACUUAAGAAUAAAUGGAGUUCUCUUAAAAAGGAUUGGCAACUUUGGAAUACCUUGAUUGGGAAAGAGACUGGCCUUGGGUGGGAUCCUAUGAGACAAACCAUCAAUGCAAGCAAUGAAUAGUGGGAUAAGAAAUUGAAGGUAUGUUUUGUUUAUUCAUUAAAUUUAUUUGAUUAAUUUAUAUAUUGGUUAUGAAAUAUGAUAAAUUAAAUACUCUUGUAGGAGAAUCCUGAAGCAAUAAAGUUUAAAACAAAAGGCUUGAAAAAUGUUGAGCAAUUAGACAUACUUUUCAAAGAUAUUAUUGCUACUGGUGAAGGAGCCUGGGCACCAUCACAAGGCUUUGUAGGACAAGAGGUUGAUGAUUCAUCUAAUGUGGGGGAACACGAAGAUAAUAUAAUAGAAGACCAAGAUGACUCUAGUUGCAAUCCGCCACUUGAUACUAUCUUCAAUGGUUUUGAAGCUACUACUCAACCUUCUAUGGCAAAAAAGAAUAAAGGAAGAAGAAAGAGGAAAAUAAAUGAAACCAAAUCUGAGCUUGUGGCUAUCCAGUUAGAGCGCAUUUGUAGUGCUGUGGAGAAUAGGUCUUCUAUCUCAUCUAAAGGAGAUAAGCCAGGUUGUAGCAUUUCUGAAGUGAUGAAAAUCAUACGUGGGAUGCCUGAAGUGAAGAAUGACUUUGAGUUAUAUAUGAAAGCCACAGAUAUCAUGGUUGUCAAGGAAAAUAGAGAUAUGUUUGUUGCAUUAGAAGACCCAAUUGAUCAGAUGGCAUGGCUUAAACAUAAACAUGUUUGAGUUUUAGAGUUGUUUCUUGUUUUUAUAUGGAAACAUAUUUUUGUUACCUAAUAUUGUUUAGUUGUUAGGUUGAGGGGAGGAAAGAGAUGUUGGUUUGCUUUAUGUUAGUUGUUAUUUUAUAUUUCAUCUUAGUCAUUUAACUUUUUUUUUUAGGUUUAUUAUUUCUAUAAGAUAUUUUUUUUAAUACAAAAUGUCUAGUAAUGGUAGGAAUUCUAAACUUCAAUUGUGUACUUUCUAAUUUUUUAAAAUAACUAUAGUAAUUGAAAAUAUACAUUAUUGUUGUUUAUUAACAUAUUUCCUUUUUUAUUUGUGUAGAUGCCUUCUAAUAAUAAUGAUCAAAAUUUUGAUGAUGAAAGCGAUGAUGAACAUGAUUUUUAUCAGUUGGUGGUUGCGGGUUGUGCUGCAGCUGCAACAUUUACUAGUUUCAAAGAAAAAAAACCUUGUAGAACUUCUUCCCACACAUGAUACAAGUUUGUAAUGGAUGUCUUAAAUGGCCAUGAAAUUAGGUGUUUUGAGCAAUUUAGAAUGGAAAAACAUGUGUUUAUGAAUUUAUUAGAAACACUUACUAAAAGGUAUGGCCUAAAAGAAGGUUUUGAUAUGCCCUUAAUAGAGGUUUUAACAUUGUUUCUCACUACAAUAGGUCAUGGACUAAGCAAUAGGAUGAUUCAAGAAAGAUUUCAACACUCUGGUGAAUCUGUAUCUAGAUGGUUUGAGAUUGUAUUAGAUGUUGUUUGUCUUAUGGCUGUAGAUAUUAUAAAACCAAGUGAUCCACAGUUUAAGGAAGUCCCUGAUAAAAUAAGAAAUGAUGAUCGGUAUUGGCCAUAUUUUAAGAAUUGUAUUGGGGUAAUUGAUGGAACUCAUAUACCUGUUGUGGUUCCUAGAGAUAGAAAAAUACGAUAUAUUGGUAGAAAAGGUGUGACUACCCAAAAUGUUAUGGCAGUAUGUGAUUUCAAUAUGUGUUUCACAUUUGCAUGGGCCGGAUGGGAAGGUGCUGCUCAUGAUGCACGAGUCUUUUUAGAGGCAUUAAGAAGGCCAGAAUUGGGUUUUCCUCAUCCACCUAGAGGUUUGUGAAUGAUAAUAUCAAACUUGUUUUUGUGAUCAAAUUUUUAUUAUCUAAUAUAUAUAUUUUUUUUUUUGUUUUAUAGGUAAAUAUUAUUUGGUCGAUGCUAGUUAUCCUCAAAUGAGUGGAUAUUUAGGCCCUUAUAAAGGCAAGCGUUACCAUCUUCCAGAUUUUCGACGAGGUAGUUCACCUAAAGGUAAAAAGGAAAUAUUUAAUCAUAGGCAUUCAUCCUUGAGGUGCACAAUUGAGAGAACGUUUGCCGUUUUGAAGAAUAGAUGGAGAAUGCUACGAGAAAUGCAUAGUUUUCCUCUUGAGAAACAAGUAAAGAUCAUUAUUGCUUCAAUGGCUCUUCACAACUUCAUAAGGAUUAAUGCUAGAAUGGAUAUGGAAUUUAAACCUUAUGAUGAUGAUCAAGGGUUGCUUCCACUUAAUGAAGAAGAGAGUAGAGUGGAUUCACUUGUUGAGGAAGAUGAUUCACAUCAUACAAGAGAGAUGGAAGAACAACGUGAUCGAAUUGCAAAUCUUCUCAUAUCUCAUUGAUGUUUGAUUAUGACUCUAAUAUGUAAGAAUAUAAUUUCCCCCAAUUUUUUUGCUAUGAAAACACUUGUCUUCUUAUUUACUUUUAAUUAUAAUUUUUUUUUUUGGGAAACUAAUAGGUAAUCAUAUAUUGUUUUACUUUGAAAUUUAUCUUUUAUUCAAUGUUCUUUUUUAUUGAUUUAGAUAUUUUUUGUAAAUAUUUUUAAAAAUUUUAGUAUAUUGAUAAAAAAAAUUAUUAUUUUUAAUUAGAAAAAUCUUUUUUUUUUUUAGAAAUUAAUAGGUGGUCAUAUAUUGUUUUACUUUUAAAAUUAUCUUUUAUUCAAUGUUCUUUUUUUUUUAUUGAUUUAGAUGUUUUUUGUAAAUAUUUUUUAAAAUUUUAGUAUAGUGAUAAAAAAAUUAUUAUUUUUAAUUAGAAAAGUUUUUUUUUUUUAUAGAAAUUAAUAGGUAAUCAUAUAUUGUUUUAAUUCUAAAAUUAUCUUUUAUUCAAUGUUAUUUUUUUAGUGAUUUAGAUGUUUUUUCAUUAAUAAAAAGUUUUUUUGUUUAUCAUACCAUUUUUUUUAAUUAAAAUUGUAUGUCCUUUUUGGUAAUUUAUUAAUAUUAAAAGUGUUUUUAUAUUUAUACAAUAUAUUAUCAAAAACACUUUAGAAUCAUUUUUUCUGAUUAUCAUAAAAGUGUUUUUCACAGAAACACUAUAGCAGAAAAUACUUCAAAUAAAAACACUUUCACUAAAAUCACUACCAAACAGGCUCUAAGAAAAUUGAAGUUUUUAAAAAAAUUUACCUCAAAUUUUAAAAUUUUCUUAAAGCAAUUUUUGAGAAUAUAAGGUAAUUUUAUAUUUUUUAUAUCAAAAUAUUUAUUUUUAUCAUAUUGUGAUUGUAAUUAUAAUAAUUUUUAAGGGUGAAUUUCAUUAACCUUUCCUAAAAUUUUAAUUAAAUAUAUUUAAUUUUCAAUAAUUUGAAAUUUCAUCAAAUAUCCUUUCUAUUUUUUGCCCUUUAGAGGAUAAUCAUGACCCAUGUCGAGCCUAGUGGAUUGAUGCUUGACUACUAAAAGGACUUUCAAGACAAGUUUUUGAAAGGUUUGGUAGUUUAGGGUUUACCAUUACUAUAUAUUCAAUGUAUGCAUCAUGUCAUUCUUAAAUUUAGACAAUAGGAUUUGUUUGAGAAUUAUUUUUUGUAAAAAUAAUUUUUUUGUUCUUAAAAAUAAAAAAUUAUUUUCCAAAUUUAAAAAAAAAAACAUUUGGUGAUUUUUCUUAUGUUAUUUUGAAAAAUGGAGUGUCUUUUAAAAUAUAUUUUAAUUAAUUUCAACUAUUUUCAUAUGUUUUCUAGGGAUUAUUUUAUAAAAUAAUUAUAAAAUAUAAAGAAUGAUUGACAAUAAAAUAAUAUGAAUAAAAUUUAUUUUUAAGAAAUAUUUAAAAACACAUAAAAUAGGAUGAUAAUAUUCAAAGUAGCCAAAUAAAUUUUUAUUCUAAAAAAAAUAUUAUAAAACUAUUUUUCAAUACUAUUUUUUUAUCAUUGUUUUCACAAACAUUCCCCAAAAAAGCCUUAUAGAUUUUUAUAAAGAAACCCUAUAUAACUUAACUCAAAGUUUAAAUAAUUCUUUUUUAUGUAAGUAAAUUACAAAGUAGAGUAUCUACAAAUUCAAUUAAAAGAUGAGUCUCGGCAAUCUUCAAAACCAAACUUUAUAAUAUUUCUUGAAAAUUUUGAUCUCCAAUUGAUAAACUCUAUAUUACAAAUACCUUUAUUACCUAAACAAUCUAUUGUUCUAUUUGUUUCUUAGUAAAUUUCAUGACAAUUAUAAAUAUUUAGAUCAUGAGUUCAUUUUCAAACAUCCUUCAUUAAUAAUAUAAUAUAAUUAAGAAUAAUGCUCUUUUUUUUUAUAAUAAUUUAUUUUUACUUUUAAGUAACAUUCAAUCUCUAAGUUUAAGAAGUCAUUAUUCUUAGCAGCCAACACGCCAUCUAUUAAAACCAUAGAUUUCACAAUAAUUAUUGAUACAUUACCCAUAUACCUACUUACAUACGAAUCAUGAUGUAAGACUAUCAGGUUGUCAUUAGUAUACGGUUACACAUUAAAUAAGACUUACAAUGAAUUAUAAAUAAGACAAUCGAGUUUGUCAUAAUUCACUGAGCUACUAUAUUGCAUAGACUUUCAACAUUAAAAAGAUAUUAGGCCUAUGUUGAAAUCAACAAGAAGAUUUGACUUAUGGGGGUGACUCUUAAAUAGUUAUAUAUUUCCUUUGAAUUAAGUCACUAUUAAUAAAGGUUGACGACAACAAAUAUUCUCAAUAGAGACAUCAUGAUAUCUCAUGGGAUUGAGAUAAUGUAUUCCUUUAAGAGAUCCAAAUGACAUGUAAUUAUGAAAUUUGUGGUCAUAGUAAUUCCUUAAGUGGAAUUUGACAUAUAUUCUUUACGAAUUAGAGUAUGUCAGUUGAUAACAUAAUCGAAGAAUUUAUAAUUUGUUUUAUAAGUUAGAGAAAGUACACAAUUUUACUUAAUUCACACGUAUUUAUUCUCCAUAGUUUUACUUGAUGCCUUGUGCUCCCUAAUAGAUGACCUUAACCCCCUAUUGAAGCUAACGAAUCAAUACACCUCCAUGCCUUUCUAUUGAAAAGACUUCUAAGUUCUUAAAAUGUUAGAGAUUUUAGAGUUUUAGGAUAGAGCUAUGAUUGUGUAUUUAAUAUGUACAUCCUCUUUUUCGAGUUUAAAGACUAGAUUUUUAUAGAGAAACCCCAUAUAACUUAUUCAAAAUAGGUUUUAAAAGUGCAAAAUUACUAAAAGGUAUAGUUUAAAGAAUUAAAAAUCAUUGAUUUUUUUAAAAAUAUUAUUGGAUAUUCAAACCACUCAUAUAGGAGUGUUUGAAUGUUGUGAGGCAUUUGAACUUUCCAUGAGGUAGCAUGCAAACAAUGUAGGAUGUUUGAAUGCCCUAAAAAGGGCGUUCAAAGGUCCUUUUGUGUUUUCCCACCUUAUUUUAUUUUUCGUCAUAAAUUUACUUUGAAUUUCAAUUCAAUUCCAAAUUUAAUAUUUAUUGUAAUAUCAUAACACUCCAAAUAUAUAUUUACCUCAAUCAAAUUUCAAGUUUAAGUAUAUUAAACUUACUCAUGAUGGUAAAUGACAAAAUCAAUGCAUAAAUGAAAUACAAAUUGUCAAACUAAUCUAAAACAUCAUCACGUAGUUGUGAUAUGACUUUAUUUUAUUUUUCACUUUUUGAGUCUAUGCAAUUGAAAUAGACAUCUUUCUUCUCCUUCUUCAUUUUGACAUUAAUAUCCGUGUAAUCGCGAACACACACAUAUCUUAAAAUUACACAUACAUAUAUCUUAAAAUGAGAGUCAUUGAGAGCUUGGAAUGGUUGACAUUUCUUGAUGUUUGUUAGAAAGUAACAUCAUCUCUUAUAAGCUAAUUUUAGUUUCUAAUACGUUGCCUUCUUUAUUGUGAUUUGAAGUAUUAUUAUUAUUAUAAGAAAGUGAUUAUUAUAGGCAAUCGCUUUUAUAUCGUGAUUAUUAUAUACAAUCAACUUUAUACCGUGAUUAUUAUAUACAAUCAACUUUAUACCAUAAACACUCGAACGUAAUAAAAUUUGUCAAUGACAGAUUCAUCAACUUGUUUUGGAUAACGAUCUGAAAGACAAUUUUUUUCCUUUUUAUUUUUAUAACUAAUUUUAAUUACACAUUGAUUUUUAAUAAAAAUGUCUUUAUCAUCUUCCGAUCUAACUUCUAUUGCUACACAUGGUAAGAAACCUACGAAGACCUUAAGUGAUGACGACAAAAGAUAUUCUGUCUCCAACUCUAAGUCUUAUUGAGGUUUUGUACGGAGAUGCCUCCUAUUAACGAAGAGUGAACUGAUAAUCAAGUGUAAACAGCGACUGAAACUUGGGAUCAUUCUAAAUUUUUGUGCUAAGGACUAUACUUUAAAUGGUCUGAACAACAUGAAUAACAUCCAAUAAUGUCAUGAAGGGCUUAUGAAUUGCAGGAAGACAACCCUACUUACCUGAAAGAUAAAAGGCAUGUUUGGGCCCUCCAUUUUAUUGUACCACUCGAGACCCAUUUAAUUUGAAAUAUAAAAAUUUAGGAGAUGGCCCUUGUGAUCUCAAAUUUUGAAAUUUGAAGCUAUACAACCAAAGGAAUAGAGAGUAGUAAUUAAAAUAUUUUUUAUAUUUUUAAUUAUUUUUUAACCAAAUUAAAAUAAAAUCAAACACUAGAAAAAGGUUAUAAAUUUCUUCUAAAAAAUGGUUUCAAAAUAGACCUCAUAAUGUUUUAUAAUUAUGGAUAUAAGUAUCCAUUUUGAUACAUUUUUAUUUUUUUGUUUUCAAAAUAUAAAUAAUAAUAAUUUUUAUAUAAGAUAUAAGAAAUUUUAGAUAUUUUCAUCGAACAUGUAAUAAUUUUAAAAAAUUAAGGCAUUUAAAUUUUAAAAAUUUUGCAAGUGAUUUUAAAGAUAUAAGGUAAGUUUAUAAUUUUUUGUGGUCAAAGUUUCUAAUUAUAAAUAAAAAAAUUUAUUCUAAUUAUUUUUUAAUAAAGUAAUAUUUUAAUAUUUAAGAAAUUUAAUUUAAACAAAAGAGAAUGAAAUGAAUUUGAGGAUAUCACUUUCCUUUAUUGGGAAUCGUGUUUUUCAAAACAUUUUUCUUUAGAACCCGACAGGACCACGCAACUUAAACCUCAAGCGGGUCUAUCCACGUGGCGACCACUCUAAGGUUCUCAUUCUGAAAAAUACCGAAACACCCCCAAAAGGAGCACGUGCAUGCGCGUCGCUCCACAUGUCCAGAUCCGUUAAAGAGCGGGAAAAGCCAUUCAUUUCAAAUUCAAAAAUUUCAAACGGUUCUAAGCCAAAGCACAGUAAACACCGAUACCAAAAGCUCUUCUCUCUCUACAGUUUCAUCGCCUGCGAUUUCUACCAGUAUGAGGUAUUUCCAUUUGCAUAGAUCCGUUUCUUUUCUUCUUCUUUUUUUGCAUUUUUUAUUGUAUUUUCUAUCAUUUUUGUUCUCCGCAGAGAUGGAUUUUCGCGGUAUGAAGAGGAAACAACUACAAGCGCUGUGCAAGCAGCAUGGUGUUCCAGCGAAUUCGACGAAUCUUGAGAUGGCUGAUAGGCUCUCCUUGUUUUUUAAGGUUUGGAGUUUACCUUAGCCUUGUUUCCUUUGAUUUUUCUUCUUUUCUGAGAAUGUUCAGGAAAACACAAGAAAUUAGAAUUUUGUAAUUUUGUUUUUUCUCAACUGUUUUCCGUGUCACUAAAUAAGAAUCUUCAAUGAAAUGUGUCCGAUACAACUAUAUGUGGAAUAGAACUUAUAAUUUAGGAAAAGACAAGGAACCAAAAAAUUUAGUGAUUAAAUUUUUUUAUUGUUUUGGAAUAAAGCAAUGAAAAUCUUUACUAUAAUGAGUCCAAAUUCAAGUGUAUGGAACUGAAAUAAGGAAUAUGUCUCUUUUUGGUUGUGAGAAAAUUCAGGAAAAAAUAUGAAGUAAAAUAUUUAGGUAAUUCAGCUUUUCCAUUGUUUGAGGUUUGGGAAACAAGAGUUUUCACUGAAAUGAGUCCUUUAAAACUAUAUGGAAACUGAAAUAACAAGGAUUAAGUUCAGGGAAAGAAAAGGGACUAAAUUUUUUUGUACUUUUGCUUCUCAUCGAGUGGAACCUGGGAAAUAAUUCACUGAAAUGGGUGAAAUUCAAUUAUAUGCAAGCUAAAAUAAAAGGCAAUAUGAGAGUUAGAAGUUUGUUUUGUUUUCUUAAUUUACUUGGUCUCCCUGGCAACCUAACUGAGGUUGAACUUUAAUUGGGAAAUAGAUGCAUGAUUUUUUUCUGUAAUUCUUUGUUGCAGGAAAAGGAAAAACCAGUGACGCAAGGUCGGUCUUGCUUGAAGAAUCUGGAUGGGAUAGAUAGCCUAAAUGAUUCUAAUGCUGUCACCUGCGAUCCCAAGAGAGUUAGGUUUAGUCCUGAAAAUGAGACGUUUGAAUUUGAGGAUUCUGAGAUAGACAGGGAAAACACCCCAGCAAGAACAAGGGCGGCAAGGGCGGCAAGGAGGUCUAGGGUGAGACUGGCUAAAGAGAAAGUGAGUCCUGUUGGUGCAAAUGCUGGAAAUAGUGAGUCCUGUGAGGAAACUAAAGGUACUCUGAACAGAAUCACGAGGCACCAAGGACAAAAAAUCAUAGAGGGGCAUGCAGUGAAGUCUUCAUCACCUCUUGUUAAGGAAAAGGGGGCGAAAAAAGGCACAAAGAUCAAAAGUACAGUUUCAGAAAUUGUUGAUAAAAGUGCUAAGUUAUCCCCAGUAUUAGAAAUGGAUGACAAUGCACGUGGUAAAGAAAACGGAAGACCGAUAAGAAGGCAAUUGAGGAGUAGGGAGGUGGUAGUUGAGAAUGCCAGUGAACUAGGAAAUGAAGAUUCUAUCAUUCCAAAGAAGAAUCCAGUGCAGACAAGAUCAAAGAGGAGGAAUCCGAAAGAUAGUAAUGAGGUUCUUACCACAGAUGAAAUUUCCGAAGACAUUAUUAGUGAAGGAGAAGGUGAAAAAAUUGAAACUGGAAAGGUCUUUAGGCAAUCUAAACGGAAGGCGAUAGAAGAUGGCGAGUGUGAACUGUUUGGUGGGGAAUUGGGGAAAAGGAAAACGGUUGGAAGGAUCACAAGGUUCCGGGCCCAGUUGGUGGGGCGAGAAGCAUCUGCUGUUGAAGGUGAAAAUGAGACUGGAGAUGAAUCUGAAGUCCAGGUUUCAAAAGACUCUGAAGCUGUUCUUCAACUCAAAGAGCCUGCUAAGUUAGGUAGAAACACUUUGAGGCAGAAAUCUGCAAUUUCUCAAUCAGAUCCAUCUGUGAGAACAGAGACCAGAAAACAAUGGAAGGGCACAAGUUUGGAAGGAGGAGCCUCUGAGACUGAAGUGAGUAUGAAAGAGAAGGAAAAGGUUUCUCUACCUAAUGGCCCUCUAAGGAGGUCCAGACGCAACACUUUAGCAUUUAAGUCUACUGUUUCUCCUGAUGGAGGGUUGGUAACUCAUGAAGCUGUUGGAAGGAAUCAGCAAUUGAAGCACUUGGGAGAACCAAUUACAGAAAAAGAAGCCUCUAAACCUGAGGCAACUGCUGAAAUUUUGAAAGAAAAUGAGAAGGUUUCUCUACACAAUGGCCGUCUGAGGAGAUCCAGACGCAACACUUCAACAUUUAAGUCUAGUGCCCCUGCUGCUGAUGGAAAUUUGGUGACUGGCGAAACUGUUGGAAGGAAUGAGCAGUCAAAGUGCUUGAGAGAAUCAACUCCAGAAAAAGAAGCUUCUGUAACUGAAGCACCUUUGAGAAGGUCCAAGCGGAAUGCUUCUAGGCAUGAUUCAAUAUCUGCAUCCACAGGAAUGGAUGGCAUUCCUAAUGCCAUUGGAAAGAAUAAGCCACAGAAGAGAAGUCUGCAGCCAAUUCUCGAAGAAGAAACUUCUGUGAUUGAGAAGGAGCCUCUAAUUGAAGAACUUCCAAGACAAUCUAAAUAUAAUGCUUCCAAAUGUAACAUAGUUGGACCUGCUAGAGUAGCUGGUGAAGUUAAGGGAAAGAAGAAGCAGCGGAGGAGAUCAAAAUUUCCAAGCUCAAAAGGGGAAGCUCCAUUAACUGAAAGCAUGUUGGAUAUUGAAGAAACACCAGGCAUAGAUGUUGAAUUGUCAGAGCCAGAAGCUGCAGGAAGCAAAAGUUCAGUUUUGAUCCACCAAGAAGGAACUCCUAAAGAUAAAGAUACUAGUAAGAAGAGGAAGAGCUCCAGGAAGAUAUCUAGUGCAAAGAAGCAGCAACAUGGGUCAGUGGAGGUUUGCCCUGUAAUUUCUGACUUAGAGGAAGUUGAGGAUCGCACAACAGUGAAUUUCAAGGAUAUUCCAUCCCAAUCUGCAGCUGCCAUAGAGGAGGAUAUUGUUGAGGAUCUCACAACAGUGAACUUGGAGGACAUUCCAUCUCAAUCUGCAGUUUCUGUAGAAGAGGAUAUUUCAAUGGAAAAUGAUAAGGAAAAUUUGGUUCAAGAUAAAGUUAAUGAAGGUAACAAGGUUGAUAAAGAAUCUCAGUUCCACAACAUGAGAAGUGAUCUUGAUUAUGAUAAUUCAGUUGAACCACAAGGAAAUCAAUAUUCAAGUAGAGUUAGCAAGGAACUGGUCUCUCCAGUCUUUGACUUCUCAUCUGUCCAGCAACCAGAUUACACUGGUAAGUGUCUGUUGGCUUUUGGGACCAUAAUCGGUUUAGUAUUUUUUUCAUAUAAUUGAUUACUCAGUGAUCAACAAUUUUCAGGAUCAUCUGCUAAUCAUGUGAAGUUGCAGAGAGAACUGGAAACUGAAGAAGAGCUAUCUGCAGGCAAGCAUAUAGAUCCAGCAAGUGAUAUUUUUGUUGAUCUUGCAGCUGAAGAUGACAAAACUUCAGUUGAAAAGGAGCAGAAGUUAGGACUAGGAGAGAUGAAUGGUUGUGCUGAACCAGUCAUGCAUGAGUUAGAGGAGAAUGUAACUGAAUCUAAUGAAAGUGGCAGCUCAAAAAGGAACUUCGAAACUUUCAGUGAGGAAUCUGGAGAUAUUGCUUUGCUUAACCCCUCCAAUGGAGAACGGGCCACUCCAAAUAUAUCAGGGAGGAGAGAUAUUGAUGAUGCUGAAGAUCCUGAGGCUGCUGUUGAAUUUCCAGAAAAUGCUGUAGCUUCCCCUGUGGCAGAAAUUGUUGCAGAACAGGUUACAGAAAUCCAGCUUGCCUCAAGUGGUCAAUGGUCUACAGAGGAGACUCCUGUAAAGAUUGUUAUCACACCAGAAUGUCAAAGUAAGUGUGUACUGUAUCCUUUCUUUGUCAAUCAUUAGCCAUCAAAUGGUCUGAUGAUGUUAAAGUUAUACAUAAUUCAAGAAAUUCAUUUGGCCAUUUUCUUCUUUAUUGCAUCUGCUGUUAUAGAUGACAAAGUGGUUGGUUCUUGUUUGCACACUGUCUCAGCAGAUGAUGGUUCUCAAGAAGGUUAGUUCCAUUUAUACAGGGCACUGCAAUCUCCAGUGAGUUUUCUUGCUAAUUUUCUUUUAUUAAACAUGCAGAAGGGUAUCAACUCAAUGCUCAACUUGCUGCACAGUCCCCUGUGCUUGGAAGAAGCAAUCCAAAUCAUGGUGAAGGAGAAAAAUCUUAUAGUUAUGGGAAUGUUAUCAUGGAUGGAACAAUGUGCGGAGGUGAAUUGUCUGUUAGUGAUGCCAGGGAGCGAAGAGAGCAUCCUGUUUUAGACGAGUUAGAUGGUCAAAUUUCCGAGAAGAAGGAAAGUGUAAUGUCAAAGGGAAUCACAAGCGUUUCUAAGGAAAUAAAAGAGACAGGUAAACAUAUACUUUCCCAUAGAGAAGGAAUCUGUCCAAUUACCUCAGCAAAGAGUGAUUGAACUAUUCCUAUGUUAUUGCUCUUCAAUGACAGGCCAUGGGACACCCUCAUGCUCACUGUUAUUGCUUUAGUAACCGUAAAUUGUAAGAAAAGCCUAAUACCAUUCUUGUUCUUGGUUUCAGAUGUUUCCCACUUGGAUUUUCUAUUUGGAACAGCUUCUGGUAUUGUUGAAAGAAGUUUGCCAUCUUGUGAGCACACUCACUUGAAAGACAAAGGUGAAGAGGACCAAGGUUAGUUCCAUAGUUACUUGCUCAGCAUAGGUUACCCUUCAGCAAUUAUUUAAUUAACUCUUUUCUAUUUGAUGUGCCAAAGAUCAACUUAAAAUUCUGUUUGGCAUACUGGUUGACAAUACAGAUCCUAUGGAGCAAGAUGAAGAGUCUACGCAUGUAACUGAAAUGGCGAGCACAACAAUAUCUGCAGGCAAAACUUCCAGUAAUAAUUUGGGAUCUGGAAGGUUCCAUCAUGAGAAGUAUCAAGAAGAUGCAGGAGUAGGGGAAAGUGAUCAUGAGGGAAUAUCUAAUAUGGGCAAUCAAUCACCAGAUGUUAAUGAAGAUAUUUAUAAUGAGGCUUCCAAAGGGAACUUGGAAGUGGAAAUUACAGGACUGGAUGGCUGUGCCUAUCCCUUUCCAAACAAGUUCUCUAAAGAUGAUCAUGCUACAGUCGACAAAGAAAGUGGAGGCUCACAUGUUUACUCCAGAAAUGCUUCAGGAGAGGGCAGAGGUACAAAUGUGGUUGAACUUUCAGUUGGUGAAGGAAUGCCUCCAGGUGUCUCUAUUAUGGAUAAAACUGGAAAUGCUUCUGGGGAGGUUGAAGGGACAAAUGUGGAUGAACCAUCUUUUGAAGGAAUCACUCCAGCUAUCUUAGAAGAGAGAGUUAUUGCUGAAACCAGAGAUUUUGAAGAGGCUGAUAAGCUACUUGAAUUUAAUGCAGAAUCCCAUGUAACACCUGGAAGCACUGCUGGAGAUAUGGAGAAAGAAAUCUAUUUUGCCGAAAUUACUCAAUGUUCUGGUGGAAGUGGAUUUGAUCUUCCUCUCUCACAUGUCUAUGCCCUCGAGCACCAAGGUUUGGAACAAGCUAAUGCCUUCCAUUUUUUGGUUUUUAUUUUAUUUUUCAUUUUACUCUCUGGAAAUCCUUUCUCAUCAUGUUUUUUUUUAAGUACUUUCUCAUGUAACAUUCACAUUUUUAUUCUCAGCCUCUGGUAACGUCCACAAAGAAAUGUCUUUGAGCACACAGAGUCCUCACGUCCAAAAACAAGGUUUGUUCCAUUCUCCAGUGUCUUUUCAGGAUUGAAUGACCAGGCCAAGGUUUAAAAUAUUCUAUGUUUCAAUGUGCAGAAGGGAAUCAACUUGAAACAUUCUGUGUCAAUGAGGUUUUGAGCCAACAAACUAGUGGGGUUAAAAGUUUCACUCUGGAGGCACUUGCAAUGAGUAGUCCACCGUUGUUUUUAGAGAAGCUGUAUGGUCAUGAAGAGGAGGAUUCAGAGAUGAACUGUAAUGCUAAUACUGUUGUAGAUGAGCCUUUUAGCAAACAUAGUGUAGUAACUCUUGAUGGGAUUGAUGGCAAAGGCAUUGAAGAACACAUUUGUGUGACUAGUAGCAAUCUUGUCACAAAGAAAGAAAGUGCAGAGGUUUUGCCUGAAAUUGAGGUUGGUAAUGUUCAUGAUGAUCACCAUGUGGUGGUUGAACAAAUGAAUUACAAUGUUGAUGCAAGUUCGGCAGAGAGAAAUUGUAAAGAUAACAAGAUGUCUGAUGAAGCCAUUGCAGGGUUUUCUAGUGUUGGGUAUGUCACUCUUGUUCCUGGGGAGAAAAUUUCUGAGUUUGAGCCAGGAACUGAGCUUGGUGACAGCCAGGAGGUGACUGCACAGGCAAAUAUCAUCUUUGAUGCAAGUUUGGAUGAGAUCAUUUGUAAAGAAAGUGAAGCACUGGAGAAGACAACAGCUGGAAUUAAGAAAAGCACUUUGGAAGGCAUUGAGGAAAUCACUAUGCUGGAGGAAGAAAAUGGAGAGAUUUCAGCACCAAUUACUCAAACAAAGCUUGAUAGGGAGGUCUUAGAUCAAGGAGUUGAAUUUAUAAAGAUUAAUGGCAGUGCUCAGGUUACUUUGGUUGAGACUGUACAUGAAAAUGAUGAAGUUCCAGAAGAGAUUUUAGAUGAAGUUACCAGUGAAAAAAUGAUUUUGCUCCCUAUGGAAGCAGAUUUUGACUGUAAUGAAUUGAAUAUUGUGGGGGUAAAGAAUGAAAUCUCACUGCAACGUGAUGAAUUGAAGUCUAUUGAUCUUGAUAUUCAUGAUGCAAAGGAUAAAAGCAUCUUCAUCAAUUCAGACCAAUGUAGCUCUGCAGAUAGAGAAACUAUAGAUGAAAGAGAACAUUCAAGAAUCUUGGAAUGCAAAUUCAAUUUUGAAGGUAAUUGUUCUGACACAAAGCACACAGAUGUUGGUGCUUCACCACUGAUCAGUCUAAAAGAUUUUGAUGAUCAGAUAGAGGACGAGGAAGUUGCACACAUGCAUGAUAGUGAUCAUUGUCUUUCAUUGGAUCUUUUGAGCAACAACAGUAGAAUUGCAGCAACGAAAACACAUAAAACCAUUGCAGAAUCGGUUAUGCUGGAGGCAGAAAAUGGAGAGGCUUUUACCCCGUUUGGUUCAGAGGGGCUUGGUCAGGAGGUUUCAGAUCAUGGAGUUGAAUUUCCAAAUUCUGCAGCUUCAGACGUGAGUCAAGCUGUACAUGAAGCUGAUGAAAAUCUGGAUACAAAAUCAGGUGGGGGUGUAGAGAUGAUUUGGAAAGGGGAUGAAGUGAAGUUUGGUGAGCUUGAUGAUUCUAGAGAAGAGGUUCUCCCAGAGACUGACAAGAGUUCUUUAAUUGUUCCACAUGAACUCACUUCCACAGAUGGUGAAGCUGUGAAUGGAACCAUGAAAGAGAAUAGUCACUUUGAGGAUGUCAAUUUUGAUUCCAUGAAGGAAGAAGAUGUUAGCAAUUCACCUAAAGUAAAUGCUGGGAAUUGUGAUGAUCUCUUGGAAGAGGAGUCUGCAGAUGUGAAACACAAUGGUCGUGAUGUUCAGAUAGAUCUUAACUGCAGAGACAUUGGAGGUGCAGCAGACCUAGUUGUUGAAGAUGGCAUGGUUUGUGAAAUUGGUUCUGAUGAUAGGAAUGGUGACAAUAUGUGGGUUCAGAAAGCACAGACUUCGCCAUGUAAAGUUGAUGAUGGUAAUAUAUCUUCUUCCGAGCCUGAAGGGGAUUCAAUUAGUGCCAGUGUCUCACUGCUGAAUGUUUCAUCAUGUCAAGGUGAGCAUCUUCACCCUUUCUUUUUGAUAUGCUUAUAUAUAUAGUCAAAAUGAUAAUCUUCAUCAACUAUCUCUGAAAGCCUCAAAAUCUUUAUCUGCAAAUUACCAGACAUUCAAUAUGUAGAAGCUCUGUAAGUUUAAUAAAUCAUUCUACCAGUUAGGCGGUGGGGAAUUAAUCUAUUUGAGACCAAAUGCAGCAGGUGAAUAUGAAUCUCAUGUAAAAUGUGCAGGAAGCAGUAGCAAAACAGAAAUCAAAGAAUUGAUUGAAGUUGUUCCAAAUGAUGAGAUUAAUGAUACCAAUGAGGCUGCAGUUUGCUCUCCUGCACCGGUUGAUUUUUAUGAGGAUAAAGGUAUUUAGAAACUUAGCUUGUAAACUACAUAACACAGUUACAAGAAUGUAUUUCUAUCUAACAUCUAUUGGCCCAUUCACAAACAAAUAUGAUAUAACACCUAGUUACUUUCAUAAUUUCUUAGGUGAUACUCUUAACUUUGUGGGUAAAUCCUCAGAAGUUAUUAAUAUUACAAAGGAGAGAGGCAUAGCAGAAGAGAGCAGUGCUGGGAAGGCUGAGGAAGUACGUGGUUCAUCACAUAAGUUUGAUGAUGAGAUGGUCUCUUCUGGUGAUUCUAAGGAGCCUCCAAAAUUUGAAAAGUUUGUCGAGGUUUCUUUAUUGGAAGCUGAAAAGGUGGACUGUUGCUCUGUUGUUUCACCAGUCAAUGAUUCUGUUGAUCAUGGUAAGUGCUUAAUCCACUAGUCUUAAAAAGUUUCAGCUGUUUCAAAUUCUUAGAUAAUCAUUUUCUCCUUGACAGAAUGUUAUUCCUAGUUUUUCAUUACUAAUGAUUUUACAGCAGAAGUUGCUUCAAGGAAGCACUUGACAAGAUUAGAAGAUACCACUGAUGAUUCCUCUCUGACCCAUCAGAUUGGUGUGAAUUCCAGUCUUGCCUCAUCGGAGACAGCAUCCUAUGAGUUCACUGACUGGGAAAUAGAUUUAUUUUCUCAUAAUCAUUUCAGUAUGGAAGCAGUUUGUGGAACGAGUUUAAGGAUUAUAGAUCAAUUCCCUGCAGUCACUGAUUCAGCUCUGUAUAAAGGUAUAGAUCAUAUUUAAUUGGUCUGUUCUCAGAAAAGGUUAUCUAUAUAUAUUUAUGGGGAAUAAUUCUUUAGACUUUCUCUAAUUAUUUCUCAGCCUUUGCAGCCGAAGAUGUCCGCACUGAGAAUCUGAAGUUGGAAACAGUUCAGAAGAAAAGUUUAGAUGUAGAAGUGGAAGAAAUCAACCAUUUAUCAUCUCAGCAAUUCAAUUCUUCUAUGAAAAUGAAAAAUAACUUGAAAAGCAGCAUGACCCAGAGAACUCCCAACAAGUUCUUUAAGGCAUUCGAUAUGAAAGAGAACACCCCAAGCAUCAAGAUGGAGCAGAUGGGUAAUUUCUCAGCAAUGAAAUCAGGGACAAGGAGGAAAGCCUUGGAGGACCUUCAAAAAACUAGAGAGCGGAACAGCACUGCUCGCUGACCUUUUUUCAAGGAUUGGAUGUUGUAAAUAUGGGGCCCCAAAAGAGUGGCCCCUCAGUUGACGACCCUGAGCAUACCUCAUGCAAACAUUUGUGGAUGAAAACCCCACUAGUGGGUUAUUGUUAAAUGAGUACUUUGUUGUGUCUCCUUUAUUGUAUUUGUAGCAAAUGAAACUCCAGAAUCAGUGUCACUUCUGCUUGAUUUGCAGUUUGACAGACAUUAUCAGAGAAAAUCUACCUUCUUUAUCCAUGAGAAGCACUACAUUGGAAGAGCUGGUUUAUUGCUUGAUAGAGCAUUGAGAUAAGAGUUUAAGUUUACAUGUGCUAUUAAUUUCAUCAGAUUGAUCAUAAUAGUCUGAGCAUAAGACUGGGAAGAAUGAGAUCUUCAGUAUGUAAUUGUAAGCUGAAGAGUCCCUCGAGAAAAAUUCAAGGACAUUUAUCACAUUAGGCUCUCAUUCUGCAGGAGAAUAUCCUUGAAAUUUUCUUCUCUAACCAUGGAAAUGAUGCAAAUGGCUAUAGAAGAUCAUUUCCCCCUGCUUUCUCACAACAGAAAAUUUUCCUUCAUCAUACUAUAUAAGAACAAAUUUGAACAAAGUGAAGUAUUCCAACGAGGCAAUACACAACGGACCAACAAUUUUUUAGCACUAAUUCAUCAAAACCCAAGUACCAAAAGAGGAGAAAAAUCAUUUGAAGGAGCCCAUAUAUAUGAAGAAGUCCCUUAUUGAGAAGGGGAUAUAUUUAUGAUUAAAUCUAACGUAUAUUCCUUUUGGGAUUACAGAAUGAUCCAACCCCAUCCAACCACAAAACCAACGUGUAUAAAAAAAGAAAAAAAGAAUGAAUGGAAAUUCUGCAAAACAAAUAACCAAGUCAUAUCUCAGUCCUUUUUAUCUACACAACCCCCCGGCCCCCCCCACCUCCAUUUCCUUCACAUCUCAACUCAUCUGAUGAUUCUCAUUCACAACCAUGCGAGUGUUGAGAGAUAGCUUCGUCUUCGAUCAAAAACACAUCCCUCUUCUGCAAUUCCCAGACAGCCUUUCUAUAUAUAGUUCAAACCAUCUAAAAUUUAAAUUUCAUGUAAUCCUAGUCACAAUCCAAUCCACAGACUUCUAAUACAAUACCACCUUUUGAUACAAAUGGGUUGACUCUGACCCAUAGAAGUGAGAAGAUUGAGGCUAGAAGAAUUGACCACACAACAAUAAUGGUGGGAAGCCUAUCUUGUUUCCCCAUUAACCCCUUGAGGAAGGGGUACAGGUGAACAAUGACCCAUAAGGCAAAGAACAGCUUACCAAAUAGAGGGCCCCAUUCUUCAUAACCGUUAUUGAUGGCAUCUGAAAUCCCAACCAUGACCCCAAUUAUAUUCAGGAUCAGUAACGUCAGGGGAGGGAUCAACAAAGAUGUCCACUUAAAAAGGUAGAGCUCCGAAAACUCUCCAUCAUCUCCUCCUUUGGAUGUAACAGUGAAGUUUGUGUUAACACCUGCCAAAACCUUAAGCAGACCUUGGAAGAGAGCAAACAGAUGUGAUGAAGCACCACCAAUCACCCAGAACUGCUCAUUUCUCCACCAGUCAUCUAUGGCAACCCGUCCCCACUGCAUCUCAAGGACACCAGUUGCAGCUAUAGAUAUGAAGAGGGCCAUGAAAAUAAUACUGGCAUAGUUGCUAAUCUGCACAUCAUGCAAAAAAUUAGGAUUAGCUGAAACCAUCACAACCCACAACUAAUGAAAACUAUGCUAAGCACAGGAUCCUUGUUUUGGCCUAUGGAGAUGAAUGAAUAUUCAGGUUUAUGAAAAGCUAUAGAAUCCAGCUACCAUCUUAAAUGAAAACACCAUGAUGUUGACUUCAACAAAUAUCUAGUAGAUAGGAAACAAAGUUUGAUUUCAUGGAUAUCAACUGAAGACUAGUAUGAUCAAGUGAAACUUCUGAAAUUUCAAGGAGGAAAGGAAAUUUCAAGGCUAAUGAAAACUAGAAAAGCAACCUGGAGAUUGAACUUGACACGAGAUGUCAAAAGUUCCAUUCUCCAAUGGAAAACCUUGCCUGAAUAUUAGUAGAAAUGUUUUGAUGCUUGUGGUUACAAGUAUUCUAUCAUGAACCUACAACUAUAUAAUCUUGUGGUUCUUCCAAGGAAAAGAAAAGAAGAUCUCAAAAUGGACAUUACAGAGAUUGAUAUUUAAGAAUGAAAUAGAGCUAGAGGUUACCUCGGGGACAAUGAACUUCCCAGUGAGGAGACAGAAAGCCGGCAAGGUACAGUAGGCAAUCAAGGGAAUGGACGUCCACGGAUAAACAACUGAGUUGAUAUAAGAGAAGCGCUCCAACCAUUUCAAACCACCUCCAUAGCCAUACCAUAUAGGGCAAUACCUACUGAAGAAAAUCUCAACAGAUCCAAGUGCCCAACGUAGAACCUGGUGUAAACGAUCUGACAGGUUAAUGGGAGCUGACCCCUUAAAUGCCGGCCUCUUGGGUAUGCAGUACACUGAUCGCCAACCAUGGCAUUGCAUCUUGAAUCCUGUUAAUAUAUCCUCUGUAACAGAGCCAUAUAUCCACCCAACCUGAUUCAUAAUUCAAAAUCUGGAAUUUAGAUACAGAUGAAAAAAAGUUUACACCUUGUUUGGAAGGGACUGGAAAAGCUAGAAGCUUUUAAAUUUUAGACAGAUGCUUCUUACCUCUUUCCCCCAUUCUGUUUUAUCUUCAUAACCACAGCUAAUGACAUGGAUGGCUUCUUUCAAAAGUGAAGCAGUGGUUGCUCCUUUUGGAACACCACCUUCUUCUAAAAGCGUGGAAGCUAUAAAAACCGGAGACUGUCCAAAUUUUUUCUCAAAUUUCACUUGGGGCAUGAGCAAUGAUCUGUCAUUAUCUAUUCCUGCAAUAUAAAUUCCACAGUAAUAUUACUACUUUGGCUUUAAAAGCAGUAGACCUGAAGCAAGAAAACCAGUGUCCCCCCAAUAAUUACUACCUUGAAUACACAUAUUGAGUUAACUAAAAAAACAAUAAUAGAAAAUUCAAAAAAUCAACUUCACAUGGGAAAAGUUAUACACAACAUUGUUGCCAAUUAAUUAAGAUAAAUUAGGAAUUUUGAAGGUCAUUUAAGAAUUACUUGAAAUAUCUAGAAUACAACAAAAAAAAUGCAGAUAAUAAGACAAUAUGAUUGCGGUUAAUGAUUAAAAAUUGGGAAUUUUUCAUAUUAUUAAGAAUUACUUGAAAUAUCUAGACUACUUGCAAAAGUAAAUAACAAUUGCAUAUAUUAGAAUAAGACCCAUAUUUCCUUCAAAGCCACCCUUACCUUCAAUUCCCUCUUCAAUAUUUUCGAGUGCAUGUAUUUGCUUUGAAGCUUCCCUGUUUUUCAUCUUCUUCUUUUUGUCAGUUGACUUCACUUUCUUGUUUUUCUUCCUUGAUCCACAACACAAGCAGCACCAUUUUGGCCAACAAUUACACGUCUUUCCUGGGGGUUUCUUAUUGACAGGGGCAUCAUAUCCAUAGAGUGCCUGCCGUCUGAAGACACAGCCAGUUCCAACAUAAAUUGGUCCCUGGAUCCCAUCCAAACCUUUCAUAUUGAUCUGUUUUUAAUUGAAAACAAAAAAUUAGCUUUCCUCAAUCAAAAUUUUACAAAUUCACAUCUGUGCAUCAUUGUAUCAAAUUCACACUGGAGUGCCUUACGUACAUCAAAGAAUACAACGUUGCGAUUUGAGUAUCUAUCAUUGCGAUCAAUCCCAUCAAACCUUUGAGGAAACUGUACAUAACAGAUUUUCUUUCCUGAUGUGGGGUCCAUCAUGAAGCACAUGGCUUCACGAAGGGCCUUACUGUUGUUUAUAUAGUGAUCACAGUCCACGUUCAGUAGGUAAGGAGCAUUAGAGAUGAUUGCUGAGACUCGCAUCUUGAAUAAACAGUCAAAACAAUAGCCCCCAAUCAGGAAAUGGGAAAACAAAAAAUGGGAUCCCAAAGAAAAAGAAUGAGAGAGAGAGAGAGAGCUCUACCAAAGCAUUCAUUGCCCCAGCUUUUUUGUGGUGAUCAAAUCCCGGUCUCUUCUCACGAGACACAUAAACUAGACGAGGCAACUCAUUUCCUUCAACAUCACGAACACCAUUAUGACCAAGAAAAACCUGUGCAAGGCAAAAAUAGAGAAAAAAAUCUUUUAAUGUCUCAAAUCUCAGUAUGUAGAAGGUCCAGCAAGAUGCAUGCUGCUCAGGCACAAAAAUCCAUGAAUGCACUCGAAGAAAGAAAUCACCCCCUCACCUGGAUCAUUCCAGGAUGGUCCCUGACAUUGUUCCCAGGCCAUGGAGUCCCAUCCUGCAUUGUCCAACCUUCCUCGGGGACCUUCUGGGCCAUAGAAACCAAUGCAUUUAUCCGAAUUUUGAACUCUUCAUACUCCCUCUGCACCAAUCAGGAACCAAAUAUUAUUGUUUUGAAAUCAACUUAUUGCUCUCAGCAAUGGUUAUCAUGGCAAUACUUUGUCAAAGAUAAAAAAUCAUCACAACAGGACAUCUUUUAUCACUAAAUUCUAAAACUUGUCCUCCACAAGCCAUUUUAAUGAUGCAUAUUUAAUGCCACUCUAUAUGGUUUAAGAUGGCAUUUUGUUUAACCCGCAUGCAGCUUAUAUAGAAUGCACAUUCAUUGGACCAAAAUAUGAACAGAUAAAGAUACAAGGUGUUAACCUUCAUUGCACGACGUUCCCUAACAAACUCCGGAUGCACUUUGUCUUUCAGAUAGUCAACCUUCUGAGCAAAGUACCAUUCUGGGGCCCUCGGCUCAAUGCUGAACUUCUUACAGAAUGGGACCCACCUCCUAGCAAACUCAGAUGUCUCAGAAAGGGCUUCAAAAGUAAGCAUGGCAGCACCAUCAUCUGAGACAUAGCAUGCAACUUUCUCGACUGGAUAAUCUACUGCAAGGAUUGACAGAACUGUGUUUGCUGUGAUAAGUGGAGGUUCUUUCAUGGGAUCAACUGUACUUACGAAUAUGUCUAUAUCAGCUAAUUCAGAUGGCUUCCCUUCUUUUUCAUACCUGAGAACAAGGUUUAAGACGCAUAGCUAAGAAAACAGUACCAUGCAUACAACCAAACAAGAGAGAGAGAGGGAGAGAGAGCACCCCAAAUACCUCAGUGAUAGCCUAUCAAGGUAUGUUUCCCGCUCGAUUGGGUACCACUUUGGGAACUGAUCCAGUAUCCAUGAUACAGCAAACCAUAUUUCACAAAUAACUGAUGUUAACCAUAAUGCAUAUGCAUCAUUAACCGGGUGGAGGAUUCUAUAAUGAAAGAAGAAGCCAAGAAUCACAAGCCGGAGUAUAAUUAUGAUUCUGUAUGGAUUUAUCUUGCUUGAAGGAAUUGGUAUUUUUCUAGAUAGAGGUUGCCUGCCUUCAUCCAUCCUACAUAAAAAAACAAAAAUAAAUAAUAAGUCCUUCACAUUCAAAUAAGAGAAAUGGGGAAAACACAAAUAAUGGAAAGAGGAAUGUGAUGUUCAGUUCCUAAUUAAAUUGAGAUAAUGCUUUCUAUACCACCUCUACUCAGACUAACACAAGGAAAUUUUAUUUCAUAAGAUAUUGUUACUGUUCCCAAUAGGUGAAGACUUCUAACUGUCAGCAAUGAGCAUGUCAGACAUUCAUCAACUUGACAAACAGUUCUGAUACCUGUUUACACACUGACAAAUGCGUCCACAUUCAUUUUUUGAAGAAACAUGGAGACAAACAUGUUUGUAGUGCAUUUUUGUUGCAAACACAUGAAAGCAUUUGCAAAACUAUAGAUGUAGCUAUCUCCCAAUAGCUAUGCUUCAGGAGUUUCAUACAAAAAUGUGCAUGUAGCUGUUUCCAAUGUGCAUUUAGCUUUUCUGAUUCUAAUGAUAAUUGUUUUCUAAAUGGAUUGUUAAUUGACUCACACCUACAUCCCUUCCAAGUUCAAGUUAACCACUUUCAUGCCUCUAACAUGUAUGAACAACAAUUAAUAUAUUCAGCUCACUAGCAAGUAGCAACCCCAAGUUCAAUCACAUGUUAGUUAACAAAUGUUUAACAUCAUAAAUUUCAUCACCCAAUAAUUUUGUUAUACAUUGAUCCAUAAGCGACCUAUUUCUCAUUCAAAUUCUGCCAAAAUUUUAACUUAUGGGCCAUGCCCAUAAAGGUGGUGCUCCACUGCUCACGUCCCUUCAACUUUCAAUGAACAGCAUCUAAGCAGUUUUAUUUUUUUUUCCUUUUUAAGCUUUUACCAUGUAAUACUAAAGUGGGCUUUCACGUCCAUGACAUGUUAGAUCUUCAUAGUAGUAGCGUUGAAUUUCUCAUUAACACAUGUUUACUUUGUUCACAUGCAUUGCAUGUGCCAUGGUCCCCUAAUGAACGAAUACGACCAAUUUACGGUUUUGAUAAAUGACAAAAAAUAUCUAGCAAAUGACCUCAUUUCAAUCUUGUCAAGGUUAAAAAGUUGAUGCUUCAUAUUGCUCCAAUAACUUGCACUCUUGUAUUACAUUUAAUCUUAACACAAAGCCACCGACAAUGCUCUAUUUGAGGCAAUUUCUUUCACCCAAGAAAAGAACAAAAAUAGAAAUGAUAAACUCGCAGGUGAAUAACAAUGCUGUUAGCCUGAGAGCUUAAGUUACCAAAAAACAGUUUGAUGCAUGAAAAGAAUUCAAGAAAUAGUACUUUAAAAUCCCAAAUUAUACUAAGCUACGAAGAAAAAAGUUACAGGAGAAGAUGCAACAAAUAGAAUAUGGUGAAGCAGUGAUUGAAAAAAUGCACCUACUUGGGCAAAUCAGGAUCAUCCAGUUCAUCUUCAUCAAAGUUUCCACCAUCAUUUCCUCCUUGGUGCUUAACAACCUGAAGUUUAUCAUUCUGCUUUUUCUUCCACUCUUCCAUUCGGUCCUUCCACGCAACACUUCCAUACCCAUAUACUGCCAGGUCUUUCUUAGGAUCCAUUGGUCUGGGUGGCACUGCAACAACAAAACCAGAAGGCACAAUAAAUAUGAUGAAGUAAAUGUGAAUAGACAUAACAGUGAGAAAAGGGUUCAAUUCCACAUAAAAACUAAUGAGGAAUAACAAGACUUACAGGACAUAGAAGAAUCAGGAAAUGGCAUAGGAUGGACUCGUUUUCCACGCCCCAUGAAUGGAGGAAUGAUAAGGGCGUGCUUAUCAGAGGAAAUCCCGACAUCCUUCAUUGAAAACAAGCAAACAACUAUUAUCAUAAAACAGGAAUCAUUAAUUAUAUGAACAUAGAAAUGGAACGAUGAAUAAAAAAUGCGAGUGUUAAAUCAACUUACAUAUUGGCCAUAGGUCAGAAGAGGGAUUCCUGAAGGGACUGAUGAAGAAUCCAGAUCCAAAGGCGUACUAAUCCCUGAAGUAUGGGCAUGGCUGCCGAUGUUCAGGUGAGCAGAGAGCAUAGCCUCUGCAACCUGAUGAGGAUCCCUACUGUAAUUGCUUCUGAAAUCAAACUCAUUCUCCAAAUCAUCAAUGUCAUCUUCCUCUUCAUCCCCUUCAACUCUGGGACUACCUGAUGUUUUAAGUGUGCUAUUAGUGGAAUCAUCACCAAGUAGAGUGGAGUUUGGGAUGAAAAAACACAGAGUAAUAGAAAAGAGACAGAGUCAACCAAGAAAUUAUAGAAACCCUUUACCUUUGAUGCGUUUGUAUCUGGUUUUGCAUUGAGGGCAAGCUUGAUUACCCUCCCUUCUUUCAUACUCGUAGCAGGGUCUGCAUACAGGGAAUGCACAUUCAUUACAGGCAACGAAUGGCUCCCCAUCCACAGUAAUCUCUAUCUCAUCCCCACAAAUCUGACAAAUCUGCCCACUCAAUUCUUUCACGGAAGUCACCUGUAUGUCACAGCAAAGUCAAUCGGCAUUAGGUCAUGAAAACUGGAUUUUUUGCUCAACAACCCCAGAUAGAAUAUUGAAGCAGCAUAUGAUUUUUAAACUACUCAUUCACACAUACAAAAACACACACACACACAUAUGCAGAAAUAAAGUAUAAAAUUUUGGUGCAGACCUGUAUGAAACAUAGAAAAUAAGGGGAAAGGUAUGGAUUUGUGAAAGUACAGAGUUCCAGAACAAGCAUGAGCAAAAGAGCUAAAAGAGUCAUGAAAAUGAAAAGGGAAGUAAAAGCCAUCCCAUUCAAGAAUCACACCUUUAAAAACAGGAACUUGGAUCAGAGGGAAAAAAAUUAAUGGAAGAUAGUGUCACUAACCCAAGAAGGAAAUGGCAGAACCCACAAAAGCUAAAUACAGAAAAUAAUGGAAAAAAAAUGUUAUGAGAACAAAAUAAAAUCACUGUAACAGAAAAUGAGCAAAUGGAUGUCUUCAAAAUCAAGAAAUGGGGCUGACAAAAAGUUUCAUAGACAAGAAGAACGUCGGAAGAAAAAAUAGAGAAAGCACAUUUUUAGAUAUUUUUCUUAAAAUCCAGAAAUGGAGUCGAUCAACGAGUUGAAAUAAAAAAAUAGAAUUAAAAAAAGGAGAGAUUUUGAAGGAACUUACUCGUCCAAUCUCAUCAGCAUUGAUCAGAACAAACUCGUUCCGGUUGUGUGAACCCGCCACGAGUCUUCCUUUGGUAUCCAUGAAAGCCCUCAAGAAUCAGACCCAGAUAGAACCCCAAAUGCUCGAAAUCAAGAAGACCCACCUCACGAUAUCAAUCUCCCAACCCCUCUCAUGCGCAAGAAGCAGACUUUUUUUUUUUUCUCUCCGCCUCUCCCUUUCAGCUCACUUUCUCACAAAAUAACCCAACCCCACAUCACACAAUGAACAAAUUCACACCCUAGAUAGAGAGAGGGAGAUGCAAACAAUAAAAAAGAAGAGUGGGGAAAACAACAAAAUGAGAAAAAAGUAUCACUGUUUUUGUUUGAUUGUUCCUCAAAGAAAACCCAAUGUUUUUAAACGUAACAGAUGGGUGGGUCUCUCAGAACUCAGAAGUGGGUAGAGCCGAUCCGUGACACGGGGUUGCAGAUGAUGUUAGAGAGAGAGAGAGAGAAAGAAAGGAAUCUAUUGGGGCGUUGAAAUUUCAACGCGUAUUGCACAAGAGCGCCCUCCUAAUUCAUGGCUUUAUCAUCAACAUUGGGGUGGGGCUCAGAUUUUGAUGGCAGUGGUGCCUCUGCUGGUGGUGGGUGGUGGUGGCCCACCUGAGCUACGGUGGCACACGGUGGGCGACGACUAGGGCACUCUCGUAAUUCUAUCCCUUUUGCCUCCCCCUUUUUUCUUUUUUUCUUUUUCCUAAUUUAUUUACUCAUUUCCAUUAAAACAAAAUAAAUAAUAAAUAAAAUAAAAAAUAAAAAAUUAGGUGUUUCCUUUUCUUAGAUGUUGAUGUGAUGUAUCUCCCUCACGGCUUUUGUGUGUCCUGUUGUGCAAUAAAAUUAAAAAUAAAACCCCCAAAAAAAAAAAAAAAAAGUAGAGCUAGAGAGAGAAUGAGAGUGGAGUUUUUACUUUUUAGAGAGAGAAGGUGGAGGGUUUAGAGAGAGAGAGAGAGGGACAGGAUUUUACAAUGGGAGGAAAAAAAGGGGCAAGUGACAAACAGCGGGGAGGAGUUUAUGAGUUGUAAAGGCUCCACGUGCGGCACGUGUGGAGGAACCCGAGAUCUGGGCGAUUUAUCGCGAUAAAUUGAAGAGGAAAUAGACAAAGUGACGGUGAUUGAUUCUUUCUUUGCAUUUUUGGAACGCCUUCACUUUUACGUGCAUUAAAAGACAAGGAAAGUCUUGGGUGUGAGUGCUCACUGCUCACGCCCCUUCCCCUUGGACCACCACACCCCCACCCCAUCAUCCUACAAAUUUUAAUCAUCCCAUAAUGUAGCAGUGACGCACCAUCGUUGUUAAUUAUUUUACCUAUCUUACGUAACGUCAAAAGGAUAUUUGAUAAAAAUAAAAAAAAAAUUAAAAAAAAAAAGUCCAAGGGACAUGAAAGAUCAUGGUAAAGGUUUUUCCAUACAAGAAGGCCAAGUAACCGUUGGCAAUACCUUUUGAUUUUCAGCAACGGUGGGCUCUUCAGAGUAAAGCUUUUAUACUGACUUUAUACCUAACACAGCACAUUCCAGCCCUUUACUUGACCUUUUCAAACAGCUUACAUACAAAAUAUGCAAUUUUCUACACUGGGUUGUUCUACAAAGUCCGAAAAGGAUUGAGCAGCUGAUUUGCAUUCGGGUUGUUCUUUAGACCGAGACAGAUAGUAUUUUCCAAGGCAAAAAGGCUUUACUGUGAAGAGACGGUGACAAGUAUUUAAAUAGUAGGCAAGUGGGGUGGUUUUUGGAUGGCCUUUUUUCCAUUAAUAUUUUGUAUUGAAUGGAGGGUCUGUGUGUCUAUUCAUAAGUCGGUGAAUAAACCGUACCAUGGUGUGGUGAGUGGUCUCAUGCCUCAGUGACAUCAAUGCACUCUCUCAUGCCCCCUGCAGAGGUUAAUAACUGUACUGAAUCCGUCCAUAUCCACCAUCUGAUCUAUAUACUAUGGGUUUCCACUGAUUGGAUGGGAAUGGGGGGUGGGGGGUGGUCUAUUGUUGUUUUCAGUGGUCCUGACUCCACCUGAUGGUGUGGAGUGGGUACAUUGAUGGUAACAAACUAGGGAAGGGCAUUAUCAGUUUGAUUGAAACCAAUCACAUUUGUAGUCUGUGGUCUACCUGCCUUUUGGGGUAUGGACUCUCAUUGAAUCUGAUGAAGUAGUUGGAGACUUUAUGUCUAUUAUCUUAAUGGCACUAAUUAAUUGGCAUCUGGGGUUGGUAAAAUUGUAACUUUUUGGGGCAUGGCUGUAUGAUAGAAACCAUAGAAUCAUUGUGUGAUGGGGUGGUAACAUUUAUUUUAAUGUUUUUUGACAUGCAUUAAAGUAAAUUAGCAAAAAACAAUUCAUGGGUUUUUGAAUUCUCACCCGAUGAGAUAUUGGGCAUAUUCCCAUUUUUGUCCCAAUUAGAAUCCUCACAUUGGAUUACAGUUGUUUACAAAAAUCAGACUUAUUUUUGUUCUCAGAGGUAGAUUUUUCAACCACAUAUUUCUUCAAAUUGGGAAAAUCUAAAACAGAAUUAUAGCUCAUUUUUUUCCAAAAAUAAAAAAAUAAAAUAUCAUUAUUAUACAAAAACCAGUUUAGGAAUAAUCUAAGUUUUCAAAAAAACAAAUUAUUUUUGUAAACCUUUCCAAAUUAAUAACUAUUUUUUAAAAUAAUUAUAAAAAAUAGUUUUUGGAAACAAUUUUUUAAAACUGUUAUUAAAAUAUGUUUGAAAACUUAAAAUGUUUUUAACUUAUUUUUAAUCAUUUUAAAUAUUUAUAUAUUUAUUUUUUAAAAUACCUCUAAAAAAAAGGUAAAAAUAACUAAAGUGUAUUAUUUAAAAAUAUUGUAUUUUUUAUUUUUAAGAAUAAAAAAUAAAACAUAAUUUUUAAUUAUUAAACAAAUUUUUCAUAUUGUUAUUUUAAAGAAUAGAAAACUGUUUUAAAUAUCGAGGUUGUUGUGAUUGCAUGACUGCUUGGUUAAAUUGUGGCUGCUAAAUUUGCAAAUGAUCAUGAUUAAUAUCUUAAUCGUGUGUAGGAAGCUGUCGCCUGUACAAGAGGUGAGAGUGAGACAGUGAUGAAAAUACGAGUUUUAGUUUUGAUGAAUGACAAAUCCCUCCCAUUUUCAUCACUGCCCUUCACCUUUUUCUAUGCAAACACUUGGUCCAAUAGAAAAGGUGAAAUCAAUAAUAAAAGGGUUGAAAAAGCAAAAGCAGAAGGAGAUCAAUAAUUGCCAGCAAGGUGGAUUGGGCAUCAGAUCUCUUAUAUGCAACUCAACCUCUACUUCUCCAAUUGCCCCCCUCCUUUUCAAGGGCAUGGUCCUAUCACCUAUGUGGGUCACUCUCCCUUUACUUCCAUCAUGCCCAAAAUCCUUUCCCUCUAGGCUCUAUGAUGCCCAAUAACUUAAGUAGAAGUUCACCUUUAUUAUUUUUGGGCAUUAUUGGUACUAACUAUAUGUUGUAGUUACAAGCCAUUCUAUUUAUGGUAACAUUCUUUUUUAUCACCCUUCCAUCUUAAUCCAACUCAAAUUAACCUAUCAAUUAUUUUGUGGUUUCAUUUUAUCUUAUUUUUGAGAAAUCUAAAACUUAUUCUUACGUUUUAUGCAGAUUUUUAUAUCCGUUUAACUAAUCUUAUUUAAAUUAAUUUACGAUUUAAGUCAAAAUCCGAAACUAUCCCAAAUGAGACGUGAGUAUUAUUUUAUUAUUCUAUAUUACGGGAUAAUUAAUUUUGCGGGUUUUAAUAAAAUUUUAAAUUGUUUACAAAUGAAAUUUAGUUGAACGAAAGGCAUGUGAAGAGCAUCCUUGGAUGUUAAUAGUAUACAAAGAAGGAGUUGAUUGACUGCUAAUACCAAUGAUCUUAACUUGCCUUUUGCAUUGGGCGGUCGGCUGCCAUCAUUAACUAAUGAUCUAUGAUUGAGUAUAUUCCAAUACUGUACACGUGUCCUCCAUCCGCUGCACUUCUACAAAAGUGGACGGUUCUCAAGUACCCAGGAGCAAUUUUUUAAUUAGCACUCGCUUUACCAAAUCUGCCGCAUCUUUUCCCAAACACCAGGGUUUGGCUUCGUAAACAAGACUCAGCAACCAAAUUAAAAAUAAGUGAGUGAAACCCUGAAGUACGACGACACGUGGGAUCACAGCUGGAGUAGCAAUCAUGCCUUCCACUGGGUAGUGUGAUAUGCCACGUUGGCAAAAAGUGGGUGUCCCAGAAAACGUGUAAUGAUGGUGGAUUAUAUUGGAAAAGCAACUUUUCCACGUGGCAUGGCACGCCACGUCGAUAGCGUAGAGGGCUUUAUUACAACUGGAAGACAUCUGGCACGCGUUUUUGUUGUAAAUUGUCUGGCAGAAGUGGGCCACGUGGUGCCAGAGUAGGUCCACAGACAGCUCAGCGACUGGGAUUGUCGGUCGCUUUCGCUAGCUGUAAAUCAUCAUAAGCGGAGAAGCGUCCGUAUGCGGAUGACGUCAUUAUUAGAAACGAUUUUAUAGAAAUGAAAGUAAUUUUUGUUGGGUGGUGGGUGAGAUUUUUGAAUGAAAGUUCGAGAAAGUAGGGAGGGAGAGAGAAAGGAAAAAAAAAGUUUAAAAAAAGGCGGGACAGCGUGGCGGGCAUUUUGUGGAGGAGGUGGUGUUUGGGGAGUAAUAGAAUAUGGGGCUGUUUGGCUAAUAGGAUAGGAGUUCGGCUACGUGUAUGGAUCUGAUUGGCUAAUCCUGACAGAGAAAAUUUUGCCUAGUGAGAGAUGAUCUCGGGAAAGCAAAUAUAUUUGUUCGAGAAAUAUUAAAUUUUUAAUUCAUUUGCAAUAAAUUCAAUAGCAUAUGAUAUGAAAUAUUUACAUUCCAUAAACAAAUUUUCCCUUAUUUUGAUUUAGAUUUUUUUUUUAAGGUAUGGUAUCGGUAUAUUAAUACUAGAUUUUCUCAUAUAGAAAUAGAAUAAUAUGAAUAACUAUGAUAUCCCUCAUAGUUUCAACGGGAAAGUUCUCAAAAUUGUUUUUUAAAACUGUGAUAAUUUUGGAUUAAAAGUAAAUAAUAUCUAUACGAUUGGAUGUGAGUUACGAUAUUAUAUUUUUAUUUUUUGAUACGUGGAUUAUACACACGUUUUAAAAUAGCAAAGCCAUAUAGUCGGUGUAUUAUUUAAUAUUUGGAUAUUUUAUAAUUGUUAAUAAUUUUAUAGUUUUCACAUACGUGUUCCCAAUUUUAAAUAUUAAAACUCGUUUUAGGAAAAAAAAAUUUAAUUUCUAUAUCACAAAUAAUAAAAAUUAAUUUAAUUUACCAUGUUUGAGUUUUUACAUAAGCCCGUCUAAUUCCAUUAAUUCAUUUGUUUGAAAUUUUAUUAAAUACAUUUUAUGUCAUUAUUUUCUUUAGUUAGUUUUAUCGCUCAAGAUACAUGAGUUAUUUUAUAAAAUUUUAACGGAUGAGGAUUAAAUGUAUUUAACAAAAUCUUGAAAAUAAAUGAAUGAAAUUAAUCAUAAAUAAUAAUGCCUCCCUUUUCCAUACAUUUUUUUAGAAAAUCACUUAAUUAAAAAAAUACAUCUAUAUUAAUUAUCAAAUAAUCUUUAAUGUAAAAGUGAAUUUAGGUGAGAUUACUCAAUAUAAAUGUUUAUAGUAUGAUAUACAUAUUUGAACUCAAAUCCUAUAAAUUUUAAGUUUUUCGAAAAAUUGAUAAUUCAAUAUGAUAUCAGAGUUUUGUAUGAUAUGAGAUUGUAAACUCAAGCCCCUUCUCCACAAUUUGUAUGUUCGCUUCCCAGUCUAUUCCUCCUCUCCCCCCUACCUAAUUUGCAAUUCCGUGGUAUAACUCAACUCAGAGAUAAUGGAGAAAAUCUAUCACUACUGUGGCUAUUCAUAUUCAUCAGUCCAAUAUAACUCCAAAAGAGGUCAUUUUCAAUGUCUAUAUAAUACCAUGUUGCAUGUAGAUAUGAAGAUGAAUUGGUAACUGCUAGAAUCCAAUGUGUUGCAAAUUGCACUUCAAUUAUUGUUUCUGGAUUUGCUAAUUGCAAAGCUGUCUUCAUUUAUUUGAUGCUUAUCAUUAUUUUUUAACCUAUUGGUAAAAUAUAGGUGGCAAAUUUGUUAGGACGGUGGAAUUUGUACAUUAUGAUUUGAUUAUUAAUGUAAAAUAAGAUUUUUGGGUUGUCUUCUACUAUGGUCAAAAAUCUUGAUUAGUUAUUUUGCAUAUCAAUUUUUUCAACUUAAGUCGUAAAUGAAAUUAUGAAUAUGAAAACCAUUUUUUUUUUUACAGCAAAAGAACUUUGACCUUCAUUUUAACGAAGAAAAAAAAAACUAAGAGAAAUGUUUUUCUAUUGUCUUAUGGAGAGAGAUAAAAAAAAUAAGAAAAAACAUGGUUUUUUUUUUUUUUUUGGUCUUUAGAGAGAUUUUUUCACAGAAAAAGAAAAAGAAAAACUUUUCUUUUAAUAGUAUCAUGCUCUUUGAAAGUUUUAAACUUCAAAACACAGCUCCCUCGUUUUUUCAUUUUCUUAUUUAUUGGGUUAAAUCAGGUCAACCCAUUUGGGUGCCUAAUCCUAACUCCAACCGUUAUCAUAAAUAAGUGUUUCAAUUAUUCAUUUAUCAUUAAUUUACUUUUCUAACGAAUGAUAAAACUUCUUUAAACUUUCAAUAACCUGACUAAAAUGGCAUCGGACAACUUACAUUUAAUCUAUAUCAUGGAACGGUUUCGUACAAAAAUUACUUGGCAUUAAUGCUUAAUCACAUUGGAGGGCUAACCUAUUUUGUUUGAUACAUUGGACACACUUCAAUUAUUUAUACAGGCAAAUAAAACAAAAUUGUUCAUAAUUUUAUUCCUACUUGCAAAAAUGAGACAACCAAGUAGCCCUUAAAAUACUAACAAGCAUAAUUUGUAGAUUCUUAAGAAUGUAGGAGGCAUACUGAAUAUUGAAUACAUCUUUCAUAUUUUCAAUCAAUUGACUACCUUGUCUUAUAUCCAUAUCUCACAUUCAUAGGGUGGAUUAGAUUUAGUCCACUGAAAAUGAUGAUCACAAAAGUUUAUUAAAACAAAUGUGAGAUUGUGAUGUGAUUGAUACAAUUAUUUUUAUUAAAAAAAAGGGUCAAUUGUAUGAUUCAAAACAUCCAUACAUAUAUUUAAUUAAUUAAUUAUUAUUAUUUAUAAUUCAUGACCUCGAUUUUCCACUAAAGGAGUGGGUGGAAUUCUUGACAACCACUAAAAUAUGUGGGCAAGUUGUACUUUUUAUAUUUAUUUAUUAUUGUUAUUCAUUUUGUCAAUCCUUGAAUUGAUUAAGUCUAUGUUAUGGGAAAGUGCCAAUUUCUCUCUCCACGUGCAUAGCAUAUGACUAAUUUAUUAAAUUAGUGAAGCUUGAGAUCAACCUGCAGCUGCAUAAGGUAGGGAGAUUACAACUUUUGGUUCGAGGAAAUCAAGGAAACCUUUGAAGGAUUGAUAGAAAAGGGUUUGGUAUUAAUCAUUUGUGUAGCUUCUAUGCUUGAUGCUACUACUCCUAUUCAACCAUUAAUAUAUGGUUUUAAUUUUUUGUACUUAAAAUAGUAUUAAUUUGAGAAUGAAAGCUACUUUAUUGGUAUAAUUUGUAAGGAUUUGCGAUUAAUUUAAACAUAGCCGCUCGUAACCCACCAUAGAACCCUUUUUUAUUUUUUUUUCAAAUUCUUUAUUUGUGAAACUAUUUCAUUGAAAACAAGUUUUAUAAAAUUCAAUAUGGUUUUUGGGAUUUCUCAUCUGAUCGCUCCCGUUAAGCCAAGUUUGAGUAGGUGAUUAUGUUAUUAGAAUUCUUAGGUUUAGGACCGACAAGAGAUCCUCGUGAGUCAAGCUAAAAGCGGUAAGAUGUUAUUUAAAUUGACUUUUGAGAAUUAAAAAUUAUUUUUUAAAUUUAAUAAGAAUUUUUAUGUUUAUUUUGUUAUUUUUAUUUAAAACACUUAGUAGAAACUUAAUUUUAGGUUAUAAAAAAAGCCCUUCUAUAUUUGAUAAAAUCUUUAUAAUACCAAUACCAAAAUUUCAAAAUUAUCUUUUACCUUGUGAUGAAAGCCCAAAAAAAAAAAAGGAGUAAUGCCAUGUGAGGCAUAAGAGGCCUUAGCCCACACCCCACCAUUUACAAAGACAACAAAACCUUGGACCUGGGCCUCGGAGCACAGGCCCAAUGGGAGAAGAAUGGGUGGUCCUCUAUGAAUUUGUACGUUACAAUACUUCAUAUAUGGACUUGAAUGAUGUUCUUAAUUGCUGGAUUUUUUUAAAGAUAAAUGGGAUGGGAUAGUCUCAACAUCAUCAACUUCAAAUCAAUAUUUGUUGAUUCAUUUUCCUUUUUCAGCCUCUUGAAUCCCCAUGCACGUAACGGAUGUUGCUCUCACGAUUUCUCACUAUAUAUACAAACCACAGCAUACAUGCUUCCGCACUCGAUCGACAUGGCUCUGAUGCUGAAGCUCUUUCUUUUCACUCUUCUCUCUGCAUGGAGCCUGGGAUCCAUGGCUUCCGCACGGUACCUGGACAAGAGCUUCAGCCUUGCUGCUCGAUUACAUGCGGACGACGACUCAUCAUCCAAGUGCUGGGAGUCUUUGCUUGAGCUUCAGGCAUGCACUGGAGAGGUUGUCCUGUUCUUCCUCAAUGGUGAGACUCACCUUGGGGCCGGCUGUUGCCAAGCCAUUCAGACCAUUGAGCACCAAUGCUGGCCUGCCAUGCUUACUUCCAUUGGUUUCACUGCCGAGGAGGGCGACAUCCUCCAAGGUUACUGUGAUGCAACCACAUCCUCUUCGGCUCCCCCACCACCACCACCACCACCAUCCAUGGAGCCUAAUGACGUGGUUACCUUGGGUGGCUUUUUCCUCGAUCCUUAGUAGAACGCGUUCUUACUAGCAGUUAUGUCUUUUACAUAUAUCUGAUCCGCUAGUCUAAAUAUAUACAGAAAAGGGUGUUUGGAAUUAAUGAAUGAUUUCCUAUAUAUUGCCCCAUAUUUGUUGCAAUUAAAUUCCAUUUCUUGCUUGAAAAAAAGGUAUAAUAAUUUCCCAUCAUUGAUAGCACUAGUAGUUGUCUUUUAUGGGCUGGACGAGACACACAGAUCGACCCACAAUUCUGCUUACCCAGCCCAUGCUCAGUGGUUUGGACUAACAUAAUUGGAGGCCCAAAAGGGAUAUCAAUAAUAAGAUAAUGUUUGGAAGAUGAGUCUAUUUUUGUAUCUAGAUAAGACCAACUCAUCCCCCUCUAAUUAAUGGAGAGGUAACGGCGUGAAGGGCAAGAUUCUCAAGGACUCAAAAGCCUUUUUGCUUUGAUUUUCCAUCAAGGCAUCAGUGCCAUACACAUAAGUCCAUAAGGUAAUGAAUAAGGAGCGUCAAAUCAGGGUGGGAUGCGAAUAUGCGGAUUGAAAGCCAAGUAUUGAUUUUAGUGGUAUGAGGUGGGUCGUGUAUGGAUGGUGACAUCUAACUAUAAGUCUCUCAAAAGACUUCAAACUUCCCCCCAUCUCCGCCUUCUUUCAUGCUCUUUCCACUCUUCUUUUAACGUAGUAAUUUUUUUUCCCUUUGGGUAAUUAGGAUCUAAGCAUGGAAGAAGAGAAUAUUCGGAUGAGUGUUUCAAGAGUUCUUGGCUUUCUACACAUUGUUACUUCAUUUUCAAGCUGAGGAAUCAAUUGGUCAUUUGUUAUGUGCUUGUUUGUGAUCAUUGGGAAGCAGAUUUAGGGUUUUGAAAGGUCAAAUGCUAAUCAACAGAAGAAGAAAUUUACACCCCAUGCCAACAUAAAGAGAUAAUUGUGGUUAGGAUAGAUUUCAUAUAAUUAACUUCAACUAACUUCUCAUGACCUGCCAUUCCUAGUCAUCAUUCAGUUAGUUAUUUCCUUGCUAUGCCCAUGAUCGAUGCAUCGACCGUUUGCCACUUGUUUUCAUCCAAAAACCUGUCAUUUUCUCUCCGAUCUCGAUCCACUAGAAUGGAUCAAACUGGAUUCUUUCUUCCUCUGGAAUAAUGUAAAGCUAGACUAAAAUUUUAUACAUUCCUCUAUUGGUUGAUGGUUUAUUAAUGGUGAGAUAUCUUGUACAAAUUGAAUCAUCAAGGUCAUUGGAGUGGUGUCCUUGUUGACUAAUUAAUGGGUCCAUGUUUCAUGAUCAUAAGGCCAUCUUGCAUGAUUCAAAUAUACCCUAUUGAAAUGGUAUACAUACACAUGCACAUUGUUCAAAAACGCCCUAGAAAAAGGAAAGGAGGAUAAAAAGAAAUACAAGUCGUCCACUAGUGCCAUAUGUGGAAAAGUAGUGAGCAUACAGAUCUCAACUCCCCUAGAGAAAAUUGUCCUCGUAUGGAACCUCAACAAUGAAUUCUAGAGAAAGCUGUCAAGUGAUCACAGUCCAGAUGAAUCUUGAUUUAGAAGUUAGAAAAAUGAAGGGUUGUUAGGUUAGGGUAGUUAGUCAAUGGCACAAAGAUGUUAUCUUAAAAGUUGUGGAGGAGAGGAGAGGAGAGGAGAGAGUCAGAAAAAAGAAUGAACCUAUCAGAAGAAAGUAAGAAACAUCAAACUAUAAUCUUAUUAACAUGGAACGAUAAUCAUGAUAAAGCCACACAACAAGGGUUUCACAAGGACACACAGAGAGACCCAGGAAACAAGACACAAACUCAUCCAACAUAGCUCAGACAUAGAAAUUAUUUAGCAUAGUUGCUCACUGGCAAUUGUAAAUCUAAUUACACAACAAGCACACAUGCAUGCGUCUAGAAAAGAUGGUGAUGCUUCUUUCCAUGAGCCUCUUCAUCUUCUUCCUUGGCUUCUUUCUUCUCGUGAUGCUCGUGGAACGCGAACCCGCCAGCUCCCACUGCAGCAGCCGCGGCAAUCUCUUCUUCUAUCUUGUGCUUGUGGGCAUGCUCAGGGUCUUUCUCCGACUUGUGCUUCUCAUGCUAUAAUUCAAGCAUCAUCAAGACGAUAAGAAAUAGUUCCUUUGUAUAAAAUUAAUUAAAACAAAAAUAUUUUCAAACUUCAUGACACACGGGGCAUUACCAAGGCGUAAGCGCCAGCAGCAGCGACGCCGAGCUCGCCGAGGUGCUCGAGAUGCUUGUGGUGCUUCUCCUCCUUCCUGUAGUCAGGGCCUGGGUCAUCUGCUAACACUUCGGUGGUUUCGGCAGCGUAGCCGCUGACACCAUCGGUAGCAUAGCUGGUGUCGGAGUAGGUGGUGUCGGAGUAGGGAACGGCGUCGUCAACAGGCUUGUCCUUGUGGUGGAAGAGGUGGUGGUGAUGCUUCUCCUCCGACAUGGUGGUGGUGAUCAAAUUAGCUGCAGAAACGAGAGAGGAAGAUGGUUUGUGAACUGUGAAGGUGUGAUGUGGGAGAGUGCAGUGGUGGGUGGUGGGGUAUUUAUAAAUGCUGGUUGCGAAGGUGUCCAAAGAUCGUGGGAGAGAUGAAUGGGUAUUGGGAAUGGCCCGAAUGGGUGGGGCCUCACCAUUCACCAUUCUUAUCUACAUUUUUCAAAUCUCGAUGGCUCCUACUCUGUCGAUACUUUGUUUUUGUGUCGGCAAUUUCAUUGGAUCUUUAACCACGACAUUUUUUAACCACAUUUUUAGAUUUCCGUGAUAUUAUCAUAAUUGUUUUUGUUAGUCAUUCGUUGGAUUUAUUUCAAAAGUAGGAAAAUGUUUGAAAAAUAUACAUCAUCAUUUGCGUCUUUGAUCCACUCUCAAUAGGAAAUAAAUAAAUAAGAAAAGAAAACCACAAAGUCUCAGGUAGCAAAGAGUCCAUAUCAAAGUAUCAAACCUUUUUAUCGAUGAAUAUUUUUAGGAAGAACAAUCUAUUAUUUGUAAAAUAAUUUUUAUAUAUUGAGUGAUAACCCUUCAAUUCGAUAUCGUUAGAUCAUUAAGGUCGGCUUUUGUCCCUAUUCGACGGGUGGAUCUUGUAGUCAAACUCCCUUUUACCUUUGCACUCAAGGUCCAUCUUUGUUUUGCUUGAGAAAACCUUUGUUAAUUUCCAUUACCUUUUGAGAGACUUACGCUCUAUAAAAAUUAUUUAUCUAUUCCUUGACGAGGAAAUUCAAAUUCUUUUACUUAAAUUUAUUUUAUAAAACAUUAAAAAAGGUUAAAUAUAAUAAAAUUAUUAAAAAUUUGAAUUUAAGAAAUCAUUUAUUUUUUAAAUUUUGACAUGAACAUAUAUGGGUAAAAAACAAAAAGAGACAAAAACAAAAUAUGUUUUUUUGUGCAGUAAUCAAUUAAAAAAUCACUUUCAAUUUAAUAAAAGAUGUAAUUUUUAAUAUUAAAGCUUAGAGAAAAAAGAAUUGACUUGAUUGGAAUGAAUUACAAAAAUCACACCCCAAUGAAGAGGAACCCCAUACAGCACCUCCUUUCCUUUUCAUAAAGCAAAGACCUUUCAUCAGUAGGCAUGUGAAGGAGGGAAAUGAACUUGGCAGAUUCCACCUUAAAGUGCUAAAACAUGGCACUUGCCCCUCUUUCUAAUCAAACUUAACCCCACCUACAUUAUCUACAUUAUUUAUUGUACAUUAUCUUUCUCCAACUAAUACUAGUAUUUCACAUCUCACAAUUUUUUUAUUCUAUUGGAUGUGAGUCUAUUAUUGCAGUUAGGUCAGCUAAUCAGGAUCCCAUGGAUAAGGUGCCACAUAUUAAUAUUUUAGCCUUUUAGGUGUUGCUAUUCAUCCUCCUUUAUGACUUGGGCUCCAUUUCUUUGCUUGAACCUCACUUUUAGGGUAAUUUCUUUUCUUGGACUAUUAGUUUAUUUGUUGCACAUAAAAAGGCCACUUUAAUGGCCGUCAAACUUUGAUAAAAUAUGUCUUAUUUUGUACUUUAAGGUGGUGUUUAUUUUUUAAUUGAAUAAAAAAAAAAUAAAAAUAUUUGAUUUUUUCUAUUUAAUUAAAAGUAAUUUGUUGAGAUCGUUCAAUGUAACUAAAAUGAACUUGUUAUCAAUAAAUUUACUUUAGUUAUGUUAGACAAUAUUAAUAGGUUACUUUUAAUUGAAUAGAAAUAAAAGUCAUUUUAAUUAUAUUGGACAAUAUUAACAAGUUAUUUUUAGUUGAAUAGAAAAAACUAAAUAUUUUAAUUUUUUUUAUUCAGUCAAAAAACAAACAUCACCUAUAAAAAUUGAUAACUUUUAUAUAUUUGUACUAUGGUAGAUGGGCUUGGCCCACUUGGGCGUAGGGUAGAUAUUUGAAUUUUGAACAGAAAAAAAAAAAAGGGAAAAAAGGAAAAAAGGAAAGGGGAAAGAGAAGGAGAAGAUAAAUCAAUAAAUCAUAAAAGCAGGAAGGAGAGGUGGAAAAUGGUCCUCUGGUCUGGACCAGGAGAAAGUGGCCGGUGAUGGGGCCCAUUGGGUCUGUGUCGGCAAGGCCCCAUUUAUUUCGGCAUCAAUAUACCUGCCUGAUUGGUUCCAUGCCUGCCAUAUGUUUACGCUUUUGUCAAUUAUUAUAAAAAACAACUUCUUUGUCAAUAAACUCUUUAAUUUUUACUUCUCUAUCGUCUUUAAUGGGUGUGAAAAAAGUCAUACAUGCCUAUUGUAUUCUUCUCCUUUUUAGUAGGUAAAAACCUACAGGCUAUCCCUAAACUGAAUUUUAUAAUAUUUCAGAAAAUAUGAAAUUUAUUUUUAAUUAAUAAAAAUUUGGAUUAAAUAUCAAUCAUAAUUUCAUAACUGAUAUGGCCGGUGAUAAAGAACGAGUGAGUCACGCUAGGGCCACGGAUGUAUCACAUUCAUGGUGUGCCUGGGCUUAGUGGUUGAUGUGAAAUAGAUAUAGGUGUAGCGCAUAGUGUAAACGGGCCCAGGGAAAUUCAAAAUCGCGUUGCCACGUUCCAUAGAAAGGACAAGAAAUUAGAAGCUGGGAGUGGUCCACGUCUUCCAGGUAACCCCCACGCUGCUAACGAUUAUUCAAUGCCUUCCUACUCCAAAUCAAACCUAAUGUUCAACAUCGACAUGUCUCAUAUGACACAUCCUUAUAGAUGAAGUUGGUGAACUGUGGAGAAGAGAGAGUAAGGGCGUGUGAGCGGAGAUAAUUCACAAUUGAUUGGCAGGUUUCGGAUAUUUUCUUCGGCUUUGUCCUGGGUUUUUGGAAAGGUUUGAUUGGCCCGACCCAAUCCUACAACCCAUACUAAACCACACAAUCGAAUCCUACGAGAGACCAAACCCAACCUUAAAUCAAGUUCCUCAUUAUGGGCUUCAUAGCCCAACUUAGCACUCCAGCCCAUCCUAACAUUGGGAAAAAUAAAUUAAUGAAAAUUAAGACUAGAUAUGAAUAAUUUCUUUUAUUAUCUUAAACUGCUGAAAGGGAUUAGUUAUCCUACACAGCUUGAACAGAAAAAGAGCCCUCUAAAACUCACCUACUUGAGAUUUAAGGCAUAAAAAAGUCCUUACCUUAAUAAUUGUAAGAGAUCGUUGGAUCAAAUGAUUCAAAUCUGGGACUUGCUCACACAAUCAAUCCAUUUCAUGAGACGAAUUACCAGUGAGGCUCUCUUCACCAUCUACAAGAUUUCGGAUGUAGCGAGUCAAGUAAGAACUUGGACCAUAGCAAAUGCUUGAUAAAAACCCUCCAUACAGUAAGCAAUGGAUGCCAAGCUUAAACAGAUUUUUCCUCUCUUGGUUGGUGUCUCUCUGUGCUUCAUACCCACCAGUACUUUCUUCAUCCCAACUCGAAGAAUCCAUGGCAGUGCAGCCUGAAUGAGCCUGAAAACCCCAGAUCUUGGAAGUUUCCAUCUUUUGCAGCCAGUUGGAAUCAAUGGGAUCUUUAAAUUUUUUACAAAGAUGGUGUCCCUGGAUCAGAAAACUCCAAACUUUUGGUGUAAUACUUGAGACACAGUUAAGGAACUGCUUAGAUAUGUUCUCCAAUCCUCCAUUAUGAGCUUGACUCCCAAAAAAAUUGGCCUCGAAUUCAUCUGCUAGUGAGCACUCAUUGCAUUUAUGACUCUGAAGAGACGAAAGAUUUAGAACAGGCAACCUCCCUUUCACAAAGGAAUUCAAUAGUGAGCUUCUAGCAAGACUUAAAAGGGACUCCCCAGCAUUCAUCCAGAAGUUUGCAAUUGAUGCGAUCAAAGAAGAGUCAGAGAGGAAAAUACGGUGGGUUGCACCUGCAAGCAACAAGGAGUAUGCUGCACUGGUCUUGAUCAAGCUCAAGGCUUCCAGCUCAUCUCCGUCCAUUUCAGAAUGCAGAUCCAGUAAUUGACUAGCACGGACUCUGUAUGCAGAAGCCAGUGUUGUGUAGGCGGCCAAAGAGAGAUGGUGCAGGGGGUGCAACUUGAAAUUUGCUUGUGAUUUUCCCUCAAUUGGUUCUAACUGCUCAUCUGGAAGACCUUGAGCAAUAACAUUCUCAAGCUUCUCACAGCAAGCUUCAGGGUUGCCAACUGACAAAUAGUCAGCUAUAGCAUCAUCUACAUAAUCAGUCAACUUUCUGAUUUCCUCCUCUCUACACAUGUUAUCAUCUAUGUAAUUGAGACUAUGAGCCAAAGUUUCCUAUAGGGAAGAACAGAGAAAUGUCAAUCCUUGUUUUAUGACAGUACUAGAAUUCAGGCACUUCAAUUGCAGAUUAAAAAAUGCUUGUGAAGUUCAGACUUCAGAGUUGAUACAGAAAUAUUGUGAGUACUUCACCGUACAAAGUGGCCCCCGAAAAAUAACCAGAGUGGACAAGGGAAAGGAUAAAACAGGAUGAGAAAAGCUACUAUGAAUUACUCAAUAGCUUUUCCUAGUUCCAAUUGAUAUGGAGAAAAAGACUCCAACUGUCUGUCAGCCUUUUGAGAAGGAAAAAGCAGAUGUAACUAAGGGAGACAACUUGAAGAAACAAAAGAUAUGAAAGGCAAAGAAGAAAAUAAAUAGCACACAUACAGAUUCUGGAUGCAGCUCUAAUUGCAAAUGACGCAGCUGACUCAAGGGAGAGAAGCUCUAGGGCUGGUUUAGUUUGCAAGUUGGACAUAUGUACUUUGGUGUGCCCCUUUUGGCAUUUUAAUACAAUUUGCACUUACCUAUCAAAAAAAAAAAAAAGUUUGCAAUUUGGACAUAGAAAAGGCUUAUGACCAUGUUGAUUGGAAUUUUCUCCUCCCAGUAACGAAAAAGAUGGAGUUUGGUCUAAAAUCGAGAAAGUGGAUUCAUUUUUCCAUUGUAAGGAUGUCAAUCUUAGUCAAUGUUUCUCCUUCAGAUUUCUUUCAGACAUCUAGAGGAUUGUGGCAGGGUGAUCCUCUCUCACCCUAUCUCUUCAUGAUUGUCAUGGAAGCUCUACAUUGUAUACUCUCAAGGGCUGACUAGGGAGUGUUCAUUCAUGGCUUCAAGGUCAGGGGCAGAAGGGGUGAAGGUUUCCAAGUAUUCCAUCUCCUGUUUAAGGAUGAUAGAAAAAUUUGGAUCAACUAAGAUACUGGAGGUGGAUUGUAAUAGGCUUCAAGGUUGUGUUAGGUCUGAAAAUAAACCUGUAAAAAAGUAACUCAUUCUAAUGGGGAAAGUGGAGGAUGUGGUGAGAUCAUCAUCUUUGCUUGGGUGUAAGAUUGGAAGGCUUCCCACUUCUUAUCAUGGUUUGCCCUUUGGAGUGCUUCAUAAGUAUUGCGUUGUAUGGGAUGCUGUCAAGGAAAUGUUUGGUAAAAGAUUGGCUUCUUGGAAGGUGUGGUAUUUGUCAAAAAGAGGAAGAUUAGUUCUUUCAAAGAGCACUUUCUCAAGCUUAUCAAUCUAUUUUAUGGCCUUUUUUUCUAUUUCCAGGAAAGUGAGGAUCAAAUCAUAAAGGAUUCAGAGAGACUUUUUGUAAGGAAAUCUUUGGUAAACCAAUAAGAUGCAUUNNNNNNNNNNNNNNNNNNNNNNNNNNNNNNNNNNNNNNNNNNNNNNNNNNNNNNNNNNNNNNNNNNNNNNNNNNNNNNNNNNNNNNNNNNNNNNNNNNNNAGGAAGAACAUCCAAAGAAAGUGCAGGGAACUGGUCAAGGGGUGGAACAUUUGUGAGGUGAGGGAGACUUCUGGUAUAAGCCUAUGGAAAGACUUAAGAAAAGGUUGGGAGGAAUUCAACCACAGGAUAGCUAUCCAAAUUAAAAAUGGUAGCCAGACAAAAUUUUAGAGGGAUGGGUGGGUGGGUGGGGGGGAACUGUUUGAAAGAAGCAUUUCCUCUAUUGUUUAGUCUAGCUUCUCAAAAGAAUGCCAUUGUUGCAAACAUGUGGGAUGGGAGAGGUAGUGGAGGCCAGUGGGUGCAUUUCAAAAGGCCAUUCCAAGAUUGGGAAAUGGAGGGGGUGUCCUAAUUUUUAGAACUUAUUUAUUCAUACAGCAAAAGUGCAAGAAGAAGGGAAAGAUAUCUUAGUUUGGAAGGAGGAUAGGAAGAGAAUCUUCAGUACUAAGUUGUACUACAGUUCAUUGUGUGCCGAAUUUAGAGUGGACUUCCCAACCAAAGAAAUUUGGGGGCUCCCAAGCUCUUACGAGAUCAUGUUUUCUCACUUGGGAAACAGUAUGGGAGAAGAUCUCAACCAUAGAUUUGUUAAUGAAGAGGGAUGGACAAUGUUAAUAGAUAUAGUCUUUGCAAAGAGAGUGAUGAGUCUGCUGAUCAAAUUUUCAUUCACUGUGCAAUGACAAAGGUAUUAUAGAUGUUUGUUUUAUCAAUUUUUAGUUAGAAAUAAGUUUCUAGCUACAGUGAGGAAUAUGCUUCUCAAGUGGAAGUUUUUAAGGUAUUGGACAAGAAGAGUCACCAUCUUUGACAAAUGACACCCCUCUGCUUAUUCUGGUGUAUAUGGAAAGAGGGAAACCAUAAAAUCUUUAAUGGGGAAGAGCUUGCAUAUUAGAGAUUAAAAGAGAGCUUUAUUAAAUCCCUCUUUGAUUGGUCCAAAGUUCUGUUAGAAAUGGGCAAUUCUGAAUGAUGGCUUUCGUAAAUGGUCUUAGUUGUGGAUAGUUUGGUUUUGAGUUGAGGUUGUUUUUUUAUUCGUUGUUUUGUUUUUUUUGUGUUUACUCCCAGUAUAUGUAAGGUAUGCCCCCUUUCAUUGGCAUGCUCUUUUAAUAUAUUAUCCUUUUGCUUAUCAAAAGAAAAAAAGAAAAAAGAAAAAAGAAAAAUAAAGAGAACACAUAAAUCAGGGGAAGGAUGAAGGAAUUAAACCAAUAGGAAUGAGAAACAGUUGGGUAUAUUUUUUCGACAGAUACUUCAUGCAGCAGGGGCAAGAUGGGGGAAAACCUUACCACUCCUGGUGCCAUAAAUGUGGCAUAUAUGCAUCGUGUUCUAACUCCACACCUAGUACUAUAAUUUUCACAGAAGACGAUCACCCUUCCCCACCCAGCAAAUCUAAAAUCAAGUUGCAAAAUGAAUCUUCUAGACUGCUUUCGGAUUUCUCCUAAACAUCAAAAUAAACAAAUGAUAGGCAUACUGUUCCAUAGAAGUCUUACUUGCAAAACAAGAUCCACAUAAGUAGGGGGCGAUGCAUUACAACGGUUACAGCAACAGGAAAACCAAUACUUCACCCAUAACUCUGCAUGUCUAAUUUCCUGGAAAAUCAAAUCAGUGCAAAUAAAAGCGUAUAACGUGAACUCAAAAAACUAAAAAAAAAACAGAGUAUAGAAGGAUGAGUUGGAACACAUUUUAGCACAAUGCCACUGAGUUCACUUACACUAUGGUGAUUAUGCAAGUAAUAUAAAAUCAUGCAACUUCUCAUUAGGUCGACUCCUUGUCAUUUUUCGCAAUCACUUCAAACAUAAGGCACAAUGCAAUAAUCUAAAAGCUUAAAAGUAAUAGCAGAUAUGCCAAAUUUACAAGCACAUUUUGCACAUUCAAUCUCUUAACAGUGGAACUGUAGAUACUGAAAAUGAAGAUUACCUUAGGCUGCAACAGGUCUAUGUAUGCAACCCACACCUCCUCACCCUUUUUAAUUGCCUUGAUGCUCCGAACGAUGAUUCUUGGCCCGUGUAUGUUGCAUCCUUUACUAGAGAAAAUCAAUUACAAGUAGAUAAUCAAAAUAUCCAAUAAAUUCACAACUGAUUUUUUUGAGAAACCAAAUUGAAAAAAACAUAAAAUAAUUAAAAUAAAAAAGAUUCAAUCACCUUCUAUUGAUUCACUUUUGCUACGAACAGCAUUCUGUAUCUGAAAAACAUUUCGGUUUCAUAAUUUUCAAAUCCUUUGAAUAUGGUUAAAAUUAAAGAAACAAUUCAGAAUUUAGGAAUAGUGAUCUAUUUUUCUUUACUUCAAUUUCAUCAUUGCCUCCAGGGAUAAUCUGGAGCCUCGACUCGCCAGAAAACUGGGGCGUCUCAGGUGAACGGAGCAAGAAACGGUAACAAGCAUUGGGAGAACAGCUGUGAUUGAUCCAAGAGAAGCACCAAUCGUAGACGGCUAUCCCUAGGGCGGACCCUCCAUUAACCUGCACUUCAACUGCAUUGGUGAGGACCAGGCAGAGCAGGGCCUCCUCCAGUUUGGAGUCCCCGGAGAAUUCCGUACCAUCUCGCAUACAUCGGGCAACGGCCAUGGCCUUGCCGCCGUCUCGGAUUCUCGUCAGAGUCUCAUCACUUUCCGAGUUGUGGGAGGGUGAGAUGAGGUGGUGGAGGUUGGUGAGUAGGCCGCAGAUUCGAUGGAGCGGUUGGGUAUGGAGGGGAGGGAGGUGGAGGAUGUGGAGGAGGCGGAGGGCAGCACGGAGGUCGGAGGAGUGAGCGGUGGAGGGGUGGGAAUGGCGGAGGAGGAGGAAGAGGUGGUGCUCGGCGCUGGAGAAGUGGAGGGGGGAGUCGGAGGCGGAGCAUGGUGGAGAGCAGUAGCAGAGAAAGGAGGAACUAGGGUUGGUAUUGACGAGAACAGUGGGCGGUAGAGGUGAGAAACAGGCGGAGCAGUGAGAGCGAAGGUGAGAGUCGUGGAGAGAGGAGGCUAGGGGUGGGAGUGGAUGGGUCAGGUCUAACCCCAUUUCUGUGUCCUCUCUCAUUCUCAUCUCCAUUCUUUACCAUACGGAUUGCAGGCAUUCUCAAUUCUAGUUCUUAAUACUGCUGCUCCCUUCUCCCCCUUCCUAAACCAUCCAUUUAGGAAAGCAGAAAUAUAACCACAGUUUAUUUACUUAUUUAUGAUGUUUCUAAUACACAACACCUGCAAAAAUUAAUGACAAAAUCUGUCCCAAUGGAAGGUAGACAAGAGCACAGACAUCUGAGCACAUAUUUACCAGCCUUAUCAUAUCAACAAACAAUAGUUGAAAUGCCAUUCUUCCUGAGAGUUUGGCCCCUUGAUCAAGACUGCCAUGAAGCAAACCCAUAAUUCAUUAGAGGAGGAUACCAUGUUUACUCUCAUUGGCAGUGGGCGGACCUGGGAAUGAGUCAAGUGACAGAACUCUGAAAACUUGCCUUGAGGAAAUCCCUCAACAAAUCCAAACAUUACUGGGUUGCCUUCAUAAUAAUUAUAAAGAAAACAAAUUCUUCCCAUUGAAUUUCCAGGACAAGUGCAACAGCUGUGCCAAUUUCCAACAGCUUAAACAAUUGAGUAAUCAAAAUUGUUUGUCUCUACAUCAACUGAUGGAGUCCACCGGACCAUGAUCAAAUUUCAUCAUAUUUUACAGAUAAAAUACCAGUUAUUUAGAAAAGCAUGGAUUGUGAUCUUCCUGUGCAGUUUUCCUUCAUCACAUCCCGUAUGCGACUUCAGUUGCUUCAUUACAUCAGUUUCUGAUUUCUAACUUGAACAACUGUAUUAACACCCAAAAGGAAAAAAAGGAACUAAGGGACUAUUUAACAGUUAAGACUAGAAGGGUUUUAGAAUUGAACUGGAAAGGGUUCAAAUAGAGGAAGAAGGAAGAAACUCACCAAAAGAACUAUUGUUUCACUUUUAGUGUGGUCUCAAUGCGCUGGAUGAGCUGAUCUGCAGUCAAAGCACCUUCCUGGAAUUCAUCAGACAGGAAUAGUAACAAAGAAAUUAGAACAUAAAAAAUAAAUAAACUAGUGGCAAUAUAACAACCAAAAGAAAAAUACAAUCAAAAGUACAGUGAAAACCAAGAUAAACAAUUGACUAAGGUGCCACUGUACAACCAGAGGCCCAACCAUGCAUUGUAUAAAUGCGGAAGAAAAUUCUGUAGACAUCAUCUCCUAUGCCAAGGAGAAAACCUUCAUUGGCUAAUCCCAUGAAAAAGUAUAAUUCAAUAGAGUCAAAGUGUGUGAAAACCAAGCCAGUGCUACAAGCAGGAAGCCUAAGAACUGAGUCAUUGCCAGUGUAAGCUUUGCCUGUAAGUAAAGAAGGCAGUUAACAAUCAUGUUACAGGGGCUGCCCAUUCACAGGCACGUGCAAGAUGAAAAUCAUGUGGGCAAUUCAUGACAAUUUCCCAAAAAGGUUUUUUUGUACAAGUGCAUACUAGAUACGAAUUCCACUUACAAAGCGAUCAUAUGGCUUCCCAUCUUUAAAUAUGAUGAAAGUAGGCAAUGCCUCUAUUCUGUACUUAUCAGCAAUGCUCGGGUAUUUCUCAGUAUCAAUUUUCACCACCUGGAUCUUGUCUUUCAGAGAAGCACCGACUUCGUUGAGGAUAGGAACCAUGAACUGACAAGGGCCACACCUGGAAACCAGUACUUCGUUACUUCUAGUUUUAUUUAGUUCCCUCAAUAUCUCAUAGAAAUAGAGACUCCUUAGAACAGCACACCCUCAAGGAAACACUUUAAUGAGGGACUGCCCUACUGAGUAGCAUGUCUUAUUGAUGGAAUAUAAUUUGGCUUAAAAACUCACAUUUUGCUGCCAAGACAGCUAAUUCAGGUUAUCAUCUAGCUUACAACAAAAUAACAAACCAUCUCAUAUCAUUUUCCUUCUAUUUAAAGAGCAAAGAAACGGUGGCAAGUAUGGGAUUUAUUUUAUUUCAUUUUUUUUUUUUAAAAAAAAAAAACUCACCAAGUUGCAUAGAAGUCUACCAGAACAGGUUUUUCAGAAUUUGCUAGCAAUUCAUCCAAGGAAGAAAAUGUUUGCUUCUUUGCUUCAACCUAAAGAAAUCACAACAAUGUGGAAGUUACCCAUUAAUUUAUAGACACAUUCAGAAUUUGGUAGUCCAACCAUGCUUAUCUAAAUAUGCCAAUAUAACAGAGUCAAUUAGGAAAAUGUCCCAAACUCCUAAGAUAUAAUAUUAACAUAAAAUGUUUGUUCAGAAUGCAGAGAAACAAAAACCAAGAUACCUGUAAUCUGACAUUACAAAAAAAUGAGUCAAUUUACUCUGAGUCAAUUUAAAUUGGAAUUUAUGAACAUUCCAAUAUACUUUACUCUGGGUAACAGGCAGUUAGUAAGCAUGUCAAAUCAAAUAUUUAAGCACCAGUUAGAUAUCUAGAUUACAACUUUUCAUGACUCUUUAACUUUGAAAUCAUAGCUUCCAACUUGGAAGGUUAACAGGCAAAGCAGUGCACAAUUAUAUGGUCACUAUGACACCUUGUUUCUAGAUUAACUACUAGUCUAUCAGAUGACAAUUGAGUGCUCGUAUGCAGCGAACAAUGGUAUAGAGCUAAAUAGCAGAUGAAGUACAUUAGCUGGUUUACAUUGUCAAAUUGGAAACUAUGGGUAUGUUUGGAAUUUGCUUUCAAAAACAGUUUUAUGUUUUUAAGAACAAAAAUAAAAUAAAAUAAAGGAAAACAUGUUUGACAAUCAGGAAACAAGAUGUUUUAUGAGAAUAUAUUUUAAUUGUUUUCAGUCGUUUUCACUUAAUUUUAAAUAUGUUUUAAAGGAUAAUCCUACAAAUAUGGAGAAUGAUUGAAAAUAAAGCACUACAACAAAAGUUAUUUUAAAAAACAUAGAAAUUAGGUUGACAACAUUUCAAGUUCCAAUGAAAUGUUUUCAAACAGACUUCCAUUCUAGAAAACAUUAAAAAACAAUUUUCAAAAACCAUUUUUCAAAACUGUUUUUGAAAACACUUCCAAAUAGAGUCUAUAUAACUCUAUUAUUUCCUUUUAUUUUUCUCUAUUAAGAAAACCAUGUGUUGUCUGUCUCUCAUUUACAUGACCUAACAUUUCUCCUCAACUCAAGCGUUCACACCCUCAAUUAAGCAACCCAAACGCACUUAAUCCCAAAGGUUGUGUUUGUGUUUGGCCCUCGCAACCAACAAAUGCAACGACAUGAAAAUGCUGAAAUUAACUUCAUUCUCACUAACCAAUCUUAAUUUUUCCAGGAAUGACUAUCCUCUAAACAAACAUAUGCGCAAUCAACAAGAAAAACGCACGAGAAAAUAAAAGGCGAAUCCUUGCAUCUAGCACAAAAUGUCUCCACCAACUGAUCCAACACACCACAACACAUUCCCAAAGCAGAAUAUACAAACACCGUUCACAAGAAUUCGGAAAAUUCCAAUAAAAAAAAUCCACAACAUUCUGAAUUUUAAUAAUAAUAAUAAUAAUCAUAAAAAAGGCACCGAAGCAAAACAAAUUACCACAGGAAGGGUUCGAGGCCUAGACGGGGAUGAAAUUCCGUUGUUGCCGAUUCGAAUAGGGCGGAGCUGCCUAGGAAACUGCAAGGGGGACGAUGAGAAGAGCUUGGAAGAAGGGGAGGAAGAAGAAAAGGCUAAAGGAGUGGGGCGUUGAGAAUUCAACGCACGAACUGUAGAGAAAGUGAGCGAGGUGGCCAUUGGAGAGAAACCCUAGAACCAGAUGUUUUGGAUAAAAAUGGAACUGGACCAGAAAAAUCUGCUGGGAAGGGAGGAGAAAAAGAAGUGCGGAGACGAAGAGAACAAGAAGAGAGAUGUUAAGGUGCGGAGGUAUAGUAGAAUAAUAAAUAGGAGGACCAGAUCCGCGGGUGUGGGAGUUUCACAGCUAUGAUCCGACGGCCAGCAUACAUUAUCACACUUGGAGAUCCCAGCAGCCAGAUGCGUGUACUCUCCAUUUUUUUAUUUUAUUUUCACGUGAACCCCAAGGGAAAAUGACUACUCCAAUAAUUUACAUUUUCUUUUACCAAAAAGAUUAAAAAUCGGAUUCAGUAUCCAGAAAGGAUAAAAGAUUUUAAAUAAUUCAAUAUAAAACAUAAUGAGAAAAUCUUUAUAGAAUCAAUCCAACCACGUUCUAGUAAGAAACACCAGUGGGGGCAAGAAGUGGAACUACCGGUAAGCCAACAAGAUCCUCUUCAAAUUCAUGCUACAUUUUAUUAGACCAAUGUCUAAGGCCAAAAAUGAAGACUACAUGUGAGGAAAACGGUUGAGUCUAAAUCCUACAAACUUAAGUUUUUUUAAAAAUCGAUUAUUCAAUGGAAUGAAGAUGUAAAUAAUAAAACAAUGAGACCGGACAUGGUAUAAAACAAUAGGAUCUAAAUGCAUGUAUGAUACGACCUGAUUGAUCAUGCUUUUUGAUAUCGAUUUGGUAAUGUAAGGGGACCUUUUUUAACAUUACGUGAGUUUGGUAAAGGAGGCUGACUUUAUGGGCUGGAUGAACACGUAUGACUGGAGAUGAGAGGAGCAGCAAUACAAUGUUGAUCAUCACUUUACGUAGGCUCCUGCAUGCCACAAUGUUGAUCGUCACUUUCCAGAACACUAAAACCAUUUCAGGGUUCAGAGAAAAUUCGUAAGAGUCCGCACUCAAAACAGCUCUCUUAACAAUAAACUUGAAACAUCAAAUAAUGUUAAAUUACAACGUGGAAGGUUGAUGUCGUGGCAGUAAGUUAUGGCCAAACCUCAUCCAUCACUAGUCAAUGUGAGUGCCAGAAAAACUACUGUAAGUGCAGAGAAUAUGGUUGCACAGGCAAAUACCCACAUCGCCCUGCUCCUCACCCUGCCACUACUAUGGCUUGCCGGGCUGCCCAUCUCGACCUCUUUUAGAAGCUCCCUCACCUCAUCCAUAUUUGAGUCUUUUGCAGCUUGGGUUAGUCUACCAUGAAUUUUAUCAAGCCUACUCAGCCUUUUACUUCGGGAUGCAUCCUUGGCUGACCAGAUAAAACCCGUCAUCUUCCACAGAAGAAUGCCCACAUAGAUGGCCACAACACAGUCCACAGUGUAAUGGUGGCGUUCCCGUAUUUCCCUUUGGGCACUGUGCAAUACAAACAGCCAUAUGACAGCCGAGCUGAAACCUCCAUAAGCUUCCUGCAAACAUUUUUUUUGACACAGAGAAAGACACAAAAUUUAGUAUUAUGCAUUUUAAGCCUCAGUGCUACUGAUCAAUAAAUGUCAAGAGGAGGGAUUGCAAGUGUUUAAUAAAUAUACCGUCCAAGCCAUAGCAGUCAGUACUGCUACAAGAAUGUGGCCACUGUAUAUGAGGUCAUUGCAUCCUCCUCCAGCUUUCUUUAGCAGAUUGUACCAUGACCCGUCAGUAGUAGUUGGUCGCAGGAAGUCUAUAAGGAAGCUCAUUGAACCCCAAUCAGGACGAAAGUCACCAAGGUAAUUUCCAACAUCAGCUGAGAAAGAGGAAGAGAAUUAUUAAACCCACCUCCCUGUAAAACAGGAACCCAUCUGUAGUAGUUCUUAGGGUAGAUCUAAUAAUGGAGAACAUAGAACUCAUGAAGGUUACAGAAUUUAACCCUUUUUCCAACAUUGAAAACUAAAGAAAACUCUCUCAGGGCUUCUGUACAUGUCAACAAUGAAUUUAGAUUUCCAGGAGAUUGGAUGUUGAUUGAAUUGAAGAUUCACUAAAAUCUUGUAAGCACCUUAGUUAUUCCAAACCCAAUAGGCAAGUAGAAGAUGCGAACCUAAGAAUUAAUAGGACUUAUAAAGAAAUUUCAUAGAGAAAAUUGAGAUGAAACAGUGAAUCUGGACAAUAUGAUUUUUGCCAUGGGUACUCUAGCAGUAAUCAAGCGAAUAUAGAGCUUAAAAUCCCUUUUUCUCGCCUCAAGGCUCCACUACAAAACCCCUUCAAAUGCAUUAAACCCAUAAAAUGAGAGGAAAUUAGUUGGGUACAAAACACAUACCAUAGGCUAUAUCACGUUCUAUUACUUGACGAAUAGCAGCUGGAUCCGAAGCAUAAGGGACAUAAUAUUUUUGAGCCCAAUGAUGUGGGUGUGCAGGAACUCUGAAGCGGGCAAAAGCACACCAAGGCCGGGCCGAUGGCAGAAUUGUAGAUACAAAAGUUAUGGCCCGAAGAAAUCGCCCUAUUGCCAUGGUGAACAUGUACCUAGCACCUAGCCCAAGGCCAGGAGCUUUUACAGAGUCGAAUAAUACUGAGAAAGCCAGCAUCAUGAACAGCAUCAAAAAAUGGUGCAAUCCAAUAAUAUGCGCUCUAAGUAUCUCAACCACCGUAGGAGGAAGUUUCUCAUUCAACGCCAGGAGAAACCACUGGCCAGUGUCAGGAAGGGGAGGAGUAUCACUGCCAGACAUGAAUAAGCCAAUUGAUUGUCUCAUUGCUCAACAUACAGUAAACACAAAGUUGAACUAGUGUUGAAAGAUUAUGAUAUUAUCUUGGUAGAAAUAUUCCUGAAAAUGGACUCAGCUGUUGAUAAAUAUCCAUGAAGCAUUCUGGAGGAUCAGAUCCACUAACAGAAACUAUCACGUCUAAUAGAUGUUUUCUGAUCCAGUUGCAAUGAGUUGAUAGCAUUUUCAGGUUAUAUCAAAUGAUUCUUUAAAGAAGAAAUUGCAGCAUCUGCAAUAAUUAAAUCUCUGUCUCUCUAUAGGGAUUUUCAGAUUCAGCUUGAAUAAUGAUCCUGAAAAAGAGGAAUCAUUGCAUCUGUAUGUAUUUAAAUCUCUCAGUCUCCUGAGAUGUUUUCAUAUCUAGUUCAAAUGACGCGUGACUUUAUUUUCAUGUUAUAUCAAAUAAUACUUUAAAAAAGGACCUUUUUUAUGGGCAAAAAGUGAUAUUAUCAACAGCGCAUAAUCAGAAGAGGGCACACCAAAGCUUCAAAAAAGGACUUGUUGCAUCCUAUGUAUUUAAAUCUCUCUUUCUGUGAGUGCGUGCAUCAACAUAUAAAGCAUUACCUAUGUUAAGGAAUCAACAUGAUACGAAUAAAAGUGUCCUUGUUAGGGAUGUUUGAAUAUAAUAACACUUAUGUACAUACAGCACAGUUAUAAAUUCUCUCCUUCUCUCUCUGUGUGUAUGUGAAAAUUUUCAAUCUUACCUACAUGCAACCUGACACCAAUACAAGUAUCCUCAUUGCUGAGUGGUUUGCAUAUGAUAAGAACAUUUAUGUGUGUGUAUAUAGUUAAGGGUUGGGCCCCAAUUUUAAUGAUGAUUUUUAGCAAGAAGACUUGAAAAUCAAUUUGAAACCCUUAGUUAGUGUAAUCGGUAGUCUUUUUGCAUAUAAGCAAAGUGAGGGCAUACUAUAUAAGAAUGAAAGACCUUACUUUAACUUAGGAGACCACAUUGAACCUUAAUUUUUACAUGAAAAUCUCUAAAGGUUUUCUAAAAAGUUUAGUGACUUAACUGACAUUUUUCUGUACUUGAAAAAUACUCAAAAGCAUUGGUUAAAAUAUUUUAACAGUUUUCUAAUGUCUUAAAGUCCCUUAAAGGAUGGUUAAAGCCCUCGAUAAGAGUUAUCGGAGCAUCAAAAUGCAAUGGGGUAUGUAUGUGGUCAUCUAGGCGAUCGUCCAUAUGUGCUUUUUACCAUGCUGAUGUCCGGUUCUAGGGGACUUUUGUGUUUAAUAGGUAGUUUGAUUUCAAAAAGGAAUAAAUGCAUUGCCUUAGACACAUAUAACAUAGGCCUAACAAAUGCAAAUCAUUACUAUUCCAUUGAAACCUUUCUUUAAGACAUUCAAGUAUGCUUUAAACUUAUACUUGCUAACCCUCAUUUAAGAUGCUUAAACUUGAACAUUAAAUUACCUAUCUACUCUUUGUUAGAGUGUUCAUUGUAUUUUUUCUUUCAAUUGCAAUUUAGUGAGAUUGUAAGAAAUGUGUAUGAAUAACAUCUUGAAGUUAUAAAGAACCUGAUGGCCUCCUAUACGUAAUGUGUAUACUAGAAAGGGGAAGAGGAGUGUACUGCCACCUGGCAGCUAGUUGUAAUAGUCUUAGUACAGGUUGGAAGGAGUGUACUGCCAGGUGCAAUUAGCCAUAACGGUCUUAGUACAGGCUGGAAUAACUUUAGGAAAAAGAUGGAAUUUGUGGAGCAGCUGGCUGUUGUGUGAGUCUGGUGGGAGAGUGAUAGCCUCUCGAAUAGCCAUCUUUGUAUCUGUUUGGCCCUUUUCUUGAAAUUUUGGAAAUUCAAUAAUAUUGCUAGUAAUUUUUUCUUCAUUAGAUACCUAUCAAUUUGGUAUCAGAGCAUUGAUCCAGAUGACUCAGAAGAAGAAUGAUGGCCGGGUGGAUUCUCUGGAGAAGGAAGUUGGAGAAAUCAAAGAGGAGAUGCAGCGCCUACUGGGAAUGGAAAAGACCGUGAUGGACCUUGCCUAGAACAUGAUGUGAGUUCUGCAGUUGCUGAAAUUGACACAGAAGGCAGUGGGGGUGUUGUCAUCAGGGCGGGUCACGACGAUUCCUCAUUGUGAGGGAGGCAGGGUGGAUCGAUGCAUGGGAGUAUGAUUGCUACUCAAUGAGAAGACCAUGCGGAAUGGAUCCCUGGAGUUGGGGAAACCAAUGGGGGGUUGGAUAGUGAUGGAUGAGAUGAGGCGAGGCAGAAACGGGGAAUGGCAUGGAGAUGGCACUUGGAGAUGCCUGUGUUUAUGGGAGACAACCCGAACGACUCGAUCUUUCGAGGUAAUCAAUACUUCAUAAUGAAUGGACUCACGAAAGAGGAGAAAUUAGUUGCCCCUACGAUGAGUCUUGAUGGGGACACACUUUCUUGGUACCAGUGGAUUGAUUCGAGAGAGGCAUUUGGGAGCUGGGAAAAUUUGAAGAGGCGACUGCUGCUCCGCUUUCGUCUGACUCAAGAAGGGAGCCUUUGUGAGCAGUUUCUUGCAGUGCGUCAGGAAGGGAUAGUGGCGGCUUACUAGCAGGAGUUUGAGAUUCUAGUUGCUCCCUUGAAGGGGAUUUCUGAGGAGGUAAUAGAAAGCACAUUUGUGAGCGGACUGCUUCUUGAGAUUUGGGUUGAGAUACAUUUUCUGCAACCAUGUGGGCUAGGCCACUUGAUGGAAAUGGCUCAACAGGUCGAAGACAGAAAUUUAAUCUUGUGGGCGGCCCAUGAACCAAGGGACCCAAAGAACACCAAAAUAUUGUCGUUCGCAAAUCGGGGGGAUUGGAAGACUAGGGAAACUUUUCAAACUAGGGCAAUGACUACUAGUGAUGUGAGAUUCUGAGUCUCUGACAAAGAGAUUGACGGAGUAUGAGCUCCAAGCCCGUAGAGAGAAGGGACUUUGUUUUUAGUGUGAUGAGAAGUUCUCACUUGGCCAUCGUUGUAAGAAGGAAUUAAGGGUUUUGCUGGUGCACGAAGAUGAGGAGGAGGAUAAUCAGUUUGAUGGUGAAGCAACUGUGGAACCUCCACUGAUUGAGCUGAAAGAUGUUGUGAAGUUAUCUCUAAAUUCUGUGGUCAGUUUAACAACAUCGGGGACUAUGAAAAUCAAGGGGACGAUCAAGCUGAAUGAGGUAAUCAAUCUUGUGGACGGUGGGGCUACCCACAAUUUUUACCCCUUGAUUUAGUUCAAUGAUUAGCACUUCCAUUAACUACAACAACCAAUUACGAGGUGGUGAUGGGAAUUGGGAUAUCCGUGAAAGAGAAGGGCAUUUGUAGGGGAGUUUGUAUUUCGAUGCAGGGGCUCACUGUAGUGUAAGAUUUUCUUCCACUUGAAUUAGGCAACACUGAUGUAAUUUUGGGAAUGCCUUGGUUGGGGACUUUAGGAUACAUGGAGGUAAAUUGGAAGAUGCUAAUGAUGAAGAUCAAAAUGGGGAAGUGGUGAUAUUGUUAAAGGGAGACCCAAGCCUCAGUAAGACCAAGGUGUCUCUUAAGGCAAUGGCUAGAGCAUUGCAGCACCGUGGCUAGAGGGUGUGGGUGGAACUCUAUCAAAUUUCCACCGAUUCAAGUUCAAGUGAAGGAGUAUAGGAGGUCCCAAAAGCAGUCAAAGAAGGACUAGCUCAACAUCAACAAGUCUUUGGGCAAAUGACGGAGUUACCACCGAAUCGUAAUAUUGACCAUGCCAUCCGAUUGAUUUUGAGAGCGCCACCAGUUAAUGUUCGUACCUAUCGAUACCCACAUAUUCUAAAGAAUAAAAUAGAGAGAUUGGUACAAGACAUGAUUGAGGCAGGAAUUAUUUGGCCUAGCUUAAGUCCAUUUUCUAGUCCAAUGUUGCUGGUUAAAAAAAAAAAGAUGGAGGAUGGAGGUUUUGCAUAGAUUAUUGUGCACUCAACAAAGUUACAAUUCUGGAUCGGUUCCUUAUUCCAGUAAUCAAUGAGUUACUUGACGAACUUCAUGGCAUAACCAUUUUUUCCAAGCUAUACCUCAAAUAUGAUUACCACCAUAUUUGAGUUCGAUAACAAGAUAUCCAUAAAACAGCGUUCCGCAUCCAUGAAGGUCACUACGAGUUCUUGGUGAUGCUUUUUGGGCUAACCAAUGCAUUGACGACCUUCCAAUCGUUAAUGAACCGUAUAUUUCGACUACAUCUUUGGAAAUUCGUGCUUGUAUUUUUUUAUGACGUACUAAUUUAUAGCAAGGACUUGAAGGAGCAUUGUGAUCACUUGCAAAGGGUGUUGUUCAUUCUGGCUAACCACUAGUUGCACGCCAAUGAGAAGAAGUGUCUCUUUGCUAAACCGCAGCUAGAAUACUUGGGUCGUUUGGUUUCUACUGAGGGGGUUGCUGUUGACCCCAACAAGUUUCAACCAUGAUAGAGUGACCCACACCCAAAUCCCUCAAAGAAUUGCGAGGGUUUCUUGAAUUGACCAGGUACUACCGUCAAUUUGUCAAGGGAUAUGGAGAUAUUUCUUGGCCCCUCAGUUAGCAACUCAAAAAGGAUGCUUUUAAUUGGAACCCAGAGGUUGAGAUUGCCUUCCAAAAGUUGAAAACAGUUAUGACAACAGUUCCUAUUUAGGCCUUGCCCGAUUUCACUCAGCUCUUCAUUGUGGAGACGGAUGUCUCGAGGUAUGGUUUAGGCGCUAUUUUGAUGUAAGGUCAAUGACCGAUGGCUUAUUUUAGCCAAGUCCUCUCGGUAAGGGUGUGACAAAAGUCCAUAUAUGAAAGGGAGUUAAUGACUAUUGUCUUAGCAGUUUAGAAGUGGCGUCACUACUUGCUUGGUCACCACUUUAUUGUGCGAACGGACCAAAGUAGUUUGAAGUUUUUGUAGAGCAAAGGGUGGUGAAUGAGUCGUACCAAAAGUGGGUCACAAAGUUGUUCGAGUACAAUUUUGAAAUUCAGUUUCGGCCUAGAUUGGAGAAUAAGGCAGCUGACGCCCUAUCUCGCAUCCCCAUAUCUAUUGAGUUAGGUACCCUCAUGGUUCCCAAUCGCUUGGACACUUCGGUGGUUUAUUCACAGGUUGAAGCUAACCCUCACCUUGCUAAGAUUUGACUAGGGUUGUUGGUUAAUCUAGAUGCUUAUCCUUGAUAUUCUUUGGACCAUGGCCUUCUUGUCUACAAGGGGUGCCUAGUUCUUCCCAAGGCCUCACCCCUUAUUUUGACACUUCUUCAAGAGGGCAUGCUAGCGUGGUUGGAGGUCAUUCUGGGUUCUUGCGGACUUACAAAUGGCUCACAUGGGACUUUUUUUGGGUUGGCAUGAAGAAUGACAUCAAAGGGUUUGUGGAAAAGUGUUCAAUGUGUCAACAAAAUAAAGUCUUUACUUUGUCACUGGUUGGGUUAAUAAAAACCAUUGCCUACUCCAGAAAAAAUAUGGGUUGAUGUGAUGAUGGACUUUAUUGAGGGGCUCCCUAAGUCAAAGGGUUAUGAUUCCAUCUUAGUUAUUGUUAGAUUGAGCAAUUAUGCUCACUUCUCCUUGCUUAAGCAUCCUUUCACAGCCUAAAUGGUGGUUGCUGUUUUUGUUUGUGAUAUUGUCAAAUUGCAUGGAAUUCCCUAUUCCAUUAUUCCGAUCAUGACAAAGUAUUUCCUAGUCGAUUUUGGAUGGACCUAUUCCGAUUGCAAGGUACCUCCUCUGUCGUGGUACUGCUUACAUCCUCAAAUAGAUGGAUAAACGGAGGUGGUCAACUGUUGUGUGAAGGCAUACCUUUGAUGCUUUUCAUAUGACAAGCCUCGAUGUUAGUCUACAUGGCUUCCGUGGGCGGAGUACUAGUAUCAUAACAUGUUCCACGCAUCCACUAAUAUGACAUUGUUUUGAGCGAUUUAUGAGUAGGAAGCCCCAUCAUUGCUACGUUAUGGAUCAGAUUCUACAUUUGUUUUGCCAGUGGAUCAGUUGCAGUAAGAGCAUGAUCGAAUUUUAAAUGAACUGAAGGACCAUCUCAGUUGUGCCCAGUCCAAAAUGAAGUCAUCUGCAAUGUCCAUCGUCGUGCAAUGCAAUUUGAAGUUGGGGAUUUUGUCUAUCUCAAUCUUCGUCAUUACCGUCUUCGUUCCCUUGCAAGGCGACCCAAUGAAAAGCUCUCUCCAUGGUAUUUUAGCCCUUACAAGGUGGUGCAGCAAAUUGGUCUAGUGGUGUACAAGUUAGAGCUCCCUUCUUCCACAACUAUUCAUCCAGUGUUUCAUGUUUCACAGCUCAAGUGGGCUCUUGGUUCAGCUGAUUUAUGUCAGCCACUUUCCCCUAGUCUUGUUGAUGAUUUCGAGUGGCUUGUGGAGCUUGAUCAAGUCUUAGGUGUUCGACAGUCUCCCAAUAUCAAUCCUCCUAUUAGUGAAGUACUUAUCCAAUGGAAAGGACUUCCGCAGUUUGAGGCUUCAUGGGAAUCACUCGACAUGAUUAAGGAGCACUUUCUUGGCUUCCACCUUAAGGACAAGAUGUCUUGCAUUGGGGGGAGGGGGAGGGGGGUUGUCGAUGAUAGGCUUCCUAUACGUUAUGUGUAUCCUAGAAAGGGGAAGAGGAGUGUAUUGCCACCCAUGGUUUGAAAUAUUGGUAAACAGGGAUAUAUCAGCACUUGAAUUUUACAGAUAUAUCGGAAAUAUCAGAGAAAUAUCAAUGGAUAUUUUGACAAAAAUAUUGGUAAGGGGAAAAUUAUUCAAAAAUCAUGGAAAUAUUUGGAAAAACUCCAAAAAAUGAUAAAAUAAAUAAAAUAUACAUGUUAAAAUUAUUUCCUAAGUGUAAUUGACAUACAUAUGGUUAAAGAGAAAAAUAUCAAUAAGUAAAGAUAAAUCAAUAUUAAUAAUUUAUUAUUUAUUAUUUAUCUAAUCAAAUUAAUUUUAAUUUAUAAAAAAUUAAAACUUCAUUAUUAUUAUUAUUAUUAUUAUUAUUAUUUUAGUAUUUUUUGAAAAAAUUUAUAUUUUUAAUAUUUUAAAAUAAAAGCAUUCAAAAUUAAAUAAAAUUAAAAUGAUAAAUAUAAAAAAUUUAAAAGUGAAUUGAUAAUAAUUUUUUAAAAUAGGAUUAAUGAGAUAAAUGAUGAUACAUUUAAUAUUAAAACUAUAAUUUAUUUAAUUCAAAUGCAUUCAAUAAUGUAAAAUAAAUGAUGAUGCAUAUAUGAUUUUUUAAUAUUUAUAUUUUUUAUAUUUAAUUAUCACAUAAACGAUAUUAAAAAAUAUUUGUUGAAAAAAUUAUAAUGAUGGAUUUUAUACAUUUAUUAAUUAAUUAAAUAAAAUUUAAAGUAAAAUAAUUAUAAUUAAUUAAUUAAUUUUUUAAUAAUAAACUUUAACAAAUUUAUUAUCAACAUAUAUUAUUAAGUGUGAACUUGGCCCAGUGGUAAUUAGGCUUAAACCCAAGCUUUUUGGCUUGAGUUCGAAUCCCCUAAGCCGCAGCAGCAACGUAAACAUUUCAAAAAAGUUUUGACCACCAAAAAUAUUGAGAAAUAUCCUGAUAAAUCAGAAAAAACAUUUCACCGCAAAAAUUGACGAAAAGUCGGCCGAUCGAUUAUCGAUGAAGAAUAUUAUGUCAGUCAGCUCCGAUAACUGAAAUAUUUUUGCCAAAAAAAUCCAACAUUUCAAACCAUUCUGCCACCUAACAGUUAGUUGUAACAGUCUUGUAUCUGUUUGACCCUUUUCUUGAAAUUCUGGAAAUUCAAUAAUAUUGCUAGUAAUUUUUUCUUCAAUAGAUACCUAUCAGAACCAUCUAGAACCUAGGGAAUCUAAAUGUAAAUAAGAUUUAAAAGAGUCUUUGUUGAGAAGAUUCUUGGUUUGGUCGAACACUUUAAGGCUUGUGAAGGAGCUCAAAGACGUAGACAUAGGGGUGUUACUAAACCACAAUAAAAUCACAAUGUUUGUAAUCUUUCUUCUCUUAAUUCUCUUUAAUUUCAGUACUUUACUUUUAUUAUUUGCAUCAUAUAUUGUUUGUAUUUAAAUUUGGAUAAAAAGUUCAAAAAGAGACCACCCAAUUCACCCCACCAAUCCCCACUCUCCUGGGUGAUUACCUACAUUUGCUUAGCAAGACUACUUAAAUAUACACAACUGUGAUGGCAAAUCAAGACUAGCAUUGUUGUUGGUCAUAAGAAUUAAAUUGCCAUUCUAAGUAGAUACAUUAUAACAGCUCUGGACAGUCUAUAUGUCUAAUUAUUAGAAAUCACAACUAGCCCUAUAGUUCCAAUAAACUGAACAUAUAUUUGAAAAAAAAAAUCUGGAAAUUCACAAAAAGUUCCAUUAUCUCUCUCCAUCUAUUUGGAAUUGAUAUCACCAGCCAAGGUCAAUGAUUCCAAUUCAUAUACAGUCAGAACGCCCAGAGUAGAGUGUGAUUCCAAUAUUUUCUCCUUACCAGGUAAACUUUUCAGGCAUCCCCAUAAUUUUAGAGAAAUAUAAUUGGUUUUGUCCAAAAAACCUAUUCUUGUUUACUCUAUUUAUCCUAAAUUACUUCAUUUGAUCUCAAAUAUAAUUUGGUUUUUCCUUAAGCUUUUCAUUGAUGCUCAAUGCUCACUCCACACACUUAAUUUCUUAAAUUGCUAAUGUUAUCCUCAGUGGCCAUACAAUAUUCUUUCUUUUUUUUUUUCUUUUUUUUAGACAGAUAAAACCAAUUGCAUUAAAAAUAAAAAUGCCACAAGGACACAUCAAUGUACAUAGGAUGUAUACAAAUAGCACCUAACAGCACAAAAACAUGAAAAGAACCCAAGCAACAACCCCCACCCUUAACCAGAACCCAACCACUCAAUGAAAUAAAGUAAAGACUAAGAAUCUAUCUCUAUGUACUUCUUUACCUAAGUGAACAAAUUCCUAAGAAAGAACAUCUUCAAAAACUAAGCAAAAUGCUCCUCAUUAUCAUACAACCUGAGAUUUCUUAUUACACCAUACAAGAUUCUUAUUACACCAUAAAGGCCCCUAUAUUUGACAGAUAUGCCUGGUUAAGUAGAAGAUUAUGCAUGGAAAACCUAUUCUAAUUCUAUGAUAAAUGUCCUACUUCAUGCCAUCUUCCUUUUGAAUAAUUGGAAUGAAAUGGCCUGUUCGGGAUAUCUACUAAUCAAUGAUUUUUUAAUUUACCAAAAUUUCUCUUCAAGUCAACCUCCAACACUGAGAAGUUCAUUUCUACAAAUUUCUUUGCUAUGUUGCUCCCCUGGUUCCAAGCCAAGAAAAACCACUAAAAUCAAGAUCCCCAACAAACAACCAUCAGUUGAGGUUCAUACACACAGAUACUGGGAAAUGGGACAUAGGCCUUCAAUCCUAUAUUCAAUUAUGACUAUCUUUUGCUAAAUGCCGAUUAAACCAUACUGGAUUCCCUGCCUAAUUGAUAAAAAUAUUGUCAAAAAAAUGCAUAUACAUGAGUUACAGUGUUGAAGGGGAAUAACAACAUAUGGAUUUUAUCACUUCUAUGUAAAACAUUUCGAAUAUUACACUAGAAGAACUUAGAAGUUAUCCAGCAAGCAUACAUUUCACUAAAGAAAGCAUACGCUGUGAACAUGAUUGAUUAGUUCACCAACUUCAACACUUCAUAUCAGCCAUAUCUCCUUGGCCAAAUCAAGGAUGGAACAAGACUCCACAAAAUGUUCUGAAACAUGUGUGCAUAUGGAUAGUUCAAAUAAGCUAUAAAAUUACUUGCACAAAUUUUCCAGCAAAAAAAAUGCAAAAAAUAUUCAAUUGAAGACUUUAUUUUAAUUGCAACUAAUCAUAAUGAAUACCAAAUGCAUAUUGUGAAAGUCUCAAGUGCAGAGUUUGAUACACUGUUCUGCAAGCUUACUGUUAGGCCUUUGGUUCACCAACUACAAAUGGAAGGUUGAAACAAUCAAACCUUGGGCAGCUGGACCACCCUGAAACCUACACAUAUUUUUUUUGAUAAGUCCCUGGAGUCUAGACUAAUUUCGAUUAGUUCUUGCUGCUACAUGCCUAUUUGAUGGGAGGCAGUUUUUUUUUGGGUGAUUAUUAACCAACAUUUUGAUUAAUUAACACUAAAGCUAAACCUCUUUUGAGUUACAAUUAAUCAACAUUUGGAUCCAAGAAAAUUUUAAAGUCAAAGUCAUCAAUAAGGAGCAAACCCUAAAUCUGCUUUGAGUUACAAUGAAUCAACAUUUAGAUCAAAGAGCAUUUUAAAGUCAGACUCAUCACUUAGGGAACAAACCCUAAAUCUGGCAUUUUGAUUCCAGCCACUUUCCAAAUUUAUAUGAAUCAGAAAAACCCGCAAAAUAACACACCGAUUAGUCAACAAUUGAACAAGAAAUCAAAUCUAAAACCUUAGUCAUGUCUUUCAACAAAAUACCUCAAAAUGAAGACAAAUCGAACUCCAUACACAAAGAAAUUAAAGCAAACGCAACGCAAAUCAAACACGACCCACAUAAGAUUAACCCAAAAUGAGAACGUAACACUCAAUACACUUCAAUUUUCAUUUGAUUCGCCAUCUGGCUCCCCCCAUUUUCCAUCCAAAAACCCAUAACCCCAGGGUCCCCAACCAACAGAAAAUGCAACACAACAGUCCAAUUACCUGUGCCAAUCGAGACCGAGAACGGCGGUCACGGAGCGAACAGAGAGAACUUCAAAGAGACAGGUGGAGAGCAUGAAGAUCAUCGAAGCAACAAAGGGCAAAACAGAACGGAACUCCAUGGACCAGUGCUUGUAGAAGGGGACGCGAGCGACGGCUACUAGAGCGAGCACUGACCAGAGAGCAGGCAUUAGCCAGGAGUGCCAUGCCGGAGCCAGGUACCGGAGGUAAUCAACAGCCACGUAGGCUAUGGCGGCCACACCUAGUCCCCCGGCCCUCGCCCUCGCAGUCACCGGAGGUCGCCACUUCAUAGCUGUGGAGAAGAGAGGGAGCAGUGAUCCAAGCAAAAUUAUUUUUCAAAACAUCGUUCCAUUAAUAUUCGUUAAAGAGAAUAGUAACGGAAGCUAUCUGGAAAGCCGGGUUCACAUUCCCAGAAACAUGCAUCCAAAAUAAGAAAGAAAUUUUUUACUUUCUCUAAUUCUUUUUAUCUUUCAUUCUCUCAAUUUUCUCAAUUCUUUUUUAUGAUUUUUUUCCCUAUAAAUAUUAUUAUUAAAAUAAUAUAUAAUUUAUUUCUAUUACUUUAUUUGCAUUGCAUUUAUUCUUGUUUCACAACGAUUUAUCAACACAAAUUGCUUUGAAGGUAAUUAUCAUAUCUUAAACUUGAAGUUAUUUAUAUAGAAUAAAAUUUUACAUAUUUAUAUUAUUGUUGAUUUGUUUUGUCAUAUAUUGUUAAAAGUUAUAAACAAAUUAUUUAACUUUGUUUAUAAUCAAAGUUAUACCAAUGCUAUCAAUUUAUUAUAACUGAUUCAAAUAAUAUUGUUUUGUCAUAUAUAUAUGAAGUUAUUUGACAAUAUCGAAUCUCACAAAACUCGAAUUUGUAGCACUUGAUAUUUCAGGAAAGAACUAUCUAUCUUGGAUCUUGAUGCUGAAAUACAUCUUGAUGUAAUGAAUUUUGGAGCUAUGAUCAAAGAAAGAAAUAAAGCAUCCUUGGAGGAUCGUGUAAAAACAUUGAUUUUCCUUUGUCAUAAUCUCCAUGAAGGUUUAAAAAAUAUAAAAAUAAAUAAUGAGCUUUUGAUGAUAAAUCACCAGUCUCGUCUAACUAGAUUUGAACCAUUCCUUGAAAUGAAUACUUCCUUGAAAUGAAUACAAUAUCGUCAUAAACUCGUGGACGAGGACGUGGUCGUGGUUGUGGAAGAAAUCUCCGAUACCAUGGUUCUUAUAGUAAUAAUUCAUCAAAUUCUCAAAAAAUGAAAGCCUCAUUGCACCAUCAGAAGUGGAACAAUAUUGAGGUAUAACAAAAAAAUGGGAAGUGUUUAUAAGAUAAAUCUCCUAAAAACCAUAAGAAUAAUUGUUAUAGAUAUGGCAUGAAGGGACAUUAGUCGCGUACAUGUCGUACGCCCAAACGUUUGGUUGACCUUUACCAAGCAUUAAUAAAAGCAAAAGGAAAAGAGAUAGAGAUGAACUUUAUCGAUAAUAAUGGAUUGGACCUAACCUACUAUGACAUAGAUUUCUUUGGAGGUCCCAGUAAAAAACAGACCAUUUAAUAAAUGAUGAGAAGAUUAACAUUGAUUGAUGUUAAUUUAUAUAUCAAAUAAUAUAGUAUUAUGUUUUAUAUUUACAUCUGAUUUUUUUUUUUUUGUUAUUUACAUUAUGCCUUGUUUUUUUAGUUAUAUCUGAAAUCCAUGUGUUAUUUGGUCUCAAGAUGAAUGAGGAUGAUGUAUGUCUCACAGACUAUGCAACCACGCACACAAUUCUUUGAGAUAAAAGAUAUUUUUUCGAAUUGACAUUAAUAAAAGCUAAUGUAAGUACCAUAUUUAGUACUACAAACUUAGUUGAAGGCUCUAGAAGAGCAAACAUAACACUACCAAAUGGAACUAGAUUCCAUAUAAAUGACACUUUAUAUUCUAGCAAAUCUAGAAUAAAUUUGCUCAAUUUUAAAGAUAUCCGCAGAAAUGGAUAUCAUAUUGAAACUAUGAAUGAAGAUAAUGUAGAAUAUCUUUACAUUACUUCUAUUAUAUAUGGCAAGAAGCUUAUAAUGGAAAAACUCACGAAUUUCUUUUCUAGGUUGUAUCAUACAACUAUAAAGCCUAUUGAAUCAUAUGUUGUCGUGAACCAGAAGUUCAACAACCCAAAAGUUUUUUUCCUUUGGCAUGACAGACUAGGUCACCCGAGGUCUUCAAUGAUGUGUCGAAUAAUCAAACACUCACAUGGGCAUCCACUAAGGAACCAGAAGAUUCUUUUGCCCAAUGAAUACUCAUGUGCUGCCUGCUCACAAGGUAAAUUGAUAGUCAGACCAUCUUUUACUAAAGUCAUAUAUGAGUCACUAGUCUUUUUAGAAAGAAUACAUGGAGACAUAUGUGGGCCUAUUCAUCCACCAUGUGGACUAUUCCAUUAUUUUAUGAUCUUAAUAGAUGCUUCUACUAGGUGGUCACAUGUUUGUCUCUUUUCUACACGUAAGGUUGCCUUUUCUAGACUCCUUGCACAAAUAAUCAGAUUACGAGUACAAUUUCCAGAUUAUCCAAUUAAGACAAUACAUCUUGAUAAUGCUGGUGAAUUUACUUCUCAAACAUUCAUUGACUAUUGCAUAUUAGUAUGGAUAAAUAUUGAGCAUCCUGUUGCUCAUACUCAUACCCAAAAUGGUUUAGCAGAAUCCUUCAUCAAACAUCUCCAAUUAAUAGCUCGACCAUUACUAAUGAAAACUAAACUACCUACUUCUGCCUAGGGACAUGCUAUUAUGCAUGGUGCAACUUUAGUUCGUAUUCGACUUACAACUUACUAUGAAUACUCUCCUUCACAACUUGUGCUUGGAAAACAACCAAACAUCUCUCACUUGCGAAUCUUUGGUUGUGCAGUAUACGUACCAAUUGCACCUACACAACGCACCAAAAUCGGUCUCCAAUGAAGACUUGGGAUUUAUGUAGGUUUUGAUUCUCUAUCUAUCAUAAGAUAUCUUGAGCCUUUGACAGACGAUGUUUUUACAGCCUGCUUUGCGGAUUGUCAUUUUAAUGAUAGUGUUUUCCCAUCAUUAGGGGGAGAAAAGUCGAUUCCUGAAGAACAACGAGAAAUUAGUUGGAAGACAUCUACUACUAUGACUCAUCUUGAUCUUCGUACAAAUCAAUGUGAACUAGAAGUUCAAAGGAUCAUUCAUUUGAAAAGUCUUGCAAAUCAAUUACCAGACGCAUUCAUUGAUACAAAGAAAGUGACAAAGUCUUAUAUUCUGACUGCAAAUACUCCAACACAGAUUGAUGUCCUUGUAGAACAGUUAACAAAUGAAUCUAAGAUAUGCUUGAAGCGUGGUAGACCUAUUGGCUCAAAGGAUGUAACUUCCCGAAAGAGGAGAACCCAAGAAAAACUUGGCACUAUAAAAUAGGCCAUCAAAAUGACUGAUCAAUUUAAAAUUGAUAAAUCUAUAGCCCCUGAAGAGGCACAUAUUGAACAAGAAGCCCUUGAAGAGGCACAUGUACCUGAAAAUUGUGAGAUCUCAGUAAGUUAUGUACACACGGGAAAAAAAUGGGAUCAAAAUAAUAUUGUUAUUGAGAAAAUAAAGGUUAUGCUUAAAUAAGAAAAACACCCAAAAGGGGAGUGAAUUAGGUUUUUCAAAAACUUUUUCAACACAAAAAAUUUAAGUACAAUAUAAUAAAAAAUAAAGAGAUAGAGUUAUAGAAUUCAAACUUGGAUUUUAUAGUGGUUCAACACUUCUUUACCUAUGUCCACUCUUUUCAAUCUCCUAACUGAGUGAGGUUUCUACUAACUUAAAGCUUCAACCAAGCUUUCAAUUUUCUUACACUUGGAUUCCGACUCCAAUGGGCUCUUACACAAUUUCUUCAAGAUUCAAACCUCUUGAACAUUUUAACACUCAAUUUUUACAAGAAUGAAUCCCUCAACCUAGCUCAAAGAUAACUCAAAUACAAAACAAAGUUAGGAUGACUAACAAGGAUGCAUUAAAAGAUAUGCAAGUGAGGAUUUAAUGCACUAAAAAAGAAAUGAGAGCUUUUAAGCCAAGAACAAGUGGGUAGACAAUUGAUUGCAAGUGUUCUCAAUUUAUAAGUUUCUAAACUCGGGAGCCAAGAAAAGCAAAAGGUAGUCUCGACCGGUCGAGUUGGGGGUUGACCGGUUCACUAGCCAUUGGAGCAUUUAAUGUUUUGACAGGUUACCAUUGCCUAGACCGGGAAGAAGGAAACCUCAAUUGGGAAAAGGAAGCUACUGGAUGAGAAAGAGUGUUUUUGGUACUCCUCGAUUGGACCUCGACCGAACAAGGGCAACCGGUUGAGCCGGUUGGCCAGAACCUCGACCAGUUUAGCAUUUUGGCCCCGAAAACCUAUCUUUUUCAAUUCCUUUCUUUUCUAACACUUAGGCAAGGUCUUUAGGUAAAUUAAUAUGCCAAUUUUAAAACGUUUUGCCUAAGGUACAUUUGAUAAAACUCGAGUUUUAAUGAAAUCAAAAUUUUAAAGAAUAAACUGAGUUUUCAAAGAUGCAUGAAAAUGUAUGAAAAACCUAAAUGCACCCAUGCAUUCAUCUUACAUUCGUUUCCUAUGAUCAAAAGUCUUCCAAAAGUCUCGAUCUUGUAUCCAUUUGGUCAUUUGAUGAAUUUCCGAAUUUAUACCUGAGAUUCUUUUACCAUUCAAAUCAAUUAGUCACUUAACCAUGAUUGGUUAUCAUCAAAACCUGAUUAGGAGAACCCUUGGGCUAACAGUUAUUAACAAUAUUUUCGCUUUCCAAGUAGCCUCUGAUAUCAUAAGAAAUGAUGAAGAUCUUGAACCAAAAAAUAUGGAAGAAUACUGACAUAGAAAUGAUUGGCCAAAAUGGAAAGAAGCUAUACAGGCAAAGUUAAACUCAUUAACAAAAUGAGAAGUUUUUGGACCUAUAGUCCAAACACCUGAAGAUGUAAAGCCUGUUGGGUACAAAUGGUAUUUGUAUGAAAGCGUAAUGAGAAUAAUGAGAUUAUAAGAUAUAAAGUGCAAUUAGUAGCAUAAGGUUUCUCGUAGAGACCUGGUAUUGACUACGAGGAAACAUAUUCUCCCAUCAUGGACGCAAUCACAUUUCGUUUCUUAAUUAGUUUGACAUUCUCAGAAGGACUGGAUGUGUGUCUCAUGAAUGUUAUUACAACAUAUUUAUACAGAUCCAUGGAUAAUGAUAUAUACAUAAAAAUCCCUAAAGGAUUUAAAUUGCUUGAAGUAAAUAGUACAAAGCCUCACAACAUGUACUAAAUCAAGUUACAAUGAUCGUUGUAUGGAUUAAAGCAAUUUGGACGCAUGUGGUACAAUCAUCUUAGUGAAUACUUGCUAAAAUAAGGGUGUGUGAAUAAACCUAUAUGCUCAUGCAUCUUCAUUAAGAAAUCAAAAACCGGAUUUGCAAUUAUUGUAAUGUAUGUUGAUGACUUAAAUCUUGUUGGAACUCUUGAAGAGCUCACAAGAACAACAAAUUACUUGAAAAAUGAAUUUGAAAUGAAAGAUCUUGAAAUUUUUUUUUUCUCGGCCUAUAAGUCGAGUAUUUUCCAAAUAGAGUUUUAGUACAUCAAUCAACAUACAUUAAUAAAGUUUUGAAACAUUUUUAUAUGGAUAAAACGCAUCUUUUAAGUUCUCCAAUGGUUGUCCAAUCAUUUGAUGCGAAAAAGGACCCAUUUUGUCCUUGUGAAAAAGAUGAAGAAUUACUUGGUCCUGAAAUACCAUAUCUUAGUGCUAUUGGUGCACUUAUGUAUCUUGCCAAUUGUACACGUCUAGACAUUGUUUUUUUUUUUUGUCAAUUUAUUAGCAAGAUACAGUUCCGCUCCCACUUGAAGACAUUGGAAUGGUAUUAAACAUAUAUUGCGUUAUCUUUGCGGAACUACUGAUACGAGUCUAUUUUACUCAAGGGAAUCAAAGCAACAAUUGCUUGGAUAUGCAGAUGCAUGAUAUCUUUCAGAUCCACAUAAAGGUAGGUCACAAUUAGGGUAUGUGUUUAAUUGCAAUGGUACUGCUAUUUCAUGGAGAUUUGUCAAACAAACAAUAGUGACCACAUCGUCAAAUCAUUCAAAAAUACUGACAAUUCAUAAAGCAAGUUGUGAAUGUAUAUGACUAAGAUUUAUGAUCCAGCAUAUUCGGGAAUCAUGUGGACUCUCCUUUAUCAAAGGUGACCCGACAAUAUUAUUUGAAGAUAAUGUUGCAUGCAUUACACAAAUAACAGGGAGUUAUGUUAAAGGGGAUAGAACUAAACACAUUUCACCAAAAUUAUUUUAUACACAUGAAUUCUAGAAGAGUGGUGAAAUUGAUGUGCAAAAAAUAUGCUCAAGUGUUAAUCUAGUAGAUUUAUUCACAAAAUCAUUGUCAACCUCAACAUUCAAGAAGUUAAUACACAAGAUUGGAAUACGUCAACUCAAGGAUAUUGACAUGAGGAGGAGUAUGCUUGUAAAAGGGUGUUAGUGUACUAUACUCUUUUUUCCUUCGUCCAGGUUUUGUCCUACUGGGUUUUACUAGCAAGGUUUUUAACGAGGCAAUCCUAACAUACCAAGAGCAACUUAAAGAAUUAUAAGAAUAUUGUACUAUUUUUCCUUCGCUAGGUUUUUCCCAUAAUGUUUUUUACUAGCAAGGUUUUAAUGAGACAUAUUCUUUAAUGUGGUGGACAUCCAAGGGGGAGUAUUAUAACUGAAGUAAUAAAUGUCACCACAUUAAUUACAAUAAAUGUUAAUUAAGUAUUAUUUAUGAUUUCCAUUAAUAUUCAUUAAUGGAAACUAUUAAUGUUAUUUAUGAGUCUCAUUAAUGGAAACCAUUAAUGUUAUUUAUGAGUUCCAUUAAUAUUCAUUAAUGGGAAUAUUAAUGGAAGCCAUUUGGAAAGCCCAUAAAAAGGGCUUCCCAUCCUCUGUCAUAUGCAUCCAAAACAAGAAAGAAAUUUCUUACUUUCUCUCAUUCUCUCUAUAUUUCAUUCUCUCAACUUUCUCAAUUCUCUUUUGUGAUUUUUUUCCCUAUUAUAUAUUAUUAUCAAAGUAAUAUAUAAUUUAUUUCUACUAAUUUAUUUGCGUUACAUUUAUCCUUGUUUUACAACAAAAAAGUAUUUUUAAAUACGCCAUUUGACCCAAAAAAAAGAAAAGAAAAGAAUUUAAGAAAAUGCAAUAUGAUAUUAAAUCUGAAUUUAUAUAACAUUUUCUUUCAUAGUAUAUGCCACCUCAUUUUUCAAAAAAUUUCUUUCCAUCCCUUUAAUAAAUAAAUAAAUAAAAUAAAAUUUUCUUUAUUUUUUAUUUUAAUAAAUAAAUAAUUUUAUUUAAAAUUCAAUGGUGAUUUGAGGGGAGCAUAAAGAAAUUAACGUAAAUGUGAUACAAAUAUUUUAAUCUUUUUAUUUAUUUUUUCAUAUUAUAGUGCUUAUAACCAAAUUUUUAUUACAAGUAUGAAGGAUUCAAUAAAUAUUUAUAAAUUUCAAUCAAAUGGUAAUUUGCCUGAAAUUUCAUUUAUGCAUUAUUAAUAUCUCAUAUUAGUCAUUAAACAUCAUUUGUAAAAUAUUUAGAGAGUGUUUCUAUUUGAAGUGUUUUUAGUAAAAGUGCUUUUUUUGACAGUGUUUUUAAGAGAAUCAUCUAUCAAGAGCCCGUUUGGCAGUGAUUUUCAAAACUGUUUCUACCCUUAAAAACACUUUUCAGUGUUUUUGGGAUAAAAAUAAAGUGUUUAACAAAUUUUUAAAAACACUUUUGAAAAUCUGGGAAAACACUUAAAGUGAUUUUUAGAUAAUCACUUGACAAGUGUUUUUUAAAAAAAACACUUCAAAAAAUUUGAAAUAUUCCAAAAAUGCCCCCAAGUGAUUCCUGAUAUCUUCCUUCCUUUUCGCUCAUACCUCUCUCCUUCAUUCUCCUCCUCCAUCGCUCUCCAUCCGAGACUACACAGUAGGAAAGACACUCCACUUUUAUUCAACAUCGUUGAUCGGAUCGAAGGUAACCCUCUGUUCUUUUGUUGUUUUUCUUUUCUAUUUUUUUUUUAAUGUCUGAUUGUCUUGAAAUGUUAGUUAGGGUUUUAGGUUUUAGGAUUGUUUAGUUAAGAGAAAAAUAUGAGAAAAUGAAACUUGUAAAUCCUCAAAUGUUUUUAUAGGAAUUACUUCCAAGCCUUAACAAUUUUAGAUCUAUUUUUCAAUAGAGCAGUCGAGUCUCAUUUCCCAGUACUUCUCUCUCUAAAACUCUCAUUCUCUAUUUUGGUUCACAUAUGAAAUUGCUCUAUUUAGGGUUUUUGAGUUCACAUAGUCUCGACAAUUCAAAAAAGCAACAUUUCAGUUCCCUAAAAUUCAACUACAUUUGAACCUAAACACAUGCAAUCUUUUAGAAAUCAAUUGCAGAUCAACACAUAUCAUAAUUCUCAACUCGAUAUCAGAAAUUAAACAUAGCCAAUUCAAUUAAAAGGAAUAUAAAAACUAUUGAUUCAACUUAUAAAUAAAACAUCAAAUCAUAAAAUUUAAAACUGAAAGACUAACCAUGCAUUGCUGAACACUGAACUGGAAAUCCCAUAAAAUCUGAAUGUUGAUGUUAUUCGAAAUCUUGUUGUUGCCUGCAACCGCUGCAUUUCAGGUAUGAUUAAAAAAAAGGAAUAAAAGAUAGAAAUCAGGAUCUUAACUGACGAAAUGGAGAAACUUACCGGUGAAGAGAGAAUAUUGAAUGCCAAAAAUGAAAAGAAAGAAGAAGAGGGCAGCGUAGAUAAGAUGGAAAAUAGUGAAUCUCAUCUUGUUGGAAGAGAACCUACUUAGAGGAUGAAGAGGUCUCAUGAUUGAGAUUCGUAGACUGAUUUCAAAUCAAUUUUCGUGUAGAUCUCUGCUAUAGCUAAUAGGGGGACUAUGGAUUGUUUACAGUUCCUGCUUCUUGGAGUUGUACCUUCUAGGUUGAGAAUGCCUUCUAUGUGUUUUCAAUAAGUUAUAGAACCACUCCUUUUUCCCAGUUUGAUCUUAGGUUUUCUAUGUCAUAUUGGGUUGUCCAUCUUCUGAACAUGGGCUAAAACAUCAUCUUUGCAUUCUCAAUGAGCCAAAUUCUAGAGUCAUAAUUAAGCUGCUCAGUGACACCUGCAAGGGAGAAAUGAGCUGGUUUCAGGCAAGUCAUAGAACUCAUUGCGAAGAGGUGGAAUUGACUUCCUCCUAUAUGUGAAACAUUCCAACUAGUUUUCAGAUGGUCAAGACUUGAUUACAUUGCAAUACAUGUCUAAAUGUAGAGAGGCGGUUAGAGUAUGACUUGCAAUAGAAACAAAGAAAAUGUAGACCCAUUAAAUCAAUAUCCUGAUGCAAAGAAAAAAAAUUUAUGAGAGAAGCGGAACUAAAAAAUUUAGUUUCUACCAAAUUUAGGAUUUGUAGGCUUUGUAUGUAUCUUCAGUUUCUACCAAUGAGGAUUUCUUUUCAACCAAGAUUAUUGCACUUGAGGAUUUCUUUUUCUUAUUUGUUUAUUAUGCUUUACAGAAUUUGCCUAUAUGAUGUUCAAUACCGAGUUUACAUUUUAAAAUUUUAAUCAUACCAAGCAUUGUCUACACUAGAUAACCAUAUAUUCUUGAUGUUUUGUUCCUUAAUUCUUUUUUUAUUCUUCAUUUUAAUUGUGUGAUUCUUUGUUUGAAAAUUAUUAUUUCUCUAAAAUAUAUAUAUUUUUAAAUAGAGAAUGUCUAGCAACAUUGUUUAACCAUUACAACAACCAAGUGGUGGAGAAAGUAAAAAACAAAGCAAGGCUUAUUGGGAUGAUAUUACAAUGGAUGCUUUUAUCAAAGUUUGUGUGAUUGAGACCUUGAUUGGAAAUAGACCAAAUAAUCACUUUAACAAGUUGGGAUGGAAAAAUGUGAUAAAAGCCUUCAACAAUUUGUUUGGAAGAAACUAUCAAUAUAGGCAACUUAAGAAUAAAUGGAGUUCUCUUAAAAAGGAUUGGGAACUUUGGAAUACCUUGAUUGGGAAAGAGACUGGCCUUGGGUGGGAUCCUAUGAGACAAACCAUCAAUGCAAGCAAUGAAUGGUGGGAUAAGAAAUUGAAGGUAUGUUUUGUUUAUUCAUUAAAUUUAUUUGAUUAAUUUAUAUAUUGGUUAUGAAAUAUGAUAAAUUAAAUACUCUUGUAGGAGAAUCCUGAAGCAAUAAAGUUUAAAACAAAAGGCUUGAAAAAUGUUGAGUAAUUAGACAUACUUUUCAAAUAUAUUAUUGCUACUGGUGAAGGAGACUGGGCACUAUCACAAGGCUUUGUAGGACAAGAUGUUGAUGAUUCAUCUAAGGUGGGGGAACACGAAGAUAAUAUAAUAGAAGACCAAGAUGACUCUAGUUGCAAUCUGCCACUUAAUACUAUCUCCAAUAGUUUUGAAGCUACUACUCAACCUUCUAUGGCAAAAAAGAAUGAAGGAAGAAGAAAGAGGAAAAGAAAUGAAACCAAAUAUGAGCUUGUGGCUAUCCAGUUAGAGCGCAUUUGUAGUGCUGUGGAGAAUAGGUCUUCUAUCUCAUCUAAAGGAGAUAAACCAGGUUGUAGCAUUGCUGAAGUGAUGAAAAUCAUACGUGGGAUGCCUGAAGUGAAGAAUGACUUUGAGUUAUAUAUGAAAGCCACAAAUAUCAUGGUUGUCAAGGAAAAUAGAGAUAUGUUUGUUGCAUUAGAAGACCCAAUUGAUCAGAUUGCAUGGCUUAAACAUAAACAUGUUUGAGUGUUGGAGUUGUUUCUUGUUUUUAUAUGGAAACAUAUUUUUNNNNNNNNNNNNNNNNNNNNNNNNNNNNNNNNNNNNNNNNNNNNNNNNNNNNNNNNNNNNNNNNNNNNNNNNNNNNNNNNNNNNNNNNNNNNNNNNNNNNAAUUGAUCAGAUUGCAUGGCUUUAAACAUAAACAUGUUUGAGUGUUGGAGUUGUUUCUUGUUUUUAUAUGGAAACAUAUUUUUGUUACCUAAUAUUGUUUAGUUGUUAGGUUGAGGGGAGGAAAGAGAUGUUGGUUUGCUUUAUGUGUGAAUUGCAAAAGUCAUUAUGCCCUUAUUUGAUACUUUUUAUUAUUUCUUUCUCUAAAAAUUGUGACUAUUAGAUGAGCUUUGGUGGUAAACUUCUUAUAAAAUUUGGUAUUGUUUUUCAUUUUAUUAAUGUGUAGUUCCUCUGUUCUUUUUUUAUAUUUCAUCUUAGUCAUUUAACAUUUUUUUUUGGGUUUAUUUUUUCUAUAAGAUAUAUUUUUUUAAUAUAGAAUGUCUAGCAAUGGUAGGAAUUCUAAACUUCAAUUGUGUACUUUCUAAUUUUUAAAAAUAACUAUAGUAAUUGAAAAUAUACAUUAUUGUUGUUUAUUAACGUAUUUCUUUUUUUAUUUUUAUUUGUGUAGAUGUCUUCUAAUAACAAUGAUCAAAAUUUUGAUGAUGAAAGCGAUGAUGAACAUGAUUUUUAUCAAUUGGUGCUUGGGGGUUGUGUUGUAGCUGCAACACAUACUAGUUUCAAAGGAAAAAAAACCUUGUAGAACUUCUUCCCACACAAGAUACAAGUUUGUAAUGGAUGUCUUAAAUGGCUAUGAAAUUAGGUGUUUUGAGCAAUUUAGAAUGGAAAAACAUGUGUUUAUGAAUUUCUUAGAAACACUUACUAAAAGGUAUGGCCUAAAAGAAGGUUUUGAUAUGCCCUUAAUAGAGGUCUUAGCAAUGUUUCUCACUACAAUAGGUCAUAGACUAAGCAAUAGGAUGAUUCAAGAAAGAUUUCAACACUCUGGUGAAUCUGUAUCUAGAUGGUUUGAGAUUGUAUUAGAUGUUGUUUGUCUUAUGGCUAUAGAUAUUAUAAAACCAAGUGAUCCACAAUUUAAGGAUGUCCUUGAUAAAAUAAGAAAUGAUGAUCGGUAUUGGCCAUAUUUUCAGAAUUGUAUUGGGGUAAUUGAUGAAACUCAUAUACCUAUUGUGGUUUCCAGAGAUAGAAAAAUACCAUAUAUGGGUAGAAAAGGUAUGGCUACCCAAAAUGUUAUGGCGGUAUGUGAUUUCAAUAUGUGUUUCACAUUUGCAUGGGUCAGAUGGGAAGGCACUGCUCAUGAUGCACGGGUCUUUUUAGAGGCAUUAAGAAGGCCAAAAUUGGGUUUUCCUCAUCCACCUAGAGAUUUGUGAAUGAUAAUAUCAAACUUGUUUUUGUGAUCAAAUUUUUAUUAUCUAAUAUAUAUUUUUUGUUUUUGUUUUGUAGGUAAAUAUUAUUUGGUCGAUGUUGGUUAUCCUCAAAUGAGUGGAUAUUUAGGCCCUUAUAAAGGCGAGCAUUACCAUCUUCCAGAUUUUCGACGAAGUAGUUCACCUAAAGGUAAAAAGGAAAUAUUUAAUCAUAGGCAUUCAUUCUUGAGGUGCACAAUUGAGAGAACGUUUGCCGUUUUGAAGAAUAGAUGGAGAAUGCUACGAGAAAUGCACAAUUUUCCUCUUUAAAAACAAGUAAAGAUUGUUAUUACUUCAAUGGCUCUUCACAACUUCAUAAGGAUUAAUGCUAGAAUGGAUAUGGAAUUUAAACCUUAUGAUGAUGAUCAAGGGUUGCUUCCACUUAAUGAAGAAGAGAGUAGAGUGGAUUCACUUGUUGAGGAAGAUGGUUCACAUCAUACAAGAGAGAUGGAAGAACAUCGUGAUCGAAUUACAAAUCUUCUUAUAUCUCAUUAAUGUUUGAUUAUGACUCUAAUAUCCCUCCCCCCCUCUCCCCCCUUUUUUUUUGCUAUGAAAACAUUUGUUUUCUUAUUUGCUUUUAAUUAUAAUUUUUUUUUGAGAAAUUAAUAGAUAAUCAUAUAUUGUUUUAAUUUGAAAUUUAUCUUUUAUUCAAUCUUUUUUAUAUUGAUUUAGAUGUUUUUUGUAAAUAUUUUUAAAAAUUUUAGUAUAGUGAUAAAAAAUUAUUAAUUUUAAUUAGAAAAGUCUUUUUUUUUAUAGAAAUUAAUAGGUAAUCAUAUAUUGAUUUAGAUGUUUUUUGUAAAUAUUUUUUAAAAUUUUAUUAUAGUGAUAAAAAAAUUAUUAAUUUUAAACUAAUAUAUGAUAUUUAUUAUUUAUUAAUGCAAUUAUUUUUGUAAACAUUUUUCAAAAUUUUAUUUAAAUCAUAAAAAAAAUAUUUUUAGUUUUUUUAACAAUAAUAUAUAUAUAUAUAUAUAUAUAUAUAUAUAUAUAUAUAUAUAUAUAUAUAUAUAUUCUUUUAAGAUACAUGUUUAUAUAUUUUGUUGUAAUGAAAAGUUUUUUGUUUAUCAUACUAUUUUUUUUAAUUAAAAUUGUAUGUCAUUUUUGGUAAUUUAUUAAUAUUAAAAGUGUUUUUUUAUACUUAUACAACAUAUUAUCAAAAACACUAUUAAAAUCAUUUUUUUGAUUCUCAUAAAAGUAUUUUUCAUAGAAACACUACAGAAGAAAACACUUCAAAUAAAAACACUUCCACUAGAAUCACUGCCAAAUAGGCUCCAAGUGUUUCUUCAGAAAAGAUAACAAGUUAUUUUUCAUAUUUUUAAAAGUGCUUCUUAAAAUUUGUCAAAUACUUAAUUUUUUUUUUCAAAAACACUUUUUAGGCUAAAAACGUUUCUUAAAAUCACUCUAAAUGAAUUCAAAGAUUGUAUUUGAUAGUAUUUCCAUUUAAAGUGAUUUUUCAGAUUUUUAAAAAUGUUUUAUAAAUCUUACCAAACAUUUAAUUUUUUUUUAAAAAAAUACUUUUAAGCUAAAAACGAUUUCUAAAAUUGUUGUCAAAUGGAUUUUAAAAAUACAUUCGAUAGUAUUUUUACUAGAAAUGUUUGUAGUGAAAACAUUUUUAGAAAAAUCACCAAUCAAAUAUUUCUCAAAAAACAUUAUAAGUGAUUUUCUAGUAUCACAAGUAAUUCUUCAAAAUUUUAAAAGUAUUUCCUAAAUUUUGUUAGACAACCUUUUUUUUCUUUUUCAAAAACACUUUUUAAUUUAAAAAUGCUUCCUAAAGUUACUAUCAAGCAAACUCUAAUAAACAUAAACUACUUAUAGUUUGAAAAUAUUAUCUAAUUUUUUAAAAGCCAAGUUGAGGCGAAAAAAAAAUUAAUGCAAUUUAAUUAGAUAUAAUUUAUUUAAUUCCUAGAAAAUCAUAGAACUAGUAAAAUAGUACUCCGUUCUCGCUUGUUGGAGAGCUUUGUCAUCUUAAGAUGGGGUGGUGGUAAAAUGAUAACAAAAAUGAAAAUAAAAAUUUAAGAUAUAUUUCUUGAAAAUAAAAUUACAAACAUGCUUAUUUAUUUUUAAUGAUAACAAAAAUGAAAAUAAAAAUUUAAGAUGUAUCUAUUAAAAAUUAAAUUAUAAACAUGUUUAUUUUUAUUUAUUUUUUAAAUCAUUUGUAAUAUUUUUCAAAGAAAUAUGAUUUUGUAAAGAUAAUUUUAAGCAAAUAGUUCCUAAAAAAACCCUAAUAAACACUCUUUUAUGAAUGUGUUUGACAAUAUUUCUAUUUGAAAUAUUUUUAAUCUAAAUAUUUUUAAGAUAAUCACCAAUUAAAGGUUUUUCUAAAAAAACAUUAUAAAUUAUUUUUUAAUACCAUAAGUAGUUUUUCAGAUUUUUAGAAGCGUUUACUAAAUUUUGUUAAAUACUUAUACUUUAUUUAAUAAUUGUUUUUUAAAACAGUUUUGCAGAAUGGUUUUUAAUAACAAUUUUUAAAAAUUAUUGAAAUGUUUUAUAAAAUAAAAGUCUGUUUGGAAAAUUGAAAUGUUUUUAACUUAUUUUUAAUAUUUUUAAAUAUAUUUUAAAAAUAAUUUUAUAUCCCAUACUUUAUUUUUAAUAAUUCUACUUGCUUAAAACAAGUGAAAACAAUAAAAAGCAACUAAAAAAAUAUUCUCCGAAAGCAUGUUUUUUGUUCUUAAAAACAUAAAACAAAAAACAAUUUCUAGUUACCAAACAUGUUAUCUUAUUUUUUGUUCUAAAGAAUAAAAAACUGUUCUCAAAAAGAGUUACUAAACAUACCUUUAGGCCUUAUUUGAUAAUUGCUUUUGAAACUAAUUCUAAAAAAUAGUUUUUAAGAUUAAUUUUUGAAAACCGUUCUCCAAUAUUUUGUUGAAUAAAAAUAUGAUUAGGAACUAAAAUAUUUUUAAUCUGUUUUUAAUAUUUUUAAAAAUACUUUUUAUGUCUACAACUUUAUUUUAAUUAUUAUAUAUGUUUGUAUAAUUAUUUUUUUAAAACAACACUAAAAUAAUAGUGAAAACAACUAAAAGAUGUUCUCUAAAAAUAUUCUAUAUUUUAUUUUUGAGAAAAAAAACAAUUUUUGAUUGCCAAACGUAUUUUCCAGUUUUUUUCCUCUCUAAAAAACAGAAAACUGUUUUUGAAAACAGCUAUCAAACAUACCCUUAAUUUUUUUCAAAAAUACUUUUUAAGUCAUGAUUCCUAAAAUCAAUGUAUAACCUCUAGUUAAAAUUGCUUCUCAAAUAUGAAUUUGAUGACUGUACCGUCCAUGGUGAUCAGUUACCUUACAGCCCAGUCGACCAGGCUAAAUAAUCCAAAAAUAAUAAUAAUAAUAACUUCCAACUACAACUCAUGCCAAAGAAACUUCCUAAAUAUCAACACACAUUCACCACCCAGUCCUAAAUCCUAUAUGGAAUCAAACUGCAUACUGUUAUUUAGAGAUGAUAUUCUGAACCAAACAAACCCAGACAAGAAGCUCCAACCAUGGCUGCUCUGCAUUCAGAAUGGAACCUCCACCGGAGUUACCCCCAUUUUUUCAAGUGCAGAUUGGAACAUCAUACCCACCAUUCAAUCGGUACACCUUACUCUUUUAUAUGGUCUUUGUCUAUAUAUUUGUCUGGAGUGUGGCAUGUGGAUGGUCUAAAUUUGAUAAUCCUUAGCCAUGACCUUUAACAAAGCUACAAAUAUAAUGACCCUCACAGUGAAUCAUCAAAUGUGAAAUAUCAUAAUCAUCCUAUACAUAUAUAAUAUCCUCGUUGUGGCCUUCACGGGUCUAAAACAAACCCCCACACAUGCAAAAGAGGCCAAUUCAUCCACAAGUGGGAGUUUAUAUAUAACCCACUAUAAAUAUGCCCUCAAACAUGGCCUCAUGCAUCCUUAGGGCUUAGAGUCAUCUCCCAGCUUAGGACACUGCAUAAAAAUGAAGAUUUCUCAUUACUACUGCAUCACUAGUCUCCUGCUUCUGAUUCUCUUCUGCUUUUCAGAGGGCUGGCGCGCUGAUCCCACAUAUGGGUUCACUGUUGUGCCCUUGACAGAAUGGAAUUUUGAACUGCAAAAGCCAUAUGAUGUGCCGCUGGAGGAGCGCUACAGCUAUGAAAAUGGAGUAAGGAAGCUGUGGGUGUAUGCUGAUGAUAAGCCCCAUGACCCUAACAGUCUCACUCAGCCACGGACCGAAGUCCGCAUUCGGGUACUCUUCCUCUCUCUUCCUCUGCCUAUACACCAUGCUUAAACACAGUACUCUCAUUGUGAUCUUCUUGCAGGGACUUGACUACUCAUCUGGGGUUUGGCAGUUUGAAGGGUAUGGCUUUGUGCCAAAUGGAACCUCUGGUGUGACUGUCUCCCAGAUACAUGGUGCAGCUCAGGCCGCUACAACUUUGAUUCUGAGGAUCUACAAUGGUGAUAUGAGGUACUAUAGUGCUGAUCUGAUAGCCACUGGUAUGUAUGAUAGGUGGUUCAGGCUUAAUGUCAUCCACGACGUCGAUGGGGGGAAGGUGACAGUGUUCAUCGAUGGCGUUCAGAAAUUUCAAGUGAAGGAUAAAGGGCCAGGAGACUUGUAUUUCAAGUGUGGAGUUUAUGCUGCCCCGGGUAAUAUCAGCUACUGCAUGGAAUCAAGGUGGAGAGACAUCAAGAUUUACAAAAAGUAAUGGUGAAGGAUUGAGAUCUUUGUAGUCUGUAUUGAGAAAACUCUUGAUUAGCUAUUAUGCAGAUGGACUUUUUCUCUCAAAUGAUUUUGGGAAGGACUGAAUGAUCAAGCUUAGUAAGUCAUGGACUCAUUUUCCAAUCAUGAAUCCAAUUUGAGGUCAUUGAAUCAUUAAAAAAUUGGUCCAAAAUCAACACACCAGUUAGGUUCCAAGUAAUAAUAAAAAACUAAGAAACAUCCAAGGAGCAUAGUCCAAUCUAAGUCACAAAAUGUGUAUAAACUAUAUCCUGAUUUUGAUUUGGAAUCAAAUACGCCAUUGUUUCUACUUUAGAAUCGGUGAGCUGGGCCAACUGCUCGACUCUGAGAAGUUGACAAGGAAUAACUGCAACAAGUUUCAGCCAACAGUUGUGUGCAAUGAAUCUUAUGUUCCAAAAUUUCCAGGAUGCUGGAACAGAUGACUGAAACAUCAUCAUGGUUUCAGCCUAAGUGGGCUAUUCCCAGAAAAAGAGAAGCCACAUCUAGAAGGUUAAUGCUAUUAGUUUUUGAAUCAUUCUUCUUAUAAUGAGAAUGCUUUAAUGCCAAAGUUUUUGCAAUGAGAAGCAGUUUUUAGAACCCCACAGAACUUAAAAGAGAGGAAAGCAAAAGGGAUCCAAAACUGUUUUCAUAAAACAGUUUCUGAAAUGUUUCUGUCUUGUAUAACAACCAUGGUUAAAUUAGAUUGUCCAGCUGCAAUCUUGUGCAAGUCCUCUUCCAUGAAUGCGAAGGCGGGCUUGGACCUUCUGUCUUAGAGCCAUGGCUUGCAGAUUCAGCUUAUUAACAGUUGGAAAACAAGUAGACCAGGAUAAGACUAGCUGAGCUGCACUCUUAUAAUACAGCAAAAGAUUAUGUAUCCCUUUUAUGUUGCCUAGCAAAUUUUACCUCUGUUUAUGGUAUUUUUCUUUCUUUUCAAGUUCUCAACUAGAAUCAGUCCAUUAAAACCUAUCUUUUCAACUGUAUUUCAAUUUUCACCAGAUGGUGGAGAUUAUGGCCCUAGAGAUUCAUGUAUUGGCUGGCCCCCAAUUAGCUCCUCAACAAACUUGACUGCUUCUCCUUCAGGCUUUGCUAUUGUUUAAUGUGAGGAUCUGCAUCCUCCAUGAAAAAAACAAAACAAAACAAAGUAGUCUUCUUCAUAGACCCCCUCAAUGAAGUCAAUAAUUUAAUCAUGUAGUACCUAUAAUUUUGAGCAGUAGACUCUAUACUCCCAAUGCUUCCAAGACUACGACAAAAAUAAAAGUUUUAGUACUAAAAAAUUUCUUUCUUUAAGUGUUCUAAAGAAUAUUUGAUCACAAAAUUCAGAUGGAUACUCUCUCCAACUAUAAAUUGAAAUGUCAAUGGAGACUAGGAAAAUUAAUAAGAAAGUUGAUAGUGGGGGGCACUUUCAAGUGACCUUCAUGAAAGGAGAGGAAAUGUUAAACAUAAACAGCCUUGUGUAAUCUUUGGAGCUGAUUAUAAACUUCAAACAAGGCUCUCACAUAGGGAAUAGAUGAUUAAGAAGAUGGUCAAAUACUCAUCUACAUGGUUCUGCCUAUUUUACUCAUCUCUUCUUUGGAAAUUUCACAAGUACUGCCAUGUUGACUGAUGCUGACCUUUUUAACAUGAGCUAUCAGUUUUAAGAAACAUAUGCUGUAACACCCUUUAGACGAAGUAAACUAGAUCGAUUAGGUAUAACAAAGCUCCAAAUUACUAGGCAAAGAUAUGACUGCACCUGGGGACCUGUAUUUCAAAUGUGGGGUUUAUGCAGCACCAGCUAAUUCAAGCAACUACAUGGAAUCAAGAUGGAAGGGAUCAAGAUAUUCAAAAAAUCAAGUCGGGAAUUGCAGUAACUAUGGCUAGAGUCAUGUAAACUUUGUUAUGUUGUUAUCCUAUAGAACUAUAGAAGCUUGUAUACUCUCAUGUGAAAGAAAGCAGCAGUGUAGAACAUGUCAUUUCCAUCUUUAAAAUCAGAAAUCACAGACUUCAGGCUUGUACUAGAGAAAAGAUGACAAAUUAAACAAAACAUAACAAAACAACAUGGGUUGAUGCCUCAUGGUAAGUGGCAACCUCAGCCACUUACAUUCCAGUUUUCAGUCCAUUAACCAUAGAGCCUAAAGCUUGAACAACAGCAUAAGAAAUCCAAAAUUGGGCUCUCUAUCUUGAGCAGUAACAUUUUGCCCAUCUGGGUAUGCCAGCAAGAAGAAGAAAGUUCACAAAAACUACAGUUCUCUCUGGCAUCUUACAGUUCAUUUGGCUUUACAUCAGAAACUUCCUUGGUAGGCAAAUUGCAAAAGAAAUGCAUUCAAGCAACAGCAAAAUUGAAGGGAAGGGAAAUUUUUUUGAAGAAAUCUUAAUUUGUCGUUUGAUAGUGUUAUUGAAAUAGAAAGAAAAUAUGGUGGAAAUCCAAAGGGGUUUGUAGCAUUUGAAACUCUUUAUUCUAAUUUUUCAAAAAAAGAAUCAGUGUGGGAAAAGGAAGAAUAGGCAAGUACCAGUAGAAGCAAAACUACUACGUCAAUAGGAAUUCAAGCAAAUGAUGAUAACUGAUAUCAGCAACACAAAUUAAAUUGAGUAAACAAGCGCGAUCCAUUAAUUCCACAUCCUCAAUUAGGUACUCUAAUCAACAAGAAGGAAGACAAAAGAAACCUAAUCCUCUUCUUAUACAAGCUCAGAAAGGAAAUCUAUGGUAAUAUCUUGACUAUUAUUAUCAAUCACCUUGAACCGAUCUAGAAGGCCAUGAAUGAAAUGAAUGAAAUGCUGAAGUGAAUAUAUUUUUUCUCUCUUUGUUUUUUUUUUUUUUGCUAAAUGGCACAUUUGUACAGCAUUAUGAGGUAAGCGAGAAGCCUAGGAACCACAGGGAAGGCAACACCAUUUCUCAAUCAGAGAAAAGAACCACUGUAGAGGGUUGGGAUCUGUGUCUUCUGAUGAAGAUGCAGUAGGCAGUGGUAGAUGUGGAGGUAAAUGCCGAUGAAAUGCAUCAACUGCAGCUGCUACCCCAUCUUCAUUCUCUAUCAAUUUUGCUAAUUCCAUUGCUUGAGAUUUAACCUGGGAGAAUCAAAACAUGCCCCAUUGGUUUAUCAAUUCAGCAUAUGCAGGCUACCAUGUGACCUCUCCUUGCAUGAAAGUGGAAAACCAAGUGCCUGUUUGGAUAUACUUCCUGUUUUUCUGUUUUUAAAAUCAAAAUAUAGUAGCAACUUUUAUAUAAGACAUAAGAAUUCUUAAAAGCUUACAUUGAAAAAGUAAUGGUUUUAAAAAAUGUUUAAAAACAUUGAGGCAGAAAAAAAAUAAAAUUUAGACCUCAAAGUUGAAAGUUUUAGAAAGUGGUUUUUAAAAAUAAAAGGCAAAUUUAUUACUACAUUCCAAUUUUAAAAAUAAAAGAUGAGAAGUGUAUCCAAACGGACACUAAACAACUAUACUAAAAUGACGUACCAUUCAUGUGCUGAAACUUUGUGACAAACAUAACAAUUCAUUCUAACACAAUAUGCUCAAUUAAGAUGACCAAAACCCUUUUUCCGUUUUUUUUCCUUUUUCUUUGGUGAAUCCCCAGGAUUGUGCUUCAGGAAUAGAAUUCUCACUUUUUUGUAAAUGGUAAAUGUCAUGCAGUAUAAAAUUACUUGCAAGUCUUUAAAUGCUACUUUUAUGUCCCUCAAUCUACAUUGAUUUAAUAGCUAAAUAAACAUGGUUGUCUCAUGAGAAAAAUAAUUUAAACCAGUUUUGCAAGGAUUUUGUUUCUACAGAAGAGGGAAUUAGGCUGAAGACAGUACACAGUUGUAAGUUGUGAGAGCUUCCAAAGAUGACUUAAAUGAUGAAUUUAUAAAGACCUGAGAAAAUAGAAUUGCCUCAUAAUUCUAGAUGGUAGAAUUUCAUUGUUUUCACUACUUAUCUGUAGGUUAAUGCAUUGAUAUGGCUUUGUGGGACCCAUUAAAUAUGUGACAUUUUCAGAUGAUCUUUUCAUGAGCAAUGGAGGAUAUAAUCAUAAUUACCUCUGGCUGGAGCAUGAAUCGUAUGGCAUCAGUAAGGGUCUCAACACUGAGCUGCGAUAUAGGUAUAGGUGCAGGCCCAAGUCCUCUUUGAUGAAUUCUAUCACCCCAGAAGAACUGAUCUCCAAAGAACGGCACUAUGGUUGUUGGACACUGAAAUUCAAAAUUUGGACGUCAAAAAAGACCAAAAAGUGGAAUUAUAUGCAGAUUGCAUGGUGCUAUGAAUGCAUACAAUCAAAAUCACUUAACAGGGAUUUUUCCCAUCAUUAACAUAAAAAUCUUUCAAAACCUUAAAGGCAGAAGUAUCUCAAACAAAUUGAAAAUUUUAAAUGAAUGUCAUUCUCAUAAUCAAGAAUAUCAAAAUUUGCAACAUUCAAUGAGAGAAUAUUACCCCAGCCUUGAGUCCUGUAGCUGUGGUUCCAGCACCACCAUGAUGAACCUGCAUAUUUGUGGCAAUACAGCUUCCAGUUAAUGGUCUGCUUUACAGACAGCAAAUUUACCAUGUUCAGCAAAAGUGCAUACAAAGAAGUCAUGGUUCUUGUCCCUAGAUUUGGAUGGCAUGACCAUAUUUCUCUGAACAAUACCAACUAGCAAUCAUCUGUUUUUAAUUUAAUUUAAUUUAAUUUAAUUUAAUUAAUUAAUUUAUUUUUGGACAAGUAGAGCAGGCCAAAAAGUGGAACUACAUUAAGUAGAGCCUGUCAAAUUCUUAAUUGCUUUAUCAACUAGCAAUCAUCUGUUUUUAAUUUUAUUAUUUUAUUUUUAAUAUUAUUUUAUUUAUUUAUUUUUGGACAAGUAGAGCAGGCUGAAAAGUGGAACUACAUUAAGUAGAGGCUGUGAAAUUCUUAAUUUCUGUACAACUCACCAAGGCAAGAUAAAAUACAACUCACCACAGCAGAACACCGAGGAAACAGCCAAUCAUGGGGACAUUCCUCCAGAAGAAAAACAUAAUCAGGAACUUCCGGAACUGUAGAAUAGAGGCUGAAGUAAGUGAAUUACCUAUUAAAAGGAGAUACAAGUUUGGAAUUCAAAACAACACCAUCUGUAUUUGAUUUUUGAAUAACACAUCAGGUAUAAUUGACAAUGUUCUUAGGUUUUUUUUUGUUUUUUUUUAUUUUUUAUGUUGAACACUUCUAGAGGAUCUUCAGAAACCUCUAUAUGACAAAGAAAAACAAAUCUCAAUAAGAACCUAAGGUAUUAUGAAAAACAUGAUGUAGAUUUUUUAUGAUGAUGAACUGUUCAAAUAAAACAAAAGUUGAGGGAGAGAGAGAAGUGAGGUCCCAAAACAUAACGAAAAAACAAGAAAUUUCAUUAAAAACUCAAAACAUUAUGAAAGAAGAAUCUGUAUCCUUUUUAUUAUGAUCAACUGUUCAAAUAGAACAAAGAGUUGAGAGAGAGACAGAGAGAAAACAAAUGUGAACACUAGGUUUAGAGAGAUGUGAAAUGGAAUAAGGGUAAAAUCAGAAGUAUUUUGAAGUUUUUUUAGAAUUCUGAUACAUCCACUCCAUAGAGAAGAUGGCCUUUGAUAUAGUCAAACCCAAGUAUUUCCAAUUAUUACAAAAAGAUCUUCAGAUCAAAUAGAUGAAAAGAAUGAAUCAUUGUUUUUGGCUUUUUCUUCAAACUUCACAAUGAAUCAUUGUUUCAUCCCCUUUUCUUCAACAAGUCAAUCUUGUAUUCCAAUGUUCAGGAUCACUUCAGAAAGAAUCAACUAAAAUGAUUCUACGUAGAACUCAACCAAGUCCAAGUGGUUUUUGGCCACAAUUCAACACGGGGACAUCAGAAGAUGAAAAGAAUAUCUUUGUGAAACGUUUGAGAAUUAACCUAACAAACUCAAAUGCAAUCUAGUUAAAAGUCUCUUUCCUUAACAUUUGGUUUCUGAGUGAAACAGUUUGAACAACAAAAAUGAGCCCCUUAAAAAGUAACUUCCUUGAAUCAGGCAAAUAUCACUGAGGCUUCAUUUUGAGAAGUACCAAAUUGUGAAAAUGCAGUUACAUGCACAAUAAGAAUAUGAGCAAUAAAGCAGAAGCCUCUUGCAGUUAUUAUGUCUUGAUUCAAGCACAAUACAAGCUUUAUCAAUGUUUAACACAAAAACACCUAGAUUGAUAAGACACAGGAAAAACUGAAAAUUAUUCUUAUUAGUGGAGAGCAAAGCAGGCAACUGACCCUAAGUUGACAAAGGCAUAGAGUCCAUGAAGGAAUGCACAUCAAACCAGAAGCUAUUACCAAGCAAUAUGUAAUUUUGCCAAACACUCAGAAUUUAAGAUAUAAAGUGAGAAAAAGUGCAACAGCUUAGCACCAAUAAGAAGACACUCACGAAUUCCAAGGCCUCCCCAACCUCGGUCAAUUACUCCCCUCUGACCUGUAUCUUUCAAUGCCUUUAAUAUGAUAUCCGUAGUUUUCUUGGGAUCUUCAAGAGGCUUAACAAGAAACAAAGUAAUCUUUUCAAUUAUAAGCUUUUCAAAAAUAUCAGCAGAAACAGCAUGUUCUACAUGCCAGCAAAAUGAAUCAUGAAUAGAAUAGAAAGUUUAUAUAGAAUCCUUACACCUGUAGAGUAUAUGAAGACAAACAAUGAACUCCACCCAUCACAACAACAAAAUUUUAAAAUUUUGAAGGAAGAAAUUUGACUUAGUAGGUUCAAUAGUACAAGUUAGAAGAAGACUGUUUCUACCGACAUUAUGAUUGCCUAGACUGUCUGAUAGAGGAUUAAGUUAAUUAGUCAUCAAGAUUUUAACUAGGAUACCAUGGCGUGGUUCUGGUCAAUGAAACCCAAGCGAUACAAUGUUGUGGCCAAUAGAAAGACAAAUGAAAGAAAGAAAAAAAUGCUAUAACACAAUCUAGAGAAAAAAAAAUUUAGCAAUUUAAUUUACCUAAAAUAUAUAAGUUAACAGGUUUACUUGAUCAUCAUACCCAGGGUGAAAACCCUCUGUUGCAUAGGAACCAACAAGAAGCACAAAUCAUAAAUCCUUUUACCAAUAGUUUGAAGUAAGAUCACCAUACCAUGCUCCCAAAACCUAUAUAUAUAGGUUUGUCUCCUUUUUGGAUCCACUGAACAAACUCUUCUUGAGGUUGAUACCUGGACCCAAGGUUUAAGAAACAAUAGCCAACAACAUCAACUAAGGAGCCCCAAUCUGCAUUGAAGAAGUUUGGGAGGUAUAAGUGCAAAGUGCCCACAUGAAUAAAGCUGGAUAACGCUUCAAUUUGAUUAAAGUUAACACAGAACCAUGGCCUAGAAUUACUUUUAGGUGCCUCACCAUGUCGCAUUUUAAUUUGGUGAGGGAGAAGAGGAUUAGAAAAGCAGUAGUUAGUUACUGAACAAUCUCCCAGUUUAACUAAAAACAAAACAUCAGAUAAAAUACAAAAAGAAGUAUUGGCUACCUUCUAACAGAAAUAAUUGGCCCUUCAUUUUAGCAUUGGAAGCCCUAAAGUCAAAAAAUAUUGGCAAUACUUCCCCAAUAAUUUUUUAUAUUCUUGUUCUUAUUAACAAUCACCUAAGACGAGGUAAAGGGAACCCAAACAACAUGUAACAUAGGUGAUGUCAAAAAGAAGAAGAAUAACUACAUGACAUACAGCAGAUUGAAGGACAAAAAGGCUGUCCAGGCAUCAAUUUUUUUUGUACGGGCCAAAAAUAAAGUAUGAAAUCUAAGAGACCGUGUAGUUCAGUCAUUAUCAACAAAAGAAACAUAAAAUGGCUAAAUAUAAAUCUCAUAUUAUAGCAUGUUAGUUUGCACUUUGUAUAAACAAAGCCAUUUUCACCUUUUGGUUUUGACACAACAUGGGGACUCCACAUGUAGCCUGUUGGCAGAUGAGAUAUUGACCCAUGGUAAGUACUGAAGUAUGCAAUAGGAGGAAGCUUCAACUUCUUUUUCCUGAAGUCAUUAAUAUAUCCUCUUAUGCCCCACCAUAUCAGCAAAUCCACAACUAUAUAUGAAAGCUGGAUCCAGCAAACAGAAAAUAAGGAAGAGAUAUUUGUAAGCACAUCCAACAAGGGAAAAUGAAAGAAAAGAAAGAAAAGAAAGAAAGACACCAAAAAAAAAAAAAAAAAAAAAAAAAACAAAUGCAGAAGAAUCUGGCAGUAAAGAAAAUACCCAAUAACCAGCACUUCGAGGUACACGAGCCAAUGGAUGAGAAAAUUCAUAUGUUGGCCUGCCUAUUGAAAGCAGAUGUAAGAAGGCAUUGCCUCGUAUAAUGUUCUCCGCAAAAUAAAUAAAAUUUUAAAACAAUGCCUUUGUAGUACACAACUAAAAUUUAGCUCCAUUUGCAUUAUUGGCUAAUUCCCUAAGACCUUAGGCAUUAGGGCACAUGAUAGUCUAAUAAAAAAAAUGUCUCUUCAUAUAAACACUUCCUUUUUUUUUUUAAUGUUACUUUGAAAAUACGAACAGCAACUUAUCUUAACAGAAAGAUCCAGAUUAUUUGUGCACUCAUUUUUUUUUUUCUUUCCAAUGAAUGUUUAAAGAGCAUGCCUUUGGCACACAAGUGUAUUUGCUUGAUUGGCAUUAUUGGCUCAUUCCCUAAUACCUUAGGCUUUGGAUAAGCAAUAGUCUAAUAGAACAGACUUCACUUCAGUUAAACAAUUUGAUUCAUGUUGCUUUGAAAAUAUCAACAGCGAUGUAUUUUCAGAGAUAGAUACUUCCAGAUGAUGAGUUCACUUGUUUUAUCUUCUUUCCAGUGAGUCUCUGUUGAGUGUGGAUGAGAAGAUGAGAAGCAUGUCUUUCUCACUAAGAAUAAACAGACAGGGCCAAAACAUCCUACUGCUAAGAUAACAGACAUUAGGUAAAUGAGACAAUAUUCCAGCCUCUCAGCCCCAAGCCAUAUUGCAAACUAGUUGGUUUUGAGGUUGCAAUACCUGAAAACUACAUCUAUUUUAUAGGUUCUUGGCAGUGGUGGAGCCAGAAAGCUUGGUUGGGGGGGCAAAAUUGUUCACAAAUUUGAAAAAUAUGAUAUCCUUCUUAUCCUUUUAAGGAACUAAGUAGUUUAUGUAUUUAUAAAAGUAUACAAAAAUAUUACAUUAAAUCUGCAACUUUUCAAUAAUGUUGGCAAAAAAACAAAUAUUAAAAGAAUUAAAAAAUGAUUAGAAAUAUAAUUAGAAAAUUUUCAAUAUUUUUUCAUUAAAAAAUCCUUCAAAUUUUUUUUCAAUAAAUUUCAUAAUUUUUUUUAAUAAAAUUUGAGAUUUUUUUUUCUUGAAUAAGUAUAAAAUCAAUUGAAAGUGAUGAAAUCUUUUACUUAAAAAUUACCGAUUAUUUAGUAAGAUCCCUAACAUUCAAUAUCUUGAUAUUUAAACCUUUAAUAAAUUCAUAUAUCAACUUAAAUAAAGUAUAAAUAGUUACAAAGAAUUUGAUACUUAUCAUUGUGUACUGUUCAAAGUAUUUUAUUGGUUAUAUUAUCUUCAAUGGCUAAGACUAAAUAUUGAUCCAAUUAAUGUGAAUAAAUUUAAAAUUUUUAAAUGAUGGAAGAGAAUAUACCAUGAAAAAAAUUAUUUAAUAAAACAUAAGGUACAAAAUGAUAAAAAAACUUAAUUUUAUUCAAAAAAAAAUUAUAAGAUGGAAAAAAAAUUAAGAUAAUGUUAGCAUAUGAGAAAAUAAUGAUAAAGAUAGAACAAAAGGAAACGAUAAGUAGGGAUAUUAAAUAUAUUUUAUAAAAUAUUUUAUUUUUUAAAUUUUAUUUAACUUAAUAAAGUAAGGGUUAAUUUCACUCAUUUAGAUUAAAUAUACUAAGCUCAAUGAGAUCUAGAUUAAACACUUAGCCAUUAUUGACUUGAAAUUUUAUUAAAUAACUCCUUUAUUUUAAGGUGAAAGGAAAACAAAUGAAUAGGAUAAGGGAGGAUAUUUAAUGAAAUUUCAAACUAAUGGUGGCUAAAUAUAUUCAACACAAACCUCAAGGGAGAUGAGUGAAAUUAAGAGUGCGUUUGAUAGCGUUUUUACUUAAAGUGUUUUUAGUGGAAGUGUUUUCUUUGUAAGUGUUUUUAGGAGAAUCACCUAUCAAGUGUUUCUCCAAAAAACAUUGUAAGUGAUUACUCAAUACAAGAAGUGAUUUUUCAAAUUUUUAAAAGUGUUUCGUAAAUUUUGUCAAACACCUAAUUUUUUUUUUUCAAAAACAUUUUUUAGGCUAAAGGAACUUCUUAAAAUCACCAUCAAACAGACUCCAACUCUACAAAGUAAAUUUACUUUUUAGUUUUAUUUAAAAUUUAUAAUAUUAUUUUUAUUUAAACUUUUUGUGGUAUUUGAAAUGUAAUUAUUAUUUUAUAUUUUAAACAUUCAAAAUUAAAUUUAUAUUUAUAGGGUUCAUUUCUAUUUUUUUUUUAAAUCUCUAGUUAUAUAUAAGAUUUUUUUUUUUUUUUUUUGGAAUUUGAUGGGAUAAUACAUAAGAUUUUUUUCGUCCUUUUUUUUUGGGGCGGAUGCCCCAUCGGGCCUUUACUAGAUCCGCCUCUAGUCCUUGGCACAUAGACUGCACAUUUCUAAUAUUUAAACAAAAAAUAUAUGUGUUAGCCUAAUGAUAUCGAGGGCCUAAAUCAUAACAGCUUAAGCUUUUAGAAAAGUCAGUAACCUAACAAUAUGCAACAUAUGUUUCACAAGUGAAGGAGGCACCUAUCACAUAUUAAGCAUAAGGCAGUGCCAGAGUUGUUAACAUGGUUCUUAGUAGCAUAUUUCUGAAUGAGCGGUUCCACAUUCAAAUUAAGAUGCAAGGAAAGUCUAGUUGAAACUCACGUCCAAGGCAUUGUGAAGAAGAUAUGGAGGGGUAUACCAAGAGCUUCAGCAACAUGUGCAUGUCCUACAACUCAAAAAUAUUUUAGAAUUCCAACGUACAUAGUUCAGAAAAAGCAAUGACAAAAGAAAAUAUAAUUAUUUAUCGAAAGUAGAGGAUACAGAGUUAUAAACGCAUCCUUAAGAACUAUAAUGAAUUGAUAACCAAGCAUCAGUUCACAUAACAUUACAACUAAGUUUCUCCAUAAUAACAUGAACAAAAUGAAUUGUCAAAGAGAGUUACAAUAGGACAACAAAAGAUAGGAGACCUAUCCUGACAAGGCCAAUAAAAUUUUUUUAUGGUAGCCCAAUUGUCAACCUAAUGCAAUUUGUGUGAAAUCAAGGUUUGGUUAAUCUCAGUUUUGAUAAUAACAAAACAAGGUUUGGAAGUAAAAAUUAUAUUUCAAGUGUGAUUAGGCAAAAAAAUUUCCAAAGUGGCAAUCACAAAAACAAAAUCAAGCUAAGAGUAAUCAAUAAGAAGAAAAGAUCUCAAAGAGAAGUGUUUUUCAAGAUCUAAGCUUUAUAGGAUCUCUUUGUAAGGUUGUUGGUGUGCUAGGUCUUUCAUGCAUUACAUUAUUAAUUUACGCACCAAAAUCAUUCAAAAGUAAUUUUGUUUUAAAAUUGGACGAUUUCAUGUUUUCAACUAAAACCUUACGUUAAAUGUUUUCCAAACUUGUUUAAAAGGUUUUAAGUUGAAAAUGAUGAUUGUUGAGUCAAAAAUGGCUUAACCGGUUAAAUUGGAUGAGGAACCGGUCGACCUAUUUAACUCAACCGAUCGAAGGGUGCAAAAACCUUCUCUCUCUUCCAGAACGCUUAUUCAACAUGUCAAGGUUGAACCUCAACCAGUUGAGGUCCGGUCAAGGGGCAGUCAAGUUCCAACGGUCACCUGCCAAACAUUAAAUACUAACGGCUAGUCAACCGAUCGACCUUCAACUUGACCGGUCGAACCCCCAAUGGCUAGUUUGGUCAUUUUCCUCUAUAAAAAAAGCUUUAAUCUUCAUUGUUUCAAGAGCUUAACCUUUCUAAACUUUUCCCGAAUAUAUUUGAGUCUUGGGAAAGUGUUUUUGAGUGCACUAUUAUUCUAAAACUUGCAUAUCAUUAGUGCACCUUUCAAUAUUAGUUUUUCUUGUACAUUUGAGCCUAAAGUUUUGUACUAGGAUUUUGUGAUAAUAUUUCCUAUCUUCAUUUGUAAAUCUUUGAGAAGAAAAGUCUAAAUGUGUGAUAUCACUUAGGGAUUCUCAAGUGUGGGGUAUCACUUGAGGUGUUGUUCAAGAGUGGGGUAUCUCUUGAGGAUUGUAAAGGGUGCUUGGAGCCAAAAGUCCAAGAGGGUGAAUUGGAAUCAUAAUCCAAUUGUAUUGCUUGAAGGCUUGGUUUGGAAACCUUGAAAUAGUGGAACCUCAAGCUUAGGAUUGAAGCUAGAGGAGAGUGGACGUAGGCCAAAUUGUGUCGAACCACUAUAAAAAUUUUGUAUUUGCAUUCUCUCUUCCACACUUUUUUACUUAUCUUUAUAUUGUUUUAUUAUAUAUUUGCAUAUAAUUGUCUCUUGUAUUCAUAUAAUUUAAAUUUGCGAAAAGAGACCAUCACUCUAUUCACCCCCACACCUCCCUCUAGGGUGAUUACCUUAGGUUAGAUUAGCCUAAUUUUUCUAACAAUUUGGUAUUAGGGAAAUUGGGGACAAUGGCUAUGGGAAUAGAGCAGGAAAGAACACUUGAGUACCUAGUAGUGCAGAAAGAGUUUUACAGGUGUCCAGAAGAAUGGAUCAUAACAACACAAGCUAUAGACAACUAUAAAUAUUUAUUCUUCUAAUAUUAAUGAUGCAAUCAUGAUAUGGUUGAUUUCCAAUCCAAGAUGGACUUUAUGACUUAGCCUAACAAGGGUUGAAGUCCCUUUCAUGUGCUUUAAUUAUCUCCCUUACUUUUUUUUUCCUAGCGGCUUUAUAUUUUUACUAAGUAGGAAUAUCUCUGUCACACUUUACCAAAAAGUGACAUGCUUGCUUAAGGGUGAGUCUGCCUGGACACCUUAAUUAAGGAGAAUGAAGGCUAAGAUAUGAUUUCAUUAGGAUUUCCCUAAGCAGAUUGUAGGAUUGUCUUGUAGCCCUUUGUGCCACUGUUUUCAAAGAGAAAAAGAAGAACUUCUAAAGUUCUCAAGGUUAGGACAUUCAGCUCUGUUCUAAAGAAAAUUAUAAGCCUUUCAUUUUCUUCUUUCUUUAUCAGCAUUUAACCAUGACCUUGUGAUGUAUGGUAUAUACUGUGCUCAUGUACAUAAAUACAAUCAAUAGAAAAAUAAAAAACAGAAGGGCUAGAAGACGAAAAUAAAGGUAUAACUUCAAUGAACUCACCAUAAGCAGGAGGGUUUGCAAUAAUUGCCUGAGCUCUAAAAGGCACACCAGUUUCUAUAUCUGGUUCUAUGCAUGCUGGAAGAAGAGAUUCAAUAAUGGCCUUUAGCUGCUUUCUUUGUACAGAUAGUUCUCCUGGUCCAGCUGGAAUGAAACCUUUAUUUCUGGCCAUAUCUAAAAAUUAUAAAAACCCGUACUUACUAAUUGAAAAAAACAAAAAAAACAAAAACAAAAACAAAAACAAAGAGAAACCAAGCUGAUAAUAUCAACCAUAUUUCUGAAAUAGUUAAAACAGAGCUUGGGAAUUGAAGGCCUUUGUCUCAAGAGAUUGAAAUCUUGAUCUGUAUCUCACUUCUCACCAAAACAAAAUUUGUACAUUGUUUCUAGAGGUAACCUUAAUAGCAGGGCACCGAUUUGCAUAAAGCCCUAGUUAAAACAUUAAUUUGUCCAUUACAUAAAACUGUUAUGUCUUGCUUGGCAAUUGUUUUCAAGAACAAUAUUUUAUUCUCCAAAAUAAAAAAUAAAAAAUAAAAAAGAAAAACAGGAAAACAUGUUUAAUAAUCAGAAAACUGUUUUUCUUUUAUGUUCUUAAAAACAAAAAACAUGUUUGUUUUCAGAGAACAUUUUUUAAUUGUUUUCACUUGUUUCCUGAGGUAUUUUAAAAAAUAAUUGUAUAAAUAUGAAAAAUGAUUAAAAAUAAAGCCCCAUAUAUAAAAAUUAUUUUUAAAACAUAUUUCAAACCAUUAAAAAUAGGUUAAAAACAUUUCAAAUUUCUAAAUAACCUUUUUUUAUACAAAACAUUAGAGGACAACUUUAAAAAAGUAUUCUCAAAAAUUGUUUUUCAGAAUUGUUUUCAAAAACAGUUGCCAAACAGGCCCUUAUCGUUCCAUCUAAUAAAAAGAAAUCAUAUACAUGUAUUAAAUUGCAGUCUGCCAAGGGUCCGUAAAGGCCAUGGCAAAACAGGUAACAGAAAGGGAUAAUUGUGAAAAGGAGGGUCUAAUAUAAAGUGAUCUACUAAUAAAUCAUCAUGAUAAAGCAAAUCAAAUUUUGUUGGAAAAAAAUAUAAAAUUCCAAAACUAAGAGCCUCUUACAUCCUGCCAAAACCCGAGGAUCACCACCCAAAGGAUAGAAGUCCACACCAGCUGACUUUACAAAAGUACAGAAGUUACUAUGAGUUGCCAACCUAACAUAAUGACCAAAUUCCUGCAGGUACACACAGAAUCAGUUUCAACAAAGGAAAAAAGUGAAUAACAAGGUCUGCUCAUCCCAAAAACUAGAAACAUUGGGCUACACAAUAUUGAUGUAAGUAACUUAUUCUGUCCAGCACAAAAUAAUAGCACAGGUAGGUUACUGACGCUUAAGAUCAACAAGAUUGAUAUUUUGUAAACCACAGCCAACCUACCACUCCAUGAGCCCUAAAAUUCAUAAAAAGAUGAAAGAAGGUUUUGAUGCAUAAAGCAUUACUGGAAUCAAGCUAUAGGCUGCAAUCAUGCACAGCAAUGGAUAGACUCGUCUUGUCAUGCUCAUUAACCAUAUCCACACUACACCACAACUAUUUGAGGCUCUCCAAAAGAGGUGCAACUGGAUUACCCAUGCAAUAAGUAAAAUGCAAAAAAUUGAGUGAUUCAUCCCAUGGUGCUGCAUCUUUAGAAAAAGGAAGAAGUGAGAAGCUAAAAGAUAUCAAUACUUUGAAGGCUUCCAUGAAAAACCACAAAGAAGGGAUGCAAGAGGAAAGGCUUCAAAAACAUUCAACCCACUCUUCAUGAUUAAACAAGAAGCUCUUAGAUAUCAUUCUUGCAGCAUGAUCAUUCAAUCUGAAACCAGCAAUUGGUUUAGAUACCAUUUCAAAAAACUAAAAUUACUAUUUCUUCUUCCAUAGAGCUAUUUCCAAUACUUUAAUAGCUCUUUCAAAGAACCAGAAGUAUUAUUUCUUCCAUAUUGCUAAAACUCCAGUUUUUAGGCAUCAUAAGAUUGUGACAAUGUUUUCAAUAUGUGGGAUUCAAAGGUAGUUUCAGCAUUAGCAUAUUCCAACUCCCUUCAUCCAUUGUUCUUUUUAUCAGAUAAAGCAACAGAUCAAUAUUGUCCCAGUUGAACAACCAAUUUUCAUAAAAGUUUAAGCUUGUAUGAUUUAUGUUCAUAGAGUAUAUCAUGCUCUUUAACACCAUCCCACAUGUGAAGUCUCAUACCCACAUGUGGAGAGAGACAUAGGCUUGUAGGCAAAUAACCACAGUUAGCCUCUUUUGGGCCUACACAAUAAAUUAGGGAAAUGAAUAUGAGAUAAGCUUUGAAUACAUGACUUCCUGCCAAACGAGGCUUUGACAUCAUGUUGAACUAACAAUUUCCUAGAAUUUUGAACUUGUAAGGUUUGAGUUCACAAUGCAUAUCACGCUCUUUAACAAUCCCCUUACCUGGAUCAGUGCCAUGAUAGCUAAAGCUGUGCAAAUUGACAUCUAUGUUGCAUGGAUUUGGGCAGGGGUGUUGGUUGUAGGUGUAUGUUGUAGGAUACGGGAACUCAUCAGCAAAAUGAUCUUGAAUGGUACUUAGACAUGACAUGAUACAGGAAAAAAAAACAUAUCCUUAAUAAAUAAAUAAAAUUCUCUUUUAUUGCCUAUUUUUAAAAAAAAGAAAAAAAUCAUUAUAGAUUAACCUUGAAUCCAGAAUUGCCUUUCCUUUAUAACUUUAUUUGAAGCAAAAUAGGAGGUUUCCAACGAGAAUCCCACACCUACACCCUUGUCAUGUCAUGUCGACAUAGGUUAGUUGAAUGAAGUUGAAGGGUUUGGGUAUCAUAGAUUAACCUUGAAUCCAGAAUUGCCUUUCCUUCAUAACUUUAUUUGUAUCAGUGAUGAUAUUAAUGGCUUGCUCCCUUAGCACAAUUGUUGAAGGUGGAUGCUAUCAGGGGCCAGGUUCUAAGGUAGUCAAUGGUCUUUUGUUUCCUCCCAUAAAUCAUCAUAUUUUUCCAUAAUGUCCCAAAAUAGGGAAACACCACUCAUGAUGCACACAUUAGGCAAGAUUAGGAUUUGAUGUAGGUUCCUUAUAUUAAUUUAGGAGCUUUUAGGAUUAAAGCUUAAGAAUAUUAUAUUUCAAGGUUGUCAAUAUUGAGAUUUAUAUGGGAUCAAUAAAGAAUCUAUCAGAUUGCUUUUCUAUAUUCGAAACAGAAUUGUGAAAUAGUCGAUAUUUUUUUUUUUUUUUGAUAGGAAACGACAACGGGAUAUAUUGAUAAAAAGAAGUUACAACUAGAAGGAUGAGAAAUCCUCCCACCAAAGAAAAACAAGACUACAAGAUCAAAUAAAAGAAAUACAACUAGAGAAUAAGCAAACGGUCUAUUUACACACCGCUAACCAAUCAAGUUGUAACAUGUUAAGAGGAAUCCCUUUAAAAACCUUAGAACAAAAAGCCCAUAGAGAAGCCAAAAAACGAAUAGAAUCCCAAAGACACCCUGAAUUCCUUGCUUUAUCCUCAAAAAUCCUUGCAUUUCUUUCCCGCCACACCACCCACAUUAACGCGAUGCACGCGUCUUGCCAUAACACAACCCCUCUCUUAGAAGAACCGAAACCAUUAAAAUUAGUAAAGAACAUGUCAGAGAUGCUCCUUGGGGAAACCCAAUCCAUCUUUGCUAACUGAAAUAAUCUGUGCCACAACCCCUUGGUCAACGAGCAAUGGAGGAAAAGGUGAUCUACUGUUUCUCCAUGCUUCAUGCACAACUUACAUAUGUUGGGACUAAGUGCUUUGUGGGGUCUUCUCAAUUGUAGCAAGUCAUUAGUCGAUAUGAAAUACAUGUGAGCCAUAACUAGCUCAAAAGUGUCCACAUAUGAGGUUAUGCCUCAUUAAGGCCUUAUACUUUUGAGGCAAUGACUGGGACUCAGGCCUCAAGGCACUCGUUCAACCCAUAAUUCCAAAAAUUCCCCUCAAGAGAAAACUUUGUCUUUUAAAAACUGCUAGCCAACUUUACAAUGAAUAUUGAAGAUUAAACAAGGAUAGACAAUCCCACCCCAAAUUCAUGAAUAACAAUCACACACAAUAAUACACACACAUAUCACAAACUAAAUUUUGGGCAAGAUAUUUUAUAGUAAACUGACAAAGUUCUUUGUCAGCUUAUGAAGGAAAUUCCACAAACAUAUGGAAAAUAUGUUUCCUUUGGAAUCAGAAAACAAAUGAGAGAUCACUUGUUAUUCCAUCAGCAUAGUAACAAAUAAUAUUAAACCUAAGGUCUCAACACUAAACUUUUGGGUUUUGGGAGAAGCUGAUGUAUUGAACACACCUGAAGUCUCUUUGCCACUGCCAGAAAUGGUUGUACAUCUCCUCUUGUUCCAACCACAAGCAUCACAAUUUUCAACUUUGGAACUGAUUUAUUGAAUUCAAAAUAAGAUUCAUCAAUAUGAAUGGAUGAUAUCCCUUCAAUAGCACGGAGCUCUAACAACUCUGAAGCCACAGGUGCACUAUUAUCUAAAUCAACCUCCACCGUCCCAUCACUUUGGAUCUUCACUAGGUUUGCUAUUAAUUUUUGCUGAGAACAAGAACAUAUUGGUAUUAAUGGAUGCAAAGUAAUACAAGAAGGAUACAGACAUAUAGGGAAAAGAAAAAAGGAUAAGCAUUUCUCAUUAGUUUCUAAACAGAGAACCCAACAGAAAAGCAGGCUUCUCGAAUGGCAGCAGAAAUUAGUAAGUUCAUGACAAAGCAUACAAAACAUAUUGUAAUUUAACGUUAGAUCAAUAAUGGAGAAAACAUUAUUAUCUGGCAGCUUCAGGUGUGAGCUGUCAGAUUAUGAGGGGGGUGAUAUCAAUAAAUGUGCAUGGUGCCAUCACUCUUACUCAAGCACAAGAUGUAGACUAUGGUAUAGUAUAGAAUGAUACAAUUACACAUAUAUAGCCACCCCAGAUAUGCAUUUGUAAUAUAACACAUGUUCUGGUUGUGUACUUGACUAAUUGUAUAGUAACACCGAUAAAAAAUAUGGGGCAAGAUUUGCAAGAAUGAGUGUUGAAACUUGCAGUGUGUGAUUCUGAUAUUCACCUUUGCACGUUCUGACAGUCUAUCUAAUUUUAAGUCAUGCCGUGGACCCUCCUUCUUCUCAGUCAUAGAUCUAAAUAAUCCAAUCUCAUUGCCGUCAAUUAGCAAAUUUUUGUGUGUGCCAGCAGGAGCAGUGAUGCAAUGAUCCAAGCCUUCAAGAAAGAUGCCUUGAUGUCCGUUAACAUUUCAAUAAAAUUUAACAAAGGCAAAAUAAAAAAAAAAGGAACACAUUUCUAAACAAUAUAGCUAUAAAUUCAAGAUAACAUAACAAGAACCAAGUUUGACUCUACAGUUUGACUCCAUGAGUUCCACAAGAGGUGAGCACUAUAAUUCAUUACAUCUCAUUGUAAGACUAUAACUGGCAAGGAAGUAUUCUAAAUCUCAAUAUAUAAUAACUUUCAAAAUCAUUAUUUUUUUUUUAUUAGACUUUCAAAAUCAUUAUUGGAAAUUGUAAAGUAAUAAAAUAAACAGUAUGGUGCUAUAAAAAAGCUAUAAACGACUUUGUUAUGCAGUAAAUGCAUAUCAAAUCAAAUCAACAGAUGCAUAUGUGAUCAACAUAGCUCAACUCAAGAAGACCCCAUUACAUACUAAAAGGAGAUGCUGUGAACAUGUGCAUAGUCAAAGGUCUAACUAAAAUGGGAGACUUUAACCCAAUACUAAACAAAAAUAACAAAAAAAAAAAAACAACAAAACAAAAGCCCACAUACAAAACAAAACAAGCAAAUAAACAAACCUUAAUGGGACUUGUGGAUAAGGAGCUUGCUAGUGCUGCAUAAGAUUCUCAGUGAAGUUCAAAAGAGCCUUUUAACUUUAUCCUGGUUUCAAGGCCUACCAAGGACCUCACCCUACACGUUCAAGCUUAUUAAGGAUAUUCUAAAUGUAUCAGAAAGUGAUCUUAGUGAUCCACUUGUACAUAAAUUCCAUGAUAAGCAAUGAAAAAUAUUUUAUUGUAUUGAUGAUGAUAAAUCUCCAAGAUCCACUUAAGAAAUGAAUGAAAGGAAAUAAAGAAACCCUAAAUUACCCUAUUAAGGGUAUUUAGGUAAUUUUGCAUAUAAUUGGUUAAUAAUUGCUAUUUAAGUUGCAUUUAAAAUUUGGGGAUUUUUUUGCUACAUGAGUUAGGUUUACUUUUUCAUAGUUUUAUUCAAUUUUAGGGUUUUCUAAAGCCUAUAAAUUAGGAUGAAUGAUUAAUGAUGAAUAAUAUUAAGUUUUCUUACAUACCUUGCAAUUUCCAAUAGUCAGACUUUAUUGCCCUUCUUCUAGCUAAGACUCCUAAAAUGCCUUAUUAAAAAUCCAAGAAUACCUUAUCUUUUCUAUCUUUACUUCCCCCCAUUGUUAUAAUUUUAUUCUCUUUCUUCUCCUUAAACCCUAAAUGAUUAAAGUUCUAAGCCACUUAUUUGAUUGUAAACAAUCAUCUUAGGGUUGCCCUACAUCAAUUGUCUUACAUAUUGCUAGUCUCACAUUGCUAUGGACUAUUUAACGAGAAAGAAAUGCGAGGAUUUUUUAUAAUAGAUGGAGGUGUUUGGAGCCAAUUCAGGACUUGCUUUAUUUCUCAUCUUCUCUUUCUGAUUCAACUCAGAAAACCUUUGCAAGCACACCUUUGAGACUUACAUCAAUAGAAUGAAACCUAAUGUGCAAGUCCACAAGAUUGACUAGGGAGACAAUUUCUGUAAGGUCACUACCUUCUGUGGGUUUUAUCAGUUGAAUUUUGAUGGGUAUUUUGUUGGGUAACUCAAGACAUCUAAGGAUUGAAGGAUUGCAUAAAAAUCAUUUUUGGUACAGUGGAAAGAGCUCCCUCUAAACCUCUUGGAGAUGGUUUAGCCAUUGAGGCUGUAGUUUUAGCCCUGUUGAAGGUGUGGCCCAAGGCAAUGCUUUUGGCCUUUCCAAUCUUUUAGUACGGGAAUAUUCUGCUUGUCAUAUCAUGAGUAACAAAAAAAGAAAGGACUAUGGAGGCUUGAUGAGCAGCUUAACUAAAUUUUUUAUAUUGCUUCAAAGUUGGGUUGUUCCUUUGAUGGAUUCCUUAAUUAGCUAAUUAUUCAUGAACUUUUUAGUAAAGAAUGGAGCUAAACAUUUGGAGUCUUUCACUGGGGAUUCUUAAACUUCCUAGGUAUACCCAAUGAUCUUUUGGUUUUAAAUGUGCAGCCAUCAUUAUGUGUUCAGUUAGCCUUGAUUUUGAAGCAGUGUAGGCUUACUUUUCUUCUUUUUAUCAGAUAUUGUACAGUUGAUUGUAUAUUUGGUGAAAGGAUUCCAUAAUUGUAUUUAUUACUUUACAACAAUGAAAUGGCUAUUUUGGUUUAAUAAAUAAAAAAUAAAAAAGAAUUCUAUUUCAGGGAUUUUCAUUCACAAGUUUUCUGUCAGAGUGGAUCUUAUGUGCAUGCCUAAACCAAACAAUUAAAUGGAAACAUGAAUGGUAAAUCGUACUAAUAAUAUCAUCCAUCUUAAAAGCUACAAGAGCAAGCAGCCAUAAAAUGGGUUAUUCCUCUAUGAAGAUGUGUCAUUUCAGAGAGAGAAAAUAAUUUCAAAUCUUAUUACAAUUGUGUCCAUCCACAAUCCAUUUCUGAUGGGUGCAUAUUGAUUUCUUCACAGGCAUGAACUCUUUAAGUACAUAGUGUUGAGAGGGCACACCCCAUAUUAUUAUUAUUAUUAUUAUUAGUAGUAGUAGUAGUAGUAGUAGUGACAGACUUCCUUUUUGCUACAAUGUAUAUACACCAUGCCCUAUAAUCCAGCUAUCAGACCUAGAAAUAAAAGCAAUAUAUGAUUUUGCAGCAACCAAUCAUGAAACAAAAAUGAAGGGUCAAGUAUAUGCACAUGUAGCAAUCAUUUUACCAUAUAUACAUCUAUUGUAUAAACAACAGUGGCUCUAAGUAUUCAUUAGAAGUAAAAGAAAUAAAAUCCCCACAAACUAGGCCAAUGUAAAUAUAGAUCUAAUAAUACAAUGUUCAGCUAUUAAGAAAUAUCACACUUCAAGAAAUCAACUGUGAUAGAAUAGUUUGACUACAUGGUGAUCAAUGUUUCAUUCCUCUCAGUUCACAUGUCACCGUAUACUACUCAGCUUUGAUUUUAUUCAUUACCAGAAUAACGCAUCCAUCUCCUUAUGUUUUCUCUUGAUAGGAUUUGAAUGACCUACUUUGAAUAAGCAUUUGAAAAGGCCAAAGUUGGGUGGAAAUUCUAUUUAGUUAAGACUUCAGAUUGAGUAUUCAGAAGAGAAACUUUUGAGGAAUCCAUGAAAGCUAUUUAGGAAAGUGAUUUAAAGGAAUAGUAUUGUCUUCUCUCCAACUUUUGGUGUAAGCCCAGAGGACCUAAUUGCCUUCUAGUUAAGCUCAUUUCGUAAAAACUCCAGGUUGAAUAGCCCAUAUCUGCCAUUAAGAGUAAACCAUGUAAAUCUUUUGAUUUUAUUGUUAUUUUGGUUGUUUUUAUCUGUUUUCUCCACUUCUCUUGGUUAGUAACCGAACAAGAUCCUUGUUUCUAGCACAUUCAGGACACAAGAAAGUGGAUAGUUUGGCAAGUUUCAUGUCAUCUAUCGGAUUUGUGACAUUUGUCAGCAAAGCAACUACAAUGUUCAGUAGAGAAUGUAAAUUAAAAGAAAGGGUGCAAUGCUUGAGCUGUUAAUUUUACACUUUCAGAAUUCAGUCAACAUCAAGUACAACUCCUACAAUAACCACAUGGAGGAUAAGGACAAGAUGAAAGAGUAUUAGACAACAUAGUAUGCGUCCGUUUGGAUACACUUCCUUUUUUUAUUUUUAAAAUCGGAAAUUUCUAUAUAAUAGUAUAACAUCUUGUACAAAAAGUAUAAACUUACCUUAUGUCUUUAAAAAAUCACUUUCAGAAAUUAUAAAAUUUGAGGUUGUAAAAAUUUUUGAUACCUCAACUAUUUUAAAAACCAUUAUUUGUUCAAUGUAAACUUCUAAGAGUUCUUAUAUCUCAUAUAAAAGUUAAUAUUAUUUUCUGAUUUUAAAAACAGAAAAUAGUAAGAGUGUAUCCAAAUGGACACUAAGUGAUUGAAACACAAUUCUCAACUAGUAUCAUCCCCUGGAGUAUCUUAUUCUACCAAACAGCCCAUUUCUAAAAAACAGAUCCACGAUGGGAAUCUUAGAUUAAACUAAAGCCUUGUGAGUGAAUUUUAAAUCCAACCUGGCAAUACAAAUGUUGAGCCAACAUGACUCUCAUUCUAAGAGCUAACCACCUGUGAUAGUUCGCAAUGCAUAAACUACAUGGGGAAAACUAUCCUGCAGUAUCGCUCACAAACUAAUUAAGCAACAAUACGGCUAGAAUUUUAAAAGUAUAACCCGUGCUUCUGAAGGCUUAUUGUAUUGUUUAGCACUUACAAUCAAGGCUAGAACCUCCAAAUGCUGACUUAAUUGUAUCUAGAACACUAGAUUUUCAAUGCAACAACAGACCCAUUCUAACUUUCUUCCACAAAGUUCAAUUGCAGGUUUCAAGAUACAGAAUUAACAGAGAAAGAUAGUAGAAGAUAUCAAAACAAAAGCUGGAGAACUAACCCCUCCUUAGUGAAAAACUAUCAUUCAAAUCUUUCAGUUGCGAAAUCUCCAAAACGGAUGUCCUCCGGCCCGACCCCGCCUUCACAUCCUCUGCCCCAAGACCUCCCUCGGAAUACUUGUUUUCCACAACGGCUGACCCGUUAGACACACCUACUUCGUCUGAACUUUUGAGCGAGCUCUCAAUCCCAUCAAUCCCAUUGGUCCCCAUUUCACUUGACUGCACAGGCACGGCAACAACCAAAACCCCACUAAACCCACAAUCCCAAAACCCUGCAACAACGGUUCCCCAACACCCAGUUCCUUGAAUUCUCCCCAAAUCAGAACCAAAACCUGAAAGAACAGAAAGAAUUCAUCGUUAGUCCAUGUAAAAGCACAGAAAGAACUCAAAUUAAAGAAUUUAUGGUGAACAUGCUAAACCAGACAAGCAGACCCACCAGUCAAAAAACGUGUAGAACGUUUGGUGAGUAAGCUAGUUGUAUUCUAAACGGUGAAUUGGCUCAAAAAAACAUGAGAAAAGGGUUCACAUUUUUGCACCUUUAGGACUGAAAACUGAAACCACAACAGACCACCCACAAAGUGACAGAUACGGAAAUCUUCACCCGCAAGACAACCGCACGACAACAAAUUGAUUCCCCACUUCCAGAACAAGCCCAAUUCUUGAAAUGGGUAUACAGACAACCAAUAUAGAAAAAGAAAAAGAAAAAGAAAAAAAAAAGGAAAUCAACACAAAGUACCAAAGGGAAACCCUUCACUGUACUGAAAACUUGAAAAUCAUUGAAGACCCAUAAGCGAAGUUCUUGAAAACUCUAUAAUAUACCCCACCAACGAUCUUGACUGACAAAACCUUAGUGAAUAAGAAAGAAAAUUGGUGGUUUUUAUUUUUAAAUUUUUUGUUUCUUGGCGGAGAACGAUGAGAGGGAAGUCAAGAAAGAAAAAAUAAUAAGAAAAUAAAGAAAGGGAAUCGUUACAGUGGCGGCCUUGUUGGCAUAAUACUGAGAUCCCUGCUAGUGCUGGUUCAACGGGUCAUCAAAAUCUAUUGUUAAUAAAAGAGACCCUUAUAUUUUUUUCCUUGGAAUAUUCACAAUCUAGCUUUCUGAUGAUAUAUUUCUUUUUCCUUUUUUUUUUUUUCCCCUCUGAAUUCUUGGAGGAACCUAGGAUCAAAGGUGGUAUCAGGUUCAUAGUCAUAUACAGCUCAUCAUAAAUGCUGUCCUGUUUUUUUGGGUAAGAAAAACACCAUCGGAUUUUCUUCUCUAAAAUGAUAUAAACAAUAAUUAUCUAAAAUAAUCCUGUAUAUAUUCUAACAUGUUUUGUUAUUAAAAAAAUGACAACAUGGUAUCAACUUCUUGUUUUUUAAAAUAAUUAUGUCCGUUUGAUUGUGUUUAUUAUAUAAAAAUAGCUUGGUUUGAUUAUGUUUAUUAUAUAUUUUAACAUUUCUAAUAUUCAAAAAAUUUUAUCACUUAAAUAUUUGAAACACUAAAAAUAUUUUCUAAAAUCAAUAUCAAACGCACCCUUAAUCCUAUAAAAUUUAUUAAUAACUUGAUUUUAAAUAUUAUAAAAAAUUGAUUUAGAGUCGGGGAUUAAUACACUUUUAAUGUAAAAAAUUACACUUAUUAGAUUGGUUAGACAAAUGGAUAUUAUAAAAAUUCUUAUGUUGGUUGAGUAUUUUAUUUAGUCAGUAAUUUCUUUUCUUUUCUUAGUAUUUGAAUGCAACUUUUUUCUUUUUUGGGCUUAGUAGUGAACUUGAUCAAAUUUGGAUUCGAUUAUUUGGAAUUAUAAAAUUUAAGACAAGUAUGUAUUUAUAAUUCAUAAAAUUUUUUGGAAUAAGUGAUACAAGAAAUUAAGAAGUGAUUCAUUUUAUGAAAUAUUUUUUUAGUAAGUUUAAAAAUUAUGAUUGUCUCUUCAUAAUUUUAAAAAAAGUUUUAUAAAUAUAAAUAGAGUUAUUUUAUUUAAUACGUAUGGUGAAUUUUUAUGAACCUAUAAAGAGCAUAACCAUUUAUCAAAAGCUUGAUCCCCGAUUCCCAAACUUUUGAGAUUUUUCUUGAAAGUAACUUUUGGUUACAACAAAGGUUGAUUCCCGAUUCCCAAACUUUUGAGAUUUUUCUUGAAAGUAACUUUUGGUUUUGAGAUUUUUCUUGAAAGUAACUUUUGGUUACAACAAAGGUUGAUCCCCGAUUCCCAAACUUUUGAGAUUUUUCUUGAAAGUAACUUUUGGUUACAACAAAGGUUGAAGAUCUCGUGAUCAAAUUCACCAAGGAAUAUACAGAAGCAUAGGGGCUAAUGGUAUAAAACCCUAUAAAGUAUGUAUUUUCAAUUAGGUAAAACUAUAUAGUUUUUUUUUCUCAUAUUUAAUGGAUUAUUUAAUGAUUCAAAUACCAUUCAUAGUUUUAUAAAUUUAAUAGAUUAUUCUAUGGUUUUUCCACAUUAUAUCCUUUAUUUGAGUGAUUGAUUUUAUUUAUAUUUAUACAAUUUUUUUUUUGUUUUUUUUAAUGAAGAAUUAAUGUAAAGUGACAAACCUAAAAUAGGUAAUAAAAUAUUAAUUUGAGAAUUAAUUUAAAUACUACAUCUUGUAGAUAUUUUCCACAAGACAUAAAGUUUCUUUUAAAGGUUAUGAUUUUUAAUUAAAUAUUUAUUAUCAUUAAAUUUUUAUUUCUUUGUAACAUAUAUCAUGAAAUAAAUAUAUUUAUUAACUUGAUUUUAAUUUUAAUUUAGAAAAAUAGGUUUGGAAUGGAAAACUAAAUUAAAUAUUAACGAGAUUGAGUUUUUACAAGAAUUAUUUGGUUGAAAAUGGUGAAAUAAUGUCUAUAUUUGUUGAUUUAACCUCUUUCGUGUUUUCUUUUAGAAUAACUUAUUUUUGACAUAAAUGUCAUUGACUAUUUCAAAUAUUUACAUGUAAUUUAAAAUAUAAAAAAAUUAUCAAAAAGAAAAGAAAAAAGAAGAUAUUUUUGUCAAAAUGUGACAACAAAACAUGAAGGGUUAGACUUUCAAAAUUGAGUUUCCAAUGAUCUUUUUACUCAAAUAACAAUUUUUACAAAUAUACCAACAUUGACCUAAUUUAUUUAAAAUUGCAUCCUAGUUUUAAUUUAUUAGGAGUUCAUAUACUUCUAAAAAAAUCGAUACCCAUUUUUAUUAACAUUUAUAAAAUUUGUUUAAUAUUUUAAAAUAAUUAAUUUUCAAAAAUAAAUUAAAUUUCACUUUCUAUACAUUCCAAGACUAUCUCCUUUUUUAAAAAUAAAAAAAUAAGUCAUACCCAAUUCAAUUCAUUUGUUAAAUAAGCUAUACAUUAUCAUGUUAUUUUAUUUCUCAUAAAUGGAUGGUGUUUUAUAAUUUUUUUUAACAUAUUUAUUAAAUACAAUAUGUUUCAAUUAAGUAAGUUUGCAAAAUUUAACGAGUGUUUAGUAAAUUAAUUUAAUAACUUAAAGUGACUUAAUACUUUAAUUUAAGUUAUUAAAUAAAUUAAAUAUCUAUUAUAAAAUAACUUAUGAUAUGACUUAAAGUAAAAAACAACUUUAAAUAAUAAAUAAAAAUAAUUAACUUAUUCUUAAAUCCACAUUUUUUAUUUUACCUUUUUAUUCUCAUUUGUCCUAAUUACCUUCAUGAUCUUUUUUGCUACUCCACGACAUCUAUUAUUGUUACUCGAUCAAUUCUAUCCUUAGUUAUAAUUUAUGAGAAUAAAUACGUUAAUUUGAUGAUUUAUAAUAAAUUUUAAAUUAAUUUUAUCAAACAAUCUUAAUAUUUAGAGUAAUGAUUAAGUAAUAAAUUUUAAAUUAAUAACUUAGAUAUAAUUUAACUUAAAAUUAGUUAAAAUAAUUAAAUAAUAAGUAUUAAGUUUUAUCAAACAUCUCAUUAUUUUUACACCAGAUCCGACCCCAAAAGAAGGGUUUUUUUCUUUCCAAAAAUAGAUUUAAAAGGAUUCAUUAUGCAAAUAAUUAUUAUAUUCUCACUUGGUAUUUAAAUUUAAAUAUCUUAAUAGAUAUAAAUGCCAAUAAUUGAACCCGAUGACAAAAUGAUAAAAAGCAUUAAAACAUAAGAUUACAUGACCCAUGUGGGCCCUUAGUCCAACUCAUGUUUUUCAGACAAUUAACCUACCAAAUGGACUUUAGAUAUUCGUCUGAAUUUCAGACUUAGACUAGACCAGUGGUCCACCGUGGUAGAAAAUAAGGUUAGGCAUCAUCAAUGUGGGGCCAUGGUACACGAUUUUUCUAAGGGGGAAAAUUUUUUUUCACCUAAAACUUAAUUUGAAAGAUCUAACAACGCUCUUGGGCUGAAGCAGGCCGGGCUUGCAUUCUAAGGUCUGGUCCUAGGGUUAGAAAUCUAAGCCCACUUUAGCCCUACAAUCCAAAUUUUGAGUUUGUUUUACAGUGAUUCUAAGAAUUACUUAUAUUUUUUCUAAUACUUUAAAAUUUUUAUUUUUCAAGUAUUAAAAAAAUUAGAAACACUUCUUAAAAUUACUAUCAAAUGAUUCAGGUCAUCACCUUCCACCCCAACUUUAAUUAGAUCAAGUUAUAAUAAACUAGUCUUGAACACAUACGAUAAAAUUGUCAUAAAAAAUAGUUUUUCGAGAAUUUGUUUUUUCAAACAAAUUUGAGGCAUUCAUAGUAGAUUUUUUUGUAGAGUGUUUUUUCACAACAAUUUAAUAUAUGUAGAAAUAUUUUGGGUUUUUUCGUUAACUUUAUUUACUUCUCUUGAGGUUUUGGCUAAACAUACAUAUUUCUCGUUAAUUUGAAAUUUUAUCAAAUACCCUCCCUAUCAUUUUCAUUUCUGGAUUAGAUGUAUUUAAUCAAAACCCCGGGAAAAACAAAUGAAAUGAACAUUAUAAGAAAACCGUUUUUAUUCCUAAUCAAAAUUUUAUUCAGAAUUAACAUCAUGGCUAUUGAGUAUUUCAAUUUUCCUUUUACAAAAAUUGAAAGUACUUAGUAUAUAAACUAAAUUUCAUUGAGAGAGAGGCUGAACAAAUCUAGCAUUUCUCCAUACCCUAUUAAUGGUACAGAGUAUGUAUCAUUGAAGAGAGUAUACAUUUGUAUGUAUAAAUACUAUACAAUAAGGCCAUUAGAGCUACUGCAAUGAAUUUUCUACACAAGAGGCAGUGAUCAUUUCCUUGAUCACCAAAGCUCUAGCCCUAUUAAUGGUCACCAGGCACAAAUACACAUGUUCUUCCAGCUCCUCCACCUGCUUCCUGAACCCAAUAUCACUCUUCUUAAGCUCCUUCACCACUUCUUGCAAUGAAAAUCUGUCUUCCCUCCUCUCCAAACAGAACUGUAUCAUUGCCUUGUUGUGCUCAACCUCAUCAUGGAGUCGCGCAACGAGUCGACUCAUCGUGUCAAAAUCCCUGUUCAAAAUGUAGGUGCCCUUGGCUGCUACAUCAAGCUGCUGCCCAACUUUUCUGAGAAGCCCACUUCUUAAAAACCUAGCAUCAAGAAGCUUCUUCUUGAACCUCUUUAUGGGGAAGCUGAAGAUUGCAGGCCCCAUGAGGAGUGCAGUGAGGGUGUGUGCUGCGAUAACCAUGGCUGUAACCGCAACCAGACCGAAGCCUACAGUCACGAAAACCCCAGAUGCUUUCUUGAAGUACUUUAUCAGCUUGAUUUUCCUGGCCACCGACUUUCUCUUUGAUUUUAGAUGGUGCAAUACCGAUGAGUACUUAUCGCGAAUCUGCUUGAAAUCAUGUUUGCUAAGACUAGAGAAGGGGUUAUUAAGGAUAAUGAAUGAAUUCAGCUGGGACAUCAUCGAUUCAAAUCCAUCAGGAGAAUAAUUGUCAGUUGUAUCAAGUACUCGUUGAAUGAACUGGUAGUUAGCUAGGAGCUGGCUGAUGCUUUUGAGGAGGUGGCUGCAGAUUUUUGAAGCCUCGGCGCUCAUAUCAAAGUAGUUGAGAAUAAGGCCCUUGAGCUCGGGUUUCUUGGAGAGGAUUGCUGAUUCAAGAAUAUCAGCAAUUGUGUCUUGUCCAGGUUCAAGGAGGACUUCAGAGAAUUUGACAUGGCAGUAAUUUGAUGGAGAUGAUGGCUGUUUCACUAGUAACUGAGCUUUGGUGAAGAAAUCUGCGUAGGAUUUUGUUCUCAAUGCGCAAAGGUACUCCUCAUUCACAUUCAAGCUUCUUCGAGCUUUUUCUGAAUCCUUUCCAUCUGAAAGCCCAAUUAAACUGUCAUACAACCUGUUCUAAUUAUACAAACCCUAGAUCAAGUAAGAUCAAAUAAAAAAAAUAAAAUGGAAAAGUGUAAAAUAGGAUGAACAAACAAACCUUUUGUGAUCUUUGAAACUCUCAACCUUGUCCAGAACAUCUUGCUCAAUUGUUAUGGAACAAAGUUGGUGGUUUUAGGUCACAAGAGACAGCUCUGAUCUAUUACCUGCAUGGGCAGAUCUAUACUGAAAUUUCUGAUAUAAGUCUGUCUUGUAGAAUCUUACAAGGAAGAAAUAUAUAGGUAUGGACAUAUGUGAAGGGGUGUUUAAUGAAGUAUAGGUUCAACUUCCUAGCUAGCAAGGGUGGUCUGUUGGGUUGAGUGUCAUGUAUCUUUCCCCUUUUAAAGCCACUAAAAGCCAUUUUUAAGGAUUGUGUUUCACGCCAUCCCUUUUGAUAACUCUAAAAUCUCAUAUUCCAUCUCAGAGAGAAAAAAGGAGGGGAAAGUUUUACUUCUCCAAUUUGUUUGCAAGCUUUAAGGCUAAAUUUGCUGAAGAAGUUCUCUUUUCUCUUGGGCACCUUUACACAUCUUUGUUGUUAGAAAGUUGUAUAACUUUGUGAACUCAUACACCAUUCUAGACCCCUAAAAAGAGAAGGGCUACAUGCAUACCCUUGGCUUUGGAAUUUGAUUAGAAGGGCAUUGCAUAAUGCCCUUGAUUUAGGGCAAAGUAUCCAAAGCACCCUUCAUAAUGGCAUGCAUAUCCACAGGGGGUUAGUUUAGGGUUAGGUAUUCUAGUUUUGGCAAUGUUUGUUGACAUAGAAAUCUUAUUUGCCUUUUGGUGCUUGCAUGGCCCAUCACCAAUCAUUCAACAGAAAACUUUCAGAACCAACCACCAUAUUUGUCUGUUAGGAAGUGUCAUUAAGUAACUUUAAGUUUGGAUCAUAACCCUCAAAAUUAGUCAUGUGAAGGUUAAUUAACACUCUUCUCAUCUCAUAAAAUUAAGCCCUAAGCAUUGAUCGAUCGGCGUCAUUGCCUUCACUAUUUGCCGGUUUAAAACCCUAGUUCAUCAAGAGUUUCCAUAUGUUAGCAAUCACAAAAAGUCCAUGCAUUAAUAGAUCCCUCAUAAUUGUUAUAUUAUCAUUCAGAUUAAUGAAUCAUUUUCAGAUCAUUAUAAGAAGCCCCAUCAAUAUUGUACCAAUGAUGAAGGAAAACUGAUGGGGCAUAUUAUUUCUUGUCCAAAAUCAUUACAAGACUUCAAAAUGAUGAAGUCUUAGUUGGGUAGUACUAAAUUAAUCAUGGAAUGCUCUAAAGUUGUAUGAUGAUUAGUCAUAUAUUCUAGCUGACACUCAACUUCUUCAUGCUUGCAAUCCACUGAAUGAAUCAGACUGUAUAUAUACAUAAAUAUUUUACCUGCAGUAUAUUAGGGUUUAAGGAUAUGGAUGCAUGGAAGGGUAUAACAGUAGUUUAGAGGAAGAAGAAGAGAAGAAAUGUAAAAGGAGAAGCUUGUUUUUGGGGUUAGGUGGGGGGAAGAGAACGGUUAGGGAAGGCAUAGGAGGGCAACCUGUAAAGUUCAAAUUUUCCUUUAACAACUUCCAUGAUUUUCUGGUCUCAACCCCACCACGUCUAUCUCCUAAAGCUCAAUUUAUACGUUAAAAUACACGUGGAGUGUUGAUCAGAGAAAAAUGAUUUGGAUGAAGACGAUGAUGAUGAUCAUCAUCAAGAAGAGAGAAAGAGAGAGAAACCCAUGUAAGAAACCCUCUUCAAAUUCCCAAUACUCAAUCCAAUGGGGUUUCUUAUGAGGCAGAAGGUGGAGUUGUCAAUACGUAGAGGAUUCAAAUUGUACUCCUCAAUGAUUUUGUCCAUUUUUAAAUAAAUGCCCAAAUUAAGGCAAGCUUUUUAACAGAGAAUUUGAAUGGUUGGAAGUCAAUUUCAUACUAUACAUGUAAAGUACUUCUCAUCCUUAUCUCAAUGGUGAGAAUUUUCUGAUAUGUGAGUGCAGUUUACAGUUGUUUUUAUAUUUGAAGAAUUUUUAAUAAAGUGUCUUCUUUGGUGUAAUUUAUUUAAGUGUUUUUUCAUAAAAAUACUUUAAAUGAUAUUUUUAUGGUAAAAAUGAUUUUAAUUUUUUUUAAAUAUUUCUUAAGUUUUAUAAAAAACACCUAAUAUUUUCUAAAAAUAUAUUUUAAGUUAAAAUAGAUUUUAAAAAUACACUGUGAAACGGACUAGUAAAAUUCUAUAACCAAAACUUGUAUACCUAAUUUUUUCUUAAAAACAUUUUUUAGGUUAAAAGUAUUUUUUUUUUAAUAAAAUUGUCAAAUAAAUUAGUAAAAUCCUGUAACCAAAACUUGUACAUCUAAUCUUUCCUUAAAAAUACCUUUUAGGAUAAAAACUUUUUUUUAAAAAUACCAUCAAACAGGACUAGUAAAAUCCUAUAACCAAAACUAAUACGAAAAAAGCUUAAGACUUUAAAAAAAAAAAUUAGAAAUAAAUGUUUUUUUAUGAAGUGUUUUUAAGAGAAGCAGCUAUAAUUUCUCUAAAAACACUAUGUGAGUGAUGUUUUAGUAUUAUAAAUGAUUUUUCAAAAUUUUAAAAGUGUUUUCUAAAUUUUGUCAAACACAGAAUGAUUUACAAAAAUACUUUUUAGGUUAAAAGUGUUUUAUAGAGUUACUAUCAAACAAAUUCAUAAAAUAGAAAUAAAAUAUUUAAAAAAAAUAAAAAAAGGUUGGCUAUACCAAAAUAAUUCUUGGAAAAUUGUUAUUUUGAUUUUAAUUAAAAUAAAAUUAGGAUACUAUUUCUAUUAAAACUAAGAGUAUGUUUGAUAGUGAUUUUAGAAAGCAUUUUUACUAUUUUUAAUACUUGAAAAUUGAAAAUUUUUAUUUUUAAAAAUUAUAAACAUUUCUUAAAAUUAUUAACUUUUCAAUAAUAAUAAAUAAAUAUUUUUAAAAUUGGGGGCAUAUUAAUUCCCUUGAUUGUGAAAAACAACUUAACUGAUCCCAUGUGGGCCACCUCAUGAUAUGGUAUGUAAUGGAUCAAUGAGACAUGUUGAGCCCACAUUAGAUCAACCACGUGAUGUGUCCACUGUCCACAUAAUUGCUCACAUGUAGAGCCCUCUCACUCCAACAAAGAAGUUGGCAAUAUUAUUAUCAAUGAAUCAAUUUUUAAUUUGAGGACAUAUAAUAUAGUCCACGUAAGAGUGAGUAUUUCUAUAAAAAAAUUGCCACCUCACCCUCUACUAUGAUGGAUUCGAGUAUAUUCUAGACUAAUAGAGACAGAUUUGAAGGAAAAAAAAAUGGAACAUUCCAACUUGGCAUGAAUUAGCAUUGUAAUAUUAUUUAUUAAUAUUAUUAUUAUUUGAACUAUGGUAUUUAAAACACAUAUUAUUUGAUUUUCUAGACUUUAGUGGAAUUAAAUUUCAUGCAUAAAUAAGACUAAUUUCUUUAAAAUUGAAGAGUGAAUUUCACGACAUUUUUUUGUAAAGCGUUUUUAGUGAAAAUAUUUUCUCUAAAAGUGUUUUUAGGAGAAUUGCUUAUCAAAUGUUUUUCUAAAAAAUAUUAUAAUUGAUUUUUCAUCAUUAUAAGUGAAUUUUAAAAAAAUUUGAAGUAUUUUCUAAAAUUUGUCAAACACCUCAGACAUGUUUGGUAAUUGUUUUAAAAAAUAAUUCUGAAAAAUAGUUUAUGAAAAUUGUUCUUCGAUAAUUUGUAGAGUAAAAGUAUGUUUGAAAAUUUAAAAUAUUUUUAAUCUUUUUAAAUAUUUUUAAAAUAAUUUUUAUAUUUGAUGUUUUAUUUUUAAUCAUAAAACAACUCUUGAAAAAUAAGUGACAAUAGUAUAAAACAUUUAAAAUGUGUUCUUUGAAAAUACUUUAUUUUUUUUUCUUAAGAACAGAAAACAAUAAACAAUUUUUAGCUUUUAAACAUGUUUUUCUGAUUUUUUAUUCUAAAGAACAGAAAACCGUUUUAAAAAACGGUUGUCAAACAAACUCUUAAUAUUUUUUUAAAAGCACUUUUUAGGUUAAAAAUAUUUUCAAAAAUCAUUGUCAAUCGCGCUUUUAACGUUAAGUAAGAGAUAAUAGACAUAUUUGGUAUUUUAAAAAAACAAAAGAAAAAAAAGAAGAAAAGAAAUCAUUCAUCCAUGAAUAUCCCCUAAAAGUUAUUUUUAUAAUUUGUUUUUUUUUUUUCUUUUCCAAGAAACAAAGGUAUCAAGUAUUAGAAAUCCCUUAAAAAAGAAAAAAAAAUCUAAAAAAAUUGCAAUGCAUUUGAGAAUCAGGUCCGUCCAGCAAUGUUGGUUGCUUAAUUUAGUAUAAAGUAGAAAGAGGAAAAUGAUUCCAUCAAGGUCUUUCGAGGGAGGUUGAAAAUAACGUGACCAAAAAAGACCACACAGUAAAGCAAAGCAUGGGAAGGUGAAGGGAGUAUAAUGUUGACAAAGAUAGGGCUUUGCUUUUAUAGCGUGCCUUAAAAAACACAACUACACCAAAGUAAAGAUGAUGUUAGUUAUUGGCUAUUUACUUUUACAAAAAUUCUAGGAUUCCCGACCUAAAUCAAAUAUAUAAGAUCAAAGUAUAAAUAAAUAAAAUUAAAUUAAAAUAUAAAAAACGGGAUCAUACAUGAUAAUAAAACACAAAAUAUAUACGUGACGGUAUAUAUGAAUCAGUAGCGAGACCCUUAGGUUUUAUUUAGGUAUUGAAAAGUAUUAAGAGAAAAAAAAUCUUUAAGAAAAAUCAUUUUCUUAUUUUUUAUUGUAUUAUAAAAAAUAUAAAAUAAAAUAUAUUAUAAUUAAAAUCUUAUUUUUUUAUAUUAUAUAGUUUUUAUAUAAUAAAGUUAAAAUAAGUUAAAUAGAUUUAAAAUAAUUUAUUGAUUUUAACUUUAUUUUUCUUUUAUUUUUUUAUUUUCUCUCUAUACUUUUUUCCCCGCACAUUCUCCCUCAAAAUUUUCUUCGCAAACAUGUCUUUGUUAGUCUAUUUCACCUUUUUUUUUUUUAAUAGUGGGUAUGAUUCUCUAAGCCGGUUAUGGCUUUUAAGGAUAUGUGAAUAGGACAUCACAAUUGUGUUGGGACCAUGCCUUAAAGUUUGAUGAGUUUCCAUAUUUGUUUUAUUUGUCAUUUAAUUGCCUAAAAGCUCCUUCCUCAUAUCGGGUUUUUACAUAAUUUUUUUGCUUUCAAUUUUAUUUAAAAAUUAAAAUUAUAAUGUUAAAAAGACAAUCAUCAAAUAGUUUUCAUAGAAGUUAGAACAUGAAAUGAUUGGAUUCUUAUUUUUAGAUUAAGGUUAUGUUUGGUUACUGGGAAAGUCUAAAGGAAAAAAAAUAAAGAGGAAAAACUGAAUGAAAGAAAAAAAAAAAAAAAAAAUUUAAAAUCAAUAAAUUAUUUUUAUAUAUUAUUUCAAACUUUUUUCACAUAUUUAAUUUAUACAUAUAAAGAUGUCAUUAUAUGUCACUACUUUUUAAAGGCUUUGCACCUGUGCAAUUCAUUUUAAUCCGUCAUGAAAAAUGGAUUAGAAGGUUUAUGGGCCUUGUGAAAAUACCACUCUUUCAGUGAGCAAUGACACCAGUAGUCUCCCCUUAAUAUUUCAAAAUUCCCUCAAACUUAAAGCUUGGACCCAACAAAAGGUUGUUCAACCGCUAGACCCCAAUACUUGACCCCACUUACUUUUGCUAUGGGCUUGGUGGGAAACAUUUUAAAUGGCUAUUGAGGGCUUAACAAUCGAUCGACACCACCUAUUUAAUAACGUAAGGACUCGAUUGAGUCAUGACUCAAUGCGUCACGAUAGAGCUCCUUUCACAAUACUACAUAAAUCCAAUUUCCUCUCAUUCCAUCUUUAAUCCAACUUCUUAAUAAUUUAGCACCAAACGAAUCAAACUUCAAAGAACAAAAAAUUUACUCAUCUUUUGAAAAAUUUUCUACUACAAUGCUUGCCAAUCAAAAUCUGCUACUCGUUCGACGAAACGCCUCAAAGACUAGCUCUAGCUUUAAGAACCAACGAAACUAUCUGUGAAACCAAGGUUUGGUUAAUCUCGAUUUUGAUGAUAAUAAAACAAGGUUUGGAACUAAUGAUUAUAUUUCAAGUGUGAUUAGGUAAGAAGAUUUUCAAAUUGGCAAUCACAAAGACAAAAUCAAGCCAAAGAGAAAUCAAUAAGAAAAAAAAUAUCUCAAAGAGAAGUGUUUUUCGAGACCUAAACUUCAUAGGAUCUCUUUGUAAGGUUGGUGCACUAGGUUUUUUUAUGCAUUACAAUAUUUAUUUAUGCACCAAAAUCAUCCAAGAGUUAUUUUGUUUUAAAUAUUUUAAAAUCAGAUGAUUUCAUGUUAGGUUUUUUAUGCAUUACAUUAUUUAUUUAUACACCAAAAUCAUCCAAGAGUUAUUUUGUUUUAAAUAUUUUAAAAUCAGAUGAUUUCAUGUUUUUAACUAAAAUCUUGUGUCAAAUGCUUUUCAAUUUUGUUUAAAAGGUUUUAAGUUGAAACAGAUGGUUGUUGAGUUAAAAGUGACUUAAUUGGUUUAAUCGGAUGAAGAACCGGUCGACCUGUUCAACUCAACUGGUCGAAAGGUGCACAAACCUUCUCUCUCUUCUAGAACACUUGUUUAAUCGGUCGAGGUUGAAUCCCAACCGGUUGAAGUUUGGUCAAGGUCCAACAGUCACCUGCCAAACAUUAAAUGUUAACGGUUAGUCAACGGGUCAACCCUAACUCGAUCGGUCAAACCCCAAACGACUAGUUUGACAUUUUUCCUCUAUAAAAAGGCUCAAAUCUUCAUUGUUUCAAAAGUUUAACCUUCCUAAAUCUUUCUUGAAUAUAUUUGAGCCUUGGGAGAGUAUUUUUGAGUGCACCGUUAUUCUAAAACUUGCAUAUCAUUAGUGCACAUUUCAAUCCUAGUUUUUAUUGUAUCAUUUGAACUUAAAGUUUUGUACUAGGAUUUUGUGAAAUCAUUUGUAAAUCUUUGAGAUAAAGAAUCUAAGUGUGAGGUAUCACUUAGGGUUUCUUAAGUAUGGGGUAUCACUUGAGAGAUUAUUCAAGAGUGAAGUAACUCUUGAAGAUUGUAAAGGAUGCUUGAAACCAAAAGUCUAAAAGGGUGGAUUGGAACCAUAAUCCAAUUGUAUUGCUUGAAGGCAUGGUUUGGAAGCCUUGAAAUAGUGGAACCUCAAGCUUGGGAUUAAAGCUAGAGGAUAGUAGACAUAGGCCGAGUUGUGCCGAACCACUAAAAAAAUAUUGUGUUUGCAUUCUCCCUUCCCUACUCUUUUACUUUAUAUGCAAUUUUCUUUAUAUUGUUUUAUUAUAUAAUUACAUAUAAUUGUCUCUUGUAUUCAUAUAAUUUAAAUUUGAAAAAAGAGACCAUCACCCUAUUCACCCCCCUUUAGGGUGAUUACCUUAGGUUGGAUUAACCUAAUUUUUCUAACACUAUCCACACUCAGACCUUGAAAUUUGGGUUUGGAUCAAAAGGGUGGUUGGGUAGUGCCAUGGUUGAUUUGUAUGCUAAAUGUGGCAAUGUGGAAUUUGUUGUGAAAACAUUUAACCACCUUGAGAAAUGAGAUAUACUAACAUGAAAAUAGGUUCUUUCCAUGUAUUUAAGGUAGGGAUUAUUGAAGCAAGUUAUUUGGUGUUUUGGGUCAUUGCAGAAUUGUGGAGGGUCACCUAAUUAGUUCAUUUAUGAUAUUGUUUUGUCAUCUUGUGCAAGAUUGGUGGAUAUUUAUUUAGGCAAAUAAGUCCAUUGUGGUCUUAUUAAGAUGAGUUUUAAGUUUAAUUUCUUCUAUGAAAGGUCUUUAAUUGAUAUAUAUUCAAAAUGUGGUUCUCUGGUUGAUGCUCAGAAAAUAUUUGAUGCAGUGGUGAAGCCUAAUACAAUUUCUUGGACAACAAUGAUUGUAGGGUAUGUUCAAGUUGGUUUGCUUGAGGAGACACAUAAAGGUUGAAAUUUCGUAUGCUUUCUCCAUUAUUCUUAAUAAAACGACACUAUGUAAAACAUGGAAAGUAGACAGUAUCAUCGACUAGUUGGGUUCAUUUACCAUCUUUUGAAUAACAAUAGUUCUUCCCUAAGUAGACAUUAUCAUCAAUUAGUUAGACUUAUUUACCAUUUUCUAAUUAACAACAAUAUUUCUCCUCCUCUAAAUUUUACAACUCCACACGUUGACCUUCUCCACUAAAUCAUCCACACUCUUUAUGAAUUGCAUUAGUUUCUUAUACAUAUCUUCAACCACAUGUUUCACAUUUUUCUCCUUAAUAGCAAGGUCUAUGAUCUUGAUGAGCAACUUAUUUUACCUUCUUAGGGAAGAGAUGAAAAAUUGAGAGCUGAUUAAGUGAUUGGUAGUAAUAAAGGUGCUUACUUCCAUUGAGCUCAUCACCGCGUUGUGCCCUUUCAGGCGGUUAUCAUUCUUCUUUAGUAAAGUGUCAAUCUAUGUCCCCAUUAAGCCUAGUGGGAUUGAAGUUCUUAACAUCCUUUAAAAUAAUCUAAAAGAACAAUUCAAACCACUAGAAGUGGAAUAAUUUAGAGGUACAACUUGAAAAAUGAGUAAAACCACAAAGUAAACAUACUCAUGAGAAUGAAUGUUAUAGAUGUGGUAUGAAAGGACAUUGGUCAAGUACCUGUUGUACUUCAAAACAUUUGGUUGACCUUUAUCAAGUCUUAAUAAAAGCAAAAGAAAAGAAAAUUGAAAUGAAUUUCAUUGAUUAUGAUGGCUCAAUGGAUGUAACCCAUUUAAAUGUUUCAAACUUUUUUGAGAAUCCUAGUGGAAAAAUUGACCAUCUAAUUAGUGAUGGAAAUGUUUGUUAUGAUUAAAUGUUAUGUUCUUAUUUAGCUUUUUGUAUAUAGUUGAUUUUAUUUUGUUAUCAUCUUUUUGAACACAUUGUUUAUAAUAGUUUAUUUCACAUUUUAUUUAAAUGUGAUUAUUUUCUUUAUUUAUACUUAAAGAUAUAUGGAUCCUCCUCAUACCUUGAUAAAUUAUAUGACAUCCAAUGUAGAUGCAUGCCUUGUAGAUUAUGACAUCCAAUGUAGAUGCAUGAUAAAAGAAUAUUUUUCUAACUUAUGGUUGGUUAAGUCUAAUGUUAAUACAAUAUUAGGUCUUGUCGAUUUGAUUCAAUGCUUCGGAAAAGCAACUAUUAUUUACCUAGUGGAACUAAAAUCCACAUUAACGAUGCUCUUUAUUCUAAUAAAUCUAACUGAAAUUGAGAAAAUAAAGGCUCCCAAGAGGGGGGUGAAUUGAGUUUUUAAAAAUUCUUUUUAAACACAUAAAGUUUAAGUACAAGAGAAACAAAUAUAAAGAGAUAAGGUUAGAGAAAUCAAACUUAGAUUUUAUAGUGGUUCGAUACUUCCUUGUCUACGUCCACUCUUCUCAAGCUCUUAACCGUGUGAGAGUUCCACUAACUUGAAACUUUAACCAAGCUUCUAAUCACCUUUACACUUGGAUUCCGGCUCCAAUGGGCUUUCACACAAUCUCUUCAAGUUUCAACUUACUUGAAGGCUUUAACACUCAAUUAACAAGUAUGAAUCUCUCAACCUAGCUCAACAAAGACUCAAAUACAACUCAAGGGUAGGGUAAAUCACAAAGGUACACUAAAGGAUAUGCAAAUUGAGAUUUAAUGCACCAAGAAAAGAAAUGAGAGUUUUUAAGGCAAAGACAAGUAGGUAAACAAAAAAAUGCAGGUGUUCUCUUACUCAUAAAUGAAGUGGAGCUCUCUAUUUAUAGGUUUCUAACCUCAGGAGCCAAAAAACUAAAAAGUAACCUCAACCGGUCGAGCUGGGGGUCGAUCGGUUUACUAGUCGUUGGAGCAUUUAAUACUUGGUAGGUGACCGUUAUCCUUGAUCGGACCUCGACUGGACCUCGAUUAGGAAGGUAGAUCCCUCAACCAAAAAGGGAAGACUACUGGAAGAGAGAGAGAGUACUUUUUGCACAUCUCAACCAGACCUUGACAGGGAAGAAGGAACCGGUCGACCGGUACCCUGGCCGGUUGAGCCAGUUUGGACAGUGCAUUGAUUGGUUCACCAUUUUUGACCUGAAAACCUAUAUUUUUAUGAUAUUUUUGCUUCUAAUACUUAGACAAGGUCUUUAGGUAAAAUUAUAUGCCAAUUUUGAAACGUUUUUCUUAAGGUUCAUUUGAUAGAUCUCGAAUUUUGAUGGAAAUGUAACUUUAAAGUAUAAACCGAGUUUUUCAAAGAGGUAUGAAAUGAUAUGUAAAUCCUAAGUGCACCCAUGCAUACAUUUUACAUAUGUUUCUUAUUAUUAAAUGUCUUCCAAAAGUCUUGAUAUUGCAUCCAUUAGGUCAUUUGAUGAAUUUUCAAAUUAACACGUGAAAUUCUUUAUAAUUCAAACCAAUUAGUAACUUAACCAUGGUUUGUUAUCAUCAAAACCUGAUUAGGAGAACUCUUGGGCUAACAUAAAUCUUCUUAGUUUCAAGGAUAUCCGCCGAAAUGGAUAUCACAUUGAAACUAUGGUAGUAAUGAAUACCUUCUCAUUACUUUGGCUAUUUAUAGAAAAAAAAAACAUGUCUUGGAAAAACUUCAUUUUUAUUCAUGUGGGUUAUAUCAAACAAUCAUCAGACCCAUUGAGUCAUAUGAUGUCAUUAAAAUUUCUAUGAUUAAAAAACUUUUAUGAUUUGGCAUGAAUGCCUUGGUCAUCCGAGAUUAUUUAUGAUGCAUCAUAUCGUCAACAAUUCUUUUAGGCAUCCCUUGAAGAACUAGAAAAUUCUAAUGGUAAUGAUUACAAUUGUGUUGCUUUCUUACAAGGCAAAUUAAUUAUUAAACCAUCAUUUAUCAAGGUUGAAUUUGAAUCACUUACAUUUCUAGAACGCAUUCAAGGAGAUAUUUGUGGGGCUAUUCAUCCACAUAGUAGACUUUUUUUUGUUAUUUUAUGGUUUUAAUGGAUGCAUCAACUCCUUGGUCCCAUGUUUGUCUUCUUUCAAUUAGGAAUGUUGUCUUCGCCAAGUUACUUGCUCAAAUAAUUUGACUCAAGACUCAAUUCCUUGAUCACCCUAUUAAGAUAAUUCAUCUUGAUAAUGUUGAUGAAUUCUCUUCUCAUACAUUUCUUGAUUAUUGUACGUCGGUUAUUAUUAAUGUUAAGCAUCCUAUUGUUUAUACUCAUACUUAGAACAAAUUACCUGAAUCUCUUAUUAAACGUUUGCAACUGAUUGUAAGACCAUUACUCUUGAGAACAAAAUUGUCUUUGUCUGCUUGGAGGCAUGCUAUUCUCCAUGUUGCUACUUUCAUUUGGAUUCUUCCGACAACUAAUCAUAAAUUCUCACAUUUACAACUUUUUUUACGCUCACAACCAAAUGUUUCACAUUUACUUAUUUUUGGUUGUGAUAUCUAUGUUCCCAUAGCUCCACCUCAACGUUCUAAGUUAGGUCAUCAACAUCGACUUGGUAUAUAUGUUGAUUUUGAUUCUCUCUUCAUUAUUCAUUAUCUUGAACCUUUAACAGGUGAUGUUUUUAUUGCCUAUUUUACUGAUUGUUAUUUUGAUGAAAAUGUUUUCCCAUCAUUAAGAGAAAACAAGUCAAUUCCAGAAGAAUAGUGAGAAAUUACUUGGAAUGCAUCUAGUAUGUCUCAUCUUGAUCCUCAUAAAAAUCAAUGUGAACUUGAAGUUCAAAAGGUCAUUCAUUUGUAAAAUCUCGCAAACCAAUUACCAAAUACAUUCAUUGAUACAAAGAAAAUGACGAAGUCACAUAUCCUGGCUAUAAAUACUCCAACAUGGAUUGAUGUCCCUAUAGGACAGUUAACAAAUGGAUCUAAGAUACACCUAAAAUGUGGUAGCCUUAUCAACUCAAGGGAUGUAACUCCUCGAAAAAAGAAAACACAAGGAAAACUUGACACUCUAGAAAAUGCCACUUAAUUACUUAUUAGUCUAAAAUUGAUAAAUCUAUAGCCCCCAAAGAGACACAAAUAAAAUAGAAAGCCCCUAAAGAGGCACAUAUUAGACAAGAUGCCCUUGAAGAGGCACAUAUUGAAUAAGAAACCCUUGAAGAGGUACGAAUGGAACAAGUAACUCCUAAAGAGGCAUCUGUACAUGAAAAUUGUGAGAUCUCAGUAAGUUAUAUACACAUAGGAAAAAAAUGGGAUCAAAAUAGUAUUGUUAUUAAUACUAUUUUUGCUUUCCAAGUGGCAUUUGACAUCAUAAGAAAUAAUGAAGAUCUCGAAGCACGAAAUAUGAAAGAAUGCCGACAUAGAAAUGAUUGGCCAAAAUGAAAAGAAGCUACACAAGCAGAGUUAUACUCAUUAACAAAACAUAAAGCUUGUUGGAUAUAAAUAGGUCUUUAUGAAAAAACAAAAUAAGAAUGAUGAAAUCAUAAUAUAGAAAGCACGACUUGUUGCUUAAGGUUUUUUGCAAAGACCUGGUAUAGACUAGGAAGAAACUUAUUCCCUUGUAAUGGACACAAUCACAUUUCAAUACUUAAUAAGUUUAACAAUCUCUAAAGAACUAAAUAUGCAUCUUAUGGAUGUUGCUACAACUUACUUGUAUGGUUCUAUAGAUACUAACAUAUAUAUGAAAAUCCCUGAAGAAUUCAAAUUGCCAUAAACAGCUAAUUCAAAACCUUGAAACAUGUACUCAAUCAAACUACAAAGAUGUCUAGAUUGAUUAAAGCAAUUCAGAUGCAUGUGGUGUAAUAGUUUGAGUGAGUAUUUGUUAAAAGAAGGAUAUGUGAAUAAUCCAAUUUGCCCAUGUGUUUUUAUCAAGAAAUCAGAAACUAGGCUUACAAUAAUUGCAAUAUAUGUGGAUGAUUUGAACCUUAUAAAGACUCCUGAAUGGCCCACAAAACAACCAAUUAUUUAAAGAAGGAAUUUCAAAUGAAAGAUUUGGGGAAAACAAGAUAUUGUCUCGGCUUAGAGAUUGAGUAUUGUUCAAAUGACAUAUUAAUCCAUCAAUCGACAUAUAUAAAGAAAGUAUUAAAUCGAUUUUACAUGGAUAAAUCACAUCUACUCAAUUCCCCCAUGGUUAUUCGUUCACUUGAAGUGAACAAAGACCCGUUCAUCAUCCUAAAAAAGAAAAUGAAUAAUUGUUUGGUCCAUAAGUACCAUAUCUUAUUGCAAUUGAUGCAUUAAUGUAUAUUGUAAAUUGUACUAUAUUAGACAUAACAUUUUUUGUCAAAUUGCUAGCAAGAUACAAUUCUGCCCAACUAGAAGGCAUUAGAAUUGGGUUAAACAUAUAUUGUGAUACCUUAGUACAAUAAGUAGCAUAAGCUUAUAUUAUUCAAAAGAAUUAAAAUCGUAAUUAAUUGGAUAUGCAGAUGCAAGAUAUCUUUCAAAUUUUCAUUAAGCUUGAUCUCAAACGGGGUAUGUCUUUAUUUAUAAUGAUACGUCAAUAUCUUGAAGAUUAGUCUAGCAAACAAUGGUAGUUAUUUCUUCAAAUCAUUCAUAAAUUCUUGUAAUUCAUGAAACAUGUCAUGAAUGUGUAUGACUAAGGUCAAUGAUUUAACAUAUUCAAGAAACAUAUAGACUACCUUCCAUCAAAGGCAAUGUAACCAAGUUACAUGAAAAUAAUGAUGCUUAUAUUGUACAAAUUAAAUGAGGAUUCAUAAAAGAUAACAAAACUAAGUAUAUCUCCCCCAAAUUUUUCUAUACUCACAAGCUCCAAGAGAAAGGUGAAAUUGAUGUUCAGCAGAUUCGGUCAUGCAAUAAUCUAGCAGAUCUAUUCAUAAAGAUGUUACCUUCUACUACAUUGAAAAAGUUAAGGUAUGACAUUGGAAUGCAAAGAUUGAGAGAUCUACUGAUUGUAGUGUUGUGAGGGGGAGAAUACUAAUAUGGAUAUACUGCAUUCUUUUUUUCUUCGUCCAAUCCGUGUUGGAGUAUUUGCAGCUGGGAUAUGUGACUUUGUCACUUUCUUUGUAUCAAUGAAUGCAUCUAGUAAUUGAUUUGCAAGAUUUUGCAAAUGAAUGAUUCUUUGAACUUCUAGUUCACAUUGAUUUGUACGAGGAUCAAGAUGGGUCAUAGUAGAUGCUUUCCAACUAAUUUCUCGUCAUUAUUUUGGAAUCGACUUUUCUCUCCCUAAUGAUGGGAAAACACUCUCAUUAAAAUGACAAUCCGCAAAUUGGGCUGUAAAAACAUCACCUGUCAAAGGUUCAAGAUAUCUUAAAGGAUGCGCUUUAUCCAUAUAGAAACGCUUCAAAACUUUCUUAAUGUAUGUUGAUUAAUGUACUAAAACUCCAUUUGGAAAAUGCUCGAUCUGCAAGCCGAGACAAAAUUUUGUUUUUCCAAGAUCUUUCAUCUUAAAUUCCUUUUUCAAGUAAUUUGUUGUUCUUGUGAGCUUUUCAGGAGUUUCAACAAGAUUUAAGUCAUCAACAUACACUGCAAUAAUUGCAAAUCCGGUUUCUGAUUUCUUAAUGAAGAUGCAUGAGCAUAUAGGGUUAUUCACAUACCCUUCUUUUAGCAAGUAUUUGAUAAGGCAAUUGUACCAUAUGCGUCCAGAUUGCUUUAAUCCAUACAAGGAUUGUUGUAACUUGAUUGAGUAUAUGCUACGAGGCUUUGUACUAUUUGCUCCAGACAAUUUAAAUCCUUCAGGGAUUUUCAUGUAUAUAUCAUUAUCCAUGGAUCCGUAUAAAUAUGCUGUAAUAACAUCCAUGAGACGCAUAUCCAGUCCUUCUGAGACUACCAAACUAAUUAAGAAACGAAAUGUGAUUGCAUCCAUGACGGGAGAAUAUGUUUCUUCGUAGUCAAUACCAGGUCUCUGCGAGAAAUCUUGUACUACUAAUCGCGCUUUAUAUCUUAUGAUCUCAUUUUUCUCAUUGCGCUUUCGUACAAAUACCCAUUUGUACCCAACAGGCUUUACAUCUUCAGGUGUUUGGACUACAGGUCUAAAAACUUCUCGUUUUGUUAAUGGGUUUAACUCUACCUGUAUAGCUUCUUUCCAUUUUGGCCAAUCAUUUCUAUGUCUACAUUCUUCCACAUUUCAUGGUUCGAGAUCUUCAUCAUUUCUUAUGAUAUCAGAGACCACUUGGAAAGCAAAAAUAUUGUUAAUAACAAUAUUAUUUCGAUCCCAUUUUUCCCCCGUGUGUACAUAACUUACUGAGAUCUCACAAUUUUCAGGUACCUGUGCCUCUUCAGGGGCUUCUCGUUCAAUAUGUGGCUCUUCAUGGGCUUUUUGUUCAAUAUGUGCCUCUUUGGGGGCUUAUUGUUCAAUAUGUGCUUCUUCAGGGGCUUUCUGCAUUAUUUGUGCUUCUUCUAGAGCUAUAGAUUUAUCAAUUUUAAACUGAUCAGUCAUUUUGAUGGCCUCUUCUAGAGUGCUAAGUUUUUCUUGGGUUCUUCUCUUCCGGGGAGUUACAUUCUUUGAGCCAACAGGUUUACCACGCUUCAGGCGUAUCUUAGAUUCAUUUGUUAACUGUCCUAUAGGGACAUCAAUCCGUGCUGGAGUAUUUGCAGCUGGGAUAUGUGACUUUGUUACUUUCUUUGUAUCAAUGAAUGCAUCUGGUAAUUGAUUUGCAAGAUUUUGAAAAUGAAUGAUCCUUUGAACUUCUAGUUCACAUUGAUUUGUACGAGGAUCAAGAUGGGUCAUAGUAGAUGCUUUCCAACUAAUUUCUCGUUGUUAUUUUGGAAUCGACUUUUCUCUCCCUAAUGACGGGAAAACACUCUCAUUAAAAUGACAAUCCGCAAAUCGGGCUGUAAAAACAUCGCAUGUCAAAGGUUCAAGAUAGAUGGAGAAUCAAAACCUACAUAAAUCCCAAGUCUUCGUUGGGAACCCAUUUUAGUGCGUUGUGUAGGUGCAAUUGGUACAUAUACGGCACAACCAAAGAUUUAUAAGUGAGAGAUAUUUGGUUGUUUUCCAAGCACAAGUUGUGAAGGGGAGUAUUCAUGGUAAGUUGUAGGUCGAAUACGGACUAAAGCUGCAGCAUGCAUAGUAGCAUGUCCCCAGGCGAAAGUAGGUAAUUUGGUUUUCAUUAGUAAUAGUCGAGUUAUUAAUUGGAGACGUUUGAUGAAGGAUUCUGCUAAAUCAUUUUGGGUAUAAGUAUGAGCAACAGGAUGCUCAAUAUUUAUCCUUACUGACAUGCAAUAGUCAAUGAAUGUUUGAGAAAUAAAUUCACCAGCAUUAUCAAUACGUAUUGUCUUAAUUGGAUAAUUUGGAAAUUGUGCUCGUAAUUUGAUUAUUUGUGCAAGGAGUCUAGCAAAGGCAAUGUUAUGUGUAGAAAGGAGACAAAUAUGUGACCACCUAGUAGAAACAUCUAUUAAGAUCAUAAAAUAACGAAAUGGUCCACAUGGUGGAUGAAUAGACCCACAUAUGUCCCCAUGUAUUCUUUCUAAAAGACCGAUGACUCAGAUAUGACUUUAGUAAAAGAUGGUCUGAUUAUCAAUUUACCUUGUGAGCAGGCAGCACAUGAGUAUUCAUUGGGCGAAAGAAUCUUUUGGUUCUUUAGUGGAUGCCCAUGUGAGUGUUCGAUUAUUCGACGCAUUAUUGAAGACCCUGGGUGACCUAGCCUGUCAUGCCAAAGGAUAAAAACUUUUGGGUCGUUGAACUUCUGGUUCACGACAACAUAUGAUUCAAUAGGCUUUAUAGUUGUAUGAUACAACCCAGAGGAGAAAGCCGAGAGUUUUUCCAUUAUAAGCUACUGGCCAGAUAUAAUGAAAGUAAUGUAAAGAUAUUCUACAUUAUCUUCAUUCAUAGUUUCAAUAUGAUAUCCAUUUUUGCGGAUAUCUUUAAAAUUGAGCAAAUUUCUUCUGGAUUUGCUAGAAUAUAAAGCGUCAUUUAUAUGGAAUCUAGUUCCAUUUGGCAACGUUAUGUUUGCUCUUCUAGAGCCUUCAACUAAGUUUGUAGUACCAGAUAUGGUAUUUACAUUAGCUUUUAUUAAUGUCAAUUCGAGGAAAUAUAUUUUAUCUCGAAGAAUUGUGUGCGUGGUCGCAUAGUUUGCGAGACAUACAUCAUCCUCAUUCAUCUUGAGACCAAAUAACACAUGGAUUUCAGAUAUAACAAAAAAAAAACAAGGCAUAAUGUAAAUAACAAAGUAAGUCAGAUGUAAAUAUAAGACAUAAUAAUAUAUUAUUUCAUAUAUAAAGUAACAUCAAUCAAUGUUAAUUUUCUCAUCAUUUAUCAAAUGGUUUGUUUUUUCAUUGGGACCUCCAAAGAAAUCAAUGUCAUAGUAGAUUAGGUCCAAUCCAUCACCAUCGGUAAAGUUCAUCUCUAUCUCUUUUCCUUUAACUUUUAUUGAUGCUUGGUAAAGGUCGACCAAAUGUUUGGGCGUACGACAAGUACGUGACCAAUGCCCCUUCAUACCACAUCUAUAACAAUUAUUCUCAUGGUUCUUAGGGGUUUAUUUUGUAAACGCUUCCCAUUUUCUUGUAUUGUCUCAAUAUUGUUCCACUUCUAGUGGUGCAAUGAGGCUUUCAUUUUCUGAGAAUUAUUACUAUAAGAACCAUGGUAUCGAGGAUUUCUUCCACGACCACGUCCUUGUCCUCGUCCACGUCCACAAGUUUGGGACGAUAUUGCAUUCACUUCAGGGAAUGGUUCAGAUCCAGUUGGACGAGACUGGUGAUUUCUCAUCAAAAGCUCAUUAUUUUGUUUAAUAACAAGAAGACAUGAUAUUAAUUCAGAAUAUUUUGUAAAUCUAUGCUCUCGAUAUUGCUGCUAUAGGAGCACAUUUAAGGCAUGAAAUGUAGUAAAAGUUUUUUCUAACAUGUCUUCUUCUGUGAUUUUUUCUCCACACAACUUUAAUUGAGAGCUGAUUUUGAAAAGUGCGGAGUUGUAUUCACUAACAGUUUUAAAAUCUUGCAACCUUAGGUGCAUCCAAUCAUAUUGAGCUUUUGGGAGAAUCACAGUUUUCUGGUGGUCAUAUCUUUCCUUCAAAUUACUCCAUAGAGUAAAAUGGUUCUUUAUCAUAAGAUACUCAUUUUUUAAACCUUCAUGGAAGUGAUGGCGAAGGAAAAUCAAUGCUUUUGCGCGAUCCUGUAGGGAUGCUUGAUUUCCUUGUUUGAUCGUAGCUCCAAGGUUCAUUGCAUCAAGGAUCCAAGAUAGAUAGUUCUUUCCCGAAAUGUCAAGUGCCACAAAUUCGAGUUUUGUGAUAUUCGACAUUGUAAAAUAACUUUAUAUAUAUGACAAAACAAUAUUAUUAGAAUCAGUUAUAAUAACUUGAUAGCAUUGGUAUAACUUUGAUUAUAAACAAAAUCAAAUAAUUUGUUUAUAACUUUUAACAAUAUGUAACAAAACAAAUCAAUAAUAAUAUAAAUAUAUAAAAUUUUAUUCUAUAUAAAUAACUUCAAGUUUAAGAUACGAGAAUUACCUUCAGAGCAAUUCGUGCUGAUAACGUAUUGUAAAAUGAGAAUAAAUGUGACUCAAUUAAAAGUAGGGAUGACUAUGUAUUACUUUAAUAAUAUAUAUAUAUAGAGGGGGGAAGAAAUCAAAGAGAAGUGUUGAGAGAAUGAAAGAAAGAGAGAGAGAGAAUGAGAAAGAACUUUUCUUUCUUUUCCUCGGGAUGCUCUUACAUGAGGUGUAAGAAGCCUUUUAUAGGCUUCAUAAUAUGAACUCCCAUUAUUCAUCUUAAAGAUGAGUAAAUGGAGUUCAUAAUGACCAUCAAUGUGGUCAUUCACUACUCUUCAUUUACAACAAAAAUAAAUUAUAAGAAAUAUAUAUUUUUUAAUUUAUGUGUUAAAAACGAAUUAGAUUAAAUUAUUUUUUUACUUAAUCAUACAUAAUUACGGUCGCACUCACAUCUAUCCUUAUAAUCCGUGUCGUAUGAGGGUUGGAUCGUCUCAUUGCCAUGUCAAUGAAAGGGGUAAAAAAUGAGGUCAUCCGGGGAAAGCAAUCUCGAUUGAUUGAGCCAAAUAUCGUUGCUCGCCUCCGCUUUGUGACUUAUGAGUAGGACUUGAUCAUGACAGGAUCCAGGCCCCCGUUAUUUCUUGAAAAUUUACGUGCACUAGAAGACGAAAAGUUUGGCAUUAAUGGGCGUUAAGUAAGCUCCAAGCGUGCUAAAAAUAGUUACACAAUGGCCCUUCCUAAAGCUCUGCUAGAAAAGUAGCUUAGGCUUGGAGAAGACUAAAAUAAUCCGUAGUGGCUCCACAAACUCCAACACGUAGCCCGCCUAAAACCCACUUAUAUUAUUUAAAACCGCCCACUCAUUGUGUUUGAUUAAAUCACCACCCAAGACAUCUUCCAUGUUACCAUUCAUUCUUGCAUUUUACAAAUUAUUUUAUUUUACACAAUUAUUAUUUUAUAUUUAACAAAUUUCAUAAUACCAAAUUUUAUUAAAAUAGUGAGGAGUUGUUGGGUAAAAUUUAAUAUUUAUUAUUUAAUGAUUUAAAUUGGUUUUAAGUUAAAUUAUAUUUAAGUUGUUGAUUUAAAACUUAUUAUUGAAUUCUUAUCUUAAAUAUUACAAUUGUUUGAUAAAUUAAUAUAAAAUUUAUUUUUAAAUCAUUAAAUUGACAAGUUUAUCCUCAUAAAUUAUAAAUAUGACAAAUAUGACAGAGAAUAUUGAAUAAUAGUGGAGAUUUUAGAGGUAAUUAGGACAAAUGUGGGUAAAUAAAUAAAAUGAGUAAACUUAAAAAUAAGUUAAUUUACUUAAAAUUAUUUUUUAAUUUAAGUCAUACUGUUAAGUUAUUUUAUGUUAUUAAGUUGUCAAACACGAACUUAGAGAGUAUUUGGUAAAACUUAACAUUUAUUAUUUAAUGACUUAAGUUAACUUUAAAUUUAAUUAUGCUUAAUCUGUUGAAUAAAAAAUUAUUAUUUAAUUCUUAUUUUAAGUAUUAAGGUUGUUUGAUAACAUUAAUUUUAAAUAAUUAAAUUAAUAUAUUAUUCUCGUAAAUUAUAUUAAUGGAAGUCGUGAAAUAGUGAAAAAAAAUUGUGAAUAUAAUUAUGAUAAACUGUGAUAAAAAAUAAAAUAUAAAUAUAAAUUUAAGAAUAAAAUUUUAUUUUCUUCCUUUAUUAUUUAAAAUUGUUUUUAAUUUUAAGUCAAUUUAUUAAAUUAUUUUAUUAAAUAUAUUUAAUUUAGUGUUUUUUUUUCUUUGGAAAAAAUUAAGCAUUUUUUAAUUUUUAAUUUUAGAAAAUAGAAUUAGCUGUCAAAGGUAUUGAUUUUCAACGGGUGAAUUGAGUAGAAAAAAUUAUUCUUUAGACUAAACGAGCUAACUCAAUCCACCAUCAACCCUUCAGAGCUUUGACUUUUCGAUAAACACCAGCGAUCUUUAUAUAAUCGGAGAGGAAAACGCCAAAACAAAGCGGGACCCGCACCAUGUGAUGUUGCCACGUGUACAAGAUUUAGGUAGGUGUACAUAUGCAAUAAUUACCUUCUUUUAUUCAUUGGAUAAGCUUAUAUCUUGUCAUUUAUUUCAGACCAGUCAACUCAUCAGCCACGAAUAUCAUGGGCAAUUUUGUCAUUUCGGGACGAAAGAAGAGAGAGAAUAUGCCUACUUAGCCUCUACGCUUGCUUCACGUUCACUGUGAUUUUAAAUGAUGAAGGCCCUCAUCCAUCCCUUGGAUACUGCUUUCGGCGAGGGUUUGCCAGCGGUUAGAUAUUAGCUGUCGCUAGUUGAAGAUGACGGACGGGUGGCGUUUCAGCCGAAAUGCGACAAAACCCUAAAAAUAGAAGUAAUAUAUUCACCGCCGAAAGAGACCGAUAAUUCCCUCGUCUCUUCAAAGAGUCAGCAACGGAAAACCAAAGGGAAAAAAAUAAAAAAUAAAAUAAUAAUAGUAAUAAAAAGGAAAAUGAAAGUGAAAAAAUUAUACAAAAUCUGAGGUUCUUUCUUUGAAAUUUCUGUUUGGCGAAUGAGAAAGUGAGGGAAACUGGAAGGCUUGUUCCGAGGAUUUCACUUUACCAUUUCCCUUUUAUCUGUUCCGUAAAGCUUCGUGAUUGGCGUGGAAAAGCGGGGACGGAAUCUGGUGGAGUCAGGUUGAGAAUCGAUGGAUUUGCAGGUUGGUGAUGAUGGCGUGAUCUUGUUGUUCAAUCGUAGUCGAUGACUCAGAACUGUUUUACGAUUAUAAGCAGCUUGAUUUGAUGCGUAGGUGAGGUUCUUGAGGCAUCUGGAUUGGUGACUGAGUAGUUCUGGAUCCAGAACAGACACCUUUUAAGGAGAUGGAUUGCGAUGAGUUUCGAUCGAUCUUGGAGAGUUCGGGUGUGGAUGUGUGGACAUUGAUAGAAACAGCAGUGUCUGUAGCGUCUGUGGAUUACAGCGAAGAAUUCAAGGGCCGAAGAGAUAGCAUCGUCGAACGGCUUUAUACGCCUGUGGUUUCGCGAUGCCUGAACUGCGAUCGCGAUCGUAUUCAUAAGCCAAAUGGUGAUCGGUCUGUGAAGGAAAAGAUGGAUCAGUUGCAAGACGAGUCCUGGAUUGAGACGCCAGAGUCAGUGGAGAGGGAUAGAGAUGGAUCAAUCGAUGAAGAGCAGUCUAAGAUUCUUGCGAUCAAGGAGCGCCUUGAAGAUCCUGAUCAGGUUUUUUUUUUCAUCUCAAUUGUCUUUUAACUUUUGUAUAGUUAAUGCUCUGUUUGGUUGGUGAGAAAGUGUGGGAAAAGCAACGUAAAUCGGAAUACGGUUUCUCGUUAACCUGGCGUACCUUAACUGUUUCUAAUUUGUAAUUUCUUCAGUUAGAGGAUUCUCUGGUUGAUUUGCUUCAGAGUCUCGCAGACAUGGAUAUCACAUUUAAAGCUCUUAAGGUAGUGACUCAAACAGCUUUCUUUAUCUCUCUCCGUGUUUCUCGCUGAUCCUUCUUUUUCUUCUGUAUUUUCUCAGGAAACUGACAUCGGACGGCACGUGAACCGAUUACGGAAGCAUCCAUCCAAUGAAGUUCGAAGGCUGGUUAAGCAACUCGUCAGGUUUGAGGAAAGAAAAACUUUGUAGUCUGUUUGGUUGCCGAGAAAGUAAAGGAAAAGAAAGGCCUCCUAUUGUCUUUUUCCUGUUCUACCAUUUUUCUUCUCAACCAAUUAAGCAUCAAAUUCAAUUUUAAAUGGCAAGCAAUCGUGUGUGAAAUCAAAGGGUGAAAGAAUUUUUGUUUCUCAGGAAGUGGAAAGAUCUGGUUGACGAAUGGGUGAAACUGAGUACACCUGGGGAAACUACAGCUUCUGCAAUUGUUGGUAACAAUCAGAAUUCUCAGUUCGUUGCUUUUCAUAAGAUUCUUUGGAUGAAUUACAGAAAGUUGGAUAAAGAUCACUUGUCAAAAGUUUAACGAGAAGGUUACUAAUGGCUGCAGCUGAUGGAGACUCUCCUCAACAGAACCACCUGAAAAGCACCUCCAAUGUUCAUCACCAGGUAAGAAAAAUCUCUCCUAUUUCUAUAAGCAUUAUUUGACAUUGGUAUUCAUAUUAUUUUUAUGCUUUUCAGGUACCUGAUUUUGCAUAUUCUCCAAAUCCACACAGUAAGUGAUUGAAUCAGAUUCAAAGUUUAACUUGAUCAUUAGUUCUGUUUAUUAAUAUAUAUUUUUUUCUAUUUACAUUCUGGUUUGGCUUCUGGGUAAAUUGAGUAAAAGAAAUUAAAGAUAUUCUGAACUGAAGCUGGCCAAAUAAUUGUAUAUUAGUAUUGCUUUCUUUGCAACGAGCACAGCGUUAACAUUGUUUGAAUUUGUUGCAGAUGGAAGCUCUGGUUCUGACAAGAACAAUGUGGAACUUGAACCGAAAAGGAAGGCAGUUCCCCGAAGAGAAACUCCAAAUAAGCCAAACCAAACGCCUCCCAUUCCUACUUCUGUUGCUCUAAAUGUAUACUACCUAAUCAAAAACUUCAAAAUUUGCUUGGUUUUUCUGCUUUUAUGAGCUUAUUGGUUCUUUAUGAUUUGCAGAAACAGAGGGAGCAGAAAGACAGCCUCGUAGAUGAAGAAAAAUUGGCUUCGGCUAGAAGGCGGCUUCAUGAGAAUUAUCAGGAAGCUCAAAAUGGUCUAUAUUGAUCAAUUUUAUUCAAACGUUGUUAUAUAUAUUGUGUGAUUUUAGUCCAGUUCUCAUGACGAAGUUAUAUACUUAUAUUAAUGUUUUUCUGCAGCAAAAAAACAGAGAACAAUUCAAGUGAUGGAUAUUCAUGACAUUCCCAAACCCAAGAAUACAUUCUUUGCCAAGAACAGGGGAGGCGUUCAGGCAAAACAUUGGUGAUUACAAAGCACAAAUUAAUACCGGCAAUACCGGUAAACGUUAAACCAAUCCUUUAUUGAACUUUAUCUGUUAUCUGUUUGGAUCCAUCCCAUGAGCCCUUGUCUCCUCCAUGUUUAUUGGGCCACUACAGUGAUAACAACUUUAUUUGGAUUCACAAGAUAAUGCUUCCUUUCAAGAAAAUUUAUUUGUUAGAACAAAAAUCCUUUUCUUUCUCCGUAUGAUUUUUCUUGGAAAAAAAAAGUGAAUAUGCUUGAAUUGAACCCAUUAUCUUGUUGGUCAAAAUAACUUGAGGAUGAUAACGUGGCCAAUUAAAAUUAAAGUUAAGAAAAGCGUGAAAAUUGAGGAGAAAGUGAAUUCCUGCUGUAUCUGUUUGUUUACCCGACUGAUUCAGUGAAGCCUGAUAUAAUAUGAUUUGCUGUAGGAUUAAGAAUAUUUGUUCACUUUGUCUCUUUGAUGAAGAAGAUGAAAGAAUCUGUAAGAGUCUGCAGCAACACCCUCACCUAACUGUUCCUGCUUCUGUUGAUUGAUUUUUCAGGCUGUAAAAAUUAGGAGUUGAAACCGCUAAGGGUCAAAAGGGCUCCAACUGGCGGCUGAGCUCUGGGGCGAAGUGGUGGAAUUGUAGGAAGCAGGAGUUGUGACCGUGAUACAUGUGACUUUUAUGGGUUUGUAAUAUUGUUUUGUUUCAGGAAGAGGGUGUUGUUGGGUACUGGCAUGAGCAGUGACGACUGACGUGAUAAAACAAAAAACGAAAAUACUGUGAAGGAGAAUCCAUAUGAUUGCAUCAGACGGAUUCACUGUAGUACUGCAUGCCAAACAAUUGCAUGUGGGUUACACAGGGGUGACUCCACGAUUGCCAGCUGCAAAUGUAUAUUGUAGCAAACUUGAUAAAACCUAUUGGAUUUGGUCCCGAUUAGAAGGCACCAUCGUGUCAACACAGCUGUGGCUUUUGAUUUUUCACGCUCUAGGGUAGGGAAGGGUUGUAGUGAUGGUCAAAUCAUGUUUAGAUUCCAUUAGCUACGAUCAGUUGAGGGCCCACGGAUCUCACACGUAUGGUGCAGUGGUGGUUGGGUGUGAUAUGAAUUGGGCUAAUACUCAUUUGCAUUUCAAAUGUGUGCACCAUGGUCCGUGCCGGUGGAAUGGGUACCAUUUGUCAAGUGGGCGUGUCAGUACAACUGGAACCAUAAAUACAACAAUUGAUGUUCAAAGUUGUUGGUGGGAUCAGCCGACAUUCAAUACUCACCGGUUUGCCCGAAGUCUUCGUUUUGGUGUCAAAUUCCCUUCCCCCCCUCCCCCACCGCGCUCAACCCUGUCCAGUCUUCCGGACCAUCAGUUGCUACAGUACGUACUUGUGUGCAUAAAAUAAUAUAAACACUAAUAUUGCACACAAAAAAAAAAAAAAAUAUACUGAAAACCCUUUUUUUUCCGAGUAGAUAUUCAUCUCAAGAUAAUCAUUUAUAAUAGAUGUAACCGUGGUAGGGUCAGCUAGUUAUGUUAUAAGGAAUAAUUUUUAGGAUAAACUUGCAUUUGAUAUAAAUUUUUGUUUGAUUAUUGAUGAUUUCGUGGAGCUUCGUCUCGAGACUAAUAUCACUACGUAGUAAUAAUACGCAACUUAGUAAUAACUAGCAAAAACUGGAGAACACAUAAAAAAGGGUCCUUUUAUUUGAUUGAUUACUUGUCGCCAAUCCCAUCUUUUAUUUGCUCUUAUCUAAAAUCAAGUGUCAUUUUCUGUCGCCAAUAAAUUUUACAAUUUAUCAAUCUAGAAAAAUUCCUUCACUAUUCGGCAGUGCAGUGAUAUCAAGAAAUUUUUUCACACAAACUGUCCAAAUUCCAAAGGUUGAAGGGAUAAUUUAGAGUGAUUAAAAAAAAAAUGUCUAAAGUGGUCAUUUUGAGUUUAUUAUUUAAUUUUUAUUUUAAGUUAAGGGUGUUUAUAUUAAUUUAAAAUAUUGAAUUGAUAUAUUUAUUUAUUUAAAAAUUAAUUUUAAUAUUCAAAUUAUAAUAAUACGUUAUUUAUCAACAUAUUUAAAAAAAGGACCGGGCGGUCUUUUAAAAACCAAAACUUCAAAACAUAUUUUAAAUAAUUUGAAAUCACAAACCCACUGAUCGUGUAAAACAAAAAUUAUGCGUUGGGGACACAACUCAUACAGCACAGCAACAAGCAACAAGCAACAUCAUCUUUUGUCAAGUCGUUUAUUGGCAAAUAGAAAAUUUCGAUGGAAGAUGUUAAUUCAGCCGCCCGAGCUAUUAGCUGUUGGUGGGGUACAUCAAUCCCUCAAAUUCAACACCCAUCUACCAGUGGAACAAAGCCCCCGAACCCUAGGAAAAUUUAAAAAUCCAAAGAAAGAAGAUGAUGAGGAGAAAAAACUUAGUGUAGAAAAUGAUGUCUUGGGCCCUGGGGGGUGAAUUUAUUGAAAAAGGUAAAAGUUAGAAUCAUUUUGUAGGAUAAUAAAUACUAAGGCCGGGGAGCCUGUUCAACCGGCAACCGGCUACCGGCUGAAAGUAUUCCAUUUAUAGAAAGUUCCAGAAAAAGGCCUCCCAGGGAGUUUUCAAAAACACCUUGCUCAGUCUCACGCGCUCGCUCCUCCUCGUCGUUUCAGAUCAAAACCCCUCUGGCUUCCUCAUCACAUGAUUUCAAACUCUUCCAAAAUUCAAAACCAGAGUUCGUACAUUAACCUAAUCUGAACCCCUAAUUCUGAGCAUCCGAAAGAAGCUGUGGUUUGGGGUCCCUGGAAAUGGUGUCGCCGAAGGUGAUGGCGUCUUCAUCUUCUCGCAAUUCGGAUCUAAGACGUCGUUCCUCGUCGAAGUCCGUGGCUUCCGACCAGGGGAAGUCGGGACUCGGUUCGAUGACGGUGGACGGCCUCCUCCGCAACGUCUACAGCGCCGCUCCCCCCUCAGAGAGCACGCUCGUUGACGCGGAGAUCACGUUGGUGGACUCCGGGACGGGAGCGAUGGCGGAGCUGGAGGGGGCGCCGGCGGCGAAGACGGUGGAUGAUGUGUGGAGGGAGAUCGUGGCGGGAGGGGGUGGUAGGAGGGAGUGUAAGGAGGAAGUUGAGGACGAUAUGAUGACUUUGGAGGAUUUUCUGGCGAAGGCAGGGGCGGUGGAGGAAGAAGGGGAGGAUCGGGACGUGAAGGUUCCCCUGGUGACGCAGCGGCUGAGCGGAGGGAUUUUCGCUUUUGAUCCCGUGCCGCCGAGUCCCAUCACGCCGGCGCAGGUGGAGGGUUCGGUGAUAGGGUUUGGGAAUGGAAUGGAGAUUGUUGGGGGAAGAGGCAAGAGGAGGGCGCCUGUCUUGGAGCCCUUGGAUAAGGCGGCUCAGCAGAAGCAGCGCCGGAUGAUCAAGAACAGAGAGUCUGCGGCCAGGUCGAGGGAGCGGAAGCAGGUGGAAUGUUCUCUCUAGACACUAGUAUUUUAAAAAGAAAAAAUUCUGUUCUCUUUUUCCAAGAAAGAAAUUGAAGAUAAGAAAAAAAUUUCUUUCUGUUGCCUAGAUUUCCCAAAAUUGAACAUUCCUCGAGUAUUUGAUUUCUUCUGAGCACUUUGAUUCCCAUGUUUUCGGGUAUUUUCGAGUGUAGGCAUACCAAGUUGAAUUAGAAUCAUCAGCAGUAAGACUGGAGGAGGAGAAUGAGCAGCUAUUGAAAGAGAAGGUACAUUAUUUAGUUUAAUCUUCAAAAUUAAGUCACUUAUUAUUUGACAAUGACAGACCGUAAUUGUUUUCUUGAUAAUGUAGUAUGGUCUUUGUUGCUAAAUAUUUGGAUUUGAGUUGAUGAUUAUGUCCUUUAUGGCGCUUUUUCAGAUUGGAAUGGAUGAUCAUGUAUGUUAUGGUACUUAUUUACAAUAUAAAAUAUUGUUUAUUUGAGUUUAAUAUUUGGAUACUUGUGAAGCAAUGAAGUUACUGUGUUUAAUUUGUCCUUCAGAGUUAUCCAGUAUUUUUGUUAUUCGAAAAUUAAGACUCAAAGCAUGAUAGCAGGUAGAAACAAGAAACAGAAGCAAAGAAAAAACACAAGCACCUUAAACCAUUGUACAACCCAAGCUGUUGAAGAACUCCAUAAAAGAGGGGCUUCUUAACAAAACCCUACCGUUUGUUCAAAUGUGUGGAUAUCUCAGCACAUCUUCUCAUGUUUACUUUAUGAGGAUUCCCCUAAAAUCCUCAUGUUCUGUACCUUCUACAGUCACCAUGUCUAACAGAAGAAACCAUUCAUCUCAUUUCUUCCCUGCAGUCUGGGCUUUGAGCCUUUUUCUAAACAAAAACUGAUUGAUUCCAAGAAUUUAGUUAAUUGACUUUGGGUUCAGCUUGUAAAUUCUUCGAUCAACAAUUAUUCAAACAUUUGAUGCUGACAAGAUAUCUUCUCUUCUGUUCAGCUUGUCAAAAGUCUCUAUUAAAUAGAACAUAUGAAAAUUUAAAUUUCUUUCUAUUGAUUCACUCCAUGUCCUCUUUGCUUGACCUGCCUCCCCUUUGCCCAUUAUUAUCCAUGGAAUGCUCAAUGAUUUCCUCUUAGUUCUCUUAAACAUGCUCUCUAACAAGCGAUGAAAAAUGUUAAAGACUAUUAAGCUAGUUAGAGAGCAUGUUUAAGAAACUUCUAAUUCCAAAAACCCCACUCCUCUUAUUCGAAAAAAUUGUUGAUCAAUUCACCAUAUGUGACUUUCUGUCAAGAGCCCCUACCCUUAAAGGAAAUCCCUUUGGAUCUUUUCUAGCCUUGAACUCACUUUUCUUGAGAUGACAAAUAAUGAUAUGAAGUAGAUUGACAAAUUGAUAGAGUGUUUUUUAUCAGAGUUGGCUUUCCUCUUUUUGAUAGGUGCUGUUUCUUCCACAUAGCGAGCCAUUUUUGAAAUCUUUGUCAUACAGUGUUCCAAACCCAAGAUGGUAUGCCAGGGGUUCUCAACAAAGACCUAGAUGGUGGGGAGGGCCCCCACCCUACAUCCCAGUACCUCAAUUAGUUCCUCCACAUUGGCACCCUUUAAUGGGAUCAACUUUCUUUUUUCGAGAGUGAUCUUUAAACCUGAUAUUGCGGCAAACCACAUAAAUUCCUGUUCAGAUGCUCUAUAUGCUCCUCCAUUGCAUCACAUAGAAUAAGAGUUCAUUAACAAAUAACAUAAGGGACACCUCCAAACCCACACCUUCCCCUAGUAGAGAACCCUGCUAUGAACAUCCCUUCCUUAGCUUUUAUUUAGGAUGUGAGAGAUUGUUGUCAUGACCAUAAGAAAGAGAUAUGGGGACAGAGGAUCACCAUGUCUCAAGUCUCUACUACAUAUGUACUUUGGGGUGCACUUUUGGUUUUUCUUUUUAUAAUAUUCUCUUGCUUUACCCAUCAAAAAGAUGUCUCAAGUCUUUAGAACUUUAGAAAAAACUUGUGGGAGUCUCAUUUACUAAAAUGGAGAAUUGCAUUGUAGAGAUGCAUCACUUAAUCCAUCUAAUCCACUUGGAGCCUUCCAAGAGACUCCACCACUGUUGCUUUUUAGCCUUGAUUCAAUGUCUUCAUUAGCUAUGAAAAUUGCAUUCAGAAUUUGUCUGCCUUCCACAAACGCAUGUUUGAAAUAUGAAACCACUUUUCCCACCACAUUUUUUUUUAAUUAAAAUUUAUGGUAUUGAUUAGACCUUGUUAGGUAACAAACAAUAUGAUGCAAACUCUUUAGAGUAUCAUCUUAUGACUCUGCCAGAAUUCAAAACCUGUAUCCACAACAAUGUUACAAAUCCAUUUUGCAUUUUUUAUUAAAGUUAAGCCAAUAUGUCUUUUAGACCUUUUCCCAUAGAUAUUUGUCACACAACAUAAAUGUAGAAUAUUUAAUACCUUACAAUGUGUAUAUUAUAAAUGUCUAUGGAUGCAGUAAAUAAAAAUUACAAAAUUAGUUCCAAAAGUUAGAUGAUCAUACAUCAUUUAAAGUUCUUGUUUGUUUGUGAGUUUUGAUUUAAUUGCUUGUCCUUAGACUACUACUUUUUAAAUUAAAAAAGUAGUUUGUCAUUCCAAAUCAUUACUUUGAAUGGGAAUAGCACAACAAUAAUUAACUUAUAAUAUUUGCUCUAAAAAAUUUACCUAUAAAAAAAACAGAAGAAAAACAAUAAUUAAUUUAUGAUAUCUAUUUGCCAGGGGCUAAUAUAUCUGUUUCUGGAUGAUAAUUCUAUACUACUAAAUACAAUGAGUGUUUUCCAUAAUUAUUGUAGGAAACAAAGAAAUAAAAGACACAUGAAGGAUUAAAAGGUGAUUUUUAAAGAAACAGAGCAGAGCUGCAAGAUUGUUUCAAUCCCACCUAUGCCUCUCAUAUCAAGUUUCAUCUCUCUUUCUAUUUUCAGAAAAUCAAAAUUGUCUGGUUCUCUCUUUAGGAGCAUAAAUAAAUUUUAAUUUUAAUACACAAGGUCCACAUCUUGGACGCUUUUUGUUUCAGAUGCUUGUUGUAGUACAAGUACACCAAGUGUUAAAGAAUAUAUGGAAAUGAGAUAGCACCUGUCAGUGCUCACAUCUUUAUAUUGCGAUAUUAUUAUGUUAAUCACAGGUCAGGUUUUGAAAAUGUGGAGAUAGGAAUCAAAUAUUGAUAUCAAUUAGGUAAAAUGGUAGAGUUAUGGGUUUUGAGUUAUAUUUUCAUCUCAUGUUCUCUGUAUGAUUUUCAUGUUUUGAAUGAGUUAUGGGAGAGUUAUUAAUCUAAUUUUAUUGUUAUCCCCACUUGCAAUGUCAUCAAUGGCAAGAGACAAAAUAGUUUAUGCAGUGUAAUUUUUAUAUUAGGAAUAUUCUAAUUCUCUUUUGUUGCAUUGCAAUUUUUGUAUUUUUCUUCUUUCUUCACCUCUGUAGUUCUUUGAACUAACAAAAGGUUUUAAUUUACAGGCUGAGCGUUCAAAAGAAAGGUUAAAGCAGGUAUGGAUUCUAACAUGAUGUUUUUCUCUCUUCCUUUUUUUUUUUAAAAAAUAUUUUUCAAUAUCAGUCUUUAUAUUUCGGUGGGGGAAGAACCACUGAGAAAUUUGGUUUAGUGCAUUUUCUGUCUUGUUGAAGCCUAUUUUCUUGUUUAAAGACAUAAGCUGGCUUAUGAAUGUAUAAAAUCUUCUAAGCACAUCAACUCUCAAGUUGUUGCAAGAGUUUUAUCUUUUGGAAGAACUAGCACCAACUGAAGAACACACAGUUUACUAGAAGUCAUUGUUUAUGUUGUUAUAGCAUUAGAAGGUGUUUGGAUCAUUUCUCAAACAUCGUUUUUCAUGAAAUUUUGGGUUACAUCAACUUUCAACUUGUUGCAAGAGUUUUAUCUGUUGGAAGAACUAGCACCAACUGAAGAACACACAGUUCACUAGAAAUCAUUGUUUAUGUUAUUAUAGCAUUAGAAGGCAUUUGGAUCAUUUCUCAAACAUUGUUUUUCAUGAAAUUUUGGGUUUUGUACCCUUCUUUUUUGUAGAAAAUGUGAUUCUGACUUGCUUAUAUUGCCUAUGCCCUGUUGUGAUGUUCCAUGCACAUGUAUGCAGACCACCUUAUUGUAAUUAGAAAGCUACAUCAUGAUCUCUUUAAAAGGCCAUCUUUUGUGUAGUGUGCAAAACCUUGGUGGGUUUUGAUAGCUUCAUGCUUGUGUUUUGCCAACAAAUUUGAAGACUGUCAAAGAGGAUAGGAUGUCUCAGUGUUCUUGAGGAAAUUUCAGGAAGUUUAUAUGGUGUGUUUUAGGCCCAGUUCCAAAAGAAAGGUGGGGCAGAAAAUAUUAAAGAAAUUAGUCUCUUUAGGAUUUUAGACCCAUAAGUUAGGUGGGUGUUUAUACAAGCUAUUUGGUCAAGAUUCUUGCAAAUAUGGCAAGAAUGUUGGUGGGGAAAGUUGUUUUUGAGUUCCAAAGCGAGUUUGUAGAGGAUUGGCAGAAGCAUCUUAUAUACUGUGAUGGUUAUAAGUAUCCUGUUGAACCAGUUGGUUCUUUGAUGGCUGGACCCUCUAAAAUCAGAUUAUUGAGGUCUACUUAUAACAUUAGUUCUCAUCUUUGUUAUUUUAUUAACUAUUGAUGUCUACAGUUCUUCCUGGGAAGAUGCUAAUUAGGGUAUAAUUGCAGAAGUUAGUACUUCUUAGAGUUGAGAGCUCCUGCUUCCAUUUUUAUGUGUGCUAAACGUUUUUUAACGGAAGAUAUGAAGAUGGAAAACAUGUUUUUACUCUCAUAUUUCCCUUUUUAACGACUCUUAGGUUUUUUUUUUUGGUUUUUUUUCCUUGUUUUUUGUUUGUUAUUUUUGUUAUUAUUGUUAUUUUUUCUAUUGCAUGGAUUAGAACCUGAAACCUCCCCAUCCCUCCAACCACUUGCCAGUUUAGUCAGAUAUGAGGGGUAUUUAGUGACUCAUAGUUUCUUCUUGAGAGCUUAUUUUAUAUUUUUAUCAGGACCUUUCCACUGGCUUCUUAUCAGUUGGAGGAUUCAAGUUCUGAUGGAUAUUCACAGAGUUGUUCAUACCUCUCGAGAGCCAAGAUUUGAAAGUGGGUUGCUUGGCUCUGGUUCAUUGGAACCUGAAUUGCUUGCUCUAGUAGUUUGUCAUGGUUCAGUUGUUUUUUUUUCCUUCUUCCCUUGGGGCAUUUUUUUUCCUUAGGAUUGAUAAAUGUCUCAAGAUGCAUGAAAAAAAAAAGGUAUGAAAUGGUAAAACCUAUUUUGAAGCAAAUAUAAGCGUGUUCUAUGACCAAUGGAGGAAAAAAAAAAAGGAAAGAGAAAAGACACUUGAAAUCACUGCACAGAGGAAGUUCCUUGUGAUUUGUAGUGGGUGCUCAAAAUUACCAUUAAUUGCUUAUGAUCCUUGUUGGAUACAUUUUCUAAGAAAUCUAUGGUUCCUACUUCCUAAAAUAUCUGUUGUUUUGACCACAAAAACAUUUUCUUUAUAUUGAUUUUGAGAAUUUGAAGCCUUCUGAAGUAAAUAUAUAAUGACUAACUAAGCUUAUUUUUUGUAGCUUACUGUUGUGCAUUUCUAUUUAUGUAGACAUGAUUUCAAGUAUAUAGCUGUGAUCACAUGCUUAGACUUUGAUGGUCUCCUCCUUCGAGAUGUUUGUUUCUUUGUUGUAAUGGAAAAAUCAUGUCUGCAUGCUUAAGUUGAUGGGACUUCUGUUUUCCUAAUAAAAUGGUAUCCUCCCAAAAAAAUUGAAUACUAAAUGAGUGAGAAGUUUUGGAGGUGGCCUGAUGUGCUUUGGCUUCCUGUUCUAUUAAGAAAAUUGUUGCAUAUAUGUGGUUAUUUGAUGCCGAAAGGUGAGAUUUGAACCAGUUAGUUGAUUUAUGACUGAUGAUAUUUGGCAUGGUUGAAAGCUGGGAGAGAAGGAGAAUGGUCUUCUAAGUAUUGCAUUACUCAAAAUAACUAGUUGGUUUUGCCUGCAGCUCAUGGAAAAAAUUAUCCCAGUUGUGGAAAGGAGGAAACCAGCCCGCGUCCUCCGAAGAGUUCGCUCCAUGGAGUGGUAGAAUAUUGUUUAUGCAUCAGGUAUGAGAUUAGAAUACAGAACACCCUUAUCUAACAUAGAAAAAAAUUGCAAUCUUCUGUGGAGAACUAUCUUCAUUGGCUCAGAUAUUCUGAGAGAAAACAUGGUUACCCUGAUACAAAGAAAAACAUAGGGGAUGAGAAGCCAAGUUACAAGGGAAAUUCCUUAUGACUGAAGAUAUAAAGGACUUCCAUCAAAGGAGAUUGAAGAGUUGUAAGACAAACCUAUAGUUGUAGUUAGUAAGUGUAUUAAUGUGUAAAACUGACUAUGGCAGCACUUUGACAGAAUACAUAGUGGUGACUAAUGUGGCAUUUAUGAUAUUUUUUGACCUUGCUCUCUGACUUUCUCCCUCUUGUCUGUUUGUUGAAGGCUGAAAACCACCGGGUGUAGGUUGGGAACCGGCCAAUUUGAUGCUGGGAAUGGUUUUUGUAUUUUUAUUUUUUUAUGCAAUAAAAACGCAUCUUCCGGUUCCCAUUUUAGUCUUUGUAUUUUUUUUUAAAAAAAAACUAAAUGCAGACAUGGAUAUCAUGUGAAACAAAAGGUCAACAAUUUCUCACGAAUAUAAAAAGACUCGAGAAUAUUACAAGUUCUUAAGAAUUGUCUUGAAGACGAUUCCACAAGAACACCCUUGGAUUUUGCCGUAGCUGUGGACUUGAGAUAAGGAACAAAGGCUCUAUAAGAUUGGAAUCUCUGGGAAAAUAAAGAGAAUUAUAUUAGAAAUUGAGUGAUUGGAUGGAGAUAUUUUUGGCAGGGAAGAGUAGCUUUUUGUUGUUUUCUUUUCGCGGGAAAAAAAAUAGGCCCACAUUGCAGCAUAUUGAAAAAAGGAAAAAGAAAAAAAGAGGGUAUGGAUACUGGGUACUUUGGGAGCAAAAUCUUGAACUUAAGAAAUCAACAAAUGCAUUACAAAUUAAGAAUAAGACAUAAUAGCAUCUGAAAUUUUGUGACUUGACUGUUGGGACUAAAGAAGCUUGUGUCUCUAGUGUUUUGAAUUUUAGUGAUGGAAGAUGAGGGUGGUGUUUGGUCAGAGGGUGAAGACUCUGUUCCCCAUGUCCACCAUUACUGUAUCCUCCCCUUGUCUUCUAGUUGUUGUCUCAAAUAUUCUCUGUAUCCUUUUGAUGUAAUGAGUUUGGCCCACACCCAAGUUUCACUUUGUGAGCUGGUGGUCCCCAUUCUCUACUCCACUCUGCAGUCUGCUCUGCACCCUUCCAUUGCCAUACACAGCAACCCUCGGCUUUCUUGCUAGCAGGCCCACUCACCCAAUAAUAUUUACUCAUACGAGGAUAUAUGCCUGCCUGCAUGCAUCACAGGAGAUGAGGUUGAUAUUGAAUGUUAGGAGAAUGGGAAUGACCCUUCCAUAAAUUUGGAUACCCAUCAUUCCUAUCUUUAAAUGACAAAAUGUUUAUGUAUGCCUUCCCACAAUUCCAUUUUAUUUUCAGCUUAAAUUAUUUAAUUACAACAAUAAUAACAAAUUUUAAUAUGUAAAUAGCCCUCAUCAUUAAAGAAAGCGGAAUAUGCCACUCUCAUUUAGGGUCCUUCAUUCAAGAAAAGGUAGGAGAAAGAAGCAUUGUACCUUAAACAACCAUAUCCAGUAAUCAUGCUUUGUCUUAUGAUAUUGGGUGGUUGAAGAGUUGAAACAUGAAUAAAAAAGUUCAAAGCUAUUAUUCUUAACUCUCUCUCUCUCUCUCUCUCUAAGAUGCCACUAGAAAUGUUUGCGUUUGCUCGAGUCUAGAAUUGAGGCUGCCCUAAAACCCUAAUAGGGUCAGUCCUAAACCCUAAUGGGGUCAAUUCCUUCACAGCCUAGAGAAAAGGGUCUGCACUUACUUUCCGCCUUGACACAUCUUCCUCCUUAAUUUACUUACAAUGGUGUGCUCAAAACCAAAAAUAAAAAAUAAAAAAUAAAAUUCCCUUUUGGAGAUUUUAAUCUUUGGAGCAUAAAGUGUAAGAUCCAUUUAAACUAAUAAAAAAAUAAAAAAAUUUGGAGGAAAAGAGAAAGGGAGGAAAAAAAAGGUAAACCAUAAAGGAAAAGCAAAUGGAUUCCCCAGCAAAAUAAAAAAUAAAUAAAGAUACAUACAGUGAUACAGCAGCCCGGUAAUCACUGGAGUAAUCAUUUCAGAAUAAUAAUCUCAUCUCUCUUCAUCCUCUACCGUUGGAUCUCCCUUUUUACUUGGUAAAAAAAAAAAAAAAGAAAUUGCUUUUGUGAAGCAUUUUCAGAAACCAAAAUCAUUCCCAGCUUUUACUGUGAAAAUAAUAAUAAUAAAAACAACACCACACACGAUCUCCAAUACCACAGACCCAUGUCUGGCAUCCAUUCAAACUCUUCCCAUCAAAGCCAAGCACACCCGACACCUCUCUCCAUCUCAUACUGUCAGUCAUACACACUUAUCAAAACAACACCCUUUUUUUUCUCUUUUUUCCCUUCAAGCCCGUGAGGCCACAAAGCUCUAAUCUUAAAUGCAUUCCUCUCUUUUUAUCUUUUGUUUUCACACAACAAAAAACACACGCUGUUGAUCAUAUGGAUACCUCCUCCAUGCUUGUAGUCUUCUUCACUUCUUUCCUUACCCUACUCUUCCAACUCUCUCUUUCCACAACAGUGGUAGUUGAUGGAGUUUCUGAAUGGAAAAACCCUAUUGUUCAUGUUGGAGAUUCUAUCAGUAAGUGCUAAAACCCCACCAGAUGAGUUUUUUUUUUUUUUCGUUUUUCUGGGUUUGUGUUAAACUAAUGUAUAUGUAUUUUCUGGUUUGUUUUCUUCAGUUUUCAGACAUAGGAAUCAUUAUAAUCUCUAUGUUUUCCAGAACAGAGAAGCCUUCAAUCUCUGUAACUUCACUCAAGCCACACUCCUCACCAAACCCAACUCCACCUCUUACACGGUAUGGAUAUUUUCCCUGCAAAUACUGUGUGGAAAUGGGAAAUUCUUCAUUUGGGUUCUUUAGAAAUCUCUCAGAAUCUCUGUUUCUGAUCGUUUUUCUUGUUAUAAUGCGAAGUGGCACCCAUCACGGACUGGCUUCUUCUACUUCUCCUUCAACAAUGGCUCUCUCGAAGCAUGCCAACAAGCUCAAAAGCUCGCCAUAAAGGUGCAGGCCUCUGCAAAGCCGCGGGACAACUGGGCUACUUCGCCGGCGCUACCUCCAAGGGCGGCUCCUGCGCCGACUUCCGGAGGCACGCCAACGUCGUCUCCGGUGUAUCCAUGGCCAUUCCGCCCUCAUGAGGCGGCUCCAUCGAGUGCAGAACCCAGUGCGAGUCCUCCAGCGACGGUGAUGCCGGACAAAGGCGCCGGCAUACCGUUUAUCAAUAGUAAUCCGGCGGUUCCUCUGCCGACCGGCGAAGUGGACUCUGCUACCAUACGCCCUGUGCCCACUUCUGGCCAUGGAGGGUUGGUGCAGGUACUUUGAGGUUUUAUUUUUAUUUUUCUUUUUCUUUUUCUGGAAAUGAAAUUUUUACUUUUAAGACAAGUUGAAAUUUACAUUUUUGACCUAGAUAUUUGUGAUUAUACAUAUCAAAUGAGGAGGGUGUUGAUGGGAUAUUGAUUGGUUUCAAAUUUUAUGGGUGCACAUGCAGGUGAAAGUGGUGCAAUUUGCAGCUCAAAUGAGUGUGGUAUGUGUGGUUUUGGUGAUGCUGUAAAAAGUAGUACAGAGAGAGAGAGAGAGAUGCAGUGUAUGUAAAAAGAAAAGGUGAGCAGGAGGAGAGUGUGCAGCAGGAACAAUGGGGUUUGAAUCUUGAAUCUAAAGUAGCUUUUAGGGUUUUGAUAAUUACAUGUAAUGCUGUCCUUGGCCCUACUUCUCAAUCAUUGCUCUUUCCUCUUUAUUUUUGCCCUGCAAUCAAUUGCUCCCCCUCCCCUUCUCUCUCAUUUCUUUUUUCCACCCUUUCAUUAGAAGGAAACAAUAUGUCACUCUUGGAUGAGGUUUUCACAAAUCUUUAAGAAAAUGUGACAUGACAUAUCUGAUGUGCAACACAGAGCAGAAAAAUAAUUUCAGAACAAUGUGGAGAUGGUGUAAAAGGACAGUCUGUGUACAGUGUGUUCAUUUCUCUUCCUUUCUUCUCUCUUCAGUUGCUUUCAUAAACAAACUGAAAACAGACUCCAAUCAUAACAUCAUAAUUCAAAUGCCAAACUACUUCUCAUUCUCACUGCUAUUACAAUGAGUUUACUGAGCCCAUUUUCAAUGUUAUGGCCCCAGACACAGCAUAUGUAUUCUUAUAAAAAGGGAUGGCCUCCAUUUUGGCAUUGUACCUAUUGCAGUCUUUUGUGGCUUCAAAUGGGCUCGACCCAGACCAUUUUGAACCCAAAAUUGGCCCAUUUCCAGUGGUGAUACCUUUUUGAUAGUAUCCUCAAGUCUAGGAAUAUAAAAUGCUUGUUGACCCAUAAGAUAAAAAUAACAAAGAGUUUCAUAUACUAGAAAUUACGACUGUCCAUGAUUCUAGGCGUCACACGUGUUGGAACUUGGGGGUUGCCUAGGGCAUCCAAAGAGACGUUAGCUUCCCGCCAAGGCAAAUAACAGGAGAAGUAACCGACUUCUAAAUGUUGUAACGAAUUAACAAGUAAUGAAUAUGUGCUUAUUUUCAGCCUACCAUGUCCAUUGUUUCUGUAUUUAAUCUCCCUCACCACUCUUCCACACAAUCAUCUCUCAAACAAUGGAGAUUGAAUUGGGACUCAGGGUUUCCAGACCCAGUCAUGAUGCCAUCUCCGCCAGCCUUCGCAUCACCAAAGAUGGCCCCAAUCCUCUUUUCCUGUAUAUGGAAACUGACGAGAUGUUCAUCCUCACUGCCAAUCUCAAAGGUGUUCUUCUCUCACUCUCUUUAAAUCUCUCCAUAUAUAUACUUGAUAUUUGAUGUAUUGUCAUGAAUAUAUGUAGGAUAUCCGAGGGAGAAACUCAAGAUUAGUAUAGACGAAGUUGGGACUCAGAUUGCUAUUAGUGGGGAGAAGGUGAUUACACAGAUGAUGACGGUGGGGUGGAUAGCGCACAAGAGAGAGGUUGAGGUCAGGAGAUUCAGAAAGGUUUUUCGGAUUCCAGACGGGGUUGUUCUAGAUGGAAUCAACGCCAGUUUCAAUGAAGAAGAAUCGGUUUUGAAGAUUUUAAUGCCUAAAUCGGUGAAAGGAAUUAGUGGGGUUAAGAUGGAGGAAGUGAAGGAAGAGGACAUUGAUGGAAGGAGCUAUGAAAGGACUCGAGUUGUGGCUGAUGAGGUUCCUGAAACAGAGAAUCCUAGAGAGACUCUGAAAGAAGAGAUAAACAAUGUAACGGCAACUGAUGAGGUUGAGGGAAGAUUGUCCCAAGCUGCUGAUACAGAGGAAGAGCCCACUCAGUUGAAUGAAGGAGAGGUGCCAUCAUCCCAAGAAACUCCAGCCAAAGCCAGAAAGGAUUCUGAUUCAGAAGCAAAAAGUAGAGCAGCGGAGGAGAAAUCAAAGGAGUGUGAACAGAGUCCAGAGGCAACUGAAUCAACAAAAGUUGAACAAGAUCAAGUGACUGAAGGAGCUCAGGUUGAAGAAUAUAAUGCCCAUGAGGAAAAUGGUGGAGUUGAAACUCAUCCAUCACAACAACAGCCGAAUGCAGAAAUUCAAGAAGCGGCCCAGGAUCAAACAGAGUCACUGAAGUCAGAUCAUCCUGAAGAAGUUGAAGGAAUGGGAAAUGAAAUUCCAGCAGAAACUGAUCGAGUAGACCCUCCUGAAGAAAAAGUUGACGACAGACAGGGCUCGUUGGCUCCUUCCAAAAAGUCUAAGCUAUGUAGUCCAUGUUUCUUUGCAGGAUCUGCCAUUGUUGUAUCAAUUAUGGUGCUUGUUAUUUGCUUAAAUCGACCUAAAAGAAGAUGAAUGAUUUCAACUUUAUUUGGAUUUCUCUUUCGUUCCUUUGGGACUGAUAAAUAUAGAUUAAUUGGUUUCAUUUUAUGGGUGGAAAUGGUGGUGGAGGUGGGGCUAUAUGCAGCUGAAGUGAGUGUGUUAUGUGUGAUUUUGGUGAUGCUGUAAAAAGAGUGUUUAUAUAGUUUUUUAUCCGUAAGAUGCCAGCCACAUAGGACGGUGAGGUUGUUGAGAUAUUAAGAAUGCUUUCCUUAUAUCAUUCUUUUCUUAUAUCAUUUAGUGUUGAGAUAUUAGGAAUGUUUAGAUAUUAAGAAAGUUGAGAUAUUAAGAAUAUUGAGAUAUUAGGAAAGUCGAGAUAUUAAGAUAUUAGUUGUUAUUUCCUUAUAUCAUUCUUUCCUUAUAUCAUUUUUUCCCAUUCUUAGAAUGGUGAUUACCCUCUAUAUGUACUCUGUGCAUGAACGAAUGAAAGAAGGAAUGAAAAACUAUCAUUUAUCAAUUUGAAGUUGGUAUCAGAGCCAUGUAACUGAAAUCCUGGAUAUUUUGUCGCUAUGGUAGUCCGACAACGAUCAACCGUCCUAAGACAAGCCCUAAUAUUGAUAAGUCAACCUUCAAAUGCAUUCAUUGCAAUAAGACUGAUCCCACCAGUCUGGAUAUCCCACAAUUUCAAAGCAAUGACUCUUGGUAUGACCAGGAAAAAAUGAGGAACCAAGGGUUUGAAUCAUGGACCUUUAGAUCAUGUUUAGGCUAUCAACACUUUGUUAUUAAUGAUAAAAAUCGUGAUCAACGGAAGAAGGAUUCUAAGAAAACCUCGACUGCAACUGUUGCCGAAAUAAAAAUAGAGGCUAAUGUUGCUGAGAAAGCCUCUGCAUUGGUAGCCGUUACAGAUCAUGGUGGUAAGUUUUUAAAUACUUUUAUACCUGUUAUUAAUAGUGCAUGGAUAAUUGAUUCUGGUGCUACAGAUCAUAUGACUUUUGAUUCUAGACAGGUUUCACCUCUUAGACCUUCCUCACAAAAAAUAGUUCCACAACCAAUGGUAACACAACCCCAGUCAUUGGGGAAGGAUCCUUAACUCUUACUGAUACUUUGAAUUUGGAUUCUGUUUUAGUUGUUCCAUCUUUAGAUUACAAUCUUUUGUCAGUUUCUCAAAUCACUACAGCCUUAUCUUGUAUUGUCAUUUUUUGGCCUGAAUUUUGUGUGAUUAAGGACAUCCAAACAAGACAGACGAUUGGUUGUGGUAUUAAGCGGGGAAAACUCUAUUACUUGGACUUGCAGUCAAAGGAUUCAAAUAAGUUGCAACAAGCCUUGAUGGUAGAUGGAUCUGAGGGAGAGAAGAAAAAGUCUGAAAUUUGGUUGUGGCAUCGACGUUUGGGACAUGCUUCCUUUGGUUAUUUAAAAAAAUCGUUUCCUAGUUUGUUUGCAAAGAGUGAUAUUUUUGGUUUCCGUUGUGAUAUUUGUGAAUUGGCUAAAAGCCAUCGUGCUUCGUUUCCGUUAAUUUUGAAUAAAAGUCUGUUUCCUUUUAUGGUUAUACAUUCUGAUGUUUGGGGCCCAUCCAAAGUCCCAACUUUGAGUAGCUCACGUUGGUUUGUUACUUUUAUUGAUGAUUGUAUCGAAAUGAUAUGAUUAUGCUUGAUGAAGACCAAAGAUGAAGUGAACUUGUUGUUUCAAAAUUUUCAUAAAGUGAUUGAAACUCAGUACAAUGCAAAGGUUCGGGUUCUGCGUAGUGAUAAUGGUGGAGAAUAUCAAAGUUCUGAUCUUCAAAAGUAUUUGGAAGGACAUGACACCAUUCAUCAGACUACUUGUUUCAAUACACCUCAGCAAAAUGGAGUCGUUGAACGAAAAAAUCGGCACUUGUUAGAGGUUGUUCGUGCUUCCUUGAUAGCAGCAAAAACACCGAUAUCUUAUUGGGGAGAAGCAGUCACAUCUGCCGCAUACUUGAUUAAUCGGGUACCUUCCAGCUCAAUUAACUUCCAAACACCUCUUCAAGCUCUUACUAAUACUGUAGUUGCCCCAACCGUCCCAAAUCUACCUCCUUGUGUUUUUGGUUGCGUGGCAUUUGUGCAUCUACACAAACACCAACACACCAAGUUAACUUUUCAUGCAUUGCAAUGUGUGUUUGUUGGAUAUGCAUUGCACAAAAAAGGAUAUUGAUGUUACCAUCCUCCAACUCGACGAAUGUAUAUUACAAUGGAUGUGGUGUUUCAUGAAGAUUUGAUGUAUUUUUCAUUUGAGUCUGAAUUUCAGGGGGAGUACCAUAAGGAAAUUCAGACUCUCGAUUAUGAUUAUCAUAUCUCUGAGGAGGAUGAAUCUAAACAAUCUGAAUUAGUGAACCAGGAAGCGGGUGAGUUGGAUAUGAGUGAUCAACAAUUUGGGUCUGAAGAUGUCUUCAUUGAAAUACCAAACCAAUUGUCGUUUGUUGAGGGUGUUCUUAAUUUGGAACCUGAUCCAUUCAUGAAACAGUUACCACACCGUCAUAAUAGAGGUAUUCCUAAACCCACAUAUGAACUUGAAUUGUCUACCAAAGUCAAAUAUCCCAUGAGCAACUAUGUGUCUAACCAUCGUUUGUCUGAAUCAAAUAAGUCAUUUGUAAAUCAAUUAUCUACUGUAGCUAUUCCUAACAGUGUUUAAGAAGCCUUAGUUGAUCCAAGGUGGAAAGCAGCCAUGAAUGAAGAGAUGAAAUCAUUGUAGAAGAAUGAAACAUGGGAACUCGUAGAAUGUCCACUAGGAAAGAAGCCAGUUGAGUGUCGUUGGAUCUAUGCUGUGAAGUACAAGGCAGAUGGUAGUAUUUAACGAUUUAAAGCAAGACUGGUAGCAAAAUGGUACACUCAAACUUAUGGAAUUGACUACAUAGAGACAUUUGCACCUGUAGCUAAGAUCAACACAGUUCGAGUAUUACUGUCUUUAGCUGCAAACCUAGAUUGACCAUUAUAACAGUUCGAUGUGAAAAAUGUCUUUCUGCAUGGCGAGUUAUCUGAAGAAGUAUAUAUGGAUCUUCCACCAGGAUGCAUGGUUUCAGAAAAGCAAUGUCAGAAGGUGUGCAAAUUGAAGAAAUCAUUGUAUGGGUUGAAGCAAUCCCCAAGAACAUGGUUUGGAAGGUUCACAAAGUCAAUGAGAGCUUUUGGCUAUCGUCAAAGUAAUUCAUAUCACACUUUGUUCCUGAAAAAGCAACAUGGUAAGAUUGUGACACUCAUCGUAUAUGUGGAUAACAUGGUAGUUACAGGAAACGAUACUGAAGAAAGAAAAGCUCUGCAAAAUUAUCUAUCUAGAGAAUUCGAAAUGAAAGAUCUAGGUCCUCUGAAAUACUUUCUUGGGAUUNNNNNNNNNNNNNNNNNNNNNNNNNNNNNNNNNNNNNNNNNNNNNNNNNNNNNNNNNNNNNNNNNNNNNNNNNNNNNNNNNNNNNNNNNNNNNNNNNNNNUAGGAAGGGAAUUUUGUCCGCUAAAAAUGUGAUCAUAGAGUAUAGAAGUAUAUACUGAUGCUGAUUGGGCCCGUGCAGUGAUGAUAGGCGAUCUACAUCUGGUUACUUUACGUUUGCAAAUGGUAAUCCUGUGACAUGGAAAAGUAAGAAGUAGAAUGUGUCGCUCGUUCAAGUGCAGAAGCGGAAUUUAGAGGUAUGACUCUAAGACUUUGUGAGGCAUUAUGGCUAAGACUCCUCUUACAGGAUUUAGGUUACCUAUCUAAGCAACCAGUCCGAUUAUUUUGUGACAAUAAAGCCGCAUGUGACAUUGCUCAUAAUCCAGUACAACAUGAUCGUACAAAGCAUGUCGAGGUGGAUAGAUUCUUCAUUAAGGAAAAGUUGGAUGAUAAGAUUGUGAAAUUGCCUAAGAUUCUAUCAAAAUAUCAAUUGACCGAUAUCCUCACCAAAGCUGUCUCAAGUCAAGUGUUCUCAAAAUUUUUAGACAAGUUGGGCAUGUGUGACAUCUAUGCACCAACUUGAGGGGGAGUGUUGAAAUAUUAGGAAUACUUUCCUUAUAUCAUUUAGUAUUGAGAUAUUAGGAAUAUUGAGAUAUUAGGAAAGUUGAGAUAUUAUGAUAUUAGUUGUUAUUUCCUUAUAUCAUUUUUUCCUUGUAUCAUUUUUUCCCAUUCUUAGAAUGGUGAUUACUCUCUAUAAAUACUCUGUACAUGAACGAAUGAAAGAAGGAAUGAAAAACUAUCAUUUAUCAAUUUGAAGAGAGGUGUCAUAGUUUGAGGGGAGAGUCGAGUAGAGUGAGAGGCAAGAGGGGAUUGGAGAGAGUGACAAUAGAAUCAUGGAGAGCAACAACAAGAGUCUCAAAAUCUCUCCUACUUGGUGGGAAAUGGAGUUUUUCUUAAUAGCAUUAGAAAAUAGUAACUCCCGUGUUAGUGAAUCAACGAUGAUGUGAGAGCUUUUGAGGGUGAUACUUGUCAUAGAGAUAAACGGUCCUUCCUUUCUCUCAUUUUGGCCUAGACGAGUCAAUGCAUGUUAUUCCCACUUGAAUGAACCUCCAACUCUAGCCACCAAAUCAAGACCCUCAAACAGGUCCCAAAAUGCUCAAUGGUGGGGAGGUUAAUUCCACUCUCAAGAUGUACCAAGUUUGUUUUAGAUCCUUCAAGCCUUGUUCUAGACUUGGACAAGUGUAUCAGUAUUAGAGUGUUGUGUCAAAGGUAACACAUUCAGGGAGAUGUAGGAGAUUAUCUAGCCACUAGUAAAUCACAUUUCUUAUAACAUGAGUAAACAAUCAAUAAUCUCAGGUGGGCAAAGUGUAACUUUCAUUUAGAGGUAUAGUAGGAGUAUCCACUCUUGGUAUCCACCCAUCGACAACAUCUAUGUUCCAUGAGCAUUUAAAUAAUAAGGGGAUUAUCUUUGGAGAUAGACGUCUAUAUCCAAAUUAACGACGCAAUACUAUAGUAUAGGAGCUAUGUAGGGAAUACAUAAAUCCAUCUAUGCAUUUGAGAUCAAGGUGAGAUAUAUUAUAUUUCACAUUAAUGGGAGGUGAUCUUCCUUUCUUCUUCUUUCUUCAGUUGCUUUCUCAUGAACAAACUAAAAACAUACUGCAGUCAUAAUUCAAAUGGUAAGAUUACUUCUCACUGCUGUUACAGGUGAGUUCAUUGUGCCAACAUGAAUCCUUUUUCAGGCAAAGGCCCAUUUCAAUAUCAUGGCCUCAGACACAACAUAUUUAUUUCUCAUAAAAAAGUAAAUGAUUAUCCUGGUUUUUUUACUUAGAUUUUCUUUGUUUGCCAUCAUUCCAACUCACGAAUUUCUUCAUCAGAUCAAGUAUAUAUCUUCACUUUCAGGAGAGCCUAUCCAUGAUUCUAGGUUGGGGGUUGCCUAGGGCAUCCAAAGAGACGUUAGCUUACCGCCAAAGCAAGUAACAUAAGUAAAACCAACUUUCAAAUUUUAACUACAACAAAUGCACAAGAAAUGAAUAUGUCCUUUACUCAUUCCCCCCACCCCACGCACACACCCUGCCCAUUGUUCUUGUAUUUAAUCUCCCUCACCCACUUUCCAACACAAUCAUCCAUGAAACAUGGAGGUCAAAAAUCCCGAGGAUCUGGUUUUCUCGUCUACAGAAACUGACACCCACUUCAUCCUCACUUCCAAUCUCGAAGGUAUUCUCUUCUCACAUAUAUACUUGAUAUUUAGUUGUGUAAUAUGUUUUAGAUAUUUGAUGUAUUGUCAUGAAUAAAUGAAGGAUAUGAGGUGCAGAAGAUCGGGACGCUGAUAAAGGAAGAUACGAUUCAGAUUGCAGCCGGUGGGGAGAAGGCAGUCAGGCGUUGGAUGAAGGUAUCGGUGGUGGUCGAGCCCGUAACUGGGGUUAAGAAACUCAGAAAGCAUUUUUGGAUUCCAGAUGGGGUUGUUUCGAAUAAAAUCAAGACCAAGUUCAAUGAAGAAGAAUCGGUUUUGAGUAUUCUCAUGCCUAAAUCAGUUAGAGGAGUUAGUGGGGUUGGGGUUGAGGAAGUGAAAGAAGAGGAGAUUGGUAGAUGGGGGAAUAGAAGGACUGGGCCUGUAGCCGACAAGGUUCCUGAAACAGAGAAUCCUAGAAAGAAUGAGCAGGAGAUGGAACAAGGGAAGAAAGAUGUGCCCCAACAUGAAUCAGAAGAAGUAAAAGAAGCUUCUGGGGUAACAAUUAAACAUCCGGAGGAAGAGCCUGCCCAUCAGUUGAAUAAAAGAGAGCUGACAUCAACCCAAGAAACUCCAGCCAAAGAAGAUGCUGACUUGGAAACAAAAGGCAGAGCAGCAGAGGAAUGUGAACAGGGUCCAGAAGCAGCUGAAUCAACAAAAGUUGAAGCAGAUCAAGUAACUCAACGAGCUCAGUUUGAAGAAUACAAUGCCCAGGCGCAGCUCAAACCUGAACAAGAAUAUGAUCAAACAGAAUACCUGAAGCUUGAUCAUCCUGAAGAAGUUCAACGAAUGGGAAAUGAAGUUCAAGCAGAAAUUGACCGAGUAAUCCCUCCUGCAGAAAAUGUUGACAACAGUAAGGGUUCAUUGGCUCCUCCCAAAAAGUCUAAGCUGUAUGGUCCAUGUAUGUUUGCAGGGUCUGCCAUCCUUGUAUCAAUUUUAGUGCUUGCCAUUCACUUUUAGUCGACCUAAAAGAAGAUGAAUGAUUUCAACUUUAUUUGGAUUUCUUUUUCUUUCCCUUGUGUAUUGAUCAUAAAUAAAUAUAGAUUGAUUGGUUGGGAGGAAACGCAGUGGAGGUGCAGCAAGAGUGAUGGUUUGAAUCUAAAAUAGCUUUUAGGGUUUGGAUCUAUUCCAGUUUUUUGGGGCUUUAAAAUGGGCUUAGCCCACGCUAUUUUGAACCCAAACUUUUAGGCUUUGUUUGGUUCCCGGAAAAUGCGAGAGAAAGAAAAUUGGGAGGAAAAAUGGAAGGAAAGAAAAAGGUAAGGAAAGAAAUAUAAUUUUUUUCACUUGUUUGGUUAUCCAUGGAAAAUUCAAGGGAAAAAAAAAAAGAAUUCAUUUUCUUUUGUUUGGUUAACCACAAAAAAAAAAAGUAAGGAAAAAUGGAAGGAAAAUAAAAUCAACAAUUUGUCUUAAAUGGUUAUCAAUUUGUUAAAUAAUAAAAUAAAUUAAUCCAAUAAAAAAAUUAUUGAAAAACGUGAAUUUUUCGACAUAAAACAUUGCUCAUAAAAAGUUUCUACUAUUUUUUUUUUAUUAAUAAUUAUAAAAUUUAUGUAUAAAAUUUUCCUCAUGUAAUACAAAUAAAAUAUACGAGUAAUAACUAUUUUUUAUUUUCAAGGAAACAUUUAUAGCUAAUAAAAAACUCUUAAAAAAUUCAAAAGGAUUUUUGGAAUCAAAAUUUAGAAAUAAAAUAUGUUCAUAUAAUGUAAAAAUAAAAAACUACUAUAUAAAAUAUAAAAUUCAAAAUUAAGAGCUGAGGCCCAUUUUACAUUUGCUUAAUCGUUGUCCCACUCCUAAAUCUAGCAACAAAUUAUUCCCACUCUUCUUACAAAUUAACAUGAUAUGAAGCUAUGUUAAAUAAUAAGGAAAUGACAAAGCAAUACAAAUAAAAUGAUUUUUUUCACGUUGGUUAAUCAUAAAAGAUAUGAAAGAAAAAGUAAAUAAAAAUAAUAUAUUAAUUUUAUUUUUUCUUUGCAAUUUUCGUGAAAUUUUUCAAAAACCAAUGAUAGGGUAAAUAAUCAAUAUCAACACUCAGUGGAUGGUUGUGGUGUAUACCAAUUGUGUUUGAAGAAGAAAUACCUCAGAAAUGUUCUAAAAAGUAUCAUUUUCCAUUGUCUUUUAUUGAAUGGCCAGUCGAGGUAUAGAAAAUUGCAGUUAAACCAGUACUGAGUCAAACAGGAAUGUAGUUAAACCCGGUUCAAAGAUUCCAUGAUAUCUAGGUUAUAUAUAUAAAAUCUUUGCAAGAUUACCACAGUUUUGAAAAUUGUUUGACCAAUUCAGCCUUACCUCUACUUGAAACAGAAUUCCAUAUAAAAAGACAUCACAAUUCUGAAUAAGCUUCAAGUUUCCUUCAAAUAUGAUCCAACAAACGAGGGAUUUCUCAAGGACAUCACGGCAACAACAACAACAACAAAAAAAGGAAAAAGAAGAAAACAAAAAGAAAAAAGAAAAAAAGAAAAUAUAGAGAAGGCCCUAAAAGAACAGGAACAGGUGAUAUGAAGCUUCCUACCCCAUGUCACUUUGACAUCUCAUUCCAUGAUGUAAAGGAGAAACUCAAAGGAGAACAAAAAACUACUUCAAAAGCAAAGCAUGAUUCUGGGUCUCUUCCCUAGAAAGAGGCUGUAAUGCUUAUUCAAAAUGACUGUAUGAAGAAGGAAACAAUUAUCAGCAUUCCUGACAGUACAAUGCAUAUUGAUCAUAUUCAACAAUUCAGUUAUAUAACAGUUUAAUUAAAAGGCAUUCUCUAUCCAAAUACUGAAAGAUUCCUGAAUAUUCCAAACACUGAGAAGCAAAAACUUUAUCUGAAACGCAAAGAAACCACAUGGAUGCUGAGCUGGAAAAGUAAAAUGAAUCAGAAUCUCAACUAGCUGCUUUUAAACCACCCUCGGAAAAGGUUCUCAAUUCUCAAACCAAAACCAAAACGCGUAUCAAAACUAAGGUAAAAGUAGCUGUAGAUUUGAAAAGAUAGAUGAAUAAAAAAAGUCUUCAUAAGUCUAAAAAUAUAAUAGAUCAAUUUCUAAUAGUCAACUAUCAUCCAUGAGUUUUGAUAUCAAAACUUCACGUAUAGCCCCAAAGCAAAAGUAAAACUAAAAAUAAAAAUAAUCUCUAUCUCAAAUUAGGCAUCAAAAAAAGUAGGUCCAAAUUUAACUGACAAUCAAAGCUUACGCCUAUCAAUUGGACAAGCAAGGAAGGCUUGAGCUGCACUCACAUCACCCGUAAGAGCUUGAUAUGCUUUCAUAUGAGAUACAUCACUCAUGCCUCCAAUCUUAGCAAUCUCUUCAAACAAUUGCUCUUUUGUAUAAUUUUGAAGGUUACUUCUAUCAAGAGCCGCAACAACUGCAUCCAUUCCAACUCUAAUUGACCUUAAUUCUUCACUUACAAUGUCAGCAUAUUUUGCUUUUCGCUUUUUUGUUUCUUUAUUUGACUUUGGUGCAGAAACAGAUGCAUCUGCAGAUGAGAAAGAUGUCUCAGUUGUUGCUUCAUUUUCAACAUAAGCAAAUGUUUCAUAUCUGAUCCCAUAUUGUGAUGAUCCUAAUGGAAUUGUGUCAUCCAAAUUUUGUUCCUGGGCCCAAUGAAGUUGUCUUUCUUUUGCACCUGCAACAAGACUUCCUGUUGCUCGAUCUUUUCCAAGAAGAAUGGACAACUUAUCAUAAUUUCUAAUAGGUUUGUGUUUGAGCUGAGAUGCUCCUGGGUGUGCCUUUUAACAUCAGAAAAAACAAAUAUUAACAAAACUCGAGUCCAAUUGUGAUAAUGUCUAUUAGAAAUUUAUAACUCUACAUUACAUGCAAAAAUUUUAUUUCUAAUAACUCAAAAGUAAUAAUUAACUCACCUUAGUGUAAGUAGUCCAUACUUCUGUGGUAGCUUCGAUCAUUUGAGUUGAUUCAUUGAAACCAAAUCCACUACCACUUUGUAAAACUUCUUGAGCAGCAUAAAAGUUUUUUUUUUAAAGUUUUCAUUCUAUUUUUUAUGUGCUUAGAGUUACAACUCAAUUCAAAAUUUUCCCCAAUUUCUCGAGCAACUAUUGCAUAAGCUGUCUUGGUGAAGACUCCUCCUAUCUUUUGCCCUUUAUGCAUUUGCUCCAUUAAUCGAUCAACCAAAAAGUUGUCAAUUUCAUCAAUCCAAGUCAAGUUUCUUUUUUCACUUACACUUUUGUGCACUUCAAAGCCUUCACUAUGUUUCAUCUGAAAUAAUAAUACAUACAUAUAUAUAUAUAUAUAUAUAUAUAUAUAUAUAUAUAUAUAUAUAUAUAUAUAUAUAUGUGUGUGUGUGUGUGUGUGUGUGUUUAAAAUGAAAAUUCAAGAGGAGGAGAUAUAAUAACAACUUCAUUGUAACUCAUUCAAAAUGUGAUUUUAACUAGAGGAGUUAUAGUUCUAAAUACAAUCAUUGUACUUAAUAUGAAACACAAAAAACCAUACAAGAAAAGAACCAUAAAAUAAAAGGACUCAUCAACGGUUUCUAUUGUAAUCUUUCCACAUGUCCAUGGCUAUUUUCUCCCUUAAGAUUUCUCCUUCCUUGCAUUUUUCAGCUAAACUCAAGACCAUUGAUUCAAAUUCCGCUUCUUCGCUAAAAAGCUCUCUAUCGACCUCUGCUAUUAAUCUUUCAUCUGGAUCAACACCCAUGAGAUAGUUAUGGAGGAUACAAAAUACAAUCAUUGUACUUAAUAUGAAACACAAAAAACCAUACAAGAAAAGAACCAUAAAAUAAAAGGACUCAUCAACGGUUUCUAUUGUAAUCUUUCCACAUGUCCAUGGCUAUUUUCUCCCUUAAGAUUUCUCCUUCCUUGCAUUUUUCAGCUAAACUCAAGACCAUUGAUUCAAAUUCCGCUUCUUCGCUAAAAAGCUCUCUAUCGACCUCUGCUAUUAAUCUUUCAUCUGGAUCAACACCCAUGAGAUAGUUAUGGAGGAUACAACAUGCUAGUAUAAUAUCAGAUUGUGUGUCAACAGGGUAAUGUGGCUCUGUCCCACUAGCUAUUAUUGGAAAUCUUUUCUUCAAAACACCAAAUGCUCUUUCAAUUGCAUUUCUCAAGGACGAGUGUCGAAGGUUGAAAACCUCUCGAGCAUUUUCUGGUUGAUGAACACUAUACUCUUUUAAAUGGUAACGAGUGCUUCUAUAUGGGGUAAGAAAUCCAGUUUUUAGUUGAAAACCCGCAUCAGCCAAAUAAUAUUUACCUAAGAAGCAUAGACAAAGGAUCUUUGUUAUUAGUAAUAGUCACUUGAGCUAAUAAAUUAUGUUAUUAUCUAAUUACCAAUAAUUACCUUGUGGAACAAUCAAUUUAUCAAAAUCUCUCACUAAUGCAUUAUCUAGGAUUCUCGAGUCUGACGCAGAUCCUUCCCAACCAGGUAAAACAUAUGUGAACUUCAAGUCAAAGGAACAUGCUGCUAAAACAUUUUGUGUUGGAUAGUACUUUCGCCCUCGUUACCUUUGCACAACAUCAUUUGACACUUUUACACGAAAAUGUGACCCAUCAAUCGCCCCUAUGCAAUCCUAUAAAAAAACAAAAUUAUUAGUUUAUUUUGAAAUAUAAAUAAUAUCUCAAUUUUUAUCCACAACAAUAUACUCUCUGAGACACCAAAAUUGAAAGAGGUUCUGAUUCUUUCCCAUGUAAAAGUAUGCUUUUGCAAAUCCCCCAAGUCCCAGCAUGGCCCUCUAGUAGAAAGUGUCUUGGCACCCAAAUGCUAGUCCCACAAAACUACCUGUUGGUUGCAACUAAUUUACCCACUUGGGUGUUGCAGCUACCCAAAUGUUACUUCUAAAUAAGGGUUAUUAGGGUUAGGGAAAGACUCCUUAAUGUGCAUUAGGCUAACACCCCUGCUCACAUUGGACCCCAAUCUGCAUGUUGAGAGGGGAAAUUCAAUAUGCACACUCUAAGAAUUGGAGUUUUAACAACAUGUAAUGUUGGAUUGUAAAACCUAAAUCAGUCUUGUUGUGUCACGUAUUUUUGUCAUCCUAUUGACAGACCAAAAGAAAAAAGGUUCAGAAGUCAUCAAGUUGUAUAAAUGAAAGACUAAAAAACUUGUAUCAGAUGAACAGGAAAUUAAUGUUGUUAGCCGGAGAAGGGAAGGAGAUUUGCUUCACCAAUGAUUUGAGGCCUUGGACUAGAAAAUUUGGAAGUAUUGCAGAGGAAAAGUUGAGGUGCCAUCAUGAAUAGGACGUAAGGUUCACAUGAGUUCAAACCAAACUGACAGAAGGUCCUUUAUGUUGGCUCUUGCUUAUAUUAGUUCUUAUAUUAGUUCUUGUAAAAUCGUCUUGGAUGUCAUCAUGAAUUUUCGCCAUUUUAUCUAGCUAGCUAGAUGCUGCUGCAUUGGAACUCCCUUCCAAAAGUAAAGAAAUUAACAUAGAAAAUACAUAAGUUCUUUCUUCAUUGUAGUUCCUGUUCUCCUACUUCUGCCUGUUGUCUAAUUGGUUUUCGGGUUGUCUAAACAAUUCAUUGUAGCCCUCACACCCUAAACCAGUGGCUUAAGAUUCCAGACUUGGUUAUUUAAGAUUGAUUUCAUAGGAUGCAAUAAUUUCCUAACAAUUUAGAUAUAAAAAAGAAUUAAGCAAAAUGGGUAAAUGCCAUUUUUAUGCUUGGUACAAUCAAAUACAUAUGUAAAGUUAGCAAUAUCAAGUAAAUAGAAUAGGUAAGAUAAAUUAACACAAUUCAUAAAGAUCAAGACAUCAAUGAGAAGGAAAAAAAUCUCAAGCUAUAGUCUCCUUGAAUCUUUCGCAACUAAAAAUUAAUGGAGCAUAAUGAAUUUAUUUAUUUAUUUUUCAAUCAAGUGAAAGGUCCCAGAACCUCCACCAGAGAACAUGCAGUUGGGUUGUGUACGUCUACUCCCUUACGACUUCAUGAGCUAAUUAAUAUGAGCAGGUGGCAGUGUAUAAUCCAAGUCCAGCAAUUUCUAAGGUCCCACAAUAGAUGAGAAGUUCAUGAGAAUUAGUCCAGCCCUAUCCUUACGCCUUUUGAAUUCCCAAUUCAACCUCGUGUUUCCCGGAAAUCAUAUAUUGCUGACAAUAAAUAAGUAAUAAACAUUUUCAAUCUUAUCGGAAGGCUAAUAACAACAACACAUGAUACCCAAAAUUACAAAUCAUCAUUUCUUCAUAUUAACAUUCAAAGUUGCAAUUAACAAUAAAGAGAAUCAAAACCCUAAUAAUAUUCAAAAUCCCCAUUCUGAAACCUGAAAUCAUUGGUCCAUAAAGCCCUAAGAAAUAACUCAAAUCGAAUUCAAACCCUCAUUUGAAGGGGAAAAAAAAAAAAAAAAUCAAAUAUCAAUCCAAACAAACUCGAAAUUCCCAUUGGAAACCUUAAACCCUAAUUUCUAGUCAGUUGUAUGGAAAAGGCUGAAUGAGGGAAAGAGAUCAUAAAAUUAAACCAACAUCAAACAUAGAGAUGAUGUGAGGUUAAAAGAAAAGAGUUCAAUUCAUACCUGACUUGAAGACAUGGAUCCGUCAUCCAUGGGAACUUGAUUUGAAGAACGCACUUCAUCAAUGGGAACUCGGGUGCCUGAAAUUGGUAGGUUUUCAGAGGCACUCGAAGGUGGUCGGAGUGAUAGUGGUGGCCGUUGAAAGGGUCGACGACGUUGAGAAGCCAUAGCCACUGACGAAGAGGAAGUUAGAGAUGAAGCUUCGGUGAACAAGAGCCGACAAAAUUUUCCUCCUCUUUUCCCUGCUCUUUUUCUCUUAUAUUUUCCACGUUAUUUUUUAAGGAAAAUAGUGAGGAAAAUAUUACAAUAUUUUUUUUAAUAUUUUCCUUCAUAUUUUUUUUUUCAUUGUAUUUUCUAUGUCAUCCAAACUAAAAAAAAUCAUUUUCCUUUAUAUUUUUUUUUCCUUUCCUUAGCAUUUUUCGGGAACCAAACAUAGCCUAAAAGUCAUGAGAAAAGGAAAAAUCAUCAUUAGAAGAAAAUUCAAGUUCAAUAAGAAAAAACAUGAAACUAGGGUACUCGACAAGGUAACUUGAUACUUCUCCCAUCUCUAGAGAGGAAAAACAAAUAAGAGAGCUUACAAGAAAUCAGUUUUCCACCUUCAUCACCACUUCCAUCUAAUCAUGAAGUUCUAACUUCUAACUAUAUCAUCUUUAUUGAAAAAUUCAAGGAACACUAUGUUUGAGGAGUAUAUGAGAGAUUUAUGAGAUGAUAGAAAAUCAAAAUAGUUCAGCUUCUCUCUUCAGUUGCUUUCUCAUAAACAAACUAAGAACAUAUUGCAGUCAUAAUUCAAAUGGUAAGACUACUUCUCACUGUUGUUAAAAGUGAGUUUAUUGUGCCGACAUGAAUCCUUUUUCAGGCAAAAGCCCAUUUCAAUAUCAUGGCCGCAGACACAACAUAUUUAUUUUUCAUAAGAAAAUCCAGUUUUUUUUUACUUACAUUUUCUUUGUUUUCCAUCAUUCCAACUCAUGAAUUUCUUCAUCAGAUAUAUAUAUAUAUCUUCACUUUCACCUUCACAAGCCGCAACCCAGGAGAGCCGAUCCAUGAUUCUAGGUUGGGGGUUACCCAGGGCAUCCAAUGAGACGUUUGCUUCCCGCCAAAGCAAGUAGUAAAACCAACUUUCAAAUUUUAAUUACAACAAAUGGACAAGAAAUGAAUAUGUGCUUUACUCAUUCCACCCUGCCCAUUGGUCCUGUAUUUAGUCUCCCUCCCUCACUCUUCAACACAAUCAUCCAUCAAACAUGGAGGUCAAAAAUCCCGAGGAUCUCGUUUUCUCGUCUACAGAAACUGACACCCACCUCAUCCUCACUUGCAAUCUCAAAGGUGUUCUUCUCUCACUCUCUCUUUAAUUCUCUUUACAUACAUAUUUGAUAUUUAAUUGUGUAAUAUAUUUUAGAUAUUUGAUGUAUUGUCAUGAAUAAAUGAAGGAUAUCAGGUGCUGAAUAUCAGGAUGCUGAUAAGUGGAGAACCGAUCCAGAUUGCAGACAGAAGGGAGAAGGCAAUCAGGCUUUGGGUGCGGGUAUCAGUGGAGGUCCAGGCCGCAUCUGGCGUUAUCAAAUUCAGAAAUUUUUUUUGGAUUCCAGAUGGGGUUGUUUUGGAUCAAGUCAAGACCGAGUUCAAUGAAGAACAAUCGGUUUUGAGGGUUCUCAUGCCUAAAUCGGUUAGAGGGGUUAGAGGGGAUAGGGUUGAGGAGAUUCGUAGGGGGCAUAGAACGACUUGGCCUGUACCCGACAAGGUUCCUGAAACAAAGAAGCGUAGAAAGAAUGUGCAGGAGAUGGAACAAGGGAAUAAAGAUGUGCCCCAACAUGAACCAGAAGAAGCUUCUGGUGUGACAAUGACACAUCCGGAGGAAGAGCCUACCCAUCAGUUGAAUCAAAGAGAUUUGCCAUCAACCCAAGAAACUCCAGCCAAAGAAGAUGCUGAUUUGGAAGCAAAAACCAGAGCAGCAGGGGGGUGUGAACAGGGUCCAGAAGCAGCUGAAUCAACAAAAGUUGAAGCAGAUCAAGCAACUCAACGAGCUCAGGUUGAAGAAUAUAAUGCCCAGGCGCAGCUCAAACCUAAACAAGAAAAUGAUCUAACAGAACCACUGAAACCUGAUCAUCCUGAAGAAAAAGUUGAUAACAGAAAGGGCUCUUUGGCUCCUCCCAAAAAGUGUAGGCCAUGUAGUCUAUGUUUGUUCGCAGGAUCUGCCAUCCUUGUAUCAAUUGUAGCGCUUGUCAUUCACUUUAGACGACCUAAAAGAAAAUGAAUUGACUUCAACUUUAUUUGGUUUCUUUUUCUUUCCCUUUUCUUACUGAUCAUAAAUAAAUAUAGAUUGAUUGGUUGGGAGGAAACACAGUGGAGGUGGGGCUAUUUGCAGCUGAAAUGAGGAGGCUAAUUUGCAGCCGGAACUAUCAACUAUGGUUUGAAUCUAAAAUAGCUUUUAGGAUUUGGAUCUAUUCCAGUCUUUUUGGGCUUCCAAAUGGGCUUAGCCCACUCCAUUUUGGACCCAACCUUGGCCCAAUCAAGGUCCAUUUUCAGCAAUAACCUAAAUCCAUGGCCCUGUUUGGCACCUUUCAAGUGGAUGGAAAAAUGAUUCCUUUAUCAAAAUGUUUUCUCUAUUUGUUAAUACAUAUUGUGUAUCUAGUAUCUAGUUUGUGUGUAAUAGCGUUCUCUAAGGUCUAUAAUUGAUAAAAGGUGGGUUUGAAUAUUUUUUAUUUUGAGUGGUUAAUUUAUUAUUCAUUCGGAUACUUUUUCUAUUUUUUAUUUUUGAUUCAUAAAAUUAGAAAAUAAUAGUAAUUUUCUUUUUAUGUAAGGUAUAAAAAUAAAAUUUUUUAGAGACUUACGUUGAGAAGGUAAUGAUUUUAAAAAUCAUUUAAAAAACUUAAGGGUCCGUUUUGACGGUGUUUUUUAAAAUUGUUUUCAAAAUAAAGAACAAAAAACAGUUUUAUAGAAUUUUUUUAAAAAUUAGAGUGUUUGGCAAGAUAUUUUAAAAAAUAGUUUUUUAAAACAAAAAGCAAGGAAUUUGAUUUAGUUUAUAAAAGUGGUUAAUUAAUUUCUACAUUUGUUUAAUUAGUUGGAUUCUAUAAGUUUUUAUAUUUUUGUUAUUAUGUAUUUUUAUUUUGUUAAGUGUGAGUAUCUAUAAAUAAAAAAUUGCAUGAUAAUUAAAAAAGAAUGGUGGAAGAUAAUAAUUCUUUUUUUUAAAAAAAACAUUCAAAAUAAUGUUGUAAAAUACCUACAAUCUUGUGUCAAUGAUCCCUUUUGAAAUUGACACUUAAGAUUUAGACAUCUUAAUUUUGAAGGAUUGGAAUGGUAGCAAGAUUGCCCAAUGCAUAUCACUUAAAUUAAUUAAUUAUGUGAAAAAUGCUUAAUUACUUAAAAAAACAUGUCUCUAAAAGAAGCAAUUACAAAAGUAAAGAAGCCUCUAAAUCUCAUUCAUACGAAUGUAUGCAACUUAAUUUAUCCAAAUUAUUAUGGAAAAAAUAAAUAUUUUGUACUCUUUAUUGAUGAAUUUAAUAUUAAACUUAGGUGUAUCUUUUAGAGAAAAAAUUCAAAGGGUUUAGUACUUCUAAGAAAUUUAAAACACUUGUUGAGAAAGAAAGUGACUAUAAUAUAAAGGUAAUAAGAUCCUAUAAAAAAGGCAUAUUCGGGUAAAAAGAAUUUAAAAAAUGUUAUGAAAAUCAUGGGAUUUAUGGGCUUUUAAUAGUUCCAUAUUCUUUACAAACAAAUUGAAGUGGUUGAAAGAAAAUAGUAUUAUUCUUGACAUAAUUUGAAGCAUAUUAAAAAAAAAAAAAAUGACUAAAGAAUUUUGAGUUGAAAUAGUUCUCCUAAGCCAAGUAUAUGGAAUAAAGCAUCACUGAGAAGUUUGGAAUGAAGAAAAAAAAAACCGAGUAUUACAUAUUUGAGAGUGUUUAGAACCUUUGCAUAUGUUUAUAUACCAUAUCAAAAGUGGCAAAUUCAAAUGAUAAGAGUAAAAAAUAUAUUUUCAUGGAUUAUACCCGACCUCCAAAUGCUAAAAUUCAUAUAAUCUAAGAAAUGGAAAAGUCACCUCUAAAAGAAAAUUUAAGUUUAAUGAAGAAAAAGGCAUGAAACUAGGGUACCCAAAAAGGUAACUUGAUACUUCUCCCAUCUUUGAAGAAGAAAAACAAAUAAGAGAGCUUCCAAGAGAUCAACCUUCAUUGUCACUUUUUUUCUAACUAUAUUAUCUUUAUUGAAAAACUCAAGAAAAAGAACACUAUGUUUGAGGAGUAUAUGAGAGAAUUGCAAGAUAAUAGAAAAUCAAAAUAGUUGAACUUUUUUUUAUUUUUUUUUUAUUUUUGCUUUUUAUGAAUUGUGAACCAAUAUAUUUUGAAGAAGCAAUAUGGGACAAAAAAAAUAAAAAUGAAAAGAUGUUAUGGAUGAGGAAAUAAAAGUAAUAAAGUAGAAUGAUAUAUGAGAUUUAAAAUCUUAUCCAAAAGAGAAAAAAGGUCAUCGGAUUAGGAUGAGAAUGCAAAACAAAGAAGAAUAAGAAGAAUAAUCAAAAUUUAUAAGGUCUCAUGAUAAAAAAUUAUGUUAAUAUCUUUCUCUUUGUAAAUUAUUUAUUUAUUGUCUAAGAAAUCCCUUUUUCAUUGAUUUAAAAUGUCUUAUGUUCAUUUUGGGUAUAUGAGAAUUCAUCCAUUGACUUUCUCAUUGUGUUAGUUAAAUUUUUUAUUACAAAAUUUGUAUUGUGAAAAUGAUUGGGGCUAGGGAGCCCUCCUUGUGAGCUUGAAAAUCAUGAAAAAAUGCCAAAAGUUGGUGUGCUCUAUGCCAAAUGAAUUUUGGAAUUAAAUGGUGUAAUUCAAUUCAAAAUUAAAUUAAAUUUCUUUUUAGUAUCAUGUAUUUCAGAAAAUAAUCGAGGACACAUAAAUAACAAUUGAAUGUGAACGAGGUAUAAAAAGACUUCUUUUAACAUUACUAAUUUUUAUUAUAAAGGCAUUAUUGUAAUGUUAUGACAUAUUAUAAUAAGGCAUAAUUUAGAAAAUUUUGUACAUUUUAUAAAACCAACUGUUUUAGGUUAUUGUGUUAUACUUCCUAGCAUAUCUAAUGUCAUAAACAAACCUUAGACGCUAAAUAAAGUAUCAAUUUGUAUGUUAUUUUAUAAUUCAUUAAGUAAUUUAAAUACGUUUAGCAGACGAUAUUAAUACAUCAGUAUGAUUUGUUGAAUGUCGAUGGGUGUAAAAGGCAUCUCUAAUACCAUUACUUUUAUUAUAAAAUUCUUGUACAGCACAAAUGCAUAACACUUGUAACACAAAUAUACUAAUGUUACGGUAUGAUCUAAUUUUUAAAAUAUUAAACUUUUUUUUUUUUUUUUUUUGGCAUGAGGUCUAUUUUCACCAAAACUCUCAAAUAUUCGUAGCUUUGAGGGAGUGGGCUUCGAUCACCUUUAGAUUAUACUUGUUCCUACAACAUAGCAUCUUUGUUUAUCAUACGUCGGAGCUUGCCGUUGAUUAGGGCAUCAAAAGAGAUAAAAGCCGCUUCCCGCCAGGGCAAAUAACAGAAGUAACCGACUUUUAAAUGUAAAUAACAAAUGAACAAGAAAUGAAUACGUGCUUUACUCAUCAUGCUCAUUGUUCCAGUAUUUAAUCUCCCUCCCCACUCUUCAACACAGUCAUCCACCCAUCAAACAUGGAGGUUGAAUUGGAAAUCAACAUCACCCCCACCAACCUUCCUCCCAUCACCAAGGACCCUGUUUUCUUGUCUACAGAAGCUGACACCCUCUUCAUCCUCAUUGCCAAUCUCAAAGGUGUUAUUCUCUCACUCUCUUUAAUUCUCUCCAUUUAUGUACUUUUAUGUAAUGUCUUUGAUAUUUGAUGUGUUUUCAUGAAUAAAUGUAGGAUAUCAGAAGGAGAAACUCAAGAUCGAUAAAAACGAAGAUGGGACUCAGAUUGCAGUCAGUGGGGAGAAGGUAGGAAGUACUAGUUUGCAACCGUUCCGGAGGAUGGCCUUCAGGGCAACGCCUCAGGUUACAAAAUUCAGAAAGGUCUUUUGGAUUCCAGAUGGGGUUGUUUUGGAUCAAAUCAAGGCCAAGUUCAAUGAAAAGGAAUCGGUUUUGUGGAUUUUCAUGCCUAAAUCGGUUACAGAAGUUAGUGGGGUUGGGGUUGGGGUUGGGGUUGGGGUUGAGGAAGUGAAAGAAGAGGAGAUUGGUAGGAGGAGUGAUAGAAGGACUCCGCCUGUACUUGUCAAGGUUCCUGAAAGAGAGAUUCCUGGAAAGAAUGAGCAGGAAAUGAAAGAAGGGAAGAAAGACGUGCCCAAACAUGAACCAGAAGAAGUAAAAGAAGCUAUCCCCAAGGCAGAAGUUGCGGAAAUAGAAAAUCCUAGAAAGAGUGAGCAGGAAAUGAAAGAAGGGAAGAAAGAUGUGAAGGCAACUGAGGUUGUGGGAGGACUGCCCCAACAUGAACCAGAACGAGAAAAAGAAGCUAUCCCCCAAAAAGAAGCUGCUGAAAGAGAGAAUCAUAGAAAGAACGAGCAGGAAAUGAAAGAAGAGAGGAAAGAUGCGAAGGCAACUGAUGAGGACGUGGGAAGAUUGCACCAUCAUGAACCAGAACAAGUAAAGGAACCUAUCUCCCAAAAAGAAGCCGAUGAAAGAGAGAAUCCUACAAAGAAUGAGCAGGAAAUGGAAGAAAGGAGGGAAGAAGUGAAGGCAACUGAUGAGGAUGUGGGAAGAUUACCCCAACAUGAACCAGAACAAGUAAAAGAAGCUAUGCUCAAGAAAGAAGCAGCUGAUAUUACAAUAACACGUCCAGAGGAAGAGAAUACUCGGUCGAAUAAAAGAGAGGUGCCAUCAAAAGAAGAAACUCCAGCCAAAGAGGUCUCCGAUUUAGAAGCAAAAAGAACAGCAGCAGAGGAGAAAUCAGAGGAGUGCCAACACGGUCCAGAGGUAACUGAAUCAACAAAAGUUGAAGCAGUUCAAGUAACUCAACAAGCUCAUGUCGAAGAAGAUAAUGCCCCUGAGGAAAAUGGUGAAGUUGAAACUCAUCUGUCGCAACAAGAGUUGAAUACAGAAAUUCAAGAAGUGUCCCAGCUCGAAUCUGACCAAGAAUCUGAUUCAACUGAAUCACUGAAGCCUGAUCAUCCUGAAGAAGUUCAAGGAAUGGGAAAUGAAAUUCAAGCAGAAAUUGACCCAGUAAUCCUUCCUGAAGAAAAAGUAGAUAACAGAAAGGGCUCAUUGGCUCCUCCCAAAAAGUUUAGGCUAUGUAGUCCAUGUUUCUUUGCAGGAUCUGCCAUCCUUGUAUCAAUUGUAGUGCUUGUCAUUCACUUCAGUCGACCUAAAAGAAGAUGAAUGAUUUCAACUUUAUCUGGUUUUCCUUGCAGUUACCUUUUCGUACUGAAAAAUGUAGAAAGUAUUAUCCCAUCAUGUUUGCCAGUUGAUGAUUUUAUUGUGACAAAUUAAUAAAGGAUAAAAUCACACUCUUAUGAAAAAUGUGCAUGAAGUAUAAACAUCAAUUUUCUCAAUUGUAUUUCUUCGGUAAUUAUGCUUUCCAUAAUGGAUACUAAUUGAAACUUCCUUCAAGUUAUAUCAUAAGCAUUUGUAUUGGUGUCAUUUCUAUCACAAAUCAUUUGGAAUAGAAGGAAGUUCUUUUAGCCUACUGCUAUCGAGUAAUGCUUGAAGGAAAGGGAUCUUGUGGUUUUAUCCCUUCUCAUUAUCUUAGCCACUAUUGCAUCUUUUUCUUUGAUCUUUUUUCUCCUCUGCUUGCCAUUUCUACACUCAACAAUGUUGAACAAAUGGAAAGGAAUUUCAAACCUUUCUAUGGAAGAAAUCAAGUCCAAUCCAUCCAACAAAAAGAAUUAGUUUUUGCAAGCAUAAUUCCAAAACUAACAUGAAAAACCCAUCAAGCUCAGCAGCAAAAUUUUACAUUAUGUCAUCCAUUGAGGAAAAGAUAACUAAGAACCAAUGGAGUAUUGAUCAUGCCCAAGGUCUAAUAUCAUAUAGAAGAAAUGAUUGUUAUGUGACCGCUGGAGAUCAUGUCAAGACACCAUCAGGCCUGCUUGUAUAAUCAAAUCUCUAACCUGCAAUGUGAAUGGAAAUAAAUAUUUUGAAACUAGCUCUCUUAUUUUUUGUCUUUUCCUUUCUUUAUUUGAAGAAAGCUUACCAUCUUUUGGUUUCACAUCUCUCUUUGUGAUAUUCCUAGAAAACUUGGUAGUGUCAUUGAAGAAGUAAACUUUUCCUUUAGCAUAGCCAAUUCUUUGCCCCUUUCUCUCAUUCUUUCCUUUUUCCAGCUAUUCUCCAAUAAGAAGUCAUGAAAGGAUGUGGAAUCAUAGUUGGAUGAUGAAUUACAGCAAACAAUCCUGGAUGGGGCUGAUUCCUUGGGUCCCAUAUAGAAGUGGAACCAUUCUGUUCUUGUUCUGUUUAGCAUCUGAAAUGUAUAAAUUUUGCUCUAAGCAUCACUUACAUGACAUCAACAAAUAAGGCCACUGCAAUUCUUUUUGUGGAUAACCUUCUAGACUAAAACAAUCUAAUUGUGUCCACUUCACAUCCUUGAUUUUCUAGUGCCUUUGGUUUAAGUAUAGGAUUGUUAAUUCAAUCUAUCCCAAUUGAAUUUUUCCUUCGGUUGGGUGUUAGUUACAGAAGGGAUUCAUCGAGUACAUAGCAACAAGUGGCUGCAUCAAUAGGGGCUCAUAAUGAAUCAGGAUCUUUUCAUUGGCUUAAAUCUAAAGCACCAACUCAUGCCCUCACAUCACACAAAUUGGAAAAAUGAAUCCAUGCAGUGUCAGCAGGCAGUCAGAAGAUAUUAUAAGUACACACGUUUAAAUAUAUAGCAACGGAACAAUGGCCAUUUAUUAUUAGUAUAAUAACCCAAAAAAAUAGCCAUCAUUUUGGAAUUCAACAAAGGCCAUUGGAUUGGGAAUGUAAUGAAAAACAUGAGCAAGUCUGCACAAAAAGCUAGUAAGACUAUAAUAAAGAUUCAGUUGGAUCAUCCAUAUAAGGAAAGUUCAGAGAUACCACAAAAGCUCCUCUGAUUUAUUCGUACUUUUCCUAUUAAGAAAAAAAACCAUGUUUCACGAUUUGGAUUUCUGUUUUGUUCCGUUCUUCUUCCAUGGAAGUUUGAAAAGGCGUAAGAAAACUUGAAUCAAGCUUCAGAAAUGUCACAUUAUGCCAGUCAUUUUUUGUUAGUACACUUAGGGCCAUGUUGUUAACUGACCUUCCCAAAUAUAUAUUCCUUCCCAAUUCAGACCACAUAUAUGGGGCUUAACUAUAACCAGCAAAAUAGAUAGAAACUUUGAGCAUUUAAAGUGUUAGAACCUGUAACAGCUAGCAAAUUGUUGGAAGGACCACUGCUCUGGCACCCUUCCUGGGUUGCCUGUUUGGUAUAUAAAAGGUUAAUUUUCAUUGUCCAGGAUGUUGCCGUUUCUGCUAACCAUGCUAUUCCAGCCAAAUUGAUGAUGGGACAGUGACAGAUUCACCAAGAGGUUCCUCAAGACACUAGUAAUUAAUAUGGUAGUUAUAGGGGAGAGUAUCAUUAUUGAGAAAUUGGGACUCAAUGGUAUUGUCACAGUGGGGAAGGCAAAGUAGUCUUGUUCAUCCCAUGGAGAGAGAUAGGAAGGACAAAGUAGCUCUGCAUGACCAUUAUGCUUUGGAUCAUGGAUACUGUUUGAAACUUUCUUCAUCAAGUUCUACCAUAAACUAAAAUACCAGACAGUAAGCAUUUGUACUGUUGUCAUUCCAAUCACAAAUCGUUUGAAAUAGAAGGAAGUUCUUUUGGCCUGCAGCUAUCAAGUAAUGCUUGCAGGAGAGGGAUCUUUUAGUUUUAGCCCUUUUCAUUAUCUUGCCCACUAUCCCAUCUUGUUCUUUGAUCUCUUUUCUGCUCUGCUUGCCAUUUCUACACUCAACAAUGUUUUCAAGGUGAACAAAUGGAAAGGAAGUUCGAAACCUUUCUAUGGAAGAACUCAAGUCCAAUCCAUCCAACAACAAGAAUUAGUUUUACCAAGCAUAAUUUCAGAACUUGAAAAACCCUCCAAGCUCAGCAGCAAAAUUUUCCAGUAUGUCAUCCACUGAGGAGAAGGUAAUUAAGAACCAAUGUAGUAUCAAUCAUGCCCAUGGUCUAAUAUCAUACAGAAGAAACGAUUGUAAUGUGACCACUGGGGAUCAAUGUCAAGACACCAUCAGGCCUGCUUGUCUAAUCAAAUCCCUGGCCUGCAAUGUCAAUGGAAAUCAAUAUUGAGAAACUAGCUCUCUUGUUUUAUGUCUUUUCCUUUCUUUAUUUGAAGGAGGCUUACCAUCUUUUGGUUUCACAUCUUUCUUUGUGUAGUUAAUAUUCCCAGAAAACUUGUUUAGUGUCAUUGAAGAGCUAAAAUUUUCCUUUAGUUCUGCCAACUCUUUUCCCCUUUCUCUCAUUCUUUCCUUUUUCCUGCUGUUGUCCAAUGAGAAGUCAUGAAGGAUGUGAACAGGCAGUCAGAAGAUACUCUAAGUACACACUUUUAAAUAUACAAGCUGGGACCCUGAUAACUUAAUUUACAUUUAAUGAGACAAACAGAUUGGAGAUCAUAUCAAAAAGAGAAGGGGGACCAAUUUUCUUUAGGGCAGGGGCAUGGUUCAAGGAAAAAAGUGGGCAUUCCCAGUACUAUAAAAUUAUUCCUAAACUUUUUAUUAGAUUUUUUGGUAUGCAUUUGUUCUAGCAUAAUAUCUCUGCAUGUGCUCUUUAUUACAAUAACACUGCAUAGAACAAUGGCCAUUCAUUAUUAGUAGAAUUACCUGAAAAAAUAGUCAUUAGUUUGGAAGGCCAUUGGGUUGGGAAUAUAAUGAAAAACAUUUGCAAGUCUGCAUGAAAAGCUAAUAAGACUAUAAUAAAGGUUUGGUUGAUCACCCAUACAGUUUCCUUGGGAUUCAGAGAUACCACAAAUGUUUCACAGUCUGGAUUUCCUUUUUGUUCUGUUCUUCUUCCAUGGAAGUUUGGAGAGGAGGGAGGAAACUUGAAUCAAGCUUCAGAAAUGUCACAUUAUGCGGGUCAUUUUCGGAUAGUACACUUAGGGCCAUGUUGUUAACUGAUCUUCAAAAUAGAUAUUCCUUCCCAAUUCAGACCACAUAUAUGGUGCUUAACUCCAACCAACAAAAAACAUAGAAACUUUCUAGCAUUUAAAAUGUUAGAAGCUGUAACAGCUAGCAAGUUGUUGGAAGAAGGGCCACUGCUCUGGUAGCCUCUCCGGGUUGCCUGUUUGGCAUAUAAAAGGUUACUUUUCAUUCUCAAUGAUGUUGCCGUUUCUGCCAACCAUGCUACUCUAGCCAUAUUGAUGACGGGACAGCGACAGAUUCUCCAAGAGUUUUCUUAAGCCACUAGUAAUGAGUAUGGUAGUUAUAGGGGAGAGUAACAUUAUUGAGAAAUGGGGAUUCAAUGGUUUUGUCACAGUGGGGAAGGCAAAGUAGUCUUGUUCACCCCAUGUAGAGAGAUAGGAAGGACAAAGCAGCUCUGCAUGACCAUUAAGAUUUGACAUAGUGACCUAUUUGCAUAAAAACGAAUUAUUAGCUCCAUGUUUGUUAUUGAAUAUCCAUGUAAUUUACAAGGAUUGAAAUACAUCCAUACACCUAAUAAGUUUCUCAGAUACUAUGCAGUCUUUCUGUGUCCCAAACCCCAGAGCUUUGCAUUUCAAAAACAGGGACUCCAGCAUCCUUUCAUGUUUUUAGAAUUUCAACCCAUGACAUUGCUACAAUAUUUUAGCAUAACUUUUAUGUCUAAAACAAUCUUAACUCAUGAUAUAUCUGCAUCUUUUCAUUGACUUAAAAGCCAAAGGGCCAACUCAUGCCCAUGUCACUUAAAUAGAAAGAAAAAAAAAAGAGCUGAUUUUCAUGUGGUGUCAGGAGUCAGUCAGCAGAUAUUGUAAUUAAGUAAACACUUGGCUUUAAAUAUAUGAACUGGAAAACUGAUCAUUUUCAUUAAAUGAGAAGAGUAUAGGUCAUAUCUGAAAGAGAUAGGGGCGGGUUUUCUUUGGAAAAGGAGAGGUCCAUGACAACCUUCAUGGAUCUUAGUAAAGGACGUCCAUUAUAGCACACAGAUACAUCUAAAGAAGAGCAUUCGCAAGGCCAGUGAAUUUCACAUUCCAAAUUUAGUUUGCAGGUGCAUGAAAAGGCUAAUAAGAUCAUGCUGAUGAGAUAGAAAACAAGUUUUUAAUUCUUUCCGGGUUUUAAUCCUAACAAGGUUGAAGUUGAAGACAGACGCAGACAAUUUCAAUCCAGCAUCAUAAAUGUCACAUCCUGCUGGUCAUUUUCAGAUACUACACUCAGGGCCAGGUUGCUAACUGACCUUCCAAAAUGGAUAGUCUUUAAACAUUCAAGCCACAUAUAUAGGAUUUAACUCCAACCAAAAGAAAAACAUGAAAAUCCUUUUAGCAAUUAAAGUUUUAGAUGUUGCAACAGCUAGCAAGUUGUUGCAAGGAGGGCCUCUGCUCUCUGGCAGCCUCUCCCCAGCUUGCUUGGUUGGUGCACAAACGAUUAUUUUGCAGUGUCAAGGAUGUUGCUGUUUCUGCCAACCAUGCUGCAGCAGCCAAAUCAAGGAUGGGGCAGUGAUGGAUUCCACCAGAAGUUCCCUAAACCAGUGGUCAUGAAUUACGGUAGUUAUAACAGAGGAAGGAGAAGAACAUUAUUGAGGCCUAAGGAUUCCAUGUAGAGUAGGGUUGCCCAUCCAAUGUAGGGAGAAAAGGAAGGAUAAAGAAGUUUUGAAUGAGCAUUAAGAUUUGAAACAUCUAAGUGGCAUGAUCUGAAAUGCAGAAAUUCAUUAGCUUCAAUUUUGAUACUGACUAGUGACUACCCAUAUAAUUUACCAAUAUAAAAGAACAUUUAUAUAACUAUGAUAUUUCAUACUGAAUAGGAAAAGAAAUUCCUGAUACUAUAUAUAUAUAGUGGGCACGUCUAUACCCAUCUUAAUUGGGUAAAGGCAUUUUAAAGUCGCAAGGACCUAAUAGGUUCAGAACAGAUAAAAUUUACAUGGGAGGGAGUACAUCUAUUACAAGUUAUAUCAAAGCUAAUCCAUGACAUGUUUUAAAACCGAAAGGGCUCAUCGGACCCAAAUCAGAUAAUAUCUGCAAGGGAAGAAGCAAGUUCUUACAAUAACACAUUAAGUUUUUUAGGCCUCCAGCCAUUCUCUGCACUUCGGUUACAAUCAAUAAUGUUUAAAGACCCAAAUGCAGUUUGCAGGAACUGGUUGAUGCAGGGAGUGGUCGGAAGUGGCUCCAAUAAUGACUUCUUCAAAAGCCAUUGGAAUGAAAUGAUGUAGGAUAUUUUUGGCAUUUUUUUUUAAUUUUUCGAAGGGAACAAAUGUAGGUGUCUCUUCCAUGUGUCAGUCAGCCUUUGCCUCCUCGCUUCCCUUCCAUAAGUCGCCUCAGCACAACUAGACUGCUUACAGACAAAAUUAUAAUAUGGACAACCAAUUCCUUAAAGCAGCCUAUGACCAAGCCUUUUGCUUCAAGUGCUCACGGGCACAAAUUAGUAUGCUUGUUUUCAGUAAUCUCAGCAGAGUCAAUCAGAGAAAAAAAAGAAAGAAAAAGAAUGGGGGAAUCCCAGCUGAGAGGUAAGAGGGGAAUACAGAUAAAAUAUCAAUAGAGCAAGAGAGGGGGGCCAACUUAUUGGGGAGGAAAAGGGGAUCAGCAUUUAUAAGGGGCAUGGACCACAUGACUCAUCUAGCCUUCAUAUGGAGCAACCAUUAAAUGACUUGCAACAUUACCUAUUAAUAAAACUCAUCACCAUCUAAUAAGAAAUGGACAACACCUUCCAGUUCAUCAACAGCAUUGCCAUAACAAGACUCCAAAUUUUGUACUUCAGUAAAGAAUUUGUAGGAUCUCGGUGAUUGUUCAAUUAAUAGAGUCUACAGGAAUGUUGUGGUUGGAGGAGUAAAACUAAUUGAAGGAGUUCACACCUGUUUACUAUCUAUGCCACUAGGAACCGUCUCCUUCAUGUUCACACCAUUAAUAGGAAAGCAAAGAGGAGCAGUUUGUUGCAAAAAAGGAGGCACACAAAAUACAAAUAAAGUAUGCUUGGAAUACUUCCUUGAUGUAAUCUUUUUUCUUUUCAUAGCAUAAUAUUCAAGAUUACAAAUCAUUGAAUCCUGGUCAAGAGCAUAAUUGGAGCCUGACCUAACACCACAAAUUCAACUUCCGCAGUAUUUUCUUUGGUCCCCAGCAGACAGCAGAUAUUCACAUUUUCUGCCUUCUCAUUAGGAUGGGGAUUUGGGGGUUUUCAGAAUACACCAAGUUAGAGAAGGAUUUCAUUUGGGAAUUCUUCUUCUUGCUUCCUCUUGGUAAAAAGGAUUGAGGUUUUGCAUUGUGAGGCUAGGUUUGAGAAUUUUUUUACAUACUCCAUCAGAGGAGAGGCUGCAGCAGGGCCCAAUUUUUUGUGAAACAUAUGCGACCAGCAAUAAGUCUCCUGCAAAGUGGGGGAAUGAAAUCUAGUGAAUCUCCAUGCAGAGAAAAAAAAAAGGGGUUUUAGUCAAUCAAAUGAACAAAAUGAACAGGCUCAACAGACAACAACAGGGUUUAUUGGACUGGGAAACCUUGUUACAGUCCUUGUGUUUCUUCAAACAGAUUAACAGGCAAAGAACAUUCUCUUGUCAAGCAACCGUAUGAUUUUCAUUUUGAUGCUGAAUUAAGAUCCGAAAUGCUACUGAAACCAAUAAUGAUGACAGCUUGGUCUUCCUCAGAUUAAUAAUAUGUACCAUUGACAAAAAGUAUUAUAAACAUGAACACAAAAUCAGCUACAAGAAGGAGAUGCAACUUAAUCAGAAGUUUGAUCAUACAAAUAGCAACACAAGCUGAACAACGAGGUUUGGACUGAAAAGGUCCGAACCACAUCCUAAUGUCUUUACACAAUAUAUGGUGAUAAAUACAAGAAAUUUACCUUCUAAAACUUUUUAUUUCUCAGUACAACUCUCAUCUCAUUUUUCUUUCAGUCUUCCUCUUCAUUGCAUCUCCUCUAAAACCAAAAUCAGCAACAUAUGAGCAAAUUCCAUAUUUGGGGGCUACACCAAUUUGAAUCACUCAUUGUUAGCCCUUCCCAAGGUGUCCAGACCCUCAGUUCGGCUGCGCACAAUCCUAUGGAACACUUCCCUCACUUGGCGCUCCAAGGGGUCCAAUCCUGCCUUUAUAGUUUGGCACACCUGCCCCAGCUCCUGCACUCUCUGUCUCACCUCAGCCUCCCUUUCCUCCGUUAAUGGGAAUUGAACUGAGUCUGCCAAUUCAUUCAUGUGUCGGGUGCAUUUCUCAAUCUGAUGAAUCUCCUUCAACAGCCCACAAGCAUUCCUCCGGUCCCUUCUCCGGGACUCCUCAAUAAUCCGAUCAUGCAGUGAUUGCAUCGGAGCCGCCCAACUGAAAUUCUUGGGAAUUGAAAAAUGAACCUGAAGCCCUCGAUCCUGGCACGGAAUCGCGGCCACAAGAGCCCACAUUACAAACAACAAAACCGAGCUCAUUGUGAAAACUGCCACCGCGAGUCCUCGAGAGGCAACAAUCUCAUUCGCCCUCGGCGCUGCCAAGUUGUUCCCAAUCGCCUGAAGCUGCCUCGCCGCAGACCACGACCGGGAAACGCUCCACGACAGCGACCUGAAGUGCCCCAAAGACCGGUGGUCGCGGCUGACGUUAUUCCGGCCGAAGGACCGGUUCCGAUGGGCCACGGAGACGCUGGAGUCCCUCUCGUCAAGCAUACCGAUCGCCAAAUCGAUCAAGGCCUUCUUGGCGCGGCGGAAUUGGCCCUCCCCGAGACUCCUCUGGUUGUCUAAAGCGCACGGCACAAUCUCCAGAAGCUUGUGCCAUUGGCGAAUAUGCUCAAUUCCGUCACGAAUCGCAUUACAAACAUCCAACGCCUUCACACUCCGCUCAAAGAACUCCCCAAUCAACCGAUCCAUCGGAGCUCUCCCCAAACUCGCUUUGUUAUUGAACAAAAUAACCCUAAAUUCCUCCUGACAGCAGAGGAACACAUCCAGAAGCUUCCUGACCCAGGACAACGACAGAAGCUCCGACGACCCCGAAGACACCUGCAGAAACCGGUCGGCUACCUGCCUCUGAAACGCCUCCAGCUCCACCUCCAAGCCGGUGACUUCAUGAGUCCCCUCCAUGGAAUGGACCUGAUCGCGUCGAAUGCUCAAGAUCGAACGGCCAAUGUUCGAGAACGGCGAUGAUGAACCCUGAAAGUCCGUAGCAGGCAUUAUCACAUUUACCCUCUCAACUCUACCUCUCUGCAGCCACCAACCACACUCUCAACACCCCUCCACCGCCAAAUCAAAAUCACCACUCAGCAAGACGAAGAUCACAACAACCCACAAAUCCAAACCCUAGCACACAAUUAUUGAGCUCCAGAGAGAGAACUUAGAGAGAGAAGAAGCAAGGCCGAUGGAUUGCGAAAACCCUAAGAGAGGGAGUGGAUUUUAUUAGGGGAUUUAAGACCGCGUUCUAUGGUUGUUGAAAUGGCCAAAAAUACGGAUUUAGAAAUUUCAAAAAAAAAAAAAAAAAAAAAAGCGUUUUUUGAGAGAAUAUUGUUUAAUUGAUUAAUUCCAAAUUUAGAGAGUAGGAAUAUGAGUGAAUCUACUUUUGUUUUACCCCUUUUUUAACCCCAAAACAGUGAACAUACUCACUCGCCCCUACGCGGUGCGAACACGCACCCCACACGUCCUCCCCACAUUUCACCCCCACAACUCCUCAUGCACUCCAUCUCAGCCGUCAAUUUAGAAUGCCUACGUGGAGAAACCUUGGAAUGUUCCAAAAUUUACCAUUUUUUUUUAUAUCAGUAUCAUCUUCUCCAUCCCUAACUUUCUCUAAAGAAAAAAUAUAUUAAAUAUGAUUUAUGACACGUACUAUUUAUCUAGACAUUGCAUUAAUUUGUAAUUUUUUUAAUAUAAAAGGGUAUAAUGGAGAUACAUAUUUUUUAAUUAUUUUUAAUCAUUAUGGGAUUCUGGAAAAUUAGAAUAAUGAGGGACCUAGUGACACGUGUCGAUGUGAUGGGUAUUAUGGAUGGGGUUGACCACGUGUACAAGAACCUUUGAUCGAUUUGAUUGGUGAGUUCACACAGCAGUGAGGCGUGUGUAGAAGCAGUCAUUCGUGAUGUGGCCGAGUGGGAGAAAGCGAUACACGUGGACGUUACAGCUGGGUCUUCGUUGGCGCGUAUUCCUUGCAUGAUAGGUAGUGAGGGACUCGGUCCUCAAUUCUUCUGGAAGUGUAGAAGGAUGACGUCGCGCUUAUUAUUAUAUUUUGUGUUAUUUGACCAGACUACCCCUGUCUAUUGACGCCGUCAGCAGUCAGCAAAAAGAAUUUUGACGGCUCUCGAGGCCUGGAACCAGCACGCCAAUUAUUAUAGAUAAUUUGGAACCAGCAAGCUAAUAAUUCAGGGUUUAAGCUAUAGAUCGAUCCAAACCAACUAAAAUCCAUAUAUAUGGUUUGAAAAUUUUAAAAAUCGAUUUUAUCGAUUUAAGACCUAAUAUAAACUUAAAUUAAUGAGAUUUUAGUUCAAAAUAAAAGUAAAUCUACAAUUAGAUUUAUAAUUAAAAAAAUAUUAAAUUAGAUAAAAAUCAAUUUACAAAAAUCAGUUCAAAUUGACCUCAAAAACUUAAUUUGAUUUGAUUUUUUGACUUCAAAUAUGAUUUAUUUAAAUAUCGAUUCAAUUAAUUUUUUAUUCAAAAACUAAUUGGAUUGACCUUAUUUAUACUAUUAUUAAUAAUAAAAUUUAUGUUGUCAAGUCUGAAAAGAUGAUGUCGCAUGUGAAUAAUCAUGUCAUCAUAUUUUGAAAUAAUUUAAAAUUUUAGAGGUUGGAAUUUAUAAAUAAUUGUCCACGUCAAAUAAAUUGGGAAAAAUACGUGAAAAUACAAUUUUUCUUUUUCUUUCUUUCUCCCUUUUUCAAAAAAAAAAAAUAAAAUAAAAAUUUCUUAUUUUCCAUUUUUAAAAUAAAAAAUUUAUAUACAAAUAGAAUAUUUUAUUAAAAAUAUAUCUAGAUUUAAUUUAUUUCUUUAAAAUUUUAAAUUUUAAAAUAGUAAGAUUUUGUUCUUGCUUCAGUUAGAACAUUUAAGUUUUUUUGAGACAUUUUGAUAAAAGUGUAGUUAAUCUUUUUUAUAGAACAAAAGACUCAUAAUUACAUUUUAAAAUUUUCAUAAUUUUGGGAGGUUCAAUCAUCUUCAAGGCAUAAUAUUUAGAAUGCUCAUUAAAUAAAUAAUUUAAUAAAAAAUCUGAGAUGGAAUUGACAUUGAUCCAUCCAUUCGAUCCAAGAUCUUAGAAUUGAAAUAAGUUCGACAAUGAGACAUAAAAUCCUAGUCAUUUUCUCUAUUUAAUGAAUGAGGAGUCCAAUUUGAAAUUGUCCUUUUUACAUCCACCACUCGAGCAUCCACUUUAAUACGAAUCACAUAACAAUAGAUUGAUACAAUAUAAAUCUUUGAUAAAAUUCCUAUUACUAAUAACAUAUUCAACCAAAAUCAAUAUAUUUUUUUGUUUUACACCCGUAAUUCUUUCUUAGCUGGAUUUGGCAGAAUAUCAAAGCAAGUACUAGCACUAGUAGUAUAACAAAAAUGCUUUCCUCGUCAUUAAUACGUUUGCCCGUCCAAAUUAAAUAUCCAUUUUUUUUUUGUCUUGAACCGAUCUAUUUCAUGACGAAGAUCAACCCGACAAAACAAAAGUUUAUAAGAGAAUCUUACUUUUUUAAAAUUUGUCUAAUAAAAUAAACAAAUCUUCACGUGUGAAUUACUAUUCCAGUAUUCCUGAACCCAUUAAAAAAAUAUCAUACAAGGUGCUGCUUAUGCAUUAUCUUGUCCCAACUGACCCUAAGAAAAGAAAUAAAUAAAUAAAAUAAAAAUCUUCAACUUUGAAGAAAUUUCAACAAAGUGGGAUAAUAAUACUAGAGAAAUACGCAAACAAAAAUAUUAGAAGAAAAUAAAAUCUUCCAAAUAAACCAUCAACAUCAGGGCAUAAAGUAUUUCAUUGAACUGAAAGAAGAAGGGCCCACAUCCCUCAACUUGUGGUCCUUAUAUUAUGAAGUAGAGAUAAAUAUAUGAAUAUGAAUAUGACAUAUAGUAUAAUACAAAUCCAUGGCCUACGUGGGACAAUGUGAAAUCAAUUAGCUUUUGGCUCUUUCCACACGCCUCUUUUCCACAAUUAGAUAGAGGGGAUAUGUCCUUAGCCUAUGCAGCAAGAAACCCAAUUCUAUUUCACAAAGUAUGAAAAUAAUUUUCACACAUGUUCAAGGUUGGACCAAAAAUAUACACUAAUAAAUUGGCCCUUUUAACCCAUGGGUGGUGGGUUGAAACUUGGGACUCAAGCCUCUUUUCACGUCUCAACCUUUCGAGAGUGGGGUACCCACUUGAUUUUGUAUUUUUGUGUUUGUGGGGUUCUUGUAGGGUAUUGGGGUCAAAUUAUUGGGCCACUGUCCCACAGUGUGGGGAUACUUUUUCUCUUCAAUUUGCAUCAACUUUGAUCUUGUUCUCAGAAUGCAGGGCAAUGGAGGAGGUGAAUUGAAUAUUCAAACUUGGGUGUUGGGGUUUUGGAACUGGGAAAACAGGAAAAAUGAAAAUGAAAAUGAAAAUGAGAUUAUUUGAUGGGGACAUGAGUGUUUGGCAAUCCAGAAAAUAAGGGAGAUAGGGCAUUUUAGUUAUUGCCUAUAAGAUAAUCUUUAAAGGCAGUUGGUGAGACGUUAUUCUAUGGAUUAAACUUGGUGACCUCAACAAUGAUGGGACCCUUUUUUCUUAGGUCUCCUAACAUGACCAACCAAACCCCACACCCACAUCCAAUUUUUCUUUUUUUCUUUUAUGCCCUACAUAAUUCAUUACCACGAAUUUUGACCUUAACUUUGAACCAUUCAUCAAAAUUUGAAACACCCAAAACAGGACCACAAGAUUAGGGCAAGCUCACACAGCCCCAUCCCCAGUUUACCUUGGAGACCCACAAGAAUCCUCCGCCUUAGAGGACAGUGGGAUGCAAUUUAAGUUGUUGGCAUUGAAUAGUGUGUGCUGUACACAGCUCAUUCCAAAAGGCUUUCACUGGCCGUUUCCAAUUAAUUGCACUUUCCUUUGGGAAUGAAAACCACUGGUCCAAUUUCAUGGGGUAUCAUGGUUUUUUUUUUUUGGUGGGUUGAGAAGUGAUGGAAGUUUGUGAAAGAUUGGGCCAUGUCAAAGCUAGGAUACAACCAAAUUUUCUAGAGAAAGCCAAAAUGUUCCUCCAUGCAGAGAAAAUUCUGCUGAUUGAAUAAUCAUACUAGCUGAAUUAACCAAAUGGUGAUGGAUUCAUGACCAAAAUUUUCCAGAAAUGCAUAAUAAGAAAAGUAACAUGUGAACAAAAAGAGCCGUGAGAAAGGCUAAAUACAUAGGAGUUUGUUUAAGAAUGAUUUUGAUUAAAAAAACUUUUAGUUUGUAGCGUUUUUCAAAAAUGAUUUUUGAAAGAAUCGCCUAUCAAUGAUUCAUUAGAAAUCGCUUUUAACGAUUCUUUAGAUUUUUAAAAGUUUAUCAAACACCUAAUUUCUACAAGAAAACACUUCCAAAUAUUAUAAAACGCUUUUAACACUUCCAAAAUCACCCCCAAAUGGACUUUAAAUUUCUUACCGGAAACUCUGGCUGGAAGUCCCAGUUACCCCCGUGCCAAAGCAUUAUCAAAUCCUGUUUAUAAUGAGUGAAAAACUCAAGGAUUAGAACAAAAUCAAGUGGCUCCUAUAGCACUAGUUCAGUGGUUCACCUGGUUUUCAAGUGGGGCAAUAUGUUCUGUAUCACAAGCAAAACUCGAAAACCCUUAUAAUACAAAUCACAAAAGAUGUGUAAUCUUCAAUGCAUUGAGCCCCACAAGGUGGUCAAACCCCACAAAUGAGGCUGAUGCUGAAUUGCAGGAAACUGAAUGCAUAAAACAACAAUUUUAAUUUUUCCUAGAAGAAUGGAUUAUAAUUAUUAAAUAAACAGCUUGACCAGAGCUUGGGUGUCCACUUGACCUUGAUGAAGGCGGCUUUUGACUUUAACUGGCUUCUUUGACAUUGAAUUCUUGGGAAAGUUGGAAGCAGCUUCAAAGUUAAGAAGACGGUCGAGGAUUAGGGCAAUCCAUUAGGGGAACCUUCCAGAGCAUCUACUUUGUUCUCCUUUGCUUCAACAUCAGCCACAAAGAUGCUACCUGAAUCGCACCACCCACCUAAGACAUCUCUGUUGGGGCACUGCAGAUGAUACAUUUAGACAUGAUUAGCACAGUAAACUGAGAGAUGACCAAGGCAGUUCUCAUAUUAGUAGCACAACAGGAUGCGGUGGUAUCAAGUCUAUGGAUUACUUGUACAGGUCAAUUCAGUGUUACCUGGGAACCAACACCAUGCUCCUUGGGACAAUCUUAGUUCUGGGUCAAAUCCCUGGGUGACAGACCCGUGUGGAGAACCAAGCUAUGAUAUAUUUAAUUGAAUUGUAUAAAUGUACAACCACCAAAAGAAGGGAGUGCAUAAACUAUUAUUAAUUAUAACAUUGUAUUCUUCAGUAAUAUCACAUGCCUGCAUCCAUGAGUGUGCAUUAUAAUUAAUAUUAAAAGAAAAUCAAAAAUCUGAUAUAUUGUUAGUCAUCAUUACAUUAUAUGGUUCCUGUACAAUCAGUAAUGAAACAAAUAACAGGAUGGAUUUUAAAACUCCCAAACCAAAAAUCAGUGUUAACCCAAAGCCCUUUAGAUUGGUUUAGUACUUUCCAUCAUUUUAUUUGGACUGACAAAGAGAGAAAAGUGUAGCUAGUUCAAUUUUAGGCUCUAGCUGAACAAAGCCAAGACAAGAGUAAAAUGUAAACCUAGUAUUUGACCCUUCAAAUGAGCCAAAAGUUGCACUUGGGCCCAUAAUGACCUGCCAUGUGCAGCCUGUAAGUUUGUGCAUGUGAAUGUUGUUCAACCACACUUUCAUAGAGUAUUUGUGGAUAAGAAAAUCUUACCUUACUGAAUCCAAGCCAGUUUGAAUCUCCUCUAAAUGAAAAUACCUUCUUAUUUUCAUUCCAUUGUCCACAAAAGACCUACAAAUGUAUGCUUGUUAGUCCGAAAGUGGUAGAAAGUUUUCUAUUCAGAAGAUACUCCACAUGACAGGUUUUAGACAAGACACACCACUUGAGCUCUCCAUUAUACAAAGCCAGUUUGCUAAAUACUUGGAAGAAAAGAUAUAUAUGUUAUAAUAAAGCAAUAAUGUAAGUCUUGGAUAAGAAACUAUAAUGCAGUGGAAGUCUAGAAUGCCCCUAUGAACAAUCCUAUAUUCCAAUAAAUACGAAUGUAAAAUAGAAUGCCCAAAUGGGGUGAUGCCCUAUACAAGUUACAUCAUUUAGGUGUUAUAACAAUGAGCUGAAGGCAAAAUGACACUAAAAUUAUCACGUGCACAACGCAUUCAUAGUUUCCAUUACUUUGAUCAAUGGCAUGUUGAUGGAAAAGGUAUUAGAAACAGAGAAAAUAGUCCAACAGGUAUCUAGCGAGUUUGGAACUUCAAAGCUCCAACUCCAAAUGGGCCAUUCACCCCACCAUUCCUCUCCCCCUCUCUUGGAGGAGGCAUGGGGGAACUGUUCCCCAAGUGGGGGUGUUGUUGUUUGUUAAGCAGUGCAAUUAACACUAAUUAAAAUAACUCAAAUUGCUACAUAUAGCUGAAGAGAGAGAGGAUAAAAAAAAAAAGAGAGAUUUUAUUAAAACAGUGUAAAGAGCAAGGAAUAGCUCAUCUGAACCUGAAGUAUUAAUCAAAAGGAAAAAUACAUCAGUCCUGUGAUUUAAGAAGUAAGCACCUCAUAAUCAACCCCUUGUAUGUAGAUGUAAUCAGGGUCACUUGAUGAGAAAGCAAGUCCAGUUAUCUGCAGUAUUAACAAAUGUGAUUAAGUCUAACUGUAAUAUAAGACCUAGACAUAUGUUUGUAAACCUUUAGUAGCUUAAAUAAAAAUGUGGAAAUCCAUCAACUAGCAGAAUGGUAACACCAAUGUUAGCAGAUGAAUGCUUUUUAUCACGAAACCUUCUUGCUCCCAAGAAUUUCCAUCAGAUUCUCUUAAGUCUCAAAGAAAACUACAAUCCCAUCGUUGUUCUUGUCCUAUCACCAGCGGCAUGCAUUUGACCUUAAAAAAAUGUUUUUGUGUGGGAAGGAUACAGAGAUGGCUCAUAAAUCCAUUUAUUUGGCCAAUAAAAGAGAGACGUGCAUUUGUGGCAAACAUGAAACAUAAGAUCUAGCCUCUAGGCACUGCAAGAGAAUCAGAGAUUGAUACAUCUCUAUUGGUGCACACUCCACUGCACAAUUCAAUUAAAAUCAAAACUUGCCAAGACCAGAACAACUUAGUGACAGAUGAAUUUGGAACAUCUGUUGGAAAGAGGGAAGGAAAAAAAGGUCACCAUCUAAAUAAUGUGGCAAAAUAAGGUGAUACAAAAUCAGACACUAUGCUACUCUUUUUCUCUAACAUAGAACAUGAAAAGAUCAUUAUAAGCAUCAGAAGUCAACUUCAUGCAAAAAAAUCUAUUGUUUCAUCAACCAUUUUAAUUACAAUCCACGUACGAAUGGGAAAAAAAAUGUGGGGGUGGGGGACGGGAGGGGGGUAGUCAUAGAGUUUUGAGGACAUAAAUUUGAUAUUGUCGCAAAUUCAAACCAAAAACUAGAAAAUCACUUCUUCCACUUAACAAAUUAGAAAAACUACACAACUCCUAAAUAAAUGUUGAAAAAAAUAGAUCCCAUAAAAAAAUUUAUAUCAUAUUUUCAUGUUAGACAUGUAACUUUGAAAAUAUAGUAUGUUUUGAUUGAGAAACCAGAUCAUUUGGACAACUGAAGGGGAAAGUUGAUCUUCCACAAACAAGAAUUUAGCUCCAGCAAAAAUGACACACUCUAAGUGACAAAACAUGUCUGGACAAGCAAUACCUAUUUUUAACAGUAAUUCAUAGUUUGACUCUAAUUUGAAUGGCAAAUAACUAAAACUGUUCAUGAAAAGUCCAAAUAAUUUUACAAUUUUAAAAAGAAAAAACAAAUGAGGAGUCUAACAAGGAGAAUGGAGAUGAAAUCAUAAAGAUCUAAACUGACCUCAUAUUUUGAGCAAUGCACCCAUCUUGAUAAUGCUGACCAUCUGCUCUCAGGACAUAAUCACCAAAUCAGAGUCUGCCUCUGUGCAAUUCACACUUAAAUUAUCUAUUUCUAUUCCCCUGUUUUUAUUUAAAGCCAUGCCAUGGAGACAAACCUGCGAGGAUCAUAGAUGGUAACAGUACGGUCAGCACCACCCACUGCAAUACUACCAGUUGAAGAACUAGUGACAGCAUAGAAGAUAUCUCCAAGGGGACCACAAAUUCGAUGCACACAACCGCCAUUCUCUUUCAUUCUUAAGUCCCAUAUUGUCAGCUGCACUAAUCACAAAAGAUGAAGAGGAGACACAUGAGAGUAGGAGCUAAGAGAUUUUAUUUAUCACAUGAACAUACCUGAAAUGUAUAUCAGCACAAAGCGGGUACCUGACAGCCUUCAGUGACAGCUAAUAUAGAUCUUUCAUUCCCAUUACUUAAGUUUUGCAUAAAGUCCAAUGAAGAUGGAUACCACAACCUGAAAGAAGUUAUUUUAGGAAUAAAGAGUACCCAAAAGAAAGUAACAGGCACAAACGAUCCAAAUGGAUUUAAGGAACUAGAAUUCAUUGAGGCUGAGUACUGCUGUAUAUGAUUACACAUAAAAUUAACUAGUGUAAAAGAAGUCCAUAAAAGAUGUGCAAGAAAUAGAGAAAUAAAAUGUGGCAUGCAUUAAUGCAGACAUUGUUUCUUGCUAGAAUUACUGAAUAACUGAAAAACAAGGGCUCCUAAGAGGAAAAAAAUUAAGUGUUUCUUUUGCCACCAUCUGUCCUUUCCAAUUCCUGAAAUUUAUGGGGAUACAAUUUCUCAUGUACAGUUAAGGAAAAACUGAACUAGAAAACCAAUGGAUAUUUAAAAAUAAGAAAAAAUAAAAACUCUCUGCCUCUUCACUUAAAUUAUUUUUCACAGGAUGUUUCUCAACAAUCCCUAAAUUUUUUUUCCUGAAAUUAUUUAAUUUAGCCAUCAUAGCAGACCAUCUAACUGUACUACAGGGACAAAUUAGUCAUUGCAAUGGAAAAGUACUUUUUUCCAAAACAUGGUGAUCUGGUUAAUAAUUGCAUAAAAUAAAAAUGAACAAAAAGAAAAAGAAAGAAAACCUAAGUCCAGAGGAUAUGUGCCCUCAUUCAUUAUUCUAGACCCUUUCCCAUUCUUAUCCAACCUCUUGCUAUCUAAUCCAGAACUCAGGAGCAUAAAAAAAUACAUGGCAAUGGUGUGAAAAGAGAACAACAGCAAUUCAUACCAUGAACAAACAUCAGAAACUAUCAAGCGUUAAUGGAAUAAACCAUUCUUUUUUGCAAAGUCAUCAUUUCAAGCCAUAAGCUUGACUGCAAUACUUCACUUCCAACCUGAAUUUUAGUGGGCAUUUGUCAAAUAUUAGGUUAAAAAACCUCAACCUAACCUUAAUUCAAGUUGAGCUCUAGCUGAAGUGACAGGCAACCCAACCCAAUCAACACUCUAUGAUGCACAUAAUUGUGUGUUUUACUACUUGAUUGGCUGGUAGUACUCCUGGAAAGAAUGUGUAAUCAUAGCCAAGUUUAGGUUGAGAAACAGAAAACUUGCAUUGAGAAACAGAAGCCCUAGAGUUCAAGCAUGUGCACCUCUCCAUCUCUCCCAUCUUGCUCCAACUUUAACUUCAAUAAAUCCUUAAGUUAAAUAAAAUAUUUCUAGUUUAGUUAUGAUUUCAGCUCGACUCUUCCUCCCUUUUCAUUAUUCUGAUCUGGUCCAAUUUUCCCUUUAAAGAUAUUUGGAGUGUAUUGGUUUCUUAUUCUGGCAAUCUUAAACUCUUUCAAUGAUUGUCAAGAAAGCAAAUGAAAACAAGUGAAAUAGGCAUGUUUUGAUUUCAACCUGACCAAACCCUGACAGCACAAACAAAGGAAAAUGAUCCCAGGCAGGGCACCUAAGGUUGAAAGUCUGGUCAGUUCAGGCUUCAUGAAGGGGGAGCAUGGAGCCAGUUAGCACUUAGAUUGGCUUUCAACCCUGCUCAGCCCACCCCAGUUAGAGCCCUAGCCAUGAGGAAGUUCCUUACUCUAUUUCAAUCAUUCAGAUGACACUCAAGCACAAAAUCAUUAAGGUUUGAAAUCAUAUAAUACCAGUUUAAAAUAGAAAGCAAAAGAAUUGAUGUACAACGGAAAAUAUCAAAUACAUUCCCCUUGUCAGUAAAAUCAUCCAGAAUUGAUGGCUAAACAAGUCAAUUAGUUUGGAUCAUAGUUGUUUCCAAUUUCCAAACCAAACCCCUUUAGAUGGCAUACCACCAUACAGAAGCAGCAAAUGACAUAAAUUUGAAACAAUCAUGCAAACAUAUGAGCAGUAACAGAUAAAAGAUGGUUAUUUAUAUAAGAUUUUAACUGUUUCUUCUUCUCAAGUUGCACUUGUCAUACUAAAAUCAAAGAUAAUAACAGCAAUUGAAAGAAGAAAAAGACUGAAAUAAUAUACUGUAAAAAAAAGGAACGAAAUAAACAUCAGCAUCACUUACGUACGUAGAGUCCGAAGAUGAAUAUCUUGGUCAUAGACAUCAAUGCUUUUACAGAAGCUACGUGCUACAGCAGCCUGGAAUAUGAGCUGGUCAAUACUAUAGUAAGCAAGCUCUAUCCUGGUGUUAAAAAAAAAGUUUGAAAAGACCAUUUUCCAUUUAAAAAUAAAAAAUAAAAAUACAGGCCAAAGGAAGAGAGAGAGAGAGGGGUGGGGGGGCAGGGGGGAGAGGGAGAGGGAGAAAAGCUAAACAUUUGGAUACCAAAAAGGAGAAAGAACAAGAGCUUGUUUCUCCUCGAAGUAUGUUAAGAAGAAAUCGAUGAUUCACAAUUUUGAGCCCUCUAAUAUUAAUAAAAUUGGUAGUGAAUACCUAAAAUACAUGAGUCAUUGGCUCAUUCAUGACUUCCUCUAAGUUUCUCACAACAUUUUUUAGUACAGCCUGAAUGGUGCCUUUCAUGGUCAGUGUCUAACACUUCUUUCCAAAAUUUGAUUGUAAGUGUUUAUAAAUAUAUUGUUCCAAUAACAACUUUAAUGGAAUGACAAGAACAAUUUGCAUGGUACAUAAGAAACAAUUAGUAAAUUGAAAAUCGUCGUUAAGUAUUAAAAUGAACUAUGAAUAUUGACAUUUUUUAAAAUCCUUCUGAUGAAGUGUGACACCUAGGGUUACAAAAUUGAAAAACAUAUGCCACUAUGUGAACAUGUAGGGACAUAGGAGAAGAAUUAAAACCCAAAAGCUCAAUUUCAUAAUAUCAGAUAGUUGUCAAGAAUCUUCAUCAGGAUUUGAAUUAGAAAUAGAAAAUUUAAAUAAUAUAGGGAGGACAAUGCUUUGUAAUAUUGAGACUCUUAAUGCAAUAACAAUUGAUCAAAAUUUACUACUAGAAAUAUAGAUAAAAUAGAAAACCCAACCAUAUAAAGGGAGUAUAUAACAAAGCUUCUAAACCUUUGCCAACAAGAAUUACAAGAUAAUAAGCUAGAUCAAGAAACCUAUAAUUUAAAAAUGAUAGUGGGAAUAUUUGAAAAGGAAAAAACUCAUCCAAUGACACUUCAAGAUUUACAAUGCAAUAAAGAAAAUAAAAAAAGAAUUAAAAAAAAUUACAAGAAGAAAAUUAUCAAAUUAAUUCAAAACUUUUAAAGCUUAGAUUAGAUAAUUCUUACAAAUCUCAAGAAGAAUCACCAGAAAUUUGAAAAGCCAGUGAGAAUGAAAAGGAAGAAACUAUAUUCUUAAAUCAAAUAUCAAGAAUACAUAUCCAUAAAUGGCAUGUAAUUGUCAAUAUUAUGAUAUAAGACUGAAUUAAGAACUCUAGCCAUGUUAGAUUCAGGAGUUGAUCUCAAUGGUAUUCAAGAAUGAUUGAUACCCACUCAAUACUAUGAAAAGACUAUUGAACAAUCACAUAGAGCAAAUUCUCAAAAAUUAAAAAUAGAUUACAAAAUUUCAGGAGCUCAUAUUUGUAAUAAAAAAUUUUGCUUCAAAACUACAAUAAAAGACUUCAACUAAUUGAUAUUUUUUAUUUCUUAUGUUUGUUUUACAAUGUAUAAAAUAACAAAGACAUGGAAAUUCAGUGUAACCUGGUAAUAAAAAUAAAAAUGACCCUUUUAAAAAACAUUCUCACUACUGGAAAAGACAAACAAUGAGCAUAUCUAUUUAUUCAUUAUUUUAAGUGUUUGCAUUAUUAAAAUAGAAAAAAUAGCAUUAGAAUGUGCUAAUUGUUGAAGAAAUAUUUUCAAAAACAAUUUUAGAAAAGGUUCUAUGAAUUAUUAUUUUUGGGUGAUUUUCAUUUCUUUUUUGUUUUUGAAAUCGGAAAACCAUUUUCAUUUUUGUUACAAAAACAGUUUUUUUAAGAGAGUACACGUUUAUCUAGAGGAACUACUUAUCAAAAAAGAAGUUUAUCUAGAGGAAGAACAUAAUGGUUAAAAGAGAAAAUGACAUAAUUAUUAUAACUAACACAUUUAAAAAUAAAAGUACUAUUUAAAAAUAAAAUGAAUGAGUGAGAAGAAAAAUAUGAAAGAAUGUAUUAUUAUUAUUUUUACAAGUGACCAAAAAUAGGAAGAAGUGGGGAACCAUGAAAAAGAUUUUCAGGGCCCAUCUGCCACUAUCUUAUCCAAAAUGGUCCAUAGUGAAUUAUGGCAUUUUUUCUUAAUGAAAUUUCAAUAUGUGAUUCCCAGCUCAGAAUAUACCAAUUGUUACAACCAGAAAAAUUAGUUCCAAUACAUUAGCAUCAAAUAUAUUGAAAAUAAUUAAAAAGUUAUAUCAAGACCAAGACAAGUUAUAUAUCAAUAACAGUAAGCUAUGAUAGUUCCUACUUAUCAACUUAUGGACCACCAUCAGCAAGGCAUUAGAAUAAACCAAAUAAAAUAUCUAGAAAAACUAAACUAGUUCACUGGCAAGAAACUAGGUACCAUGGACCAUUGACUUGGACUGAAGCAGAGCCCUGCCCAACUACCCUCUCCAACACCACAAUCCCGAGGCAAUACUGAAAGUGUAACCCUGUUAACAUCUGAACAAUGAAAUGACAGAUUCAUAAGUCUCUUCUUCCAUUCAAAAUCCCAAAUCCAGCAUUAGAUCUGAAAUAAAAGACUGCCAGAAAACUCAAUGUGCAAAUUGGUUUUGUUGUUCUGCUGUAAUUUUUUCUCGCAUUAUAUGAGUCCUCAAUUCCCUAAAAAUCAACUAAACCAUUUAUCACAGAGAAUUGCUUGAUACAAGAAAGAAGUAUAACAUAGUAAAAUUAUCCAAGAUAGUGAGACAGCUAGAGGUGACAUUUGGACUCUGAAGAAACCAGGCUGGCUCUUAGAUUAAUCACAAAUCACCAACAACAUAUAAUUAAGCACAAAAGCAAUCAAAGUGGAAGUGGGAACCACCAUCAUACCUGUCACAUCUGGGGGUUCCACCAAAAUGAACAAUGAUUUGAUGACCAUAAACAUUCAUUUUUUUCUUUCUUUUUUGUUUGAUAGUCAAACAAAGCAAAUCUAUUAAAAGAGCACCAUAGCAUCUAAAUAUAAAUAUAAAGUUGUCAACCUCAGAACUGAAAUUCACAGACUAAAAAUUCCUUUUGAUUGUUCUUGGUGUAAAGGAGGUGGAAUGACCACUUGAUACAGGUCCCACCUGCCUGCAUCAACUAUUACCAGUGCUUGCUGCCAGUAAUCAACAAACUUAUCCUACCCAAAGUCACAACCAAUGUUUUCUUUUCUUGCUUUUGGGUUAGACAAUGUAUAUAUGCAAAAAAAAAACUUGGGGAAAGGAGUAAAAUUAUUUAAAAAAAAAAAAAGAAAAAAAGAAAAAAAACCAAAAAGACAAACAGUCCUCGAUCCUUCCUCCCCUUAGUAAAAAGUUUGAAAAGGAGAAGGGCCAUAAAAGCCACUGACAGAUUCAAGUGAGAGCACAAAAAAUACUGUAUAAAAACCCCUCUGAAAUCUUGAUUAAAAUUUACAAUGGCAUCAUGCAAAAGAAAAUAAAGACUACAGGUACCUUUACUACUAGGAUCCAAUUGAGAUACAAUAAGAUGACCAUAAGAAUCCACGCUUCCCAAAAUUAAGCAGUCAGGACCUGCAAACAUUGCAUAAAUCUGUUAAACAAGUAUGAAAAUCACAUAGAUGUAAUGGCUACCACAUUGAGAUUCUUGAAAGAAUGACAAAUGCAAUGACAGAGAAGAGUCACACAGCCUUGGAUAGAAACAAUAUCAAUCAACUCCCAAAAUAACAUGUUCCUCAUUAAGAUGAAUUCCAUUUGUUCUUUUAAUGGCUUUUAGCAACCAAAUGUUUCCAGUGUCUCAAUGUGCAUCUGGCACUACAUUUAAUUAAGACGACACAAAUACAACCUUUUGCAAAGGAUAAACAGAGAAAAAAUGAAAGAGAACAAAUAUAGAGCACACAUGUCAAAGAUUGAGAGAAAUUCAAGAAGUAUGUGGGGUGGAAUGCUUCAGCCUCAAUAGAAGUGCCGAUUUGCAUUACCACCCUUGAUUUAAAAAUAUCAUUGUACUCUCCCACUCUUGACAAUUAAGUGAAUAUUUAAGCUUGUCACUCUUGAUUAAAUCUUGUUACCUGGUGAAACUCCACAAAUAUUCUUAAGACAAGACUCCAGCAUAUUUUCUUCAUGAGACACAAUGACAUAAUUUUCCCAUUUAUUGCAUCUCUCUCUUGGAGUUUUUAAUAUCCUGCACAAGUAACUGUUGGGUUUUUACAGCCUUUUUCAAUACUAACAUCUCAACUUCAUGCACUUGAGAACCAAUAACCACACUGAUGGAAGAACACCUUAAAGCCCUUAUAUCCUUCUACAUAAAUUUUUGUGAAGUUCUUGAAAUAUUCACCUGCUAUCCACUCACAUACCUAUAUAAUUAAAAAUAAAUAAAUAAGCAAAAAAAUAAAUCAUUAAGUUUCUAGAUACCUCAAAUUGCAACACAUGGUUUUGCCAUUAUUUGGAUCAGAGCUUGAAUUUUCACACAAUGUCCGUGGUGGAGGCUAUUACCAUGAUAAAAUGACUAAUAAAAGAGAUGAAGCUAUUAACAGUCUUGCCGAAUUGGAGACCUGAAUGAAUUGAGUCUAAACCAACAGAUAUUGAAAUGUAAAGAAGAUUAAGGAUGCCUAAUGCCAAAUCAUAGUCCUUGGAACAAUCAGGCCAAAUCAGCUAUAAGCCGGGUUGCAAACUCCUAAUCCUAGAGUAUCAAUACAGGAAGAUUACAAUCAGGUGUUAAAUGAUGCAGGCAUGAUGAUGAUAAGCCACGAAGGGUUGACAAGAAGAAAAAAUACAUCAAAAGGCUUUACCCACAGUCAAAAAAAAAUAUCAAGUUUGCAUUUCAAUAAACUUUUUGCAACACAAUAUAGACAGGUGAGGACGAUAGACAAGGUCUUGGCCAUUCCAGAAUGGAGGCUUUGGGCUGAAACUCAGAGAGAGAAAGAAUAGCUCCUACCUGUUUGGGGUAGGUGUUGCAUGCUAAUAUAGGCUAAAGAUGAAGCAACAGUUGAUGCAAUCUUUGACUAUAUUGAAAGAAUCACCUCGUCCAUGUUGAAGAAAACUCACAAUAGUCAUGUGUGAGUGUUUAGCUAGGUUGGCAAUUCUGGACAAAAUUCCUAAGUGUCUCUUAACUCGAGUGUCUGAAUCCUUCCUCAAACUAUUUCCAUAAUGAAGAUCAAGAUGUUGAAUUUGCUAAGAGACCAACGUAUGUAUGUAGUUGAGGUUGUAGAUGGAUAAAAUUGAAUCAAAAAAGUUUUUCAAAUUGUUGUUUUUCUUAAAAUAUUUUUUUAAGGAGUUAGGGAGGCUUGGGAAGCAUUUUUUUUUUUUUUACUAAGUAAUUAAAUGCCCUAUUCCAUAAUUGAUCCAGAUUUGGGUCAAAACGAUCCAAGUUGUUUUUUCAUAAUGUUAUCUUAACCGUUGGAUCAAGGGCUUCUUUCACUGAAAAACCUAAAAAUCAUUUCUUGUAAAAAAUAGAAACACCUGCAGUUGUUCCCCUCUUGAGCUUUCUUUUCUUAACAAAUUAGGGCGUUUGAUCGUUGAGAAAAUCCCUUUUUCAUCUUAAUUUCCAAAUAGAUUUUCAUUGGAUUUUCUUAAAAAAUGGGUUAAGUCUUCCCAUUCAUUCAUCUCUUAAUUUCUUAUCUAUUUGGAUUUGGGUGAAAACCCAUUUUUUGCUUGAUUAAGCUUCAAGAAAAGACAAAAUAAAGCUUGGUGAGGACUCCAAGUAUGUUCCGAAAGAUGAAGACAUGCGACAAAAGUGAGAAGGUGUUGGUCAAGUAGUCCGUGAAGGCAUAGUGGACUUGAGUUAGGUAAAUCAUUGUAUACAUUGAUUGUUAUUCAUAGAGGAAUUUUUAUCGUUGGUAUGCCUGUGGUUUUUGAUCUCUUAGGAUAUUUUCCACGUAAAAUCUAGUGUCAUUCUCUCUUGCUCUAAUUCUACUCUUUGAUUUAUCUCCAAUUUAUGAUAUUCUCUGUUACUAAAGCAUGUUUGUUGAAAGAAUGAAAUAUGACCAGAAAUUGGUGUAAUUUCUUGAAUAAUUUUUCUGUUCUAAUUGUUAAUGAUAUCAAGCAGUAGACGUAUUAGGGAGAUAAUCGUUCUUAUGAAUUAGUGUUAGGGAGUGUUGAAACAUUUGCAUGUGACUUGCAUUUAUAAAUUGUUGGGAGGGUGUUGUUGCAUUCAUGCUUGCUUGUGAUUUUUAUCCUUUGUUGAAUAGUUGUUGGAAGAGAGGAAUAUAAAUUGUAACGAUUCAAAGGAAAAUAUAAUAUAUGUUGGACCUUUUUGAAUUUGUUCAAAAAAACAUGUAUUCACCCCUUGUCAACCCCCCUGCUUCCCUCCCUCUUCUCUAGGUGCAGUUCAUCAUUGAGAUUCACAUUCAUCAUGAAAACAAAGCUCCUAAUAAAUAGAUAGACAUUAUUACAAGAAACUGCAUCACAUAUUCUACAUACCAUGACCAAAGGUUUUAAUAAUUUGAGAAUCCACAAACAGAUUAUAGAAUGACACAAAAAGUUACGCAUACAAUUUUACUCAGAUCCAAAAUUCAGAUAAGGUAAUUUCCGAGAAAAAGGAAAGGUCAAGCAUAAAUGCCAUAGUAAGAAAUAUGAACUGAGAUAUCUGGUAGCCUCUGCACAUCUCAUAAUGCACUCUUUGAUUGUAGGAACUUUCUAAUGCAUGUAUAAUCCUCAUUAAAUUCUAAUUAUCAUGUGAUUUCACUUUAAUUCAAGACCGUUCCAACAUGCAUGGACAUAGAAAAAUAAGCCAUUACGAUAUAAAUAUACCAUCAUACGCUACAUUUCUACUUUCAGUGACAAAUAGAAAAUAACUAAAGCAUCAAGCACUAUACCGGCAAACAAUUCAAAAUGCCAGUUGACAAACAUUACACUAUAAGAUGUUUCAUAAAAUACAAUAUUUAAACCCAAAGACUACAUGGUUAAACAACUGGUGAAGGAAUGAAAGCAUUAAUUCUCAAACAAUAAAAGGUCACUCACUCUCAGUUUCAGCAAGCACUAUACUCUGAAUUUCCGAUCGAUGAGGGCACCGAUUAACUAAGGAUGAGUCCAUAACCUUCAAAAAAAAGAAGCCAGAGCAUAUAUAACAAGAUUGACAUGUAACCCAACAAAUAUAGCCCUCUUAUAUGUCACUCUGAAUCAAAUUCUUCUUCCACAAAAUGGAAAGUGCCCCCCGCUUCAAUUCAUGAGAUAUAUACCUGUGCGCUUACAGGAAUCAAGAGGCUUUCUUUUCCUUUGUUGACCAAAGAAUCUUCCAUUGAUAUCUAUGAAUAAAAAACAAAGGAAUUAUACAUUAGCAGGCAAUUAACUGACCAGAAUAGCCCAAAUUAAAGCUUUGUCGGGUGUUUGAGAGAAUUUGCAAGCAAUUAGCUUUUUGAGCACUUGCCCAACAAAUUUUGCCACUUUCUCCAGAAAUUACUCCAAAUGACAACACGCACUCGAUAGGAAAUCACCUAAAACCGCUUCACUAGUUAGCAAAAUCCAUUCCCCCUCUCCCCCCCUCCCCGUUCUUAACAAACUACAAACUAAUUUCCCCUAUGGCACAAGCUGCUGAACUAUAGCAAAUUUAAAUUAUGGUCCCUCCAUUGAUUAGAGAAGUGCCACGUUUACAGUGUGUUUGGAAGAAAAGAAAAACUGUAAGAAAACAUCUUCAGCCUUAUAUCCACUCUAUCAUAGAGUGAAUCAACCAACUCUAUUAUAUAUUUCCAAUACCUGAACACUGUAAAUGGAGCAUCCAGAGGCGAUGUAAACCCUGCAAGAAGAACCGCCGCCAUCAACCUGAGCAAUAAAAAGGAAGAAUAAGAAGAAGACUGAAAUUAGGAGAGAGUGAACGAGAUGAAGAGAAUUAGGGUUAGGGAAAUAAGGAAGUACAUGAAGAGCGAGGCGAGUAGACUGAAGGUUUGCAGCAGAGGGAUUUUCCAGAAGAGAUGGUGCCACCACUGCUUUUCUCAGGCUCUUAGCUUCCAACAUUUUUCCUUUUUCACCACUGGUUUCAACCUUCCGUCUAUGUUUUUUUGAAGUGUUAUUUGAUGAUAGGAUGCAUAGUGUAAAGUGUAAACGUAUCUUGUAGAAGUAUGGGAAAAUCCCCUCCCUUGUUUGAGCCAAUAAUGAGUUUUUCUUUUUAAUUUACAAAGAAUAAACCCGAACUUUCCAAAUCAGACCCGUCAUUGAAUUGAAAAAAUUACUUAUUCAAUAAUUAGAUUGAUAAUUAAAAUGAUAAUAUUAUAAAUAUAUAAUUUAUAUAUUAUAUAAAAUUAAUUAAAAAUAUCUAAUUAAAAUUUUUAAUAAUAUUUAUAUAUAUAUAUGACUUAUCAAAUUGAAUCAUAAAAAUAAAUAUAUAAUAUAUUAAUAUUUUAAAUUUUAUUACAUAGAACAUAUAUAAUAUGUCUAUCUCAUAUUUAUGAUUUAAUAAUUAUUAUAAAAAUAAAAAUAAAUGUAAAUAUAUGUAUUUAUUUAAUGAUUUUAUAUGAUAAAAAUUUAGAAACAAAACAUAUUUUUAUAUAUUUUAUUUUAUAACAUUAUCACAGGCCUAUUGCAUAGCUUAGUGGUCAAGGGACUUGGGACCUUGGUUUUGAACUAUGAACGUCUAUGGCUCAAGUAUAAUGCAUAUUUCUUUUCUUCUUUGAUCAAUCCCACAUCGAUAGGUGAUGAAAUAAUUGUGGCUGACAAUUACCUUGUGACCAUAAAAAGUGGUAAGUUAGUUGGGUCGAAGGGUAGUUAAUGACAUUAGGUCAAGUAUGUAAAAGCCCACUACGAUUUUGGACAAAAACAAUCGCAUGAUACCGAAAUCAUUUCUUUAAAGCUUCUUUAUGAAUACACGUGAGGAACACGUGAUCCAAAAUUAUAUAAAUUGGGACACUAAAAGUCAUGGGAACUAAUUUUUUAGAAAACAUAUUUUAAUUAUUUUAUAUUAUUUUUAAUUGUUUUAAAAAAUAAUUAUAUAAAUAUAUAUAAUGAUUAAAAAUAAAACACUAGAUAUAUAAAAAUUAUUUUUAAAACAUAUUUAAAAAUAUUAAAAAUAAAUUAAAAAUAUUUUAAGUUUUCAAACAGGCUUUUGUUUUACAAAAAUCAUAAAACGAUUUUCAAAAAUUGUUCUCAAAAACUAUUUUUCAAAAUAAUUUCGAAAAUAGUUUUCAAACAGGCUAUAAAUCUGUCAUAAAAUUAGAAAUUUUGUAUAAAUAUGAUGAAAGAUUGUUGAGAAAAAAAAAAUUAUCUAUAUAUAUAUAUAUAUAUAUAUAUGAAACGCUUAGAAAUAAACCAAAAUAUAUGAAAUUUGUAAUCCAAACUAAAAUAUAGUACAUUUUUUUUUGGUUGUUUUUGUUGUAGGUUAAUUGAGAAAGUUGAAUCUCUAAAUUCUUUAGUAAAUAUAAACGGGAAAAAGGUUUGUUUGUGCAACAUGCAUGUAAUAAAAAGAUCCAUUUGUUUGUUUGAUUUGAUAUAAGUUGAAUAUCUAUUUUUUAUUUUCAAUAAUAAAACAUGUAGUGUAUUUUUAAAUGAAAAAAAGUGUUUGUAUUUUUUAUUGAUAUGAAAAAAAUAAUAUAUGAAUACUUAGAUUAAAUGUGUAUUUUUACAUUGGAGAAGAAUGCAGUACCCCAUGUUGACAUAAGAAGAUGGUCUCAUAUGAUCUCAUUGGUUAAUAUACAUGCCAAAAAAUGUUGUCUUCCAUGUAAGUCGUUUCAUAUAGGGUUAAUUUCAUUAACCUCUUCAAAGGUUUUAGUUAAAUACAUUUAAUCCUUAUAGGUUUGAAAUUUCAUCAUAUACCUUUUUUAUUUUGAGUGAAAGAGGAGGUAAGUGAAAAUAAGAAAUGAGAAGGAUAUGGAAAGUUUUUAACGAAAUUUCAAAUCGGAUAAAUUUAUUUAGCCGAAACAUUGAAGAAGGUGAAUGAGAUUAACCCUUUUGUAUAUUUUAUACCCCAUGUGCAAUUAAUUUUAAAUAUUUCAAAUGGUUAGUAUAACUUACCUUAAUUAAUAAUUAAAGGUUUAAACAUUUAUGGCUUCAAUUACUUAAGUUAUAUUUAUAUUUGGGUUAUUUGAUAAAAAGGGUCAUUGAAAACCCAAUUUUGGAAAUCUAACUCUUCACCAUUUUUUGACCUCAUUUUGACAAAAAUACCCUUAUUAUUUUCUUGUAAAAAUAAUCAUUUCUUUUAAACAUAUUAUAAAUACUUGAAAUAGUCAAGUACAUUUAUGUCAAAAAUGGAUUACUUUUCAAACGAAAACAUGGGAAAUGAUAAAUUCACAAAUAUAUGGAGUAUUUCAUCCCUUUUAACCAAUUAUUUCCUUAUAUUUUUCUUUUUCCACAAGUAUAUUAGUUUGAUUAUCAACUACUUUCAUGCAUACAUUGCUUUGAGAAAUAUAUGAUAUAAUGUUGAAUAUAGCAAUUAGCAUGGGGAAGAUGACAUUUAAAGCUUAUAAGAUGGAAGUUAGAGUCAAGAAGUGCACUAAAAAAAUUUGUGGUAUUUUAAAAAAAUUAUGAUGUAUUCAAACAUUUGUAAGGAGGAUGAUUAGUAUGUUGGAAAAUUUUUAUAUGGGUUAACAUUAAUUGAAUAAUUUGCAUUUGGAAAAAACGGGUUAAUGGAUAGUCUAUUAUAUAAUGAGCCCAAUUAAUUAAUGAUCAUAUUUGGAUUGAGUUUUGCAUCUUUUGAGUAGAAGCUCAGUUGAGUGGCAAGUGUAGGCUAUAGGUCUCAUUGAAGCCUUAUGGGAGGGCCCAAUGAGAACCCAAUAUUGAGUUAUGCUAAGUCCUCUCUCUAAUCUAGAUAAAUGGUUUUUUUGUUUUCCCAUAGAGCUACCAUAGUUGUUAUCAAGAUCAUAGAGAGGAAGACUUGAUUGCAACAAUCAGUCACUUGUUUUUUUUUUGUGAUGGCUUAAACAAGUAUGUUUUUUAUAGUGAUUUUCUAUUGUUAGUAUCAUUUAAUCAUGUAUGAUUAAUUUAUGUGAUUAUGUAAAUAUUCUACAUGUGGUAUCAGAGCCAGAUUUACAUGAUUUAGGAUCUACAAUUGGAAAUCGAAAAUAAAAAUUUUAAUUUCUUAUUUUAUUUUAUUUUUGGAGCUGAAUCUGUGAUCCAUGACUGUGUAUGGUUUUUUGGUUUCUUUUGAUUUUGAAACUUUAGGCCUUUUGUUCUUUUUGUCACAAGCUUCAAAUUGAUAUAUUAUAUGUGCAAUUUCAUUAUUUAAAUUGGGAGUAAUUAAGUUUUUAAAUUUUCGGAAUUUUCUUGUUUAAAGAUUCAAGAAAAAUUUUAUUUGUUCAAAUUAUUGUGUUUUACUCAAAUUAAACUCUUAGAUUUUGUUGUUUACAUAUAUUAUAGUUGAUAUGUAGCAUCAAUUUUGGUUUUUUUUGGCUCAAUUUGGUGAAAAUUAAAAAUUCGAAAAUAUGGGUAUGAACCCUAGAAAAUUUGUUUAUAUUUUUUAAAAAUUGAGAGAGAUUGAGAAGUUUUUUGUUUAAUUAAUUGUUGUAGAGAGAUUUCUUAUAUUAUUAAGGUAAAAAUACAUGUAAAAUGAGGCCGAAAUAGGUGUUAAAAUAGAAUUUUUCGAUCUUCGCUAUGGAGGUAUAAAAAUCGAAUUUUGUUAAUUAAUUAUGGAGAUCUUUAAGUUGUUUUUUUAUUUAUUUUUUAUUUUUUUAUUUAUGAUUAAAUGACUUAGAAUUGUUAGAAACAACCUAAAGUUUAAAACCCCUUGAGAUUCCGAUCGAAAAAUAUUAUUGUUUCAAUUGUUUGUAAGUCGGGUAGCAACUAGGUCAUUUAAUUCGAAUUACAGAUUUUUUGACCCACUGCUGGAGGUUGAAGAUAACUUCCAGCACAUGCCACAUGUGCCGUAAGUUCCUCACUCGCGGGUCAAGUGUGUGAAGCGCGUGUAACCUCAUUUGGUGUCCGUUUUGAGUUCCGUUUUUCUUGUGCGCUCGUUUUUUUGUCAUCUAUUUUUCUAGAUAUAUUAUUUUAUUUUUUGGGGGUAAAAAAUAUUUAUUAAAUAAUUUUUAUUUAUUUAUGUGAUUUAAUUAGCUAAAAAUUAUUCUUUGGUAGAAUUUUAUGUUGAGAAUUUACCAGAAAUUAUGCUAAUAUAUAUGGAAUAAGAGUGUAGUACUCACUCUUUCUAGAUUGAAACUUUUUCAAACAUACUCUCCUACUUAGUCUAAAUCACAUAAACUAGUUAAAUAAUUAGUUUAAAGUGUAAUAAAAAAAAUUGUUGUUCAAAUUCUUGCAACUAUAAUUGAUCAUUGAUCAUUGAAAGUACAUUUUGUGAUGUAUUUCAUCUUGUUUGAUCGUAUGCAUAUAUAUCACUAAUAUACACUAUUGUUGUUGGGCAAUAUUGUUUUUUAAUUUACCUAAUUUUGGAACGUUGCAUGUGAAUUGUUGAGGUUAUUUCACCAAAGUGAUUUAACCAUAAAAAUUUGCAAGUUUAUGAGUUCCUAUUUUGAUAGGGAAAAUUUUAGAUUAAUUUGUACAAUCGCCUGCCCAAAGGGGGUUAUUGUGCAAAUUAAUUUAACAACAUGAGGAUAUUGAAUGAAAUAAAUAAUUUGAUAAAUUUGUUUGCCCAAAGGAAAUAAAUUUUAAUGAAUUAUUUAUUGAUCUUCAUGCUUAAAGAAUAGUUGUUUAUUAUGGACUCUGCCCAAAGGGGAGUUUAUGAUAAUACAAUUGAUUCUUGUAUUGUAUUGCUUAUGCUUGUUUAAGCAUUUUACCUAUUGCCCAUAAUUGAUCUAGUUGCAAAUUUUUGUCAAUCAGUUUCCUUUGCUAUGAACAACAAUAAUGCUACAAUUGAAAUUCUAAGUGGGUCGAACUAUAAGAGAUGAAGAUCAGACAUAGAGUUUGUUUUAAGAAUGAUGGACUUGGACAUGGCUCUACGUGAAGAUGAACCUCCUAAGCCUACUAAUGAAAGCACUGAAGCUAUGAGAGCUCAUUAUGCAAAAUGGGAAAGACCAAACUGUUUGAGUCUCAUUUCAAUUAAGAGAUCCAUUGCUAAGCAUCUCCUUGGAGGAAUACCUGAGAGUAACAAUGCUAAGGAAUUUCUCGUUACUAUGGGAAAUAAAUACCAGACAUCUGACAAUGUCGAAGCUGGAUAUUUUAUGGAUGAAUUGAUGAAUAUGAGGUAUAAUGAUAUGAAAGGGGUUCGUGAGUAUAUCCUAAAAAUGGUGCAUCUUCAGACUAGAUUGAAAGCACUAGACAUUCCCAUUCCUGAUAAGUUUAUUAUUCAUCAAGCCCUCAAUACUCUACCAUCUUCUUUCAACCAAAUCAAUACUGCAUACAACACUCUGAAUCAGUUUUGGGGUGUGAAUGACCUGAUCAUUAAGUGUAUGGCUGGGGAAGAAAAGCUAAAAAGAGAAAAGAAUGAAUCUGUUUAUCUCAUUGCUCUUGGAAAACUGAAUAAUCAGAAGAGAGUUGAAAAUGCUAGAAAACCCAACUUCCACAAUCAUAAGAAAAGCAAGAAUUUCAAGAAAAGUGGGAGUGAGAAGCAGAAGAAUGGAAAUGGAAAUGCCAAGAACACAGACCUUAAGUGCUAUCACUACAACAAAAAGGGUCACAAGAGGGUUGAUUGCUUUAAGUUUAAGAAUUGGCUAGAGAAUAAAAAGAAGGAAUAAGGGGAUAAGAAAUCUGAGGAAGCCAACUGAAAAAGAGUCAAAGCUUAAAGUUGGCAGUGACAUUAGGAUUGAUGUUAAACAUAUUGGGAUUGUUGUUUUAGAAUUAAAUUCUGGUUUUCAGCUUGUUUUGGACAAUGUCUUUUAUGUACCUUCGUUUAGAAGGAAUUUAAUUUCCAUUUCAGUACUUGACAAAGCUGGAUAUAGUUUCACUUUUGCAAAUAAAAGAGUUGAGGUGAUUUAUGACUCUAAAGUGAUUGGCAAUUGUGUUUUGUCUAACGGGCUUUAUAGAUUGUCGUUGUGAUCUGCUUGGUCUUACAAUGUUCAAUACAGUGUUGCUAAAAGACAUUUAACUAAGGAAAGAUCUUCAUUGUUAUGGCAUAAGCGUUUGGGGCACAUUUCUAAAGAACGAGUAGAAAACUUAAUUAGUUCUGGGAUUCUUUCUCGCCUUGAUUCUGAUAACUUAGAAAUUUGUGUUGAAUGUGUGAAAGGAAAAUUGACAAAGACUAAGAAAAAGGGUGAAACUCGUAGUCAAUAUUUGUUGGAGAUUGUUCAUACAGACAUUAGUGGGCUUUACUCCACUACCUUGUGUGGCAACAAGUACUUCAUUACAUUCAUUGAUGAUUUAUCCUGAUAUGGCUAUGUAUAUUUGAUCAAAGAAAAGGUAGAUGCUCUUGAAAUGUUCAAAGUCUUCUGAACUAAAGUUGAGAAACAACUAGGGAAAGUCAUCAAGAUUGUAAGAUUUGAUUGAAGUGGUGAGUAUUAUGGGAAACAUGGUGAUGUUGGACAACAAAAGGGACUUUUUGCAAGGUACUUACAAGAUAAUGGUAUUGUUGCUUAGUAUACUAUGCCUGAUAGUCCUGAACAGAAUGGCGUGGUAGAAAGGCGCAACCACACUCUUAUGGAAAUGAAGAGGAGCAUGAUGAGUAAAUCAAAUUUGCCAGAAUACUUAUGAGGUGAAGCCAUUAAAACAACAACCUACAUUCUGAACCGUGUUCCUAGUAAGUUUGUGCCUAAAACACCAUUUGAACUAUGGACAAGCAGAAAACCUAGUUUGAAUCAUUUUAAAGUAUGGGGAUGUUCAACUGAGUGAAAAUCUAUGAUCCUUCUUUAAAGAAGACAGAUUCGAGAACUAUUAGGUGUUACUUUAUUGGGUAUCCUAGCCACUCAAAAUGAUAUAAGUUUUAUUGUUCGACUCAUGUCACUAGAGUUGUUGAGUCUCAAGUGGCAAAGUUUUUAGAGUUGGAUGUUGUUUAUAGUAUACCCUCUCAAUCCAAUGAAAGAGUGGAACCCAUGGAUGUUAUUUCUUUACCUUUACCAGUCUCAGACGUCAACCUUGAUGUUGAAGCUUUUGAUUCUAGGAUUCAGCAAGGAGUUUACUGUCAAUUUCCUCAUUGUUGAAAUAACCCCUAUUGUAGAUGAGAUUCCUCCUAUGGAAAUGAGGAGAUUACAAAGAACUAGAAGGCCUGCAUUUUCUAACGAUUAUUAUGUUUACCUCGAAGAAGGAGAGUAUGACAUUAGAGAAGAAGUGGACCCUACUACUUAUUGUGAAGCUCUCAAUAGUGAUAAGACAAUUGAAUGGCUGAUUGCCAUGAGAGAUGAGAUGCAGUCUAUGUCAAAUAAUAAUGUUUGGGAACUUGUUGAUCUUCCCAAAGGAUAUAAACCCAUUGGAUGCAAAUGGGUAUUCAAGACUAAAAGAGACAACAAAGGAAAUGUUGAAAGAUACAAGGCUUGGUUGGUUGCUAAAGGGUAUACACAGCGAGAGGGCAUUGAUUUCACAGAGACUUUCUCACCAGUCUCUACCAAAGAUUCCUUUAGGCUAAUUAUGGCAUUGGUAGCUCAUUUUGACUUAGAGCUUCAUCAAAUGGAUGUCAAGACAUCUUUUCUCAAUGGUGAUUUGAGUGAGGAGGUCUACAUGUCACAACCUAAAGGAUUUGAGGCAAAUGGGAAAAAGAACAUGGUAUGCAGAUUAAAAAGGUCAAUUUAUGGUCUCAAGCAAGCUUCUCAUCAGUGGUACUUGAAAUUUGACAAAAUUGUGACGUCUUUUGGUUUUAUAGAGAACAAGUUUGAUCAGUGCGUUUACAUGAAAGUCAAUGGGAGCAAGUACAUUUUCAUAGUUCUCUAUAUUGAUGACAUUCUACUUGCUAGUAGCGAUGUGAAUCUCUUGAAUGAUACCAAGCGUAUUUUGUCUACUAAUUUUAACAUGAAGGAUCUCAGAGAAGCAUAUUUUGUGUUGGGUAUUGAGAUUUAUCAUGAUAGAUCUUGAAACCUCCUUGGUCUAUCUCAGAGAGCCUAUAUCAAUCGUGUGCUUAAAAGAUUCAAUAUGCAGACAUGCAAAGUUGGUGAUGUACUUGUUUUGAAGGGAUAUAAACUCAGUAAUGAACAAUGUCCAAAGAAUGAUUUGGAAAAGGAUGCCAUGAAGACUAUUCCUUAUGCUAGUGUUGUUGGUAGCUUGAUGUAUGCACAAGUAUGUACAAGACUUGAUAUCGCCUUCAUUGUUAAUGUUCUUGGUAGAUAUUUGUCGAAUUGUAGACCCUCCAUUUUGUCCUCUUAGCACAUAUCCUAUUAGGUAUUUGUUUGAUACUUUACAACAAUUCCCUAGUGGUCCAUUACUACUCGUGUAGCCUAUCUUUUCUCAGCCACCUUGGAGACUUUAGUUGAUGGAUUUAUCUAACUCCAUUGUAACUCUUGGCAACCCUAAUUUAGACUUAGACCCACUUAUGCACCUUAGGUCCACUUAGGUACACUUGGCCCAUUAGCCACCACUUUAGGCCCACUUAGGCACCUUAAACCCACUUAAGCACCCUAAACCCAUUUAGAUCAUUUUUUGCAUGUUUGCAUGGUUGGUAUGGAUUUCAUAUUUUGUAUGGCUUGCAUGAUUUACAUGGCUCGUUUAUUAUAAAGUUGCAUGACUUGAGUUUUCAUUAUUAUAUUUUUAUUUUAUUUAUUAUAUUGUCUAUUUCCCCAUUUAUUUUAUUAUUCCUAUUAUUUUGUCAUUUUUCCGUAAUACUUGUACUGACUUAUCUAUUUUUUAAUUUAAUAAUUUUGUUUAAAUGUUUUAUUAUUAUUAUUAUUGUUGUUGUUGUUGUUUUUGUUGUUGUUAUUAUUAUUAUUAUUAUUAUUAAUUUUACUCAUAUUUAUCAUUAUAAUUAUUAUUAUUAUUUAUUGAAUCUAUUAACUUUGAAAUUUUGUAAGGAAAUAUGGAAGGUGCAUGGUCACAUUGAGAUUGAGAUUGGGAAAAUGGGAUUUCCUUGGAUAUAGAGAUUGCAUGAGAGGAAGGCUUACAAGAUGACUGCAUCAAAUACAUAUUUGAGAUGGAGCUAGAAGACAUAGAGGGGCCUGCAAAUUAAUGAUGUUGAAAAUGAUGGUGCGGGUGACCGUUUGAUUGAGUACUUUUCCACCGCUUAACAAAAUGAGUGUUAUUGCUUACCUUGUAAGUUAUUUGUCCCGUGGAAAGUUUUUGACAACCUCAUUUGUUGCUAAUAUAUUGGAAAGGCUGGUGGUUUGGUGUUUGGAAUAUUGCAAAAUCCAUUAUGGUGACAUAAAUCCUAAACCUUGUCGAGUUUUUUAUUUUUUAUUUUUUUAUUCUGGAUGUCAGGUCAUCAUGUAUGUGCUUUGCUUCCGAAUGUGGUCAAUGAUGAAUGUUCCUCAUCUCAUAUCAUAGCUUUUCAUUUUGCCUUUGGAGACAAUCUUGAAGCAUCCAUAGUGGAGGAAUUCCUUUGCCAGGCAAAAACAACUCAGUUAUUCACCGUGUUAGAGACCUUUAUUUUUAGUGACCUGUUGGAGUCGAAAUUUUUCCAAGGCUUGUUCCUACCAUGUUGGGAUUGUAUAAGAAAGACCUAGAUAUUGUUUUUCUGGCAAUAGAGGUUUGCAUUAAUAGUGACAGCAAAGAGCAGUCAUAUUUCCCUGUGGGACUGAAGGAAGUUUACCAAAGUGGUUUGGAAUAGAAAAAGGGAAAGUGUAGCAUGUAUGAUUAUAGGAAGGAGGGUUGUGAGAAGUAAGAAAGAGAAAAUUCUGAGCGUAAUGGAGAGGACGCUUAUGGGAAGGUACCCGUUUAGUGAGGAUAGAGAGGAGGAAGAAUCUGAAGAGAAAGAAGAAUUGAUUAUGGGAGAAAAAAAGUGAUUUGGAAGAAAAAAAGGAGGAGAAUUGGUAGCAGACUUGUUUGGGGAGAAUUUUGGAGAGAAUGGCAACUUGAAGUCAAGCAAUCAAAUUAGAGACCGUCCAGAUGCUGAAGUUGAAUGAUCAAGAAUUCCUUGGAGAAUGCAGUUGUGUUCUGUCAGAGAUAUUGACUAAACAAGGCCAGAACUUAACCCUAGAUUUUCAUAACAUAAAUGGGAACAGGGGUUUGAAAAACCUAGGAAAACUCACUGUCCAUGCAGAGGAAACAAUUGCUUCAAGGAAUGCUAUUGAUGUUAUAUUCCAUUGUUCACAUUUGGAAAACAAAAACUUGUUUUCUAAAAGUGACCAUUUUCUAAGAAUAUCUAGGAUUGUUGAACAUGGAGGUUCUGUUUCAAUUUGCAAGACAGAAGUGGUUGAUAACAACUUGAAUCCAAUAUGGAGGCCUCUACGUCUAACAAUGAAUCAAUUUGUUAGCAAGGAUAACCCAUUAGUUAUCGAGUGCUUUCAUUUCAAUACUAGUGGGAAUCAUGUACUGAUCGGUGAACUUCAGAAAUCAGUGGCAGACCUGGAAAAACUUCAUAAAAAAAAAACAAAAAAAAAACUAGUGCCAGUUUCAUCUUACCCUCUUCUGUUCAGCAUAGUCAUGAGAAAGUUCUGAAGGACCAACUAUUUGUUGAUCAAUUUUGUGAGAAGUAGCUAUACAGUUUUAUUGAUUAUGUUUCUAGUGGAUUUGAACUUAAUUUUAUGGUUGCUGUCGAUUUUACUGCUUCAAAUGGAAAUCCUCGAACUCCAGAUUCUUUGCACUACAUUGAUCCUUCUAGCCGGUUCAAUGCUUACCAACAUGCUAUAAUGGACGUCGGAGAGGUCAUACAAUUUUAUGAUUUUGAUAGGUGCUUUCCUGCAUGGGGAUUUAGGGGAAGGAUAAUGGAUGGUACCAUAUCACAUUGUUUUAACAUGAAUGGAAGUGCAAGUGGUGUUGAGGUUGAAAGGGUUCAAGGGAUCAUGGCUACCUAUGCAAGUGCACUGAACCAUGUUGCUCUGACGGGACUGACCUUAUUUGGACAAGUGAUCAACAAUGUAGUUGAAAUUGCUGGCCAGUCCCUCUACUAUAAUAGCUGUAAAUAUUUUGUUUUGCUUAUCAUAACGGAUGGAGUGCUUACAGAUCUCCAAGACACAAAAGAUGCUUUGGUCAGGGCAUCUGAUUUGCCUUUAUCGAUUCUGAUAGUUGGAAUGGGAGGAGCACAUUUUUAAUAAAUGGAGAUCCUUGAUGCUGAUAACGAUUGUCGGUUAUAGAGUUCCGCAGGAAGUGUAGCAACUUGAGAUAUUGUACAGUUUGUUCCCAUGAGGGAAGUGCGUAGUGGGCAAACUUCUGUAGUCGAAGCUCUAUUAGAAAAACUACCUAGGCGCGCAAUUCCUGACUUACAUGAGAAACAAAGAUAUUAAACCCAAUGUAGUCAACAUAGCUCAAACCUCCGCUUCCCAUGCCACCAUCUAGUAAGGGUUGUCUCCCAUUCAUCACACCAAGGUUCCGAGGCAUUGUAAAUACCGAAACUAGGCUAAAAAUACACACAUACGAGAAGGCCAUCACUCAUAUAUAGAGGAUUAUUACAAGCCAUUCGGUGGAAGAACAACCACCUUUCUCCAUGUUACGUAGCCACGGACAACCCACCCAAAAGACCACUCACACAACCAUAUGAAAAGAACCAUAUGGAAUACCACCAACCUAAUGGAGAAGACAUGCUACUAAUGAGGGGACAACAUGCUGCCAUAAGCCCAGUCCACUCCACGCUUUCAAGAUGGCCGUCACAUACAGCCACGCACUAAGAGAUGAUUUUCUGAAACACGCACAACAGGCACGCAUUCGGGAUGGUAUCAACGACACGAGAUAGGUGAGUUCCAUAUUUUUUUUUUUUAAAUCGGAUUUAGUUUAGUUUUAAUUUAAUUUAAUUUUAUUUAUUUUUUUAAAUUUGGACGUGUUUAUGAUUUUAAUUCAUUUGUUUGAUUAAUUAUGUUAGAUAAAUUUCAUGUUUUUUCUUUUAAACUUCCAAUUUAGUUUAAUUUUAGUUUAUUUUUUAAUUCAGAUAUAUUUGAAAUUUUGAUUCUUAAGAUUAAUUAAUCCUACUAGAUAUCAUGUUUUUUUUUUUAAUUCCGGUUUAGUUUGGUUACAAUUUAUUCUCUUAAUAUAAUGGUCUUUGUGAUGUUAAUUCAUUAUUUUAAAUAAUCCUAUUAGAUAAAGUUUACAUUUUUUAGUUCUCAAUUAAUUUAAUUUUAACCUAUCUUUUAGUUUAAGUGUGUUAGUGAUUUUAAUUCAUUAGUUUAAAUAAACCUAUUAGAUAAAUUAAGUUCAUGUCUUUAAUUCCAAAUAGUUUAAUCUUAAUUUAUUCUUUAGUUUAGACGUGUUGGUGAUUUUGAUCCAAUAGUUCAAUUAAUCAUGUUAGAUAAAGUUUAUGUUUCUAAUUCCAAUUUAGUUCAAUUUUAAGUUAUCUUUUCAGUCUAGAUGUGUUUGUGUGAUCUUAUGUUAGUUAUUGAUUUGUUAUUCUCAAUACAGGUGUUUCAAUUCUUAAUGGUUAUCUCGUUAGCUUAUUUGAUCUAAGUUUUACUAGUUUAUUGCUUUGGUAGUCCUUUUUCAAAUUCACUUUUUGGAGGUCAUCGGAAAAUAGUUAAAAUUGGCCUCCAUUCUCACCACUUCAAUUUUUUCGAUUGUCAAAAAUUCUACUUAGUGAUUUCGUUUUUUGUUGUUUUGUUUGGUAUUUUGUCUCAUACAUUUUGUUGUUGUUGUUUUUGUUUUGUUUUUUUUUUUUUUUUUACAAAUUAAUUUAUUUUAUUUUAAAAUAAAAUACUUUUCUCAAAACGUUUCUCAUAAAAAUCUAUUUUAAAAAUUCAUUUAUAGUCCUUAGAAUCCAAAUAUCAUGUUCUUAAAAUAACAUGCAACCAUUUUUUUGAUUGGAUGACAUCUUUCUCAGUUUUCAAAUGAAAAUUUUGGUUUUGAAUAAAAAACGAAUCAAAGCUUGUGGUCCCUAAUAAAUGGGAUGAUUCUAGGCUAGAUUUGUAUAUACCAAUUGGGGAAUUGGAGAAACCCCUACAUAAGAAUUUUUUUCAAAACUCUUCAUUGCUACCAGUUUUUACUCAGCCACUGACCCUUUAGAUUUAAAAUUUGUUUUAGCAACUUAGAAAUGUUUUUUAAAAAUUUUCCAAAACUUGUAUGACUUUCCCCACUUCUUGAUCUUGAAUUUAAAGUUUCGUUUGAUUAGAAAACCAUUCUGGAAUAGAAGAUAUAAAUGAGUCUUUAGGGGGGCUCCGUUUUCACCCAGUUCUGGACACCCGAGAUUUUUUUGAAAAAAAUAAAAUACCAUAAGACUUUUUUAAUUUGAUUAAAUAUUUUUUUUCCUCAAUUAUAAGCUUCUUAAAAUUGAUAUUAGACACAUAAAAUAUUGAAAAAUAUGCCUUUUUGAGGGAGAUAUGAUUUUUCAAAGUCAUACCUACUAUGCAUGAUGAAAUAUGGACAUUUGAUUAGUUGGAGUGUUUUAAAAAUAUUUUUGAGUACUCUCUGACCCUACAUUUAUUUUUCCUGUGAUAUAGACACUUUGAAAUGUGUGUGAUUUUUUGUAUGAUUUUAUGUGAUCACUUAUUAUUUUAAAAAAAAUUCAUUUAUGCAUGUCACUAUUUUUUUUACCUAAUCUGGACCUUUUGGAAUUUUCGGGUGUCUUUGCUGCAAUUUGUCAUUUGAAUGAGUGUUUGGCUUUGGGUAUCUUGUUUUAGAUGUGUAUUUGUUUCUUGAAAUUUUUUUGUGAUUAAAUUCCACUCCAAGACGUUUUUUAGAAAUUGUUUUCUGAUGCUUUCUUUACUAAUUACAUGCUGAUGAUCUUGUAUUUUGCCUAAAUUUGUUAUUUAUUUUUAGGGUCAUUUGACUUAUCUUGGCUUAGUUUUGGUUUUAGUACUGUAUAUUAGACACUAUGAAAAUGUUACAUAAUUUAUACUUGUCCUAACCACUCUAGCAUUUUUGGAGGAAUCAUAUAGAAUAUAUAUGCUAUUCAGGUACGCUCUCUAUCACUCACUUUUUGGAAUUCUAUGAACAUGUAUACUAUUGAAGACUAUAUUUAUGUUUGAUAUGAUCCUUAGGUGCUUAGGUGUAUGCUUGAUUCUCUAUGAUUAAAUACACGCCGUGUGUUAUAUUUCUAUACUAACUCUGAUGUUUUAUGAUAGUGCUUGAGAAGCGGUUCGGGUACGCAUUCUAACUCUCUUUUAUUGUGAUUUGAUCUUGUUUGGCAUGCUAUUUUUAAAAAUCACCUUAGUCUACCUAGGUACCUUCAAUUAAUCAAUUAAUUGUCAUAUUUCCCUCAACUUAGUCAGUAAAGACCUUUGUAGGGCUUGGAAGGAUGCUACCUUUUAGAGGUACCUUCCCAAUAGGUAACUUGAUCCCCGAACCUAGACUCGGGUUUUUCAAAGACACGCUUCUCCAAAAAACCAUGGAGUUAUUUUUUAAGGUUUUAUUUCUUGUUUUAUUUUCCUUUUAAAAUAAAAUAAAAUAAGUGGCAACUUCGUCUUUUCCAAAACUAAAAUUUUUCAUCAAAUAAAAAGCGAGUCUUACUGAUCAAGUGAGAGCGCACGUGAGAAAUGCGGGUCCACACGAAUCCUGGACAUGAUCAUUGGGUUGCUGCAAAGAAAGUCAUGAGAUAUCUACAAAGAACGAAGGAUUUUAUACUUGUGUAUAGGAGGGUGGAUAAUCUCGAGGUAGUUGGAUACUCAGAUUCUGAUUUUGGCGAUUGUUCUGACGAUCCCAAAUCUACUUCAGGAUACAUUUUUAUGUUAGCUGGUGAAGCCAUUUCAUGGAAAAGUGUCAAACAGAGCCGAGUUGCAUCCUUGACCAUGUAUCCUGAGUUUGUAGCUUGUUAUGGUGCAUCAUCUCAAGCUGUUUGGCUAAGAAAUCUGAUUUCAGAGUUGCAAGUUGUUGAUUCCAUAUUUCGACCCAUUGUGAUUUAUUGUGACAAUAAUGCAACUGUGUUAUACUCCAAUAACAAUAAGAUCAGUACGGGUUCUAAGCAUAUGAAAAUCAAGUACCUUACAGUCAAGGACUUAGUGAAAAAAGGAAAUAUUAUGAUUGAGCACAUAAGAAUUGGGUCCAUGCUAGCUGAUCCUCUAACCAAAGGUUUAAAGCCCAUAACGUUCAAGGAACAUGUUGUAAAUAUGAGUGUCAUUAAGUCUUUUGAAUCUUUGGUUUAGUGGGAGCUUUUGUGAUUUCCCUUAUUUCAAUUAUUGUUUUGUGUAAACAUUGAUCAUUAUUGUUAUGCGACUUGCAAAAUUAAAAUCUUUUUAUUAUGAUAAUCAUUACUAAGUAUUAUAUUAUAGCAUGUCGUAAUUGAAUUACAUACAACAUGGUAUCUUAAGAUAUUGAACCUUAAGAAUUAUAGUUGUAUACUAUUGAAUGUCACAAAUAACACUAUUUUGAGAUCUUAUGGUGCAUUGUUGGUGACAUAUGACUUGUUAAAGUCAAACAAUUUCAUAUUGUUUAGAAAUUGCAACAAUUUCAUUUUUUUUUAGAAAUUGCAAUUACAAUUUCAUUUUGCUGGUAAAUUGUAAUGAGGACUGAUAAGAAACAAUGCAUAUAGAUGAUGAUCACAUGUUGGCAUUGAUUUCUUACUACACUACUGGGUUUACGAUCCAUGUCGAUAUGGUUAUAAAUAUUCGUGACUAUGGGCAUUAUGUUUGUUGAGAUUAACAUAUAGACCAUCAUAGUCCAAUAUUAAGACCAUGUUGGACCGGAUAAGUUUAUCAAGAUGCUACUUAUAGACUAUCAUUUCUUUAAAAAAAGUGUGGCCACACAAAAUAAACUUUUCUGUACUUAACCCGAGAGUCUUAUUUUCAAAAUGAAUUUAAUGAAUCCUCAAAAAAUAAUUAAUGUAGCCUAAGUGGGAGAAUGUUGAAAUUUUUUAUAUGGGCUAACAUUAAUUGAAUAAUUUGUAUUUGGAAAAAAACGGGUUAAUGGAUAGUCUAUUAUAUAAUGAGCCCAAUUAACUAGUGAUCAUAUUUGGAUUGAGUUUUACAUCUUUUGAGUAGAAGCUUAGUUGAGUGGCAAGUGUGGGCUAUGGGUCUCAUUGAAGCCCAUUAUGGGAGGGCCCAAUGAGAACCCAAUAUUGAGUUAUGUUAAGUCCCAUCUCUAAUCUAGAUAAAGGGUCUUUUUGUUUUCCCAUAGAGCCACCAUAGCUGUUAUCAAGAUCAUAGAGAAGAAGACUUGAUUGUAACAAUUAAUCACUUGUUUUUUUGUGAUGGCUCAAACAAGUAUGUUCUUUAUAGUGAUUUUCUAUUGUUAGUAUCCUUUAAUCAUGCAUGAUUAAUUUAUGUGAUUAUAUAAAUAUUCUACAUAGUACACAUACGAGGAUCAAUUCAUUGAAAAUAUCCAUAAUCACCAUUACCCCCAUUUGAAAAAAAGACCAGAUCGAAAGAAAAAAAUUAGAGAGAGGUGUUGCUAAUCUUGUUGUUUUCCUAUAAUAUAUAAAACCUCCUUUCUAGAUUUGCAUUUGUCUAAGAGGUGUUUUGUUGACAAAUCUUUCCACAAUGAUAAUGGAUAGCUUAUAAUUUUGUUUAACAUAAGAAAUGAAAAAGUGUAGAAGAUAUGACAAAGUUGAGAAAUGUACACUAGUAUUGAUUUUGGGGGGCAAUUAUACUACUUUCUAGCCAAAUUAGUUAAGGGCAAUGUAAGGAAAUUAAAAAAAUUAAGGGGAUAUGUCAUAUCAACAAUAAGAAGAUCUAUCAUUAGUUGAAUAGAUGACAUGUGGACAAAGAAGCUAUAGGUGAGGCAUAUAUAUAGUUUAAGGGGUUAAAAGGUGCAAAAAUUAGUUUUAGGGUCCAAGUAGGAAGAGGAGUAAGUAUAUAUAUCUAUAUCACAUAUAAAAGUACGAAAUGUUUAAACAUUUUUUUUUUCCUUUUGAAAAUAACCUUAUCAUUUUUAUUAUGUACACUUAUAUCCUAUCAUUAUGAUAUGUAAUUAAUUUGUAAUAUCCUAUCAUUAUGAUAUGUAAUUAAUUUGGAUAAUGUUUGUAGACAACUUAUAAAUUAGUUUAGAUAAUGUUUCUCUUUUAUAAAAAUUAUUAUUAUUAUUAUUAUUUAAAAAAAAGUUUCUUUGAGAUAAUGAUUAUUUUGACCAACUUAAUUAUAUAUGUUUAAAAGUUGAUCUAGAUAAUGAUUAUCUUUUAAAAUCUUAUCAUAAAUUUAUUUUUUAUUCUUAAUUUAUUCAAUAAAAUAGAUAUUUAAAUUAAAAUGAAAUAAAUGCAAAAAUUGGUUUGAAUUAAUUUGUCUUUUUGAACCCAAAUUUAAAACGGAAAUUGUUUUUUAAUAUGUAUUGAAUUCAUAUAAUAAUAAUAAUAAUAAUAAUAAUAAUAAUAUAUUAUUGUUUUAAUGGAUAUUUGAAGAUGAUAUAAGUUUUUCAUAGAAAAAUUUAAUAAAAUUUUCAUGUAUCAUGUAUUUAUUAUAUAUAUAUAUUCAUUCAAAGUAUUCGGAUAAUGUUUUUUUCAAAGACAAGCUACUCUCUAAAAAAAUUAUCGUAAUUUAAUUACAAUAAUUUUAAUCUCUUGAUAAAACAACUUGGAUUGAAUAAUAAUCUUCUUCUUUUUUUUUUUUAAAUAAUAAUUUAUGUUUUUAAAAUAAAAAAUAUAAUAUGAUAAAAAAAAAGGAUUAAUAGAGAAAAUGACUUUUGAAUUCCAAAUUAAAUAUUUUUUAGUUAUAAUUUAAUUUAUGUAUAUAAUAUUUUAUGCCCCACUAUUAAACUUUAUUGAUCAUAUUAAAAUUUUAUACACACACACACACACACACACACACAUAUAUAUAUAUAUAUAUAUAUAUAUAUAUAUAUGAUUUUUUUUAUCCAUAUUAAACAAUUUUUAUAUUUAUUUUUGUUUUAAAAUCCUCUUUUUUAAAAAUAUAAUAAUUUAUGUUUUUAAAAUAAAAAUAUAAUAACAUAAAAAAAGAUUAAUAGAAAAAAUGACUUUUCAAUUCCAAAUUAAAUCUAUAUUAGUUAUAAUUUAAUUUAUUUAUAUAAUAUUUUAUGCUUGACUAUUAAACUUUAUUGAUCAUAUUAAAAUUUUAUACAUAUAUAUAUAUAUAUAUAUGAUUUUUUUAUCCAUAUUAAACAAUUUUUAUAUUUAUUUUUGUUUUAAAAUCCUCUUUUUAAAAAAUAUAAUAAUUUAUGUUUUUAAAAUAAAAAAUAUAAUAACAUAAAAAAAGAUUAAUAGAAAAAAUGACUUUUAAAUUCCAAAUUAAAUCUAUAUUAGUUAUAAUUUAAUUUAUUUAUAUAAUAUUUUAUGCCUGACUAUUAAACUUUAUUGAUCAUAUUAAAAUUUUAUACAUAUAUAUAUGAUUUUUUUUUAUCCAUAUUAAACAUUUUUUAUAUUUAUCUUUUGUUUUAAAUAUAAUUAAUUAUUAAAUAAAUUUAAAUUUAAGCGGAUGCAUGAACUGCUACAUAUUCGAUCAUAGUGGGCUCAUUCAUGCACCCAAUCGCCUUUAAAUUGGCUUCUUUGAAGUUAGUCGUUGUUAUCUAUUUCUCAUAUUUUCUUCAGGUAGGGCAAUAGAGUUGAACGUGAUCUAUUACAGAAAUUUCACUAGGUCAUCUCUCUGCAUUUUAGGAAAUGAAGAAUCCUUGCGCUUGUCGCAAUCUUCAGUGUCUUCCAAUUGAAAUAUUGGUUGAGAUCGUGAUUCGCAUUGCAAAAAAUCGUCAACAAACUUUUUUAAUGCCAAAAAAAGGUAUACAUCAAGCCUUUAAAUUAUUUCUAUUUGUACAUAGAUAUAUAACUAUAUUAGAAAUAAAGAUUAAUCAUCAUAUCUAAAUUUGUAGUUGUAGAGAAUUACAUGAGGCAUCAAAGGAGAAAGAAAUCAUGCGAUGAAUCUCGUUAGAAAAAUUCCCUGCCAGCCAAUGGUUUGAAGCUAGAAGUCAGGUUGCUCAAUUCUUAAAAAGUUGUAGAGAUGUUGGAAAUCUAGAGGCAUUAUACAAGCAAAGAAUAGUAAGCUUUUAUUUUAGAAGAUUUGGUUAUCAUGUUUGAAUAAAUAUUUAUGUCUUAUUUGUUAUGAACAUCUUUGAAAAUGAAUUUUUUUUUAAUAGUUAGAGUUUUUUUAGCUAUGAGAAAGUAGAAUCGGGUGUUGCUCUUUUCAAGAAAGCAAUUACAAUGAACCAUAUGGGAGCAAUGUAUGUGUAUAGAAUCGUUUUGCUAUGCAAAGAGAGCAAUUCGAAUGAAAACGAAGGGUUAUAUCUUUUAGAUGUGGUUAGGAAAUUGACCUAGUUGGAGGAAUGCAGAGCAAGAGCGAAGUCUUUCAUAUUGACAAUGUGGGUUACAAAUCACAGUCUUAAAUAUGAAGAACUUAAUAUCUAUUGUAUAAAAAUAUGUUGUCAAAAAAUAGGAGUUGUCGUUGACAAAGAUUGGAACAACACUUAUUUUGGAGAAGCUGAAGGUGAAAAACAUUACCAAACUUGUAUGGCCGCCAAUGAAGUCUCCACAUUUUGUAAAAUAUUUAAAUAAAUUAUAAUAUUGUUUAAUUAUGGUUGGUUUGGUUUUGAUACACAACACUUUCCCAUCAUUUCCAAUUUUUUUUUUUUUGUUCGUUCUAUUCAGAAUAUUGUAUAUUAAUAAUCAUUUCUAUUAUGUACGCUUAUAUCAUAUCAUUAUUAUGUAUAAGUAAUUUGAAUAAUGUUUCUAGAGAACUUAUAAUUAGUUUAGAUAAUGUUUCUCUUUUAUAGAAAUUAUCAUUAUUUUUUUUAUAAAAAAAAUUACUUGGUUGAGAUUAUAAUCCUCUUUCAAAAAAAUAUGAUAAUUUAAGUUUGAAAUAUAUAUAUAUAAUAAGAUAAAAAAAAGGUAAAUACAAAAAAUGACUUUUGAAAUCAAAAUUAAAUCUUUCUUAGUCAUAAUAAUUAAUUUAAUUUACUUAUAUAAUAUUUUAUGUUUGACUAUUAAACUUGAUUCAUUAUAUUAAAAUUUUACAUACAUAUAUAUGAUACUCAAAAUUUAAUAAAUCAUUGCACCUAGAAGAAUUUAAACCAAGUUAUGUUCUUAAAACCAAAAUCAAAUACCUAGGGCAAAUAUAGAAUGAGAAAACUAGAGCUACAACCUAGCAACUUAUCUUAAUUUUCAAGAAUGAUAGAAAAUAAUAUAUUUAUAAGAUUUGUAGGCUAAUCAGUUGGAAAGUAGUCCUCCUCGGUUAACUUCAUCAUGAGAUAAUGUAUUAGUUGGGAACCAACGCCUCAUUGGUUAGCUCCAUCAUUAGAUAAUGUAUUAGUGCAUGCCUCCUCUAUUAACUCUAUCAUUAGAUAAUGUUGCAUUUAAUUUUGUUACAAAUCAUAUUUUUUUACAAUGAAUUUAUAAUAAAUUCACAUUCAUGUUUCGCUCCAUAGUUUUCCAAUGGAUAUUGAAGGGUUAAAAAACAACCAUAGUAAUUCAUAUCUAUUUGAUAUAAAUAAGAUUAAUACAUUAAUAAUCAAUUCAUUAAUUUUAUAUUUAAAAUAUAAAUUUUAUAUUUUCAAAUAUUUUUAUAUUUAUAUUUCAAAAUUAUAUCAUUUUUUCAUACAAUUUUAUAAUAUAUUUUAUAUUUUAUAAAAUAUAAUUUAAAAAUUUAUAUUUUAUAAUAACUAUCUUGUAUUAAUAAAUUAAUAAUAAAUACAUAUGCAUUUAUAAUACCUAUUUUUAAUAAAAAAAUUUGGACAAUUAUUUUUAAAGCAACUCAUUGAAAGAAAAUAAAAAUAAUUUAAAAUAACUAAAUUAUGUUUUAAUAUUAUUAGAAAAUACUAUAUUUUUACGAUAGAUUUUAGAAAAUAAUUUCUAUUAAAAAAAUUUACAAACAUUUUUUCGGUUUGGAAAGUAGUAUAUAUAUAUAUAUAUAUUCAAUAAUUUCAAAAAAGGUUAAACAUAAAUGUCUUAAUGUAAAAUUACAUUCAUCUCUACCUCAUAUCAAUAUAAAAAGUUGAUAAUUUUUUUUCCCAACAGAAUGUUCCCAUUUACAUUAGUUUUGAUUCAUAAAAAUAACAUGAAAAGAAAAAAAAAAAACUCAAACUUUAAUAAAUCACAGUACGUAGAAGAAUUUAAACCAAGUUAUGUCCUUCAUCUGUGUGAAUUUAUUAAUUCAUUUUUUAAUUAUUUUAAGAAGUGAAAAUAAUGGAUAUAAAUAAUAGAAAAACAAAAGGUAAAUGGCAAGAAAGGCAAACAAAGGCUUGAGAGAGAAAUAAAACUAAUUAUUUGAUUCCCCAUCUUCACUGAUUGUACAAUAGCAACAUAUAUAGGAAGGCUUGGAACAAUCGAGAAGAGUUCAGCUCAUCCAGAAAAUGAAAAAUAACAAAAUAAAAAAAUUCCACUAACUUGUAACAACCUAACAAACUCUGCAUAUUUCUUUGUUCAACAAGGAAGGCAAGUUUUCACAGUAAUCAAUUUUAAUACUCCCCCUCAAGAUGGAAUGUAUAUGUUAUACAUUCCCAUCUUGUCUAUGAGAGAAUUGAAUUGAUCAGGAAAGAGAGGUUUGGUAAGUAUAUAAGCCAAUUGAUGUUGUGAAGCAACAUGCAGAGUUUUGAGCAUACCUGUUUGAAUCUUCUCUCUUACAAUAUGACAAUCUAUCUCUAUGUGUUUAGUACGCUCAUGGAAGACCGGGUUUGCAGCAAUGUGUAGAGCAGCUUGGUUGUCACAGUACAACAAAGCAGGUUGUGUGUGUGGAACUCCUAAGUCUUUGAGUAAGGCAAUCAACCAUGUUAGCUCACAAGUCACAUGAGCCAUUGCUCGAUACUCUGCUUCAGCUGAGGAUCUUGAAACUGUCCUUUGCUUUUUUUAUUUCCAUGAUAUUAAAGAAUCUCCAAGAAAUAUACAAAAUCCAGUGACUGAUUUUCUAGAAUCUGGGCAUGCUGCCCAAUCAGAAUCUGAGAAGGCCUUUAAUUGAAGAGAUGAGGAAGCUGAGAAGAAAAUACCUUUGCCUGGUGAUCCUUUGAUAUAUUGAAGAAUCCUGUAGACUGCUUGCAAAUGUGGUCUCCUCGAUUGACUUAGGAAUUGGCUCAACUUGUUCACCGAGUAAGUUAGGUCUAGCCUGGUGAUAGUAAGGUAUAUAAGCUUCCCUAUGAGCCUUCUGUACAUGUUGGGAUCUGUUAGCAGCUCUCCAUCAUCUUGAGAAAGUUGCAUAUUCGGUUGCAUUGGAGUUUGGGCAGGUUUGCAUCCUAAGUAGCCUGUUUCAGAUAAGAGUUCCAGAGCAUAUUUUCUCUGGUUUAUUAGGAUCCCUUUAGCUGAUCUAGCUACUUCAAGUCUAAGAAAAUACUUGAGAUUUCCUAGAUCCUUUAAUUUGAAGCUUUUGUUGAGAGAAUUCUUCAAAUUAUUAGCAGCAAUCUUGUUGUUACUAGCAACUAUUAUGUCAUCAACAUACACUAACAAAGCAAUAAAAUCAUUUCCUGUUGUCUUGAUAAAUAGAGAAUAAUCUGAAUGAGAUUGCUGAAAGCCUUCGGAGAUUAAAACACCAGAGAAUUUUGCAAACCACUGCCUAGAUGCUUGUCUCAAGCCAUAGAUGGAUUUGUGUAACUUACAAACUGUGUUGGAAGGUAAUAAAGGCUCCCCCUCACGGUGAUAACCAGGAGGAAGAUGCAUGAAAACUUCUUCAGACAGAUCACCGUGCAAAAAUGCAUUAUUGACAUCAAGGUGAGUCAAAUGCCAAUUGUAAAUAGAAGCAAGAGAGAGUAAUACCUUGAUAGUGACCAUCUUGGCAACAGGUGAAAAAGUAUCAAAAAAAUCAACACCUUCUUGCUGUGUGAACCCUUUGGCAACAAGUCGUGCUUUGUACCUUUCAAUGGAACCAUCAUCAUGAUAUUUAACAGGAUAAAUCCAUUUGCAACCAACUGCUGUUUUUCCAGGGGGUAGAGUGCACAAAGACCAGGUAUUAUUGGACUCUAAAGCUUGCAGUUCAGCUCGCAUAGCAUGCUGCCACUCGGGUACAACGAGUGCCUCAGCAUAUGCUGUUGGUUCUGUGAUGGUGGAAAUGAAAAUAGAAAAUGCACGAAAAGAAGGGGAAAGUUUAUUGUAGGAGAUGACAUCGGAUAAGGGGUAAGGAGUGGAGUUGGAUAUAUCGAAAUGAGGAGUAGAAGAAGCUAAAUGACAGUGAUAAUCAGAGAGAUAUUUGGGUGGUUGGGAUACUCUAGAAGAUCUGGUGGUUGUGUGGGAGGUGGUAUGAGGUGAAAUGUCAUUGGAGGAAGAAUCAGGGCUGUUAGGAUGUGAAGUCAAAUUAUCAAAAGAAGGGGAAGGGGUAGAAACUGGUACAACAGGCAGUACCUUUUCAUAAAAGAAAUCUGAUGCAACAGAGUUAUUAUUCUGAGAUAACUUGAAAGGAAACACAGAUUCUUGGAAGAUAACAUUCCGGGAGACAGAUAUUCGGUUGGUCUCUAAGUCUAGAAUUUUGUAACCUUUGUAACCAAAAGGAUAUCUUAAAAAGACACAAGGUAAGGCUCGAUGAGAGAAUUUGUGACGGGUGCUAGGAAAAGUUGAACUAUAACAAAGACAUCCGAAAGAUUUGAGAUGGGAGUAAGAUGGUGAUUUAUGAUGAAGUAGCUCAAAAGGAGUUUUGUUGUUCAGUAAUGGCGAUGGAAUUCAAUUUAUAAGGUAAACCGAAGUAAGCACACAAUCCCCCCAAUAUCCUAUAGGUAUGUUGGAUUGGAAAUAUAAGGCCCGAGCUACGUUUAGGAUGUGUUGGUGUUUACGCUCAACAACCGAGUUUUGUUGAGGAGUUUCAACACAAGAGAAAAAAUGGAGCACACCAAGUUGGGUAAAGAGAUUGGAUAGGUUUAAUUCAGGGGCAUUGUCACUACGAAUUGCUUUAAUUGUGAGACCAAACUGGGUUUUAACCAUGGAGAAAAAUUGUGGAAAAAUGGUCUUGACAUCAGAUUUAGCACGUAGAAGAUGAACCCAUGUAUUCCUUGUACAAUCAUCAACGAUUGUCAAAAAAUAACGAAAUCCAUCAUGUGUGGGAAUAUGAAAUGGACCCCACAUAUCACAGUGUAUGAGAUCAAAGGGAGAAGGAGAUAAAUUAUUAUGGCAAUCAAAUGGCAAACAUUUCUGUUUUGCCAGAGGGCAGAUUGAACAAGAAAGAUUGGUAUUGCCAUUACUUUGCAACUGUAAAUGAGGUUUCAAUACACUGAGUUUGACAUUGGAUGGGUGGCCUAAUCUGAAAUGUCUCAAUUUGUUUACAUGAUGAUUACUACCAAAAAGUGCUAUUUUGUAGACCUAAUUAUAAUGGUUUUAAGCACCUUUGAGUAGUAAUCAUAUUCAUUUAACCCAAUUAAUUCAUUAAGGUCCUUAGUAAUUGGUUUUAACCAUUUUGUGGCAAGUUUACAUGUUUUUAUCAGCUUAUGAAUCAAUUCAAGCAUGCCAAAUGAUGGAGGAGCGACUUGGACAAGUUAUGGCAAAGCUUUUGGAAGCUCAAAUUCAUGAAGAACCAAGCUUUGGAGCUCCAUAGCCCUUUGCCAAAGUCGUUCAAAGUAUGCAAGGAAAUAACAAUGGAAAAGAGGAAAAGCAAGCAAAGUGAAGAGAAGUAAAGAGGACAGCAGCUGCAGUCUUCUUUCGCACUUUUGGAGCACUUUCCGAAGUCUAGUUUUUACAUGCUAUAUACCAUUUCAAAUCUUUGGAAGUCAAGAAUCCAACGCUUCAAACCGUGUACGAUUUGGAGCUGAAAUGAGGAAGCUAUGGCCUUCAGAAGCCAACUGCUCCAGGUUGUGCGAAAAUUUCGCACGACACAAGGUGUUAUGCGAAAUUCGCAUAACACCUUCAAAAUUCGCAUAACCCAUGUGUGGUGCGAAUUUUCCUCUGUUUUUGCCGACUCCACUUUAGAUAUUUUCCUUUGUAUUUUUUGAUGUAAUUUCCUUUCUUAUCCUUGUAACUAACCAAUCACAAGCUUUUGCUUUUGUAAAGACUAUAUAAGGGGUGGAAAUCACCUCUUGGAAUACAUAUAGAACAUAGGUUACGUUUUACACUUAGAAUAUAUACAGAGCUCUCUCGUCUCUCUUUUCUCUUUACUAUUUUAUUUUCUUGGAAUCCAAACAGCCUUUGAGGGCUUUUCCUCAGAGGAUGAUUGGCUAAAACUUUUAGUUUCUCAAAGUAUGGAUGUUAUGUGAUGACUUGGAUGCAAUCCCAUGGAAAUUUCUCGCACCCGGAAGGUAAGGUAGUUGUUUUUCAUUAAAGGUUCAUUAAUGCAAAUUUUUGUUUUUAUUUCCUUUGGACAACUUCCAACGGCCAAUACUUGAUAAGCUUUUGGAUUUCUAUCCAUUAGUUAUCUCCUACGAGCUAUUGGAAGGUGAGGUUUUCAAUUCCAAGUUUUGCAUUAAUCCGUUAGAACCAAUUUCAAUGGCCAUUGAAAGGUGAGUUUAUCAUCUGGAAUGACUUUGAGUUGCCAAUAUUUGGUAAGCUUUUGGCUUUAGACCAUUAGUUAUCUCUUAUGAGCCAUUCAAAGGAAGUCUAAGGUGAAUAACCAUUGAUGAAAUUCACUACCAUCUGUUUUGCCAUUUUAAAGGAUUAAAACUUGAUUUGCUAAAUCCAUACCGGUUUGGGAAGCAAGCAUCACCAUAGUUGCAACCCCAACGCGAGGAGCCUAUCCUGAGAUUUCCAAUUUGCAUAAGAGCCAGAGCAUAGCUAUCCUAUCUUUGAGAAACUUGUUUUUACACCCUUUCAUUUUAGUCUUUAAUGUUAGCUUAGAUUAGUUUAAAUCUUUCUAAAACAUUUACAUCUUCUUUUAAAGCUAACAUCCAUAAGAAAAUCACCUAUUUUCCUAAUUUGAAUAUCACUAGUGUUUGCGAAAACCCUUCCAGUGAACGAUCCUAGAACCACUAUGCUAUAGUAGCUUGACUACUUUAGUAAUAGUAUUUAAGGUAUAAAUUUUGUUGAUACGCCUUUAAAGCUAAGCUACCAUGAGUCGAAUCACAUGAGCAGAAGUGUUGUUAUCAACAACGAAUACAGAGGAAAUAGAACUAAAAACAGAGCUAUCUAAGAGGUAAAGGUUGCCUUAACGUCUACCCAUCCCAAUCAGCUUCCCCUGUGAAUGGUCCUGAAUGAAGCAAAAACGAGCAGUAAAAUCAAAGGAAAAACAAUUGGUUUGAGUUAAGGCACUAAUGGAGAUAAGAUUAAAUUGAAAUGUUGGAAUGUAGAGAACAUGUUCAAGCAUGAGAUGAGGUGACAGAUGAAUGGUGCCUAUUCCAGUGAUUGGUAUUUUUGUACCAGUGGGUAAAGUGACAGUGUUGGAAGAAAAUGAAUGAAUAGAGUGAAACAUGGAGGAAUUAGUGCAAACAUGGUGGGUUGCCCCUGAAUCUAAAAUCCAAAUGCUAGGGUUGAGAGUGGAUGAUGAAGGAGAAAGAGAAAGGAUACCAGUGAAGUUGGAAAUGGAUUGCUGAAGCGGGUUGCUAUCACCGAAUGAGGCAGAGGAGCCACUCGAGCUAUGCAAACUCAAGAGAGCCAAUAACUGAUUGUGCUGGUCAUGAGUGAGAGGCGGUGGAGAUGCAGAGGCGGUGGAGCCAUCUGUGAGAGUCAAUUGAUUCGUGUGAAGACUAUUGGGUAGCAUCUGAUUUGGGCGAGAACCAUUGGGCCUAAAGUUGGGCCUAUUUCUGAAUCCAGGUGGAUACCCAUGUAUUUUGUAGCACCGAUCAACUGUGUGACCCAAGAUGUUGCAAUGGGUACAGAGUGGGCGAUCCUUUCUUGAUCGAGAGGAAUUAGUAGGAGAAGAAGCUCUGGAUGCCGCUUGAAAUCUGGAGGAAACAGGAGAAGUGAAUGCCGGAGAGUUGGAGGUGGUAAGAGAUUGUUGCCGUUUUUCUUGAACAACCAAGAAGAAAACUUUAUUCAGCGGAGGAGUCGGUUCCAUCAACAGGAUUUGAGCUCGAAUCGGAGCGAAGGAUUCGUUCAAACCCAGCAUAAAUUGCAUCACAGAUUCUUGUUGUUGAUCCUCCAUAUAAACACGCAUGCCACCGCAAUUGCAAACUGGUAUCGCCUUGAAUUCUCAAAGCUCAUCCCACAAGGAUUUCAGUCGAGUAUAGUAGGUAUUGACAUCAGCCGAUCCCUGAGUGUGAGCAAGAAUUUUUUGCUUGAGUUCAAAAAUUCGAGGACCACUGCCCUGAUGAAAUCAUUUGUAUAGAUCAUUCCAUAUUUCAAUGGCUGUUUCAUGAUAGAGGAUGCUCUCUGCAAUUUCUUUGCAAACCGAGUUAGAGAGCCAAGAUAUGACCAUGCUGUUGCAGCGAGACCAAGGACCAGCAAGGAGAUCUGUUGCAGCAGGACGUGAGAUGGUUCCAUCGAUAAACCCAAGUUUGUUCUUAGCAUUUAGAGCUGUAACCAUUGAUCGGCGCUAAGAAUGACAGUUUGAACCAAAUCCAGCAAGUGAAAGAGAAACCAGAUAGAGACUUGGAUGAUCACCAUUGUGAAGAAAAUAGGGACUACGAUGAUCUUCCAUGGGAGACUGAAAAAGAUGUUGAGGAGGUUUGCCCUUAGCCAUGCUCAGAAGGAAGGAAAAACGGAAGGAAUGUGCUCUGAUACCAUAAUAGAAAAACAAAAGGUAAAUGGCAAGAAAGGCAAACAAAGGCCUAAGAGAGAAAUAAAACUAGUGUAAUUAUAUUAAAGAAUUACAUCAAAUUAAUUUAAAGUUUGAAUCUUUGAUUGAUAAAAUUUGAACCAGAAUAAAAUACCUAGGGUGAAUAUAGAAUGAGAAAACCGAUAACCUAGCAACUUAUAUUAAUUUUCAAAAAUGAUAAAAACUAUUCAAUAAUAUAUUUAUUGGAUUUGUAGCCUAAUAACUUGAGAACCAGCAUGCCUCCUCGAUGAACUCCAUGUUACCUUUAAUUUCAUGAUGAAUAAAAAGUAGUCAAUAUUAUACUAAUCAGAUUUGUAGGCUAAUGAGUUGGGAACCAGCACGCUUCCUUGGUGAACUCCAUGUUGCCUUUAAUUUUGUGAUGAAUAAGCCUAAUGACUUGAGAACCGACAUGUUUCCUUGGUGAACUCCAUGUUGCCUUUAAUUUCGUGAUGAAUAAAAAUUAUUCAAUAUUAUAUUUAUCAGAUUUGUAGCCUAAUGAGUUGAGAACCAACAUGCUUCCUCGGUGAACUCCAUGUUGCCUUUAAUUUCAUGAUGAAUCAUUAUAGCAAGUGUCUCUUCACAUAAUAAUAAAUUCAUAUUCAUAUAUUUCAUUUUGGGUAAUGAACUUAUCAUCUACCGUUUGUUAUUUUCUUAUUUUCAAGUUUUUUUUUUAGCAUAUAUUAGUUUUUACCUUAUCUAUCUUUUUAUUUUUAGAUUUCAAAGAUAAAAAAUAUAACCAAUUCUGGUUGAUGAAAUUAUUUUCCGCUCAUUUUAAACAUAUCAAGGUAUUUAUUUGUUGAUAAUAUCUAUUCUUUUAUCAUGUAUUACUUUCAUUACUUUUGAUUGAUAAUUAACAAACAAAAUGUUUUUUAUUUUUAUUUAUUUUGGAUAAUUCAUUGAUUGUUUGUUAGUAACAUUAGAUUAGUUCUUAAAUAGGAUAUUUAAAAAAAAUUAUAAGUUACCUUAACAAGAUUACUUAUACAUGUACACAAAUAUUUUUAUUAAACUAUAAUUUUUUGAAAAAUUUCAAACUGCAUGAUAUUUUUUUAAAAUUUAAUAAAAUUUUUACAACAAUAGUAUUAUCUUUCAUAAUAUUGCCUUUGGUGAAAAUGAAAACAAUUAUUUAAAAUAUAACCUUAAUAGAAUUGGCCAAAUUCGAUUAAAAAUUAUUUUAAAUUCAGAAACUUUUCUAAAAUCAAAUCAUUUGAUAAAAUUAAAAUAUUCAUUUUUGAGGCAAAGAAAUUGUAAAAUAUAUCCUUAACUUCUCUUUGGAUAAAAUGGGUGUAUCUAUGUCGCCAAGAUAAAAUCUUCUCAAAAAACUAAAUUUAAAUAACUAGAUUUUUUAUUUAGUCAUCAAAUAUUUUGCCUUUCAUAGAGAUUAUAAAUAAGCAUUUUGUAAUCAAUUUUUCUAUUAUCUUUUAUUGAUUAAUAAUAAAUAAAUAAACAUUUUGUAGUCAAUUUUUUUGUUAUCUUUUAUUGGUUAAUUGUAUUAUUAUUAUUAUACGUAAGCCUAUUUUAAUGUAAUAACUUUGAUCGAAGAUAAAACCAGUUCUAUGGAUUAUAUUAAAUAAAAAAGAUGAUAAUGUUAAAAAAUUUAUUUUAGGAUACAAGCCAUGAAUGUUUUUUUUUUCUUACCUAUCUAUCAUUUUAAAAAUUUUGACAACAUAUAAAUCAAACUUUUAAGAGAUUGAUAUUUUAUACAAAUCUUACUAGAAUUAUCUUUACUAUAUAUAAAAGAUUGAAGUAGUUGUUUACUUUUUCCUAUAGAAUUGUCUUCCCAUUUUGCUUAUGUAUGCUUGCAUCCUAUAACUAUUUUAUUUGAUUCAUUCAACUUAUAUUUUUCUGUUUCCAAAUUAAGUCUAAGAAUUUAUUUAAAUAAUGUCUCUCUUAAAAGUAUUUAAAUUAAUAUUAAAAUAUAAUAAAAUGAUGCAUUUUUUGAAAAAAAAUUUUGUUUGAUUUAUUAUGUUUUUUUUUUUUUGGUAGAUGACUACAAGAAACAAAUAUUUAAACUAUAAUAUGAAUCCAAGGCAUACCAUGAUGGACACAUAAGUACCAUGAAUAAAAUGAGACUAGACCUUAGAACACAUCGUACUCCUCUUACUAAUGAACAAUUAAUCAAAGGCCUCAUGCAAUCUCUACCUAACCAUUGGGAUUGUGCAAGAUUUGACAUGAGAGAUAAAAUAAAAGCUGGAUUUGUGAAGAACUUCUUUGAUGUAGCUUGUGAGCUUGAAUUGUUAGAGGAACGAUGUCUUUUGAUGUAUACCAAAUGAACUGUUGUGUUAUUGAUUCAUCCAAAUCUUCGUAGUGCAAGACACAUGGGUCAUUGUUCACGAGAGAGGGGAUUGUGGUUGGGAAGGAUCAGCCUUAGAGAAGUCUGAGAACAAAUGGUGUUGUCCAUCGGAGAUCUUAGAGAAUACAAAGUGACAAAAAGAGUUUAAAAUAAUGACUUGUAUUACAAAUUUUUAUAGUUUUAUAUGUUGUCAUUUUAACCACACAAUGUUUAAACAAUUAAUAGUUUGAAAAUGAGAUUUUUUAUUUUAUUUAUUUUUUACGCUUUCUAUUAUCUGUCGUUUACUCAAAUGGGUUGAAACAAAAUAAUUGAUCAAACAUUUUGUCUUUAAUAGUAAUGUGGUAGUUUUCUACUACAUUUUUCUCUCCAUAAAAAAAUAUUACAUAAAUCUAUUUCUUUCUUUGAAAUUUUGAUUGACACGAUGCUUAACUAAUUUGCUGCUUCAAAAAAUAUAGUCGAUUAUCAAUCUUUAUUUUAAAUGUAGUUCAUAUGAUAAUAAUUUUUUUUGGUAAUAAUAAUAAUUAUUGUUUCAUUAUAUUUGUUUUGCUUAGUGUUAUUAUUAUUAUACAUUAAAAAAUAAUUGAAAUUUUGCUUACCAGUUUGUGAUAUUUAUUUCCUAUGUAUCGUAUAAUUUAAUAUAUAAUUGGGAAUUCCCAUUAAGAAGUUGCACCUGUUUGUAGUAUUCCUUUUUUUUUUUUUGCCACGUUGUCUUUUUUGCUUCAAUUUUUAUUCAUUUAUUUAUUUAUUUUAUUUAUUAUUUAUUAUUAUUUUUAUAGCGUGAAAGAAAUGGGCCUCUAACAUCCAUGUUCUAGAAAUUGGGCCAUAGUCUUUUUAAAAAUUGUUUAGUUCAUGUUGAUUUGUUUUAGAGCAUAAUUUUGAGUUUUUCAUGGAUAAUAUUAUUUAUAUAUGUUGCUAUGUUCUAGAAAUAAUUGAAAAUCAAUUUUGAAUUUUAUAUUAAUUCUUAUAAAUUUUCUGGAUAAAAGAUCUAUGACCAUUUUGUAAUCAGUUGCCAUUAAAAACAUUAACUAAUUCACUUUAUAUGAACCAAGUUACACACUAUUGACAAUAAGAUCUAUUUUUUCUACUCAAAAUAACAAUGGCAUCAACACAAUGUAUGAAUAUGUUUAUCUUUUUGCAUGUUCCUGCAACUUUUACAUUGAUAAUAUCUUAUCAUUUUCAACGUUAUAUGGCAUCUACAUUACUAAAAAUGAUAGGCAUGUUUAUAGAUCAAGAACAAGCUCCAAAACGUAAUUAUGUAACGAGAAGGUAUGCUAGGUUAACAAAUGAACAAAGGGAAAAGCAUGUACAACAUGUGAUGCAAAAUUAAAAAAAAACCGUGAAACUAUCACUUGCAGUUCCUCAAUGCGUGAAAAUAUAGGUGUCCCAAUCACAACUUUUGGAAACGAAGAAUAUCCAUCUAUAGAGCAAUUUGAAAGUGUGUUAUAUUAGUGGAAAAAAUGUUGGAUUUUUAUAUGCACUUGUGCUUUUUCGCCAUAAACCUAACAACAGUGUUUUAAUAGGUAAGGUACGAAACCACAUUGUUUACUCACCAUUACAUGAAUUGAGUACAACACAUUCUUGUCCAUUUUGUGGUGCAAAACGAUUGCAACAUGAACCUUCUACCUUUUGUUGCUACAAUGGCAAAGUAGUUCUUUCUAUACCUCAAAUUCCAGAAGAUUUGUAUAUUUUAUAUACUUCUCACAAGUGAAGAAGCUGUAGAAUUUCGACGGCAUAUUCGAGCUUAUAAUAAUAUUUUCUCCUUUACAUCAUUUGGGUUAAAUUAGACAAAGAGCUUGCAAGCUCCAAAAAAAAGGAGUUUACACUUUUUGAGCUCAAGGUCAGAUAUACCAUCAACUUCUAGCUCUACAAGCAUAUCACAACUCUCUUGCCUUCUUCCAAUUAUACUUCUAUGACAUUGAUAAUGAAAUCCAGAAUAGAUUAUGCAUACUAUAAGAUGUGUCCCUUAAUGAGACAAUUGUUCAAAAUUUGAUGAAUAUACUACUACAAAAUCCAUAUGGUCAAUUUUUCCACAUACUAGAGCGUGCUCCAUUAGAUGUUUAUGAAAUCCGAAUUAAAAGUGAAAUUUCAUUGGAUAAAAGGGUUUACAAUUCUCCAUCAGUUGAUCAAGUGGCCGCCAUAUGGAUUGAAGGGAAUAAUUCUAAUCUAGCUCACGAACGUGAUAUUAUAGUUCAUGCCCAAUCCGGUGACAAACAUAAAGUUAAACACUACUAUGGUUGUUAUGAUCCUUUACAAUACCCUCUAUUGUUUCUUAAAUAAGAUGUUGGAUGACAUCAAAAUAUUCUGAAAGAGAUCUAUUGAACUAUAGUAAUGACAAUGCACAUAUAUUCAAAGAUUUGAGUAUACAAAAUUUUUCAUCAGCUAAAGAUGUUCUACAUUGAGAACAACAAGGUAGCACUUUAAAUCUCAUUUUAUUUAGAUAAACCCAAGAAUCUAUCUAAUAGAAACUAACCUUCAACUUAUUCAUUUUCCUUAUAGAUCUUAUUCAUGGAGGGAGGAGAAAAGUGUCUUAUCAACAAUAUUAUUGCUAAAGUUGUAAAUUAUAGAUGAUGGCUCAAUUUUAUUACUUUCUGGUAGACUUUUGCAACAAUAUGUAGUCGACAUGUAUAUCAAGCUUAAGACAACAUGGUUGGACUACUAUAGAAGGCAACAAUAAAAAAUUAGAGUAGAGUUGUACUAAUGCAUCAUUGAUAGAGUGCUAGCUAGAAAUAGUAGGGCAAGUCAAGUUGGGAAAAUGAUCGUGCUACCUACAUCAUUUGUAGGAGGCCUUACAGACACGCGUCGUAGAUAUUUAGAUGCUAUGUCUUUGGUCCAAUAGUUUGGAAAGCUAGACCCUUUUAUAACAAUGACAUGCAACCCAAAGUAGAAGGAAAUUCAAAAUGAAUCGAAUGAAAACCAAAUACCACAAGGUAGACCUGAUUAAUAUUUGUGUGUUUUCCUAGCAAAGAUACAGGAGUUAAAGGAGAAACUGUUUAAAAAACAUAUAUUUGGAAAUGUUGCAGCACAUUUUCACGUAAUAAAGUUCUAGAAAAGAGGUUUGCCUCAUGUACAUAUAUUGAUAAUCUUAAAGCCAGAAUAUAAGAUUCUCACUCUCGACCAAUAUGAACGAUUUAUUAUUGCUGAAAUCCCAAAUCCUAUAAGAUAUCCAGGUUUACAUGACAAGGUUGUUAAGCAUAUGAUGCAUGGCCCUUAUGGACCUUUAAGGAUUAAUAAUUCAUGCAUGCGUGAUGGGAAGUACAAAAAUAGGUACCCUCAUUUGUUCUGUUCGAAUUCGUAUCCAACCCAUAGAAGAAGAUAUGACAAAUGACAAGUAUUUGUGUGUAAUGCUGCUUUGGAUAAUUGUUGGGUUGUCCCCUACAAUCCCUAUCUUUUAAAAAGAUAUAACUAUCAUAUUAAUGUCAACAUCUAUUCUAGCAUUAAAGCAAUUAAAUAUCUUUACAAAUACAUAUACAAAGAGCAUGACAAAGUAGUUGUUCACAUUGCUGAAAGAAAUGAUGGCAUUAUAGUUGAUGAAAUGAAGGAGUUUUAAGAUACUCAAUGGGUUUCAACAAAAGAAGCUGUAUGGAGAAUUUUUGAGUUUGAGCUAAACGAGAUUCAUCCAGCAGUCAUCAAUUUGCAACUACAUCUUCCUAAUAAGCAAUCAAUUUGCUAUUGGGAAAACCAAAAUUUGGAACAUGUGAUUUAUUUUAGUCUCGCAUUAAGGACUAUGCUCACAAAAUUUUUCACUUUAUGCUCUCAAGAUGAUGAAGCAAGAAAUUUUUUGUAUAAAGAAUUUCCAGAGCAUUAUGUGUGGAAUAAGUAAAGUAAAUCCUCGACUAAAAGAAAGGCUAGAGAAGUUAUUGGUCAAGUAAAUGUAGCUAAUCCAUCGAAAGAUGAGAAAUAUUAUCUAAGACUUUUACUUAAUCACGUUAGAGGACCCAAAUCUUUUGAAAAUUUAUUAAGUUACAAUGGUCAUCAAUAUCUAUCAUUUAAGGAGGCUGCCCAAAAAAGAGGUCUGUUGGAAUCAGAUGACUCCAUUUCCAAAUGUUUUCAUGAAAUUGAAACAUUUCAAAUGCCAUUAGCAAUGAAAGAUCUUUUUUCAACAAUCUUGGUGUAUAGUCAACCAACUGAUGUAAGAAAAUUGCAGAAUACUCAUUUUGAAGCAAUAUCGGAGGAUUUUUGCACCCUUGAUUCACAAUCAAUUGAAUCUCAAAUGUUGAACACAUUGAAAAGUGUAAACUUUUUCCUUAAAAGCAUGGGGAAAAGUUGUGCUAAUUAUGACUUACCCAUGCUGGAUUUGAGUUUACCUGAUUUACUAAUCAUUCAUUGUAGAUAAAUUUAUGAUGAAAUUGAGAUAAAUAUUAUUUCUAAAGAUUUGAAUGCAUCAAUGAGAUUAAAUUCAAAACAACAACAUGCUUAUUCAACUAUCCUUGAUCAAGUAAGUUUUGGUUUGGGUAGUCUUUUUCAUUGAUGACCCAGGAAGGGCAGGAAAAACAUAUUUGUAUCGAGCAUUGUUGGCGGCGGUUGGAUUAAGAAGAAUGAUUGCUAUUGCAACAACAACUUUAAGCGUAGCUUCCUCCAUUAUGCCUGGUAGCCAAACAUUGCAUUCAAGAUUUAAAAUACCAAUUAAUCUUGAUGAAUCAAGUUUAUGUAACAUGAUUAAACAAAGCGGCAGUAUAGAGCUCCUAAAAAAGGCAAGUUUAAUAGUAUGGGAUGAAGCACCCAUGGCAGCUCAUUGGGCUAUUGAAGUGGUUGAUAGAAUUUUAAGGGACAUUAUGGAUAACCAAUUGGUGUUUUGGGGAAAUGUUAUUGUAUUUGGAAGAGAUUUUAGACAAGUACUCCCCAUGGUUCCUCAUGUUACAAAGGCAGAAACUAUGAAUGAAAGUUUAGUCAUGUCAUAUCUUUGGCCUAAAAUGGAAAAAUUAAGGUUGAUUAGAAACAUGAGAGCUCAGUUAGAUACCACAUUUAGUGAUUUUCUACUAUGGGUUGGAGAUGGUGAUGAGAGCUCAAAAUCAGGAUAUGAUAAAUAUACUUGAUCACAUGUUAGUUCAAUAUAAAAAUGGUGACGACCUUAAAGAGUGUUUGAUUAAUACAAUUUUUCCCUCAUUGAGAGAGAAUGCAAGCUCGUCAGAAUAUAUCAAGGAAUGCGCUAUUCUUACAACAACAAACGAAUUUGUUGAUAUGAUGAAUGAAAAGUUAAUUGCUAUGUUCCUAGGUGAAUCUAAAGCAUAUUAUAGUUUUGACUGAGUAGUUGAUGACACUUAACAAGUUUAUCAAGAAGAUUUCUUAAAUACAUUAACACCAAGUGGUCUGCCCUCACAUUAAUUGGUGUUGAAGACAAAAUGUCCCAUAAUGCGACUAAGGAAUUUAGAUCCAUCAAAUGGACUUUGUAAUGGAACAAGAAUGGUUAAUUUGCAAAGGUUUUGAGGCAAAUGUCAUACAUGUAGAAAUUACAAUGGGACAAAAUGCUGGAAGGCAAGUUCUAAUCCUAAGAAUACCUAUGUCUCCAGUAGAAAAUGAAGGCUACCCUUUCCAUUUCAAGCAUGCUCAAAUAUUAAUAUAGAUUCGACUUUGUUUUGCAAUGACUAUUAACAAAGCACAAGGCCAAACAAUACCUUUUGUUGGGGUGUCCUUACCUCAAAAUGUCUUCUCACAUGGACAAUUAUAUGUUGCUUUGUUGCAUGGAACUUCUUUCUCAACAACAAAAGUGUUUAUCAAAGAAACUGACCACAAAAGUACAAGAAGGACUUACACAAAAAAUGUGGUCUAUACAAAAGCUUCAGCUUUGUGUAGGUAUUGAAACUAUGGAUCUGUUUAGCUUUGUGCUUUACAAUUUUUCAAAAUGAUAUUUCUAAUAUACGUAUCAUAUUAUUCUAUUCUAAUUUUACUAACUUUCCAAUUUUGAUUAUUUUUUCCUUUUUUUUAAUGCAGUAUCCAAUUAUGAAGCAAAUAAUGAAGGUUUUAUCGCUAUAAGCACACUUCAACCUUUCAAUAGGGAUUGGACUAUUAAGGCAUGUGUACUUCAAUGUACAUGGAUCCAUACAGGCGUACAAAAAUUCUAAAGGCUUGAGCAAAAUAUGGAAGAUAAUAUUCAUGGAUGGUCAAGUUAGCUAAGCUAUGUAUCAAACUACUUUAUUAUUUUAACUUUUUUUUUAUUAUUAUAAUUUUACGCUCAAAAUCAAAUUAAUACAACUUUUUAAAAUUAAAGCUAAGUAAACUACACAAAGCUUUAAAAUGAGUAACCUAAUGCUAUAAUAAAAACAUUAUAUGAUUAUUUUUACAUUUUGUUAACAAUUAGUCAUUGGUUAAUAUAGUUAAAAAAAACUUUUAUUCCCAUAAACAUGUCUACAUAAUGUAUUAUUCUAUUGUGAUAUGAUAUAAUGUGGUACCAUGUUAUGUUGUAAAAUCACAUAGGUUAUUAUUAAUUUUUUUUACUAUAUCAAUACUUUAACUAAGACCGUAAUGUAAUAAAUAAAUAUGUCAAAAAUAUGUCCUACCAUAUUAAUAGAUCAUGUAUAAUAAUAAACUAAGAUUUCCCUAUUACAUGUAUUUUAUAUUUAUAUUUACACAAUUAUAAUUAUAAUUAAUUUGGAUUUGUCCAUAAAAACACUUGGUCACUAUCAUUAGUCAUGAUUAGUAUUAUUUAUUAUUGGAAUAUAGAGAACAUAGAUGAAUAUGGUGAAUACGAUUAUAUCAUUUUAGAUUAAAUGUUACGGAUGGGAAAGUAAAUUAAAAAAGGUGAACGAAUACUUAACUUACCAAAGCUUUACUCAUUGAUUAUAGAUAUGAAUUGGAAACCAAUUUAAAUUUUAAAAUAUCUUCUACAUUAGCUUUUAUGCAUCAAAGAAAGUAUCUACAAUAUAUAUAUAUAUAUUACCAAAUUAAUAAGAUUAUUUUUUUACAAAAAUUGAAAUUUAAUGUUCAGAUACAUAAUAUUCUUUUUAACCAUAAUUAUAUAAAUUAUAAAGAAAUAAUUUGGAACUAUUGGAUAACGAAAACCAAAAUACAAUUCAAUGAAGUCCAAAAUAAAUAUAUACAUAUAUAUAUAUAUAUGUAUGUAUGUAUGUAUGUAUGUAUGUAUGCAUGCAUGUAUCGUGGUGGUUUAAAUUUAAAACUUCCCCAGUGGUUUAUAUAAAUUGCUUUUAAAUUAUAAAUUGUCAUGCUUAUCCAUUAAAUAUGGAUUAGGAACAAACAAAUUCAUAGGUAACAAAAAUUACAUGGGCAGCUUUCAUUGAAAACAAGAUGGUCAUUGGUCGUGAAUGCUAGUUUAAAUUUCAAACUUACCCAAUGGUUAUAUAAAUUGAUUUUAAAUCAUAAAUUGUUAUGCUUAUCCAAAAAAUAUGGAUUAGGAGCAAAACAAAUUCAUAAGUAAAUAAAAAAAUAAAAAAAGGAUAGUUUUAAUUUAAAACAAGAUUGUCAUUGGUCCAAUUAUAUAACCUUCAAAUUAUGACCAUGAUCUUCUACGUAAAUCUUUUAAAAAAAAAUUACAAAUAAUUUUUUCAAAUAGGUUGUUAAUAUUUUAUGAGGUUUAUACUACAACAUUUCCAUUAUUCGAUUUAUUUAUACAUUAUUCGCAAUAUUCUUAAAGAAUCAAAACUGUUUUAUUUUUAUGUUUGGAUACUAUCUUACAUUCAAUAACUACCAUUAUUAUUCGUGGUACAAUAUAGGAAAUUGAUCAAACAUGAUUGUGGAAUGAAAAUGUUGUGAGCUAAACAAUUUAGCCAUAAAACAUUUAUAUAACUAUUAAUUUUAUUAUUAAGCACGUUAACACAUAAAUUUUGGUUACUAUUUUCCAGGAUACAAGAAUUUAAGCUGUGUUAUUUAAUGAUACGAUUGAUAUAUUUGAGAAAGAGAUUUUCAAAGAGAAGACAUACCUUAUUUCAAAUGGGUUGGUUAAAUAGGCUAAUACUAAUUUUUGGAAUGUACAUGACAAGAUAGAAUUGAUGUUAUCUACCCAUUCUAGAGUUGAGGAGGCUCAGAUUGAUAUUGAUACAUCAAAGGCUACUUAUAACUUCCUUCAACUUAGUGAAAUAGGAAAUUAUAUCGACACAGAUAUUCUUAUUGGUAUGUAUAUAUAUACUAUUUAAAAACUAUCAUUGUUUAGAUUUUUUAUUAUGAAUUUAAAUAUCAUGCAGAAUUUAUUAUUAUAUAAAUAUUUUCCUUAAUUAUCUUACAGAUACAUUGGUUAUUAGUGUUGAUUCUCAUGUUCUAAAGUCAAAUGGAACCAAUGGUGACACUUUUAGGAGAAACAUUAUACUAACUCACUCAAUGACACCGUUAUGCUAACAUUAUGGGGAGAUCUUGCAACCAAUGAAGGACAAUUACUAGAGCAAUUGGUAGCUUCAAAACCAUUGAUAGUUUUAUCACAGGCAAAAGUGAUAGCAUAUAAAGGUAUGUAUGUAAAUUAUUUAACUUUAAUUUAAGUGUUUCUCCUAUUAUUAUUUAUAUCAAUUGCUAAAAAAUCAUCCUUAAAUAGGUUAAGUAUCUCUGUCUACAUUAUCAAUCCCACUAGUUCAUAUAAUCCAAACUUGGAGCAAGCUAACAAUUUAAAAGAAUGGUAUGUAUAAAUAUAUAUAUAUAUAUAUAUAUAUAAUUGUCUUAAUUUAUUUAAAAUUAUUCAAUUAUGAGAUCUCAUAUGAUUAGAUAUUAUAAUAUGUAGGUCGCAAUCUACCAUAGAGGUAAACAAAUCAAUGACCAAUACUCCAAGAAAGAUAAGAGCUACUAAACAUGCUACACUUGGGGAAUUGUUAGACAAACCUUCACCUGAAUUUGAAGUAUGUUGUCUUCCAACCAAAAUUUUUUUUGUUUCUUUAAAUAAAAUGAUUAAAUUUUAAAUGAUGCUUCUACAAAUGUUUUAGAAACGGUAUUAUUCAAUCAAAGCAACAGUCAUUGAUAUUCAAAAUAUGGAACAACCUGGGUAUAAUGCAUGCAAGUAAUGCAACAAAAAAGUCCUUAUGAGAAGUGAAAUUGGGGAAUGUGCAAAAUGUUGCAAUCCAACAGCAGACCACUAUCUAAGGUAUAUGUUAUUUAAACCAUCACCUAAUUUAUAAUCAUUGUCAUUCUAAAAGUAAAUGAACAAAUAUAACUAACCUUACAAACGAUAAUAUAAGUAUAUGCUUAGACUUCUCGUUGCUGAAGAGACCAAACAAGCAAUAGUCACAUUGUUUGAUGCAACUGAAAAGAUUAUUGGAUGUCUUGUAACUGAAUUUAUAACAAGUAACAAAGAGGUAUGUAUUUCUCUCUUCAAAUAAGAACUAUGAAAAUUUUAUCUUUAAUUUGUAAGUUAAUUUUUUAAAUAUAUAUUCUACAGCAUGGGAUGGACAACAAAUUUUACAAAGGAUUGAUUCAUUGUUAUGGGAAGUCAUAUAUUUUUGUCACAAGAAACAACCAAAUCAAUAGCAGUGGUUAAACUUCAGGAAGUUUCAUUUCAGAAGAAGUUUAUAAUGAAGAUGAGUUCAACAACUCAACAUUACCUCCAUAAAAAAAAUUUAAGAUUUAGCAAGAAUAGUGUAAUCUUAUGAAACUUCUCCAAAUUUGAACAUAUUUCUUUUAUCUUCACAUGAUGUGUAAACAAUCUUAUAUUGCUGCCCUACAUAAUCUACAAACUUUUGCAAGGAGACAACUAAGUUAUUUAUUUCAAAGGAUGCAUCAAAACAAUGGUGAAUUACAAAACAUAUAGAUUAUGACAUAAAUAUGUUUGUUGUAGUUUUAUAUUGUAACUAUUUUUCUACAAGUAUACCAUCUUACAAUCAUAAUAAUAAAUAUCUAUUUAAAUAAUUUAUUUCAAAUUGUGACAAAUAACAAUUUCAAUUCAAAAAACAAAUAUAUGAUAUUUAAGAUAGGUUCAUAUCUAACUUAAUUACUAAAUUAUAAAAUAAAUAAAUAAAAUUUCAAGCAAUCUAAAACACCCUCUUAUAUUAAAAAAAAAUACAUAUUAUCAUAUAAAUAAUAUAUUUCAUAUAUCUAUAUAUCAUUAUUAUUUAUGAAUUAAUUAAAUUAUGGGUAUGUUAUAUAUAUAUAUAUAUACAUAUCUUAGAAUUUAAACCAAGUUAUGUCCUUAAUUUGUAUUAUUAAUCCAUUUUUAAUUAUUUUAUGAAGUGAAAAUGGGUGGAUAUAGAUAGAAUUAUAGUAAAAAAAUUAUAUCAAAUUAAUUUAAAUUUUGAAUCUUUGAUUGAUAAAAUUUGAAUCAGAAUCAAAUACCUAGAGCAAAUGUAGAAUGACAAAACCAAGCUAAUAGCCUAGAAACUUAUAUUAAUUUUCAAAAAUGAUAAAAACUAUUCAAUAAUAUGUUUAUCGGAUUUGCAGCCUAAUGACUUGAGAACCAACAUACCUCCNNNNNNNNNNNNNNNNNNNNNNNNNNNNNNNNNNNNNNNNNNNNNNNNNNNNNNNNNNNNNNNNNNNNNNNNNNNNNNNNNNNNNNNNNNNNNNNNNNNNGUAAAAACCUUAGCAUAGCUAAAGGAUUUAUAGGAAAAACUACUAAUGCUUUAAGUUAAAAUGUAUGAUGGAAUUCAAUGAUAUAGUAAAAACUUUUGGAAGUAAGGCAGUAAAUAUGAUAGAAGCAAAACCCGUAAAUAUAGAUUAUUUAUUAGGACGAGAGUGGGAAUUACCUCAAAUAAAUAAACCAGUAAUAAAAUAUCCAACAUCCAAUAGCUUAUAUGAAAACCAAGAUGGAAGUGCAAGUAUAACCUUUGGAAAUUAUAAAACUAUAAAUGUAGAAGUAGAGUCAAAUAGUGAGAUAGAAACUGUAAAUGUUAUACAAGAAGAUAUUUUACUAAACAUUGAGACAGUAGAAAACCUAUACAAAAACUCGGAGUUAGUAAAUAAAAUGUUAGAGGAAUUUAGUAAUCCAACAUUACUAGACGAACAAGUGGAUCAAGAAAACUUUGUUAAUAUAAUGUGUAAAAACUAUACAGAUGACCAAAUAAUAGAACAACUCUAUAAAACCAAUUUAAUCAAAAAACUUAUAGAUAUAGAAAUGAUAAAUCAAUUUACUAUUCAACCAAAAGUUAACAAAAACAUAGAAAUAAUCUCAAACGAAUCAAUAAAUACAAUAAAUGAAGAAAAUGAAUUUGUAAAUGUAAAAAGUGAAAUAGUAAAAUAUAAUAAGUCGUAUGGCAAGCCAAAAGAACCUCAAUCGAAAACUAAAAUAGAACCUCAAUGUCGUCAUUGCUGACAUCAUCCUUCCAUUGCAUUUUGUAGAUUACGAUAACUUUCAUCGUCCAGGUUGUCCCAAAAUAAUGCGUCAUCGCUGAGGUAGGAAGAUGGUUCUGGUAUAUCUAGACUGAGUUCGGUUAUAAAAUCCUGUUCUUUAGAAGUAAUAAAAGGUUUUGGAACAAUAAUGUGUUCUAAAGGUUUUACUCUCCGUAUAGACAUGGUUUUUGUUUCACCAAUGAGAUGAAAUAAUUUAUUCUGAGUUGGUCUAAGAUCAUAGAUUUGAAAAGCUCUGAAGCGAGUAAAAAAUUCUGGAAAUUCAUUUGAACGGGUCAUUUCCCAUUCUGGUUCUUGUUGAGGGAUGAGUGGUUCUUUAUUAUGUUUUAUAUAUGCAUGAUGAUAGGGUGGUACUACUGAUCCAUCGGUUUGAAAUAAAGGUGGAAUGGUUUCAAAAGAAAUAUCUAUAUGUUUUUCGGUUUUAAAAAGAUAAGUUAAAAUAUCUUUCAAUUUUUUUGGGAAAUUUUCAGGGAUUUGAGAUAUAUGGUUCAUAAAAACAUUUUUUAAAAUUCCCUGAUCCAUGAGCUGCGGUACUAAAUCAAAAUUUUCUCUAUUUAUAACAUACAUAUUUACAUAAGCUAAAUAUAUAACAAAGAAAAAUUCAGGGUCAUGAUAUGCCAUAUACCCUGUUUUUAUCCCGGCAUUUUUGGUUCUAAAAUGUUUAUACAAAAGUUCUUGAUUUUUAAAUACUUUGUUAUAUUGAGUUUGUAGGAAAAAGGUUUUGACUAAAGAGUAGUUAUCAACUCCAAUUAUGUUUUUAACAAUAAGCUUUUCAUAUUGUUCAGUCAGAAGAGCUGAUUUCUUAAUUAAACUAAUUAUUUCAGGUUGACUGUUCGAACAGCCGGUUUGAUUGGUUGACACUAUACUGGUUUUCAAAUCUUCUAUCAGUUUUUCUUGAUUUUCUUGGAUUUUGAGGUUUUGGAAUUUUUGGGUUUCUAAAGCAAUCAGUUGGUUUUGAAGGUUUCGUAAAUGUUGGGCUAAAGCUGACACUGUUUUUCCAUAAGCGUAUUCUAAAUAUUGGUUCGGAAAACUCUGUGGUUUUAGAGACCAAAAAUUAUCUACAAUAACCUUAUGUUUUUCAAAAGGGUUUUGAGAAAAAUAAAGAGUUAAACCUCAUAUUUGGAUUCAACACUUCGUUCAGACAUAUGGUUUCAUAUUGAAAGGUUCUAUCUUUCGUAGGUUUUCUUUGAGUCAUGUUCCUGUAAUCAUGAAAUCAAUCAUUAGUAUUAUUAACAUUAUUAAUUAUUUGUCUACUUAACCAGUCUGCUAAUAUAUUAUCUUUUCCUUUAAUAUGUUCAAAUUUAGGUUUGAAACCAAUUAAAGAGUUUUGAAACUUUAUCCAUCUUUUGGUGGACAGUUUUGAAGAAUUUUUGUUUUCAAAGAAUUUUUUAAUAUUCUCACAAUCGGUUUUUAAAGUAAAUUGUUCUUGGUUCAAAAAUAAUUGAAAUUUUUCUAAGACUAAUAUUAUUGCUUCAAUUUCUAAAUCUGUAGAACUAAGGUUCUUUUGAUAAUCAUUAAAAGUUCCACUACAAUAUCUACAAAGUUUUUCUUCUCCUAUAUUAGUUACUGCUAAAAGUAUACCUCCCCAUCCUGUUUGACUAGCAUCAGUUUGAACUAUUUUAUAUUCAUUUUCUAAGGGUAAAUGUAAGGUUGGGAGAUGUUUCACAAGUUCUUUUAUUUUCUGUAUAAGUUUAAUAACUUCUUGGUUAAAAUAUCUCUGCCUUGUGUUUUUUGUUUUACUAUAAAGGGGUCCAGCUAAUCUACUAAGGUUUUUAAUAUAUGGCCUAACAUAAUUUAAUAAUCCUAAAAAACUUUGAAGGGUUUUUAAAGUCUUCGAGUUUAUUUGGAAAAUUAUUUAUUUUUUGUACUAUAUGUUUUUGUAAUUUUAUUUGUCCAUCCUCUAAUUCUAAUCCUAAAUAUUCUAUUUGAGUCUUAAAUAAUUUCAAUUUCUUUUUACUUACUAUUAAUCCAUGACUAAUUAGUUUUUCAAAAAUCAAUUCUAAAUGCUUUAUGUGUUCCUGAAGAGUAUAUGAAAAAACAAGAAUAUCAUCAAUAUAUACAAGAACAAAAGAAUAUUUUCCAAAAAUAUUAUCCAUCAUUCGUUGGAAUAUCUAAUGAGCAUUUUUUAGUCCAAAUGGCAUUACAUUCCAUUCAUAUAAUCCACAAGGACAUGAAAACAUUGUCCAUGGUUUACUAUCCUCUUCUAAUCUAAUUUGCCAAAAUCCACUUUUACAGUCUAACUGAGAAAAAUAUUUACAUCCUUGAAUAGAAUUAAUUAAAGAAUCUUUGUUUGGAAUUUUAUAGGCAUCAUCAUAUGUAUUAUCAUUCAAUCUUUUAUAAUUAAUAACCAUCCUAGCUUUUCCUCGUUUGUUUUCAUUAUGGUUUCUAACUAAAAAAAGCUGAGGAUCUAUGGGGACUGAAACAUGGUUUUAUGAGGUUAUUCUGUAACAGUUCUUCUAUUUGAAUUUUGAAUUCCUUUGUAUCUAUAAGAUUACAUGCUAUAUCUGCCGUUUUUAUUAUUAAAUCUAGGUUUUUAAUUGGUAUUUUACAGGUCGUCUUAUUUCUAUUCCAAUGUUUUUGUGGGUCUUCUCCUAUAAUUCUUAUUUUUUCUGCUUCUAAUAUAAGGUUUUUUUAAUCUGUUUGCAUUUCUUAAUUGUUCUGAGUAGUCAUUAAUUAUGCUAUCCUUUUGUGCCUCUACUUUGUUAAUUUGAUGAGAUGUUACAUUAUGAUUUUUAUUUAACACAUUUUCCAUGUUUGUAUAAACAAUUGUUGUGGUUUUAGGAUGAAAACUAACUUGGCUAUUUUGUAUUGUUAUCCCUCCUUGUAAAGAAUGUACAAAAUUUAAACCUAAAAUAAAGGAUAUAAACUUAUAGUAGGUAUAAGAUAAGUUUGGGGCAACACUAAGGUCAUGUUAUUAAUUAUAAUUCGUACGUUUGAAAUAUACUUGGUUAGUAUUAGUUUUUGUUGAUUAUAUUGGAUUAACUCUACUGGUUGAACUAAUGUUUGUUAAUCUUCUUGAGGUACUAAGGUUUCAAAUAAAAGGUUUUUACUGGCUCUGGUAUCUAACAUUGCGUCUACCUUUAAUUCUAUGGUUUUUAAUUUAAUUGUUGUUGGAAAAAUAAUAGAUUUAACUUUAUUUGCCAUAUUUACUUGUUCUAUUGUUUGUAUGGUUAUUUUUUCAGGAUUUAUUGGUUCUUUUACAGGACUUUUUAGUUCUUCUGUUUCCUUAGGUUUUGAACAACUAUCUUCUUCUUCUUUUGAAAUUUUUCCUUUGAUUAUUAUUUGUAAAUCUUUCCAUAUAUUAUAAGGUUUUAUUUUACUUUCUAAAGAUUGUACAAGGUUUUCUAAAUUUAAAGGGGUUUUCUUAGCUUGUUUUUCCUCUUUUUCAAUAAUCAUACAAAUUUCUUCUUCUUCAUUUUCACUAUCUUCUAUACUAUAUACACUUGAAUUUUCACUUUCAAAGUCUAAUUCACUGAUAAGUUCUUCUUCUUCACUAUCUAGUUGAUACUCAUUUAUUAGGUUUAUUUUUACUUGGGUUUUUCUAUUUCGUUCAUUUAAUGGUUUUUUAAGUUCAGGACAUUCAGGUCUUAUAUGGCCUUCCUGACCACACAAAUAACAUUUACACUAUCUUUUUCUCUCUGAGGUUCUUUUUCUUUUUAUCCAAAACUUUCCAGGUUUUUUAUAUCUUGUCUGAUAUGGUCGUUUUUUAUAAAAGGUUCUUGACUUUCUUCUUAAAAAUUUAUUAUAGCUCUUAGGUUUUCUAAACUUAUAUUCUCUGCAUCCUAUAUCUAGGUUUUCUCCUAUAUGUAAUUUUCGACAAAGUUGUUGAUUUAUGUCUUGUUUCUUUAUUUGACUUCUUUCUCCUAUGCUUACACAUUCUCUUUCUAACCAAUUUUUUACAAAUUCUAUUCUAGCACCUAUAUAAGGAGAGUUUUUAUAUUCGGAGGUUGUAAAUUCAUUCCAUAGUCUAAGUCCUACGGGUCCUUGUAUUUUUAAUAUAUAUUUAUUUAAAUAUUCAGGGGUUCUGUCUACUCUAGCAAGGAUUGCAUAUUUCCUAAAUUUUUGUUCGUAUUCCCUUAUAUAUGAGAGGUUACAUAAUUUCAAUUGUUCUAACUUAUGAAGGUAUAUUGCAGGUUCUUUUACAUCUUCUUGUGUUGUUCCCAAAAAAUAAAGUUUUAUGAGAUUUAUAAAUACAAAUAUGCUAAAAUUAUUUCUAACUUCUUGAAAAUAACUGUUGUUUUCUUGUUCCAUGUUUCUAAAAAAUUGUAAUACAGUUCCUCUAAGGGUGCUUUUACAAAAUUCAUAAAUUUCUUGUUGGUUUUCAAAGGAUACUACCACACCUGCUGAAUUUAAAGAUUGCUCCUAAUUUUCUAUGGUUUUUCUGAGAUCUUGCGCACUAUCUAUAUCUAAUAUUGUUCCAUAUUCAUAUACUGGUUGCAAAGAACUAGAAGGUUCUAUUUUAGUUUUCCAUUGAGGUCCUUUUGGCUUGCCAUACGGCUUAUUAUAUUUUACUAUUUCACUUUUUACAUUUACAAAUUCUUUUUUUUUUUCAUUUAUUGUAUUUGUUGAUCAGUUUGAGAUUAUUUCUAUGUUUUCGUUAACUUUUGGUUGAAUAGUAAAUUGAUUUAUCAUUUCUAUAUCUAUAAGUUUUUUUAUUAAAUUGGUUUUAUAGAGUUGUUCUAUUAUUUGGUCAUCUGUAUAGUUUUUACACAUUAUAUUAACAAAGUUUUCUUGAUCCACUUGUUCGUCUAGUAAUGUUGGAUUACUAAAUUCCUCUAACAUUUUAUUUACUAACUCUGAGUUUUUGUAUAGGUUUUCUACUAUCUCAAUGUUUAGUAAAAUAUCUUCUUGUAUAACAUUUACAGUUUCUAUCUCACUAUCUGACUCUACCUCUACAUUUACAGUUUUAUAAUUUCCAAAGGUUAUACUUGCACUUCCAUCUUAGUUUUCAUAUAAGCUACUGGAUGUUGGAUAUUUUAUUACUGGUUUAUUUAUUUGAAGUAAUUCCCACUCUCGUCCUAAUAAAUAGUUUAUAUUUAUGGGUGCUUCUAUCAUAUUUACUGCCUUACUUCCAAAAGUUUUUACUAUAUCAUUGAAUUCUAAAGCAUUAGUAGUUUUUCCUAUAAAUCCUAUAGCUAUGCUAAGGUUUUUACUUCCUAAUUCCAUAUCAUAACCUUUAGUAUUUACAGUUAUUUUUAUUUUUUCUGUGAAUUCCUUAAGAUCUAUACAAAAUUGAGGUAUACAGCCAAUAACUGCGUAAUUUUGGUUCAUAUUAACUUCUGUACUAGCUAAAAGAGCUCGUCCUACUGUAUUGUUUAUAGUAUCUAAAAGGUUAAUAUUUAUAAGUGCUCCAAUUUCUUACGAUGAAGUCCUAUUAUUCCUAUUAAAAUUAUUCUUAAGUGCAUAUAUGUAUUGGUUUUAUUUUUUAAUAAUUUGUGUUUUGUUUCCGGAGACACUAAGUCUAAAUAUACAAUAUUUCCUAUUGAACUUAUAGUAUGUUGAUUUAAAAAUCUAGUUAUUUUAGAAUUUUGAACUAAUUGUUUUUUGUAAGGUGUUACUUCCUUUACUGCAUUUUUAAAUUUUUCUUCAAUAAAUUCUUUUACAUUAUCUCUAAGGUUUAUUGCUUCUACUAUUUCCAUGGUUUUAUUGCUAGAUUUUUUGGUUCAAAAGGAUUUAUUUUUCUUUCUAUUUUAAUUAUUGGUUUUUCUCCUAAAUUAAAGUUUUCAAAUUGUUUUAAAAGGUUAUUUAAUUUUUGUUCCUUUGAUAAUACUAUAUUUCUUUGUUCUAAAAGUUUAUCUAAUAAAUUAGUAUUAAUGUAUCUUUCGAUUUUUUUUAAUAGAUACUGAAGGGUUUAAAAAAAAUGAUUCAAUUUUAAAUAUAUGACUUUCAUUUAUUUACAUGAUAUUAAUAUUGAACCUAAAUAACUAUCUCCUACUUUAAGUCCUUUGAUAUUAUAUAUAUAUAACCAUAAUUCUUGUAGAACAAUCAUAACCCUAAUUCCAUAAUUAUGCAAGUCAAGCCAUAAUUUUGCACAAAUCAUAAUAGCCAAGGAUUUUAGAACAAUAUGAUUUUCACAAUUCUAUUAUUGAGAGAAAAAAAAACAAAAAAACAUAUCUUUAAUCCGUAGGGAACUUUUGAAGAGACCAAACAAUGAGCAUAAUAGAAACUGUGUUUCUCUCUAUUAACCCUUUCACCCUUAGGUUUUCUCUUAUGCAUAUUAUUGAUGGAACAUAACACUUAUUUAUAGGGUGGAGUGAGGACCAGUUUCCUUAUAGAAUUAGAAAUGCAUUUUCCAUCAAAUUGCCUUUAAUUUAGGAAAGUAACUUCUCAAAAACUAACCAACAAAAUUUUAACUUUAUUAUUUAUUAAACCAUAAUACUUAAUUUGAUAUUUAAAUAAAUAUCACAUAAUAAUUUACAUGUGGGCCACAUAAAAUUCUUACAUUCUCCCACUUGGCCCAUGUGAUAUACUUUCACUUCAUGGUUUAAUAAAUAAAACAUAAUGCACAAAAUAUCAAGCUAAAACAUUCUUACAUUGAUCACAUUAUACAUCAUAGUUAAGUAAAAACUAAUGAGAGUCAUGGCGGUUAUACAUCACUAUUUCGAUAUAGUCCUUUCCAUGUACUUCACAAUUAGCUCCUACUUAACAUGACCUGUAAAUGAGAAGUACAAUAAUAGUCCACAAUAAUGCCUUUGUCAAAGACUUUCCUUUUCACAUUAAUUUGUAUGCAAUUAUGUAUACAAAACAGAUAUAAAAAAAUUUCAGAAACAUAUAAUCGAGCUCUAGAGUGUUCAAUAAAUAAUCAUCAUCUUGAGACCAAUACCAUAAUAUGCCUAAGACUCAUAAUUUCUACAUGGUAAUCAAUGUCUUAGUAGCAUUUUUUUCAUCAUUAGGUCCUCAACCAUAAGUUGUAUGCAUAAUCAAUUAAUUUAACACUCUUGUUUCUGCAUUAUCUCAUAUACAACAAAAACUUUAACCCUAUGUCCUUGAUGAUCAUAAAAUAUUUGUUGUUGAAAGAGAAGUGAUAGCAGAAUCUAUUAUUUUUAGCAACUUGGCAAUAAAGCCGACAAAUCCAAGUUCUAAAAUAAUAUUCCGCAACCAUAAUUCAUAAUUUGUGACACAUUAUGCCACAAUACAUACUUUGAUAGAAGAUUGUCAUACCUUUACAUGAUAUUUUUCCUUUGCAUAAUCUUCAAUUAAUAGGAACAAAUAACAAAAGUAGACUUUCAACUAUACAUUAUUCCGCAUAAUCUAAAAGUAAAUAGAAAACAUGCAACAUUAAGGUUCCUCUCUCAUAACACUUCCAAUCCAUCAAUAUCUCAAAACCCUUUAAAUAUUUAUUGUAUGAGACAAUCUAACAAUUCAUGUAACUUUACAUAGGAUAUAUUAUGCCAUCACAUAGCAUUGUCUUUAUAUGUAUAUAUAUAUAUAUAUUGUACCAUAAAAUUUUGAGAUUUUAUUUCAUAACUUAAUGCAAUAAAUAGAAAUCUAGUAAUGAUUAGCAAGACAUCAUCAAUAUAAAAAAUAAGGUUUUUCCCACUAAUCUUUGGAUAUAUUCACUAAAUGAUAGUGGUUUUCUUAAAUCCAAAGAACAUUAUGAUAUCAUAGAGUUUAAGAUAUCAUGGAGGAAUAUUAAAAUUUGUCUAUCAACUUUAAUUGACUUUCAGUGAUAGUUUUAAUUGACAACCACAAGUUUAUCCCUUAAACUUACUCAAUCAUUAAAAUAUGAGUCAUUUAAUAAAAAUAUGAUAUUCUCCCACUUGGCUCACAUUUUACAUUAAUCGAGAAACAAACUUGAAGUAUCAAAUAAAACUAAAAGUCAAACAUUUCAUGCUAAACUUCUAACUUGAAAAAUCUUUAUGUAGUUAUAAUACCACAUGGUUGAUACUUGGAAUAACGAAUCUUUCUCCUUAUAAGAUUAUUUAUUUGUUUAUUUAUUUUUAAUGUCAUUCCUAAUAAUAAGAGGUCCAAUUAACUUCAUUUAAGAGUGAUUGAUCAUUUAGUUGCUACUUACUAACUUUAACCUUCGUUAAUUGUAAGCAACAUUUUAGAAGUUAUAAAGUUAAAGACAACUUUAUUAUAACUCCUUAGGUAACCAUAUUUCAUAGUACUGAUCACUUCCACUAAUAUAAACAUUCUUAAUGAACCACGACAUUAUUAGUUUCACAAAUCACUCAUAAUACUUUGGUUUGGAUUAUAAAUCUUAUACUUUCAGGGUAGUGAGAGAAACUUGACAUACUCCUAACCGAGUAGCAUUGAAUUACAAUUAUACUUGAUAUAACAUAAAUAUCAAGUGCAUAAAGGGUUUAAUAGCAAUUGUAACAUUUACCACCUUAAAACAUAAUUGUCUAACUUCUUACUUUGAUUCUAUUUGUUUUUUAAUCUCAUUAAAAGAAAAACUUUAAUGAAAUAUGAUUUUAAUCAUACAAAAUAACAAAACUUAGCUGUUCUUUUAAAUCAUAUUUUACAAUUUUAGCAAUCCUUCAACUAUUCAUAAUUUUCCAAUAAAGUGAUACUCAACAUUUUGAGUUUCCUUUUAUGAUUCUUGAUAAUUUCACAAGAAUCAUCUCUUUAAUUGGUUCAUUCAUAAUUCUUGAAGACUUUAAUCAUUGACCUCUUAUAAGUUUCAUAAAUCUUCAAGGGGAAUGAAUUUUCAUUAAGUAGUCUUAUUUCCUUUUAAAGAAAUAUGAUAACCAAUUCAAUCAUAUCACACUCAUUCUUAAUAGUGUUUUUGAUAGAUUUGAAGUGAUUUAUACUAAACAAGAUUGCAUAAUAUGAAAAUUCAUCAAUUAUUUCCAAGAUCUUUAGUCUUGCAGUCAUAUCAUGUUGAAAUGCUUAUUUAUUACAUAUCAUCAAAAUUCAUGAUGAUAUUAAUCAGUCCUCAAUCAUGGAUAUUCUUUGAAAUGCUCAUUUAUUACAUAUCAUCAAAAUUCAUGAUGAUAUUAAUCAGUCCUCAAUCAUGGAUAUUCUUUAUUUAGAGGAACGAUAAUAAACUUAAUAUUGCAAAAUAAUUAGCAAAUUUGAGGACAACACUAUAACAUAAAAUAUCAUGCUUUCAUGAUUAAACUUGGUAAGUUAUAAGCAAAAAUACAAUCAGAUUCAAACAACUAACUUAGAAAAACAAUACAUAUAUACUACAAUUCUCCUUUAGGUAGAUAUUACAAUAUAUAAUAACUUUAUGAUGCUUUUAAUAUAUACUUUAAUGGAUAAAUUCAUAGCCCAUAUUGUUAAAAUACAUUUGCAAUCUUUGGAUGUACAAAUAUAAUCUAACUAAAGCAUAUGAUUUAUCCCAUUAUAUUCAUCAUUCAUAAAGUGGUUAGGUAAAUCCUUAAAUAUCUUUCAAUAUACUCACUCAACAAGUACUUAAAUAUGUUGCAAGCAUAAGUAAUGAGUAAUUGAAUAACGUAAGUAUAUAUUACUCAAUAUAAAACUCAUGAAACUUUCAAGUUCGGUCACUUUGGUGACUAACAAACUUUACAUUUAUGAAUUUCAAAAUUUUGUAAUAAACACCAUUUACAUCUUUAAAGGAUGUUCAUCAACUUUCUAGUAUGGUCGCUUUGGUGACUAACACACCAUAAAUAAUAUGAACUCCCACUUGAUAAUAUAAUUAUCAUAAAAACAUUACUUUGUAAUAAAUCAAUAUUUAAAUAUUAUUAUAAACAUUAUAUAAUAGUUAAACAUAUAAGUUUAGUGGAAAAUCAUAAUAUCACAACAAUCAUAGUCAAAAUUGUCAAACAUGAUGAGAGAACUUAAUUGUCAAACAUGAUGAGAAAACUUAAUGAGACUUUGUAAAUAGAGCAAAUAUCAAAGGCUUUCUAUACAUCAAUAAUAAUACAAAAUUAUAAACAUGCAAGGCAUGAUACUAUAACAAGAAUAUGAGAUUAUAUGAGAAAUUGUCACAUAAUUAGCUCUAUUUACAUUUAUGUGAAUUCUACCUCAAAAUCUCAUAAGUGUCAAUUUGCAUUACAUUGACAAUAAUAUCCAUAAUGUAUAAUUCAUAUAAAUAAUCACCCAUAAUAAGAUCUUCAGCCAAAUGGUCUUUAACCCAUAACAGUUCAUUCUUAUAUCACCUUAUACAUAAUAGGUAAUCAAUAAUAUUAUACAAUUUGAUAGACACAAAGCUUUAAGGUUUGGCCACUUUGGUGAUUAACAAACUGUUCAUAAGCGAAUUUCAAAUUGUAUAAUAUAAAUAAUUAUUAUAUCAUUUGAUAUCCAAGACAUUAAAGUUUGACCACUUUGGUGACUGCAAACAAACAUAAUAUGAAUAUCAAACUAAAAAACAUCUCAAUCAUGUUAAACCUUCAUAAUACUAUUAUGGAAGCAUAAAGGACAAUUUGCUAAAAAUCACUUAUGAUCCCAAGUUGUACAAUAUGCAAUUUCUUUAUAAAAUGAUCAAGUUUAGCAUAAAGCCAUAAAGAAUUCAAUUUAUUCAAAUUGUGCAUUAAUAGAAAUAAACACUUAUGUGGCAAGAAAUAAUAAUUGACAUAAAAUUGUAAUUCAUAUAAUAACUUGAAGCCACCAUAAUUGAUUUCGGGAAGAAAUCAAACACAAAAAUAUCAACAAAAUAUUUUGAUUACAAUGGAAAAAUACAAUUAGUAAAUGUAAUUCUCUCAUCAAAAUUUUAUAUCAUAAAAGAGACAUAAAACAAUCUUUAAAGGAAAAUCAUAAAUUCUUGAACCAUGGCUCUAAUACCACAUGUUAGGUUUUCUUUAUUUGUGCAAAAGAAUAAUAACCACAAUUCCUGCAAAACAAUCAUAACCCUAAUUCCAUAAUUAUGCAAAUCAAGCCUUAAUUUUGCAAAAAUCAUAAUAUCCAAGGAUUUUAGAACAAUAUGAUUUUCACAAUUCUAUUAUUGAGAGAAAAACACAAAACAUACCUUUAAUUUGUAGGUAACUUUUGAAGAGACCAAACAAUGGGCAUAAUAGAAACUGUGUUUCUCUUCCUUAACCCCUUCACCCUUAGGUUUUCUCUUAUGCGUAUUAUUGAUGGAAUAUAACACAUAUUUAUAGGGUAGAGAGAGGACCGGUUUUCUUAUAGAAUUAGAAGUGCACUUUCCAUCAAAGUGCCUUUAAUUUAGGAAACUAACUUCUUGAAAACUGACCAAUAGGAUUUUAUCUUUAUUAUUUAUUAAACCUUAUUUAAUUUGAUAUUUAAAUAAAUAUCACAUAAUAAUUUACACAUGGGCCGCAUAAAAUUCUUACAUAUAUAUUUCAAAACAACUUCCCAUGAAAUUUGAUACUAAAUUGCCAUUUCAUCUAGGGUAAUGAACUUAUUUGAUAAUAUUUAUCAUUUUUCAUUUUCUUAUUCUCAAGUUUUUUUAUCAUAUAUUGGUUUUUACCUUAUUUAUGUUUCUAUUUUCAUAUUUCAAAGAUAAAAAAUGAUGACCCAUUCUGGUUAAAAAAAUUAUUUUUCGCUCAUUUUAAACAUAUCAAAGUAUUUAUUUGUUGAUAAUAUCUAUUCUUUUAUUAUGUAUUACUUUCAUGACUUCUGAUUGAUAAUUAACAAACAAAAUGUUAGUUUUUCAUUUUUUUUAAUUAUUUUGGAUAAUUCAUUGAUUAUUUGUUAGUAUCAUUAGAUUAGUUUUUAAAUAAUAUAUUUUUUUAAAGUUAUAAAUUACCUUAAGAAUAUUACUUAUACAUGUACACAUAUAUUUUUAUUAAACUAUGAUUUUUUAAAAAAAAAAAUUCAAACUACAUGAUAAUUUUUUAAUAUUUAAUAAAAAAUUUACAAUGAUAGUAUUAUCUUUCAUAAUAUUGUCUUUCAUGAAAAUGAAAACAAUUAUUCAAAAUAUAAUCUUAAUAAAAUUGGCCAAAUUCGAUUAAAAAAUAUUUUAAAUUCAAAAACUUUUCUGGAAUCAAAUCAUUCGAUAAAAUCAAAAUCUUCAAUUUUGAGGCGAAGAAAUUGUAAAAUAUAUACUUAACUUCUCUUUGGAUAAAAUGAGUGUAUCUAUACUGCCAAGAUAAAAUCUUCUUAAAAAACUAAAUUUAAAUUAAUAGAUUUUUUUAUUUACUUAUCAAGUAUUUUGCUUUUCAAAGAGAUUAUAAAUAAGCAUUUUGUAAUCAAUUUUUCUUUUAUCUUUUACUAGUUGAUUCUUCUAUUAUUAUUAUUAUUAUUAUUAUUAUUAUUAUUAUGAUAUGUAAGCCUAUUUUAAUAUAAUAACUUUGAUCUAAGAUAAAACCAGUUUUGUGGAUUAUAUUAAAUUAAAAAUAUGAUAAUGUUAAAAAAUUAUUUUAGGAUACAAGUCGUGCAUGCUUUUUUUUUUCUUGCCUAUCUAUAAUUUUAAAAUUUUGGACAACAUAUAAAACAAACUUUUAAGAGUUUGAUUUUAUAUAUAUAUAUAUAUAUAUAUAAAUAAAUAUUACUACAAUUAUCGUUACUAUAUAUAAAAGAUUGAAGUAGUUGUUUACUUUUUCCUAUAGAAUUGUGUUCCCAUCUUGCUUAAAUACACUUGCAUCCUAUAACUAUUUUAUUUGAUUCAUUCAACUUAUAUUUUUCUUUUUCCAAAUUAAAUCUAAGAAUUUAUUUAAAUAACGUCUCUCUUAGAAGUGUUAAAAUUAAUAUUAAAAUAUAAUGAAAUGGUGCAUUUUUUGAAAUAAUUUAUACAUGUACACAAAGAUUUUUAUUAAACUACUUUUCUUUUAAAAUUUUCAAACUACAUGAUAUUUUUUUAAUAUUCAAUAAAAAAUUUACAACAAUAGCAUUAUCUUUCACAAUGUUGACUUCUAUAUAUAUUAAAAAGUUAAUUUAAAUUUAACAGUUGUCAAAACUUGAGGAUAUUCAAGUUCAUGACCUCCAACAAACCAUGUGUCUACACCAACUAAACUAAACCAUGCUCCCUUUGCUUUUUACAAUCUUGUGUGGUGUAAGAAAUUUGGGAAAGUGAGGCUAUGUUUGGAAGCAACUUUAACAAUAGGAAAUAAAGGAUAGUUUCUAUAGUUCUUAGAAAUAUAAAAUAAUAUGUUUUUUGAUAAAGUAUUUUUAUUUUAUUCUAUUUUUAUUUAAUUUUUAAAGAUUAUUUCACGAAAAUAAUUAUAAACUAAUAAUUGAAAAUCAAACAUUUUACAUAAGAACAUGCACAUGUAUAACUAGAUAUCUGUGUAUGAAACCCUAGAAAUAUAAACAUUUAAAAAACCCAAUACAAAAUAAUUGAAUAAAACAAUUCAAUGAAAUAGUAAAUAUUUAAUGAAAUUAGCUUUUGUCAACAAAAUAACAUAUAAUUUAAAUAAUUUUGUCAUGCGAUAACCCACCACAAAAAAAUACGAUUUCAUCUCGGGUAAUAAACUUAUCUAUUUCACUUAUGUUUAGAAUCAAGAGAUAGAAAAUGAUAGAAAAUAUUUUAUAAUAACUAAUGUUGGAAUUCUUAUUGUAUUGUUUGAGUUUAUCUACUUAAGCCUCUCGCCAUGUCAUCUAUGUUCAACAUAAUAAAUUACAAUCAUCUUUCUAUUUAUUUAUACUUCGCUUCAACAUUUCCAAUUUCCAAAUUGGUUUUCAUGUAAUAAAAGGACAUUUAUCAUUAAUGACUAAUAACAAAGUAUUACAUCUUACACAUAAUAUUCAAAUAUUAAGUUUUGAAUUUAUACUAUAAUUACUAACAUAACCAAACUAAUCUUAGUUGAAGCUACAACUUUAUUGUCCAGAAUGGGGUGUCAAAGCUUAAGGAACACCAACAAUUGAUGUAGUCUACAACCAACUCAUUUUUCCAUUGCUUAGUAUUAGUAAGCUCCAUCAUGCUUAUAGUUCGUUCGAUACUAUAGAAACGGUUAAGGAAUUCGUGUUCCAUUUGGUCCCAACUAUCGAUACACUCACGCAUAAGGUUUAUAUACCAAUUGAAAGCAUUCCCUUAGAGGUAGCAGACGAAUUGUUGGAUUAACAAGUCACCAUUUGUACUUGCAUUGUUACAAGUUUCAAUGAAAUAGGCAACAUGUUGUUUUGGAUUUCCCUUCCCAUCAAAUGAUUGAAACUUUGAAGGUUGAUAACCUAUAGGCAUACAUAGGUUAUCAAUCCUCUUAGUGUAAGGUUUAGAGUACAUGAGUGUACUCUGUGAGGGUCCACCAUACUACGCUUUAAUGGUGUUAGUUAUCAUGUCUUAAAGUUCCUGGACAGAUAAUGACGCCACCGAGGCAGAUUCUAUCAUUUGUUUCCCAACUUGCAUUAUCCUAGAUGAACGCGGUGCAUCGUUAAGAGGAGAUGUAACAUUCGAAAAGUGGUUGAGUCCUUGGAUUGACUCAUUUGUAUUUUGUACUUGUGUCUCGACCUUGUUUAUGAGGGAGACUAUUUGCAUAUCCUUUUCCUCAACCGUCGUGGUAAGUUUGGCGAUGACGAGAGUCGUCUCUGCCAAUUGUCCCUCUACAGACGUAGUGCCUGUUGCCAUUAUCGGCAUGGUCAUCGAGAAGGGAGAAGUAAAAUAGUCGAAACAAUUGAAGUAGUUUUCCUUCUUUGACAUUCCAUUUAGUGAUUUGGAGUGUGAGUCGAUGCUGGAAUGCAUCGAUAACAGAGUAAGGAGACUUAUCCCUAAAGUCCUUUAGUGCUGAAGGGAGUUUUCCCCUGCUAUGAGGAUUACCCUUGAAAAGGCCAAAGUAAUGAAUGGUUGGUGCUCAUCACGUGUCUUUAUUGGUUUUAACAAAUAAAUAGGUUCACUUGUUUGUUUUGUUGAAACUGAAGAUGUUGAUUUCACUUUGCUACAAGUCAUGGGGGUUGUAGCGAUGUUAUGUGUCGAUUACGCAAUGAUGAUCUUUUCACUGCCCUUGUUGACAUGCACAACUUGAGUUCUUUUGGAUGCCAUCAACGUAAUAAUGAUCAAUCUUCUAAUGAAAGAAAUGAGAGGCAGAAAGGUCCCAUCGGGUGUGCCAAAAAUUUGUACGCACAAAUUUCAUGAAGUCCUAGAAUUUAAGCAAAAUAAUAGGAAAAUAAUGCAAACAAAAUAUUUAUUAAAAUUAAAAUAUUGUGGGGUACAAUCUCAAAUAUAAUAUUCUUUACAAAAUAACAUCUUCCCUCUAAUUUUUUUUGCCUUGAUCACAAUUUGGAAGACGAUGGUGAUGUUUUCUUGAUUUCAAAGAUCAAUUGAGGGCCACAAGUGUUAGCCCCUUAGACCCUUGACUUAACCAUGGAGGAAUAGGCCUCAUGGGUAGGCCUUGCACCCAUGAAAGCCUAGGAUGAAAGCAGGGAAAUCCUAGAAGUUUGGUGGUUCAAGCUCCAAGAGCCAUAUGAAGAGGUCGCGGGUGAGCCAGACACGCACUGUGCGCACAUCGUGGGCGAGCCAAACGUGCACCACGCUCGAGCCAGACUCGCACCGCGCGAGCACCAUGGGCGAGCCAGACGCACACCGCGAGCGGGCUAGACACGCACCGCAAGCGGGCUAGACACGCACCGCGUGUGCACUAGAUGGGCAUUGCGCACGCACCUGACUUAAGCGGUGCAAAUGAAGGCUGACUUGGAAUUUUAAUUUAUAAUUAAAAUUAUAUUCCAUUAUGCCUCCUCAGACAUAUUGAUGUCUCCUCAAGAAACAAUAAAAACGACUCGUAUUGCUCUUUAAGGGGGGGAGUAAGUGACUCAAAGGGAGGAGCCACCAAGAGAAGCCUUGACUGCACCAAGGGGGCACCAUGGCACGGCCUUGGGUGUGCUAAAGACACACGACGCGACUCGAGCACGCACACAUGGGCUCCACGACAUGUGUGUUGUGCACCCCGUGGCCGCAACGGCACAGGGCUUGGUGCGGCCUACCCCCUCCCCGCUUAGGCACGAGGGCGCCUAAGCCUUGUGCGGUGAGCCGGUUGAUGAAACCAUGGGUGCAAUGCCAUGGUCUGAUGGCUCCAAUAGCUGACUCACACCGAGAUGCCUACGCACAACACAGGGGCGCAAUGCCCUGUGCACCAAGAAGGACUAGCCAUAGGCGCAAUGCCAUGGCUCGUUGCUGGGAAGCUAGGAAGCAAGCAACAAGCCCACGCCAUGGGCACCUAGACAUGGCACGGGCUCAUACACCAGUGUGAGGAAGGCAUACUGAUGCACCAGACGCUUGGUCAGAUGGGUGGUGCACGCUGCCUGGCUUAGAGGGUCUUGAUCAAAGACAUGCUGAUGGGCACCCGGUCACAAGAGGCACCUUACGGGGAGGGGUCGGCUUGUUAGGGGGACUUACCAGCAGCUUGGCGAGCAAGACCUGAGGAGAUGGCAGUGCAGCUAGCUAGUGGCAGCUAGCUCAGACAACCAGUGACCAAGUCAAGCCGUCAUUGACCUACAGUUGGCUGAAGGAUGAUGGUUGGUGCAAGUGGGUGGCAUGUGCAGGUCACUAUCUGGGUGGUGGGUGGUUAUGCAGGACAGUUCUGGCCAAUUGCAUGACCACCAAAGUUUGCUCCAAGAUUUGAAUUAGGGAAUUCAAAUUUGUAACUGCAGAUUGAGUCAUUUAAAAAGGGCUCCUGCAGCCUUGAAACAGAGUAUGAGAGUUUGGGGAAAGGGUUCCUUCUCAUAUGCCUUGGGUGAGUGCAUUGUACUCUGGUUCAAAAAGCAAUUUUGUCUUGUAAGAGUGAUUAAUACAAGUUGGGAAAAGAUUCCCGUAACCUCGUGUGUCCCUAUUGCUUUGUUAUUUCUGUAUUCUACUCUGUUCUUCUAAACGCUGGGAAGGGAAGAUUGGCUAAGGAAGGAUCCUUAGCACCGCACACUCGUGAAAAAUUAAGUGAGAUAACCAGGGGUGUGACAACAUCCGUGAUUGAGAUAAAUGCAAUUGGUCUAGUAGUUAUACAUACACAUCACAUGAUUAGCUAGCCAUCUGGAUACAGUGGUUGCCUAAAUACUAUUUUCUUAUACAUAUAUAUUCAUUUUGCAUCCAUGUCUUUGAUAACCCAAUUAAAGUAGCAUUGAAGGUGCACAUGUGAAUGACUCAACUAGUGACAACAAAAACAAAUAAAAGAAAAAACCAAGUACAAGGCUAUGGUAGAUAAAUUUGGAAAGUGGGGUGAUUGUUGACCAAAUAGAAUUAUGGUUUGUGAAGACGGAGGCGAACUGGAAGUCCCUUAGCAGGCAUGCGCAUGGGGUCAAUUAUUAUCUUCUCAUCAGGAAGCAAUUUAUCCCAUUUGAACCUUUUAACCACGUUAUGCAUGAAGACAAGUAUUUCCAAGCGGGCGUACUCUUUACCAGGGCACAUCCUAGGUCCACCACCAAAGGGAACGAAUGUGUAAGGAGCAGGCCCAGCUCCUUCAAAUCUUGUAGGGUCAAAUUUUUCAGGUUCAGGGAAGCAUUUUGGGCUUUUGUGGGUUGAGCUUGUGCUCCAGUACAACUACAAAUAAUUAAAAAAAAACUCCUGUUAAUUAACUUGCAUGUGGUUGAUGACAGUGUGUUGGAAUAAAAAAUAUAAGUUAUAUGAGUUAUGGAAUAAUAUAAUAUUAUACCUUCCAACCCUUAGGAAUGGAGAAACCAUUGAACACGAAGUCAGUGAUUGCUUCUCGGAAAGCUCCUUGGAGUGGGGGUGCAAGUCUCAUCACUUCACAAGCAACAUUCCAUGAAUAUCUCAUCUUUUGAACAUCAUCCCAGUUCAAUAAUUCACCUGGUGCUUUUGAAUUGGCAAUUUCCAUUUGCUCUAUUCACAAACAUGGACCCAAAGAAAAAAGUUAGAAACUAAUGUUCUUUUGGUCGGUGACUAGGAUAGCCAAAAAGUAAAAUAAGGCUAAAUAAUGGAAUAAUCAACGGGUGUGGCUAUUGGAAUUUACUUGAUGACAUUACAACAAAUAUGAUGUUUUGCAACAAUUGUUUUUGUGGCAAAAAGUUAGAUUUUCAUAGCAAAUAUGUUUUUGCCACAAAAAACAUCCGUCACAAGAUUGUCACAACAAGUCCGUCACUAAAAAGUUUUACCAACGAAUAAAAAAAUUUAUUUCUAAAAGUAACUUUUAGCGAUGAAUAAUAUUUGUGAAAAAAAUAAACUAUUCAUGGCAAAAAAAAAAAAAACUCUCAUGAGGACAGUUUUGUGGCAAAAUGUCUCUUUUAACGACGAAUGUUAUUUUGUGGCAAAAAGACUCUUUUAACAAUGAAUGUUAUUUUGUGACAAUAUAAUAUCUUUAGUGACAAAUUUAUGUUUGUGGUAAAAAUAUUAUGAUAAUAUUUUAUUUUUCAUUUUUCAUUUUUUAUUUUACUCAUGACCCUUUACUUUAUCACCACUCUUUAAAGAGACUUUCACCAUAUCUUCUAUAAAUCAAUUGAUGUGUAAAACGUAAUAAUCGACUUCUUAUUAGGUUCAAUGUUAUUUCUAUCUUUAUACUUGUCUCAAAUUACGAUUAUUUUUCAUACUCUUAUCAAUGAACUUGCAAAAACUUGAAAAAGAAAAUAAUAAUUUUCAAAACAAAAUUUAUGAAUUAUCAAUAAUUAUUUGCAUAAUUAUUCUUAAAAAAAAAAUUCAAAUAUAGAAUUUUUUUUAAAAAUAAAUAAAAGAAAAUUGAAAAUUAAAUAAAUAAAAAAUAAAAAAAUUUAAAAAAUUACAUAGUUAUUUAAACUAAAAUAUAAUAGAAACCAAGACUCUUAGUAAAGGAAUCGUUGAAAAAAAAAUAUGUAUAUAAUAGUUAUGUAAAUAAAAAUAAAUAAAAGCCAAAAAGAAAUUGUCUUUAUUAAGGCUGAGAAUCUAAUUUUUUAUUUUCUUAAUAUAAUUUUAUUUGAUUCAUUAUAUUUUUAAUUAAUAAGUAAAAAAAUUUCCAUUAAAAUUUUAAAAUAAAAUUAUGGCUUUAAAAUUAUAUACUUUUAUUAAAUAUUUAGAAAUUUCAUUUAUAGAUUCAAAAUUAUAAUUGUUAAACUCAGAUAAAAAUAUCAAAUGAUUGUUUUUUUCUUUCACUUUUUAUUAACAUCAAACUUUUUGUGCUUUAAUAAAAAAAACCUAUUUUAUAAUAAAUAACUAUUUUGUAUGAUAUUUUUAUGAAAUAUUAAAUAUAAUAUGAUUUUGAAAUAUUAAAUAUAAUAUAUUAUUAAUUUAAUAGUUCUAUUUAAUAUUUAAUUUAUUAUAUACCAUAAAUUAGUUUGUGGAAAAAAAUUGAAAUUUGUAAGUCAUUCCUUAUAUAUUUUUUUAUUAUAAAUAAUUUCAUACUAAAAGAGAAAAGUUUGUAGCACAAUGUCACAUACUAUGUGGUAAUUAUUUUUACCAUAGUUUUAAAGACGAAAUGUAAAUUCAUGGCCAAAAGUGAUAUUUUACUGUAAAUAAUUUUGAGACAAAAAGUUGAAUUAUUUCCUCCAUAUUUUUAGCAACAAAAAAGUAAUUUCAUAGCAAUAAGUAAUAUUUUACCAUGAAUAAUUUUAUAGUAAAAAGAUGAGUUCGUGAUAAAAUGUCAUAGCAAAAUAAUUUAAUUUAUAGCUGAAAGUGACAUUUUCCUACAAAAUUUAAUUUAUAGCAAAAUAAUUUAAAGCGUAUUUGUUGAAGUGUCACGAUGAGGAUUGUUCUCCCACAGCGAUCACUAUCACCUUUUUAUUUCUUAACAAAUAGAAAGCAAACUAAUUGGAAAAGUUAGUCAUGGAGAAAAUACUUUUGUAAAUAAUUUUAUUACUGUUAUUAUUAUUUGUUAUAUACAUGAAAAAUAUUGCAUGUUGCAUGCGUAAAAGAGAACAUUAAAUAAAAUAAUAUAAAGAGAAAAUAUUGCAGGUCCAUGCGUAAAAGAGAUUUACCUUCGUAGACUUUCUCGUACAUAUGAGGCAGCUCAGCCAUGUACUUAACAAUGAAUGUAAUGGCAGAACUGGCCGUAUCAUGGCCACCAAUCAACAAGCCAAGGAUUUUAUCAGCAAUAUUAAUUUCGUUCAUGUGGCGUCCAUCUUCAUCUGUGGCCAGAAGCAGGUCGGACAAUAUAUCUUGAGUUGGUGAGGCUUUUCCCUCGGCCAGAUCGAUCUUCCUUUGCUUGAUGAUGGCUCUAAGCUCCUUUCUGAUGAAGUUGGAGGCCUUGAUAGCGCGGUGGAAAGGUGUCCCAGGCAAGUCAAUCGGGACGGUGAUGAGUCCUGAGGCCAAGACAUGGAAGGGCUUUUCAAAUUUAGCGAUGUGGUCAGGAUCUUCUAUGCUCAUAAAGAGGCGGCAAGCUAGCCAGAAAGUGAACCUCUUGGACAGUGGAAACACAAUGACUUCAUCUCUGUUGUCCCAGCUAUCAGCAAAGUGCCUCUGCGCAAUGUGAUCCAUGAUGCCGAUGUAACGUUGCAAGGCUUCAGGCUUAAGGAACCGAGGGAGCAACUUCCUCAUCUUCUUGGCCUCCUCUUUGGAUGAGGUUUGGGUGGAGGAGGGGAAGACCUUGUCCACGGAGCUAGGCCACCACGCAUGAACAAGCUUGUUUUCGUUGGAGAACAAAAACUUGUUGCCCGCAGCGCCAGCAAAGACGGCAGCAGGCUCUCCGAGGAGGGAGGUCUUGAAGACUUCAGAGGAGUAUUUGGAGAUGCGAUCGAAGAUGAAUUUUUCCGGGUGGCCUUUCCAGCCGGUGGAGAGGAAUUCAAGGCUUUCACCAACCAUAGGCCAACCAAUCCUGCCAGGGGGGAGGUUGGGGCCAGUGAAGUGGGAUCUGUGCUUGUAGAAGAGGAACUGAAGUCCGAUGGAGACUGAGAGCACACAGAUGAGGAGCAGGGAGAGGAAGAACACCUCCAUUGUUGAUGAUAUUGCCCACAGCCUCUCCCAAAACCGUAGAGAAACAAAAGAAAACAAGAGAAGAGAGACCUUGUUUGAAGAGAAAUGGGCUAGGUGGGAUGGCAUUUUAUAAAGAAGUGGGGGAUGGCAUCACAAAAAGAAAAAAAAAAACAAGUCGAAGAAGCUAAGUUGGCCUAUUAAAGGUGGUAUCAUCUGCGUAUUGCGUGUUUAACGUUUCUAAAACAGCCCUGGCCAAUCUCAAAGCUGUUAAUAAGACCUAAUGCGCUGAGAUAUCUUGUAGCCUCAACCAACUCCUAGCUGUGUCAUUAAUGAUGACAAAUAAACUAACCGAGAACAAACAAGAGAAAACAAGAGAAGAGAGACCUUGUUUGAAGAGAAAUGGGCUAGGUGGGAUGGCAUUUUAUAAAGAAGUGGGGGAUGGCAUCACAAAAAGAAAAAAAAAAACAAGUCGAAGAAGCUAAGUUGGCCUAUUAAAGGUGGUAUCAUCUGCGUAUUGCGUGUUUAACGUUUCUAAAACAGCCCUGGCCAAUCUCAAAGCUGUUAAUAAGACCUAAUGCGCUGAGAUAUCUUGUAGCCUCAACCAAAUCCUAGCUGUGUCAUUAAUGAUGACAAAUAAACUAACCGAGAACAAACACACUCAGGUUUGUUUUCCCAUUUUUACCCAAAGCUUUUGUCCAUUUGAGGGUAAGGAUGAAAAUAUCGGUAAUCACGGUGUGAUCCCGCAUUUUCACAUGCAUUCUCACUCGAUAGUGAGACUUGCUUUUUAUUUGUGAAAACUAAUUUUUUUUAAAUAAUGGAGUUGCCACUUACUUUUGUUUUAUUUUUUAAAGGAGAAAACAAAAUAAGAAAGAAAAACAUUAAAUGUGACUCCUGAAAGAAAAGACAAGCAUGUGAAAACCAAAUUAGGUCCAAAGUCAGGUUACUUAUUAGGAAGAUACGGUGAAGAACCGUAGCACUCCUCUAAGCCCUAAAAGGUAGGUCUUUACUAAGUAAGUCGAGAUAAUUAUGAUGAUUAACUGAUUAAUUCAUAGAUACUAUGAACUAAAUAAACACAUCAACACAAUUCAUCAAUUUAAUAAAGAAAGACGUAUCUGAUUUACAUUCCAAGCACUUCCAAAAAACAUAAAAGUUAAAUAACAAGUAAUAGCAUCACAUUGUAUUCUAAGCAAUCAUAUAUUCCGUAACAAGUUGAAUUUAAUGUCAUACAAUCUCAACACAACAAGCAAACGUUAAUAGAUAAUGUUCAACCACAAACUUUAAUUUAAAUAAAUGGUGAAGAAAAGGUUUGCGUACAUGGUUCAAUAUUUUAAAGUGCUUUCAUAAAAAUGAGAUUAAUUCACAAAUAAUAAUAAUGAGUUUAAAAAGGAAUAAAAAAAACUAAGUCUAUAUACAUAUACAUAGCAAGUCUCAAAUCAAGGAAGGUUCACAAGCAUGUUCAAAAGUAAAUAAACUAUUAAAAGCAAAUGAAUUAUCAUUAAUAGGGUAUAAUAUUGAUUCAUAAAGUAAACUAUAAAUAAAUAUCAAAAAGUGUUAUCUCAUAAAAAUAAAAAUUAGGUAGCAUCUUUAACAUGUCUAGAUUAAUAUCCAAUAGGUCAAAUUAAUUAAUUUUAUUCUAACUAAUGUUAAAUUUAUUCUGGAUUACAUCACAGAAAAAUCGGCAAAUGACCAGAACAGAGGACUUUACAAAAAAAAUCUAAAAAAAAUAUCUAGAAGUUAAAUUUUAUCAUGAGAAUUUAAAUAAAUAAAAAAACAUCUCCUAUAUGUCUAGUUUAUCAUUCAAGUGAUCAAAUUAAUUAACUAGUCCAUAUUUAGAACCAAAUUUCGUAAUGAUAUUAAUAGAUCCAGAACAGGGCAUCUUUUUAAGGUAUUCAACAAUUGAUUUUUUUCAUUAACUUAGAGAUAUCCUAAAACCAUAAAAUAAAAUAAAAAUUGAAAAACCUAGCUCAAUAUGUCUAUUUUAAAUGAAAAAUAAUCACCGGGCAAUAUCACAUUCAUAACAUAUUUAAAAAUAAAUAAACCUCUCUCAGCUCCAGGAGAGCACUUGUACAAUGGGUGCAAGACGAAAAUAUUAUAACUCUCAUUUUUGGAAUUUUUUAUGAAUAUUUUAUAUGUCAAAAGUUAAAUUUAAGAAGUCUAGAUUAAGGGAAAAAUUUUAAAAUUACCCAUUUCAAGUUUGCUUCCUCGUAUAUACAACUGACACACUUUUCACUUGUCAUUUCUUUUUAAGUUCAUUUUUUUAUAAGUUAAAUUCAUAACCGAAAAUAUUUCCACUAAGUAUAAGCAAACCCCAUGUUAACGCCACAUCUAUUCCAUGUUAGUGCUAACACAUCUAUCCUAUGUUAGCACUAACACAUUUGUCCCGCAUUUCCUUCAACAUGGAUAGUUCGUAUAGUAUUUUACACGAAUGUUUGUGUUACUCAAUGCACGAUCUUGUCAUGUCCACUUCAAAUGUGGUAUUUUUAGAAAGUAUGUUUUAAUUUUUUAUAAUUGUUUUAAAAAUAAUGGAACAAAUAUGAAAAUAAUUAAAAUUAAGAUUGUACACAAGAAUUUUAUUUUUAAAAAUUAGAAAUAUAGAAAAUAAGUUGAAAAUAUUUUAAAAUUUCAAACAUAUUUUUAUUUUAAAAAAUAUUAUAAAACUGUUCUCAAAAACUAUUUUUGAAAAAUAAUUUUAAAAACAUUACAAAUAAUUCAUAAAUAAUUGAUUAAUUUGUCUCUCCAUGUACACAAAUUCAAGAGCUUUACAAUCAAAUUAAUAAUUCAAACAAAUAUUUUGAAAUAUCAAAUUAAUUUAGUUUCAUAAAUAAAAGUUCAUAUAUAGAUUUUAUUGCUUAACGUUGUUGUAGAUAGGAUAGGAUGAAUAUUGCUAAUGAUGUGGUGGAGAGGGUAAGAUUGGAUAAAGGGAAGUGGGAAGUGGGAAGUGGGAAGAGGAAGGUCCGACAAGGAAGCCCAUUAAAUGCAGCGGUGGACAGCCACAUGUGUGUUCCCAAACAAAAUUAAAUGAUUUGAAUUUUGGCAAUCGCCAUCAUCAUCCCACCUCACCCCCACACUCUGUUACUCUGAACCCUUACUCGACCCCACUCCCUCACUCUCACUCUCUCACCAGUCACCACACCCUUCUUUGUAGCAGUGACUGAACAAAUGUGCAAGGUGAAACUCAAAUAAUGAUAAAGAAGAUAAUAAAGAUGGAGAAGAUAAUAAUAGAAUCAAGAACUAAAGAAAAUUUUCGGCAGCUUACCUGUGAACACACACACCACAAUUAAUCCUACUGUUAACAAAAGAUACAAAAGACUUCUUUAAGUAUCUAUAAAAUUCUCAAAUUCUAACACUCCUCCUUGAGAAUUUUCUUAGAGACUCCAAGCCUUGAUCUUAGCUCUUCGAACUUGGCUUUGGAAAGUGCCUUAGUUAAUAUGUCAGCAAUCUGAUUUUCUGAGCAACAAUGCACCAUAUUGACUUCACCAUUCUUCUCAGCUUCUCUAAUUGCAUGAAACUUCACAUUUAUGUGUUUGGUUCUUCCAUGCUGCACAGGGUUUUUUGCAAUAGCAAUGGCUGACUUGUUGUCAAACCAAAUUACAGUAGCAUCUGCUUGGUUUUGCCCCAGAUCAGUCAGCAGUUUCCUUAGCCAAAUAGCUUGGUUUGCAGCUGCUACUGCAGAAAUAUACUCAGCUUCUGCUGAGGAUUGAGCCACAACCUCUUGAUUUUUUUAAUUCCAUGAAAAAACUCCACUACCAAAUGAGAAAGCAUAACCAGAAGUGCUUUUGGAAUCAUCUAAACUUCCUGCCCAGUCACUGUCUGCAUAUCCUUGGAGUUCUUUACUUUCUUUCUUAACAAACCACAAACCAUAGUCAAAAGUACCUUUAAUGUACCUUAGAACUCUCUUAGCUACCCCAAAAUGAAUUUUACUAGGUGAGUUCAUAAACCUUGAGAGUAGGCUUGCUGAGAACAUUAAAUCUAGCCUUGUAGCAGAUAAGUAGAGCAGACUACCUAUUAGGCUUCUGUAAAUAGAGGCAUCUGCUUUGAUGUUAACUUCAUUCUUUGAUAAUUUCUCAUUCACAACCAAAGGAGUUGCUACAGAUUUGGAUCUUUCCAUAUGAAACUUCUUCAAAACCUUCAGAGCAUACUUCUGUUGUGAGAUGAAGAUUCCAGCUUCACAUUGGUGAAUUUCCAUGCCCAAAAAAUAUUUCAUCUCACCCAAAUUGGACAUUUCAAACUCACUUUCCAUCUGCACCAUGAAUUGCUUCAAGAUUUUUGAAUUACAACCUGUAACCAGCAGGUCAUCUACAUACAAAGAGACAAUAAGCUGAACUUCUUCUUGAACCUUCAACACAUAUAGAGUGGCUUCACUUUCACUUCUUUUAAAUCCUUGCUGCAGCAGAUAGGCAUCAAUUCUACUAUACCAAGCUCUUAGUGCUUGUUUCAAGCCAUAGAGAGCUUUGUGGAGCUUGUAAACUUUAUCUUCACAACCUGAAACUUGAAAUCCUUCUGGUUGCUCAACAUAAAUAUCUUCUUCAAGCACACCAUUUAGAAAGGCAGACUUCACAUCAAGAUGAUGAAUUUUCCAGCCCAUCUUUGCUGCUAAAGCCACCAGAAGCCUUAUAGUAUCAUGCCUAGCCACUGGAGCAAAAGUAUUUGAAAAAUCAACACCAUACUCUUGAGAAUAGCCCUUUACAACCAAUCUGGCCUUAAGUUUGUUUACAGAACCAUCUGAGUUAUAUUUGAUUCUGAAAACCCACUUAACUCCAAUUAUCUUUUGAUUUUUGGGUCUAUCAACCAGCUCCCAAGUUCCAUUUUUCUUUAUCAUUUUUAGCUCCUCCUCCAUUGCAACUUUCCACCAUUUUCUUUAGCAGCUUCAUCAUAACAUGUAGGCUCNNNNNNNNNNNNNNNNNNNNNNNNNNNNNNNNNNNNNNNNNNNNNNNNNNNNNNNNNNNNNNNNNNNNNNNNNNNNNNNNNNNNNNNNNNNNNNNNNNNNNNNNNNNNNNNNNNNNNNNNNNNNNNNNNNNNNNNNNNNNNNNNNNNNNNNNNNNNNNNNNNNNNNNNNNNNNNNNNNNNNNNNNNNNNNNNNNNNNNNNNNNNNNNNNNNNNNNCAGUUUCUUCUGGAAUUUGGGGAAUGGUUACCCCAAUUUGAUCAACAUCUUCUACUUCUAUCUCAUUUUUCUCCCAGUUCCAUACUACUGCUUCAUCAACUUUGAUGUCCCUGCUAACCAUUAUUUUUUUUGUUUUCAAAUUGAAAACUCUAUAGCCCUUAGAGGUUGAGCUAUAUCCCAGGAAGAUUCCCAUUUCAGCUUUGUAGUCCAACUUGUCUCUUUUCACAUCUGGCACAUGAGUGUAACACAAACUCCCAAAUACUUUCAAGUGCUCCACAGCUGGUUUAACUCCAUACCAAGCCUCAAAUGAAGUUUCAUUCUUCACAGCUUUGGUUGGAAGUCUGUUCAACAAAUACAUAGCUGUGUUAACAGCUUCUGCCCAGAAACACUUGGGCAUUUUCUUUUCAAAUAGCAGACACCUUGUCAUCUCCAUAAUGGUUCUAUUCUUCCUCUCACUCACUCCAUUUUGUUGAGGGGAGUAAGUGACAGUCAACUGAUGUACAAUUCCAGCUUCAACACAAAACCUGUCAAACUUGUCUGAUGUAUAUUCAGUCCCAUUAUCCGAUCUUAUUACCUUAAUGCUGCAAUUUGCUUGAUUUUCUACCAAGGCCUUGAAAUUCUGAAACACACCAGCCACUUCUGAUUUUUGCUUCAUAAAGAAAACCCAACACAUCCUUGUUUUAUCAUCUAUGAACAGGAUGAAAUACAUGUUUCUAUUCAACGAGGGUGUCUUCAUUGGUCCACACACAUCAGUAUGGAUCAAUUGCAACCUUUCUGAAGCUCUCCAGGCCUUGUUUACAGGAAACAACAAUCUACUUUGCUUCCCAAAUUGACAGACUUGACACACUUUUUUUUCAUCACAAAUGACGGGUAGGCCUUGUGUUAAGCCUUUCUAAUGCAAGUGUUUAAGUGCAGCAUAAUGAAAAUGGCCAAAUCUCUUAUGCCACAACACAGACUCAUCAACAACAGUGGUAUAGGCAUGCAAAUUAGUCUCUUUCCACUUAAUUGGAAAGCUUUUGUCUCUCAUUUUUACAGUCAUCAACUUACAACCAACAUUAUCAACAAUGGUGCAGGACAUUUUUUGAAAAUGCAAAGAAUAAUUCUUCUCUAGCAUUUGACCCACACUUAAUAAGCUUUGACUAAUUUCAAGCACAAACAACACAUCUGAGAUAUAUUUAAUACCUGUUGGAGUCUCAACAGCAACAACUCCCUUGCCCUUGACAUCAACCAAAUCUCCAUUUCCAAUCUUCACUUUCGACUUAUAUGACUGAUCCAACUCCUUGAAACAACUCAACUCAGGAGUCAUGUGGUUUGUACAACCACUGUUAAUAAGCCAAGUUUCUGUACAACUGCUCGUUGCAUGACUUGUAACAAUAAACAAUUGCUCUUGUUGCUGCUGAUUUUCAGCCAUUUGUGCUUGUUGUCCUUGCUCCCCUUGCUGAUCAUUUUUAUUCUUGCAUACCUUCUCUACAUGACCAAAUUGCUUGCAUGAUCUGCAUUAUACACUUGGCCUAUACCAACAAAAAUUCUAUGAAUGACUCUGUUUCUUGCAGUGAGGACAUGGAGGAUAUCUCUUCUUGCCACCACUUUUCCUUCCUUGGCCCUCAUUCUUUUAUUUAUCUUUCUUCUCACCAGAUUGCUUUUUCUCUCUGCCUUGAGAAGCUUUUCUUUUUUGCAGUGCAAGAAAAGCUUCUUCAUUGCUUUCUUCCUGUCUCAUUAAUCUCCUCUGUUCUUGAGCUUGAAAAGCAUGAACAAGCUCAGCCAAGGAAAUUUUGGUUAAAUCCUUUGAGUCUUCAAGUGAAGAGAUCUUGGACUCAAAUCUUUCAGGCAAGCUCACUAGAACUUUCUCUACAACCCUUUGGUCUGUUAGAUCCUCACCAAGAAGCCAGAUUUUGUUAACAACUUCCAUGAGCCUGUCUACAUAUUCUUUGAUGAACUCAUUGUCUUUCAUCCUCAAAACUUCAAAUUGCCUCUUCAGAUUCAGAAUCUGCAUUUGCCUAGUUCUGUCACUCCCCAAAUACAUCUCCUUAAGCUUGUCCCACGCCUCUUUUGGUGUUUCGCAAGCCAUAAUCCUUGUGAAAAUUGGUUCUGAGACAGCAGCAUGGAUGUAAGAUAAAGCUCUUGGAGCUUUAGCUUCUUCUUCUUCAUGAGCCCUGAUUUGAUUGAGGGUUGGAUUGUUUCCCAAAGGUUGUACUUGCCUUUCAGUUUCAACCCACUGCCACAAACCAAGACCUCUCAAGUAAGCUUUCAUCUUAACAGCCCAAACUUGAUAGUUUUCACCAUUGAAAACUGGGGUUGAAAGAGUAGACGUAUUGCUGGAAGCCAUGAGAGUUUUUUGAGAAAGCCUUGCUGGUGGUUUUUUUUUUUUUCACUCACAGGUCCUAUUAAGAUCUUUUUGGGGCUCUGAUACCAUGUGAACACACACACCACAAUUAAUCCUACUGUUAACAAAAGAUACAAAAGACUUCUUUAAGUAUCUAUAAAAUUCUCAAAUUCUAACAUUACCUCUAAAACUUCUCCGAAUCUGAUGUUAUCUUCAAGCUCUUCAAGUUCUUGGUGUGAAACUCCAGCAUGCAGCUACUAUAUCUUCAAUACGCUGCUGCAUCUCCAUCGAAUUGCAUUAUUCAGGGCUGCAACAUAUUAAUUCUCCAUUGACAGCCACAUGAUUCUCCUCACGGAUGCCUCAUUCUACCAUGAAUCAUUAUCUCGAUUUAUUCAAUCAUGGGAAUCACUUUUCUAUCUACUAACUCAUAGCGCUCUUUAAGAUACCAAUUCAUUCUCACUCAUUCAACAUCCAUGGCUGCCAUUGUCAUGCAUCAUUUCACUUUCUAAUUCAACUGUAAAUUCAACUCAUUACAUACCACCGAAACCCACAUGAAUGCAUUGAAAUUCAGCCACCAAAAAUCUCCAUUAAACGGCCACUUUAUUCACUUAUUUCAAUUGAACAGUUCAGCCACAAAAUUCAUUAGAAUUUCAGCAUGCCUUCUCCAUUAAAUCCACACUGAAUAUACCAUUAGACUUUCAUAAAAAAUUCAGCAAAUCUGUAACUUCCUCAGAUCUUUAAGAACUAAUGCAUAAACGAGAUGAGAAACUCUUCCAUUACGUCUGAGAAAAGCUGAUGGUAAUGCAUAAUGAUCGUGCCGGAGCUGGCAAGUGGUGGUUUGAUAGAGAUGCACAUUUAUCUUAAAGUGAAGAUGUGAUGCACCAAAUGAGAUGCAGAGCUUCUAAACUGUCCGUGCGCUAGUCCAGAGAUGAAGGGGCGGUACGAUAAUGGAGUUACGAAGCUUCCCAAACUAACUGUGCAUUGAUUCACUGAUGAGGAUGCAAAGCGACAAUGGAGAAGAUGUCAACAUCGGUCUGAAGGUGCAGAGAACUCCGUCGAAGUGAUGAAACCGGUGCUCUUAUUGUAGUCGUAGAGACGGGAUGCUAAUGAAAUUGACAAAGAUACCAGAACUAUAUGCGUGUGAUGCGCUGAUGAAGAGAAAGACUAUUGGCACGUAUUGCAGGUUGCUGUGAUGUAGUGUCGAUCUGGAGAUGAAGAUGACGAACACUGAUUUCCAUGAGAGGAUCCCCAAAUCUUCUGAGCAUGAUAAUCGUGAAUAGAAAGAAGACUCCAGAAUCCUCUCUAUCUUCCCUAACUCCAGAAGAAAAGUGCUCGAUUGUUAUCAUCUCCCUAACCAAAAAUGAAACCCUCAAAAAUCCUAAAACAUUCCUCUGUCAUGCUUCUUUUAUUCCUCCUAAGAUCGGUAAGCUUUUCUCCUCCUUUUUGCUACUCACGACUUGCCUCCUAUUCCACUGCAACAUGAUCUGAUGCGGUCUCUUAGAAUUGAUCAUGAUGAUUCUUCCCCUUUUUUUUUUCUUUUUUCAGGUCAGUGUUGUAAUCUUCCCCUCCAAAAAUCCAGAUGAUCUUCUCUUUGCAAAACCCAAAACUCACCUCUCUAUUUCUUUCUUUUCCCGCCAAAAUGUCCCCUCCAAAAGGUCUCUUCUCCCAAGAUAGAAACUGAAGCAUUUCUUCUUUCCAAUUCUCCUCCAUGUGAUCUCCCCACCUCUAACUGACUAGUCUCCAAAUUCUUUUGACCAUAUGCACCAACAAUACAAAAUUAAAAAGAACUAUAAAAAAAUAAAUAAAUGAACAAAUAAAAUAAUCUUACGUCAACCAAAAAUUAAAGUUCAAAUUCAUGAAACUAAAAAUCAAAAUAUUAGCCACAUGCAAUCAAACAUAAAAAAAUGUCAAUUUCAUGCAAAUCAAUAUCAAAUCCUAGAACCAUGCAAUAGAAAAACAAACCUAAACCUAAAUGCAUUAGAAAUCAAUCGAAGUCAAGCCAAACAAAGCCCUAUGCUAAAAAAACUAGAGAUAACUAAUCAUCACGCUAAGGAUCUCCAAAAAGUCCCCCAAUGUAUCUCUAAAGAAAAUCCAAAGGUAGUGACCGAAAAAAUCACUAUGGGCCACUAGUGAGGACUCAAAAAUAACUCAAACUAGGACCCUAAGAUCACAAACAAGUAAUAGAGGAUGAAUGAUGGUUGACUUGAGCAUCAUGUACCAAGAUGACAAAAUAGAGGGUCUACACACGGAGAUAUCGGUACUUCAAUUUUAUGGUUAUAUCGGAGAUAUGUCGAUGCAUAGUUUGGAAAAAAUUUCAAAAAACCUAAAAUUCAUCAAAACUCAUGGAAAUGUAAGAAAAAUCUCAUAAAAAUGUAAUUAGAGGAUAAUUAACAUUUUAAAGUUGUUUUGUUGAAUAAUUUGAUAUAUAUAUAUAUAAUUUAAUUUAUCAUAUUUGAUAAUAAUAUUGUAUGCAUCGAUAAAAAAUAUAUAAAUUUUAUAAGUGUACAUUCAUUAUUAAAUUACAUCAAAUAUUAUCCAAUAAUAAUAUUAUGAUAUUUGAUUAUAAUAUGUUUAAUUUUAAAAUAUAUUUAAUAUUAAAAAUAUGAUACAUUUAAUUCAGUUAUAUUAAAUGAUAUAAAAUAAAUGAUGAUAUACGUAUAAUUUUUUAAUAUUUAAUUAAUAUAUUAAUAAUAUUAAAAACACUAUGAAAAAAGUUAGGGAGAAUUGUGUUUAGGGCCAAAUUGGGUCCAAAAAUUAACAUUUGGUCCAUAUAACUUCCAUAAUUGAUGGAAAUGAUAUAAGAUGUUAAAAGACAAAUAUAUCCUUCAAAUUUCUAUAUAUUACAUUUUAAGGAUAUAAAAUAGUGAUGGACUAAAAUACCCGAUAACCUUUCACAUAAGCUUUUUUUGUCUUUAUUGCACCACUAUUCAUGCAACCAUAAUAAUUAUAUUUUAACAAUUUGGAUUUUUCAUUGUUUUUAUUUUUUUAUAAAUAAUUGAAAAUAAGCAUUAUUUUCUAUUUUAAAUUAUAAAUAAAGAAAAAUUAUGUUCAAAAACUAUUUUAAAAAAUACUUUGUAAAAAAAUGGUAAUAUGAUUUAUAUUUUAUAUAUAUUUCUUUUUGAAAAAACAUUUAAUUAAAAAAUAAAAACUAUUUUUAAAAAUAAAAAUUGAAAACCUUGUUUAGUACUAUUUUUUAUAUGAAAAUAAUAAAAAUAAUUAAAUUUCAUUCAUUGAUUAUCCAUUUUAAUUUUUUUCCAUUAGUUAUUUUAAUAAUAAAAUAAAAAAUAUAGUAUGUUUACAAUUAAACAAAGAAAUUGAUCAAUUAUGUGUUUUUUGUGGGACUAUCUUUUACAUGAAAAAUAAUUAAAUAACUAAAUUAUAUAUAUUUAUUACUCUUUUUAAGUUUAUUUUCUUUAUUUAUUUUUUGUCUAAUAUAAAAAUUUAAUAUAUCCAUAAUUAACAAAGUAAUAAAUCAAUUGUGCACAUUUUAAUCUAUUAAAAUAAAUUACUUUCUAAUUUAAAUAAAUAAAAUCAAAUAAGUAAAUAAAUUUGGGUUAUUUCUAUUUUUUAACAUAUCUUAUAUUAAUAUUUUUUAUGGUUAAAUAAAUUUUUUUUCUUUAAUUCCAAAAAUAAAAUGAAAUAAAUAAAUAAAUUUGGUAUUUUCUAACUGAUCUUAUAUUCAUAUUUCUUAUGGUUAAAUAAAGAUUUUAUUCUUUUUUCUUUAUUUCAAAAAAUAAAAGGAAAUAAAUAAAUAAACUUGGCUUAAAUAAUAGCUUUUAAGUAAUUUUUUGUCUUAUUUUUAAUUACAUUUUGCAUUGAAAAUAAAAUAAAAUAACGUUUUAUUUGUUUUAAUUAUUUUAAAUGUCAAACUAUUGGGAACAUAGUUUACACACUCGUGUAGAUAUAAUUUAUACAUAUAUAUGAAAAUUUAUACUAUUAUACAAUGUUAUUACACUAAUUAUACAAGGGGUGUACAAAACUGUACAUUUUGAACAAUUUUUUUUUUUUCUUUCUUGUCAUCUAAGGAUUAUAUGUUCUCCUACCACAAAUUCUUUUAUUUCAUGUACUUUAUUUAACUCGCAUGUAACAAUUCAAAUACUUACCUUAAUAAUGAUAUUUAGACAAAAAAUUUGUUUUUACGUUUUAUAUCAUUUUUUAAAUCAAACCAUUAGAAACAUGGUUCAUACAUCAUAUGUGGCACAUAAUGUAUGCAUAUGAAUAAAAUUUGCACCAUUGUACAAGGGUGUUAUACUAACUGUACAAGGUAAAUAUUCAAUUGGACAAGACAAAUAUUCUAACUGUACAAGACAAACAGUCUAACUAUACAAGGGGUAUACAAGGCUAUUCUUUGUGAAAGAUUUUAAUUAAUUUUGGACAACUUUUUUUUUGUCUUGCCAUCUAAGUACUGCACACUCUUAAGGUACACAUUACUCUAUUACACACUCAUUUUAUACACUUUAUUUAACUCUCACAUGAUAAUUCGAAUACUUAUCCUCCUAAUGAUGUUUGAGAAAAAAUUUUGUUUUUCCAUCUUCCACUAUUUUUUGAAACAAGCCAAUGAAAACAUAGUUAACCUACCUAUGGUUACACAUUGAGUAGGGGGUAUAUAGAAUUUGAGCCACUAUACAAGGUAUUUACAUUAAGUGUACAUGACAAAUAUAUUAACUGUACAAGGGUGUACAAGACUAUUAUUUGUGAAGGGUAAGUGAUUCUCAAAAAUUUGUUUGUUUAUUUUCCUUAAUCGAUGAUAAAUGACAUUCCUUACACACAUUGGUUAAGCAUACAUUCAUCUCAUGUACUUUAUCUAACUUGUAUAUAGUCAUUUGAAUAGGUACCUCACUUAUGAUGAUUGUAAAACAAAAUUAUACAACAAUUUUUCUUCUUUUUUAAAACUAAACCAAUGCAAACAUGGUUAAUCGACCUAUUGUCAGAUAUUCAUGAGAUGAUGUAUGAAAUUUGAGUUAUUGUACAAGGGUAUUACACUAACUGUACAAUACAACUUUACUAAUUGUACAAGGGUGUACAAUACUAUUUUUUGUUAAGGAUUUCAAGUGAUUUUGAAAAACUUUCCCAUUUUUUUCCACUCAAAGAUUUUUUUCCCCACUCAAAUUCUCUCACUCAAGAAUUGUUUCAAAUUUUAUUUUUAAAUUUCAUUAUCAAAAUUUUGUAAUUGCAUAUUUUGUUUUUAUGGUUUUAGCAAUGUUCUUUCUUUCCAUUUUUUUUUUUUUUUUUUUGUGAAAUUUUAUCCAAAUGAAUCUAUAUUUAAAAUUAUAAUCAUAUUUAUCAAUUUUUUUUACUAAGAUUAUCUUUAAUUCUUUUAAUAUAUUUAUACUCAUUUAUUUAAAAAAUGAAAAACUAAUUUUUAUUUUUAUUUUUAAACAUGUUCUAUUACCUUUCAAGUAAAAAAUUAGAUAAGUUUGAAAGUCAAUAAAAAAAUUAAAUGUCACUUUCAAUAAUUUUUAUAUAAAAAUUUUAUAUAAUAUAUUUUAUUUGAAAUUUAAUUUCUAAAGUUUAACUAAAAUAUUGUAUUAACAUUUUUCUUGUUGUGAGUUAAAAUACUUUGCAUUAGUCUAUCCAGAUAAUAAAAAUUAUUAAUAUAAUCUUAGAACUUAUAUCUUAGUUAUUUUUUUCAAUAAAUUUAUCUUUUUAAAAAUUUUAAAAUAAAAACAUUAAAAUUAAAAAGCUAAAAGGAUAUAUAUAUAUAUAUAAUAAAGUGAAGUGAUAGUCAAUUUUUAAAUUUUUUAAAAUAUGGUUAAUGUAGAAAAUAUAAAAAAAUAAUUAAAAAUAAGAGAAAAAUAUAAAUGAAAGGGUAAUAUAAAUUUAAAAUAAAAAUGAAAAUUAAACUAAAAGAUAAAUACAAAAAGAUAAAAAAUAUUUGGAUGAAAAAUCCCAAAAUUUUUAUCAUUGCUUAUAAUAAGAGCAAAAAGAUUCAAUAUCUUUAAAAAUGAAAAACAAAAAAACAUUAUUGCUUUUUAUUUGACAUAAAAUAGAAAUAUAGAUUGAAAGAAAAAGAAAAAAAAAAGUUAAAAAUGAGUAAUACUUAAUAGGGAAUAGAAAAUGGAGAAAAACACAAAAAAAAAAAAUUGAAAUUCACACUCACUUAUGUCUAUAUAAGGGUUAAGGGUAUUUUAGAGAUUAAUGAAAUACAAUAUCCUUCAUCUUAAUUUUCAUACUUUGUUUGGGUUUUGGGCUUAAAUAUGCAUGAUAUAUGGAUCAAAUGUUAAUUUUUGAGAUCAGCUGGGUCCAAAACACAAUUCUCCCAAAAAGUUAUCAUGAUAAUUUUUAUAUUUCUAGUAAUUAAUUAAAUGAAAAUUUUUUCAUUUAAUGAUGCAAUAUAUUUAUUAAGGGAAAGCUUGCCUAAGUGGCUGGCAAGGUUUAUUUCAAACUUUCUGUUUGGGGUUCAAGUCCUUUCAACUGCACAAAAUUAAGGUAAUUUUGAGUUGAUUGUUGACUGCCCAACCCGUGUGCAGCCCGCGCCUAGCAAACUUGUGUUGCAGUCAGCCUACAGGCACAUGCAGCGUUUUUCGGGGGAAAUUUCACCGAAAAAAUGGCAACAAUCGGAGAUAUUUGAAACUCGUUGAUUUUUUCUGAAAAAUCGCCCUUUCAAUUUUUCGUUUACCCGUUUCAUUUCGCCAGUCACCAAUACACAAAAUUUUACUAAAAUUUCAUCGAAAUUAUCCAAAAUUUUCUUUUCUGUUUGAGGGCAUGCCCAAAACCCCAACAACAUCAUGGUUGUAGAUUUUUUCAAUAUCCACUGCGUCCACAACUCAAAAUUAUUUUCUUUGAAAUGGUAGGCCAAAUAAAAAGAAAGUUAAUGCUCACGUUCCAAUACCCUAAACUUGCCUCAUUUCAUCUGGUUACCAUUGUGGGGCUACUAUUAUAUAAAUUUGUUGCAAUCACUUUUAUUCACCCUAUCUAUCACAUAAUUCUGUCAAUUUAAAAAUUUAUCAAUAAACUCUAUUAUCUUUAUAUUUAAAUAAUUCUAUUUUCAAUGUCGAAAAAUUUAUUUUGCAAACAUUUAGUGAUUUUUAUUCCAUCAUGUAAUUAAUUUAAUAAUUUCAAUAAUUUUCAUUAUAGAAUUUUAGUAGAAAAAGUUAAAAAUAUUGUAAAAGAAUCACCAUAUAAAAAAAGGAAAAAAAUAAAAAGAGUUAUAAUAUAUUUCAUACUCCUUAUAAAAAGAGAACAGAAUCCUCAUGAUCAAUUGUUACAAUUUUUUGUUUUUUUUUUAUUUUUUUUCUUUUUCUUGGAAUUCUUUAGGGAAAAAAAAUAGCAAGUAGACAUGUAAGAACUAUUAUCAUAAAAUUGACUAAACAACUUGCUUGUUGACUCUUACAAUAAUAAGCAUCCAUCAAGUAUAAGAGCUCUAAUCAUAUUUCAACUCCAAUUUUUGCCAUAUAAUUAUGAUUUCUAAAUUUUAACAAGCUUAAUAGAAUCUUGUUCCCAAAAAUAUUUUACUGAAACGAAAAAAGGGCAGCACCUUUAUUUUAUAAACAUUAUGAAACAUCGUUGUCUAGUAGAAUAACACCCAUAAGGGGUGAAGGGAAAAAUUAUAAUAUAAAAAUUGAAGAGUUAUUUACCAUAAUUAAUACAUGAGAUAUUAGAGAUAAAUAAAAUAUCCAAAAUCAAAUCAAUAUGUAACAAACACAAGGAAUUUUUUAUGUGAAAAACCCCACACUAAUUAUGGAGAUAAAAAACCACGGAGUCUAAAUUAUGGAAUAAAUUGAUUUAGAUUGAUUUACACCUUUGAGGGUCGGAAUCAAUAUUCUUCCCUAGACAUGAAAAACCAUCUUAUAUUAAGAUAGAUCAACAAGAUCAGUUCUUGAGUCAGGUCUAGUUGAAAACAUUUCAUUAAUCAAAGUUCCCUAGAGAACAACACUCCCUAUGGUACCAAUAUUGAAGAUAGAAACUCUCAUUACUGCCCUUGGGAAGCAACAACCCAAAUUCAUACAACUUUAGUAUCAAGCAUAAUGAUCCAAAAUAUGUGAGGGUUUUACUACCAAUUUCCGGGUAAGGAUACAAGCUACAUAAGUAAUAUGUCAUCUAGGCUUUCAAAUGCAAGACUAGAUGGCAGGCCUUGAGAGAAGUUUCAGACUAUAGGAAAUUUGAUGAAAUAUAGUCGUGUAAUAUUUAUAUCUAAACAUGCUAUUAAAAAAAAACAUUAAAUAGCAAUUAGAUCAUAAACGGAAUUAUAAACUGAUCGGAAAACAUACCUCCCGCCAUUGCCUUUCUAUAGGUUAAAAUGGGUUUUGUUAUUUUCGGGUUUCAGGUGCUUCUAAACCUUCACAAUCUCCACUUAGAUGGUGUUUUGAAAACUAAAAAGAGAUUGCAGGCUUAGGGUACCCUCCCGUUAGUGUUCUGCCUCGUUUUAAAAGACUCUCUCCAUCACUGAGUCUACUUGGAACGUGCACAAAACAUGGGGUAGUGAUGCAAACGUGGUUUGGAGCAUGAAUCCUCAUUCCUAAAUUGAUGGAAUGAUGUGGACCACAUUCCGAAUCACGCCUUUGGUUUAUUACCGAAGAUGCAAGAGAAAUUAAAAUCCCAACAUUCUCCCACUUGGUCCAUAUAUUCCAUCAUUCAUCAUAGCAAGAAACAAAACACAUGAAUCAUGGCAAUAGGUCCUUUAAUAUCGAGUAUUAUCUUCCAUGUAUCACAAUGCAUCAUGUUUCUUAAACACUAGCCCAUAUGGCUUAAUGAAUAAACCCUAUGUUUAUUCUAGGUCCAAACAUUAAUGAUAUUUCUCAAUAAAUGAAUAAAAGUGUACACAAAGAAAAUCAAAUGAGAAAACAUCACAAAUAGAGUUUCAUUGAAAAUAAAAUUCGUUCUUACAAUGAAAAUCACACAAAGGAACCAAGUCCCAAUCUAUCUACAUGAUCCUUAAAUUUCAACGAUAGCAUGUCUUUAGUCAAAGGAUCAGCAAUCAUCAAUUCAGUGUUAACGUGUUCAAUAACCAUUGUUUUCUCUUUAACACGUUCUCUUAGGGCUAAAUACUUGAUGUCGAUGUGCUUGUUUCGACUGCUACUUUUAUUGUUCUUAGCCAUAAAAACUGCAAUUGAAUUGUCACAAUAUAUCUUCAAUGACCUAGAAAUUGAAUCCACAACUCUAAGCCUAGAAAUAAAACUCUUUAACCAUACACCAUGCGAGGUAGCCUCAAAACAAGACACGAACUCAGCCUUCAUAGUGAAAGUUGCAAUCAAAGUUUGCUUUGCACUUCUCCAAGAAACAACUCCACUGACUAGCAUAAAGACAUAUCCUGAAGUUGAUUUUCGCGAAUCAAUGCAGCCAGCGUAGUUUGAAUUAGAGUAGCCAAUCACUUCCAAAUUAUCAGUUUGUCUAUACAUAAGCAUGUAGUCUUUGGUCCCCUGAAGGUAUCUCAUCACCUUCUUUGCAGCUUUCCAAUGGUCCAUACCUGGAUUACUCUAAUAUCUCCUUAACAUCCCAACAGCAAAUGUAAUGUCAGGUCUUGUGCAGACCUGAACAUACAUCAAGCUUCCAACUGCAUAAGCAUAAGGAAUGUUCUUCAUUUGUUGCCGCUCAAGAUCAUUCUUCGGGCACUGGUCCAAAUUGAACCUAUCGCCCUUCACAAUAGGAGCUAUACUUGGUGAACAAUCUUUCAUCCAAAAUCUUUCUAAAACCUUGUUGAUAUAGGUCUCUUGAGACAAACCUAAAAGGCCUCGAAAUCUGUCUCUCUAUAUCUUAAUGCUAAUGACAUAAGUCGCAUCACCCAUAUCCUUCAUAUCAAAGUUUUUAGAUAGAAACUGUUUCACCUCAUGUAGCAAACUCUUAUCAUUGGUUGCAAGUAAAAUGUCAUCCACAUACAGAACAAGGAAACAUAUCUUACUCCCACUGACUUUCUGAUAUAUACAUUGAUCCAUAAUGUUCUCCACGAAACCAAAUGAAGUGAUAACAUCAUGAAACUUCAAAUACCACUGACGGGAUGCUUGUUUCAAUCCAUAUAUGGAUUUCUUAAGCUUGCAUACCAAAUGCUCACCACCACUAGAGGAAAAUCCUUUUGGUUGUUUCAUGUAAACCUCUUCCUCUAGAUUUCCAUUGAGAAAUGUCGUUUUCACAUCCAUUUGUUGCAACUCUAAGUCAAAACGUGCAACUAAUGUUAUAAUGACACGAAGAGAAUCUUUCUUAGAUACAGGAGAAAAAGUCUCCUUGUAGUCAAUUCCUUCAUUUUGAGUGAAUCCUUUAGCAAUGAGUCUCGCUUUAUAUCUUUCAAUGUUGCCCAAUGAAUCUUUCUUUGUCUUGAAGACCCAUUUACAUUCAAUGGCUUUUGCACCAUCAGGCAACUCAACAAGAUUCCAAACUCCAUUAGAUGCCAUAGAAUUCAUCUCAUCUUUCAUAGCAUCAUACCAUAAAUUAGACUCUUUGCAACCUAUGGCUUAUGAAAACAUUUCAGGAUCAUUUUCAGCUCCAAUGUCAUAGUCCAAUUCUUGCAGAUACACAACAUAAUCACUAGCUAUUGCUGGUUUUCUCACUCUUGUAGAUCUCCUUAAUAUUGAAUCAACAUUUUCCUGAGGAUCACGUUGCUCAAUGGGCUGUUCAACAAUUUUUGGCAAAUCUUGAACAACUUGAUCUACUGGAUUGACAUUAGCAAUUUGUGGAGCUUCAAUGAUUGGUUUUCUAUCACCCGUUUGAACUUGAGGGGCAUUCUGAAUGACAAUCAAUCUAUCACUUGAAGUGGAUAGUUGAGCAUCUAUAUGAUCUUUUUCAGAAAAAAUGUCCUGAAAUCGAUUGCUCCCACUAAUCAAGUCAUUUUCAAGAAACUUAGCAUUUCUUGACUCCACAAUUCUAGUGCUAUGAGAUGGACAGUAAAAUCUAUACCCGUUAGACCUUUCGGCAUAUCCAAUGAAAUAUGCACUAAUGGUCCUUGGGUCUAGUUUCUUCUCUUAUGGGUUGUAAACUCUUACUCCAAACGGGCAUCCCCAAACGCGUAUAUGUCGCAAACUCGGUUUCCAACCUUUCCAUAAUUCAAAUGGCGUCUUGGGGAUAACCUUUGUUGGAACUCGGUUCAAUAUAUACACUGUCGUUUUAAGAGCUUCAGUCCACAAGGAUUCAGGAAGCUUGGAGUUGCUACACAUACUCCUAACCAUGUCCAUUAAUGUUCGGUUUCUUCUUUUAGCCACACCGUUCUGGUCUGGGGAACCAAGCAUGGUGUAUUGAGCAACUAUCCCAUGCUCUUGAAGAAACUUCGCAAAGGGACCAGGUGUUUGUCCAUCCUCGGUGUAUCUACCAUAAUAUUCUCCACCUCUAUCCAUUCUCACAAUCUUUAUUUACUUUUCGCAUUGUUUUUCUACUUCAGCCUUAAAAACUUUAAAGGCACCCAAUGCUUCAUUCUUGUUAUAAAGCAAGUAGAUAUACAUGUAUCAUGAGUAAUCGUCUAUGAAGGAGAUGAAGUAUUUCGAACCAUACGCGUCCAUGUCUGGACAACAAAUAUCUGAAUGUAUGAUCUCUAAUAUGUCUGUGCUCUUCUUGGCACCCUUCUUAGACUUGUUGGUCUACUUUCCCUUAAUGUAGUCCACACAAGUGUGAAAAUCAAUAAAAUCUAAAGUACUUAGUACUCCGUCAUUUACUAAUCUCUUAAUUCUCUGUAUGGAGAUAUGUCCCAAUCUUCGAUGCCACAAUAUAGAGGAAUCUUCAUUCAUAACACAUCGUUUUGUGCCAAUGUGAACAUGCAUAGUAUUAUUAGUGGUAUCAUAUUGCAAAUUGAUAGAGAAAAGACCAUUAGACAAUGUACCAUUUCCAACAAGAUUAGAUUUAUAAAACAAACUGAAAGAUGUCUCAUAAAAACUAAAGGAAUAACCCAAAGGUACAAUUCUUGAAACUGAAAUCAAAUUCCUAGAGAAACUUGGAACAUAAAAUGUCUUUUCUAAAUUUAAAAUAAAACCACUACUUAAAACUAAACUGCAUGUUCCAACAGCCUCCACAUGUGAACGCAUCUUGUUUCCUGAAUAAAUGCAUUGCUCACUUGGCAUUGGCUUCCUUAGGUUUUGUAUACCCUGCAAGGUAUUCGAAACAUGGAUUGUAGAACCAGAAUCAAUCCACCAUGUGUUAUAAUUAACAUCAACCAUAUUAGAUUCAUAACAAAUAAAUGAGAUUGGUUUACCUUUCUUCUCAAGCCAUUUCUGGAAUUUGGUGCACCUAUUGACCUUCUUUAUUCCACCUUGGGGCGGUAUUUUACCUUUCCCUUUCUUUUUGGCAUGAUUCUGAUCCUUUCAUUCCAUUGUCAUUAAUGCAUUCUCACCCAAUUCCAUUUUCAACCUUCCCUCCCCUUGAACACACAUGGUCAGAAGCUCAUUAAUUGACCACUUAUCUUUGUGUGUGUUGUAGGAGAUUUUGAAGUGUCCAUAUUGUUGUGGAAGAGUGUUUAAAAUGAAGUGCACAAGGAAGGAGUCAGACAUUUCAACCUUAAGUGUUUUCAAUUGUGCUGCAAUAUCCCUCAUUUGCAUUAUGUGCUCUCGCACACCACUCACAUUGGUGAGCCUUAAAGAUGAAAACUUCAUUAUCAGGGUGCUGGCAAGUGCCUUAUCUGAAGUCACAAAUUGUUCAUUAAUAGCCUUCAGUAAUGCCUUGACAUUGUCAUGCUGAUCCACAGAACCACGAAUACCAUUAGAGAUUUUGGUCUUUAUGAACAUCAGACUAAGGCGAUUUGAUCGCUCUCAUUGUUCAUAAAGAGCCUUUUCUGCUGUAGUGUUGGUGUCAAUAAUGGUUGGUUUUUCUUUCCUAAUAGCAUAAUCAAUGUCCAUGCACCCCAAAUGAAGGAGAAUUCUCUCCUUCCAAACCUUAUAGUUAUCACCUUUCAAUUCGGGAAUGUCACAUUUUUAUAUUAGAGAAAUCCGUAGGUUGCAUGACUGCACAAAAAUUAAACAUACACGCUUAUAAUUCAAAUUUGAGACUAAUAAACAAAUAUCAUGUUUUACCAAUGUAACUCAUGUUCAAAAAUUAUGAAUCUAGUGACAUAAAACUUACCUGUGGGCUAAAGUUCUAAUUCAAUUAGAUCCAUGUAAAACCUUAUGAUAAAACUAUCAAAUUAUGUUUCAUUUCCUAAUUCCUGUGGGUAAUUAAGAAAUAUAAUUUGAUAUUCCACCCUAAUUAAUUAUACAAAUUUAAUAAAAAAUUCAUGUGGGAUAAAAUUUUAUUAUAUCAAAUAUAAUUAAUUACCCAUAAUGUCAUUUUCCUAUAUGUGAUCCUAAAAUAAUUAAUAUAUAAUUUUGCAUAAUUAAAGAUGUUGUGGCUACUCCUUAAUUAAUUAAAAUUAUAUGGAUCACUUGACAUUUAAUUAAUUCACAAGAAAAAUUAUAUAAAUUGCAUGAAACCAUAAACAAUUUUUACACAAAACUCAAUAUCAAUGUGCAAAAUUUUUGAAAUUGUAUAAAUUAUAAGCACAUUAAUAUCUAAAAUUAAAACCAUAAAAGCCUUUAAGAAUGAAUUUAAUGUGCAAAUUAUUUAAUUUAAUGUAGUAUGCACAAUAAACCAUUAAAAAUAAAAAAUAUGCAUUCAACUAGCAAAAAUAAAUAAUCUAUCACAUAAAAUAUCCAUAAAUUAACAUAUUUUAAAAACACUAAAUUUUAUGAUUUUUUUUUAUUAUUAUUACAAUUCACUAAAUCCAGAUGCGGGACAAGGAAAUUCGUGUCAUACAAGUCUUGAGGCAAAGGCUUUGUUGAAGGAAAGAAAUACCAACUAAAUCAACCUCUUUAUAAAAAAAGAAUAAGUUUAUAGGUUGCUGCCAGGAGGACUCGAACUUGUGCAAUCAAUGAAGGUAGACAAGGCUAUGACCAACUGGGCUAGUGCCCAUUUUUUUAUUACUUGUUUACUUAUUUAAGUGUUAUUGAUAGUCAAAACAAUAACCCCCUGUAGUCGUCCCCUACCUUCAACCGGGUCUGUUUGACCCAUCUGCAACCCGAAAUGAAACCCGACGGUUUCCAGGCAUUCCAGACACCAAAUUGAUGAUUUAAAACACCGAAAUAUUAGAAAUCUCAUCUCCUAAUGAUUUCUAACAAUAUUUUUCAUCAAAAACUUCUAAAACCAAAACCUCCAAAAUACCAAAACUCACUUGAUUGAAAAAUGCAUAUUGUAAAAUGAACAAGACAAAGGCAUACAAGGCUCUGAUACCAACUGUAAUCUUUAUAUCUAAACAUGCUAUAAAAAAAACAUUAAAUAGCAAUUAGAUCAUAAACGGAAUUAUAAACUGAUCGGAAAAUAUACCUCCCGCCAUUGCCAUUCUACAUAUUAAAAUGGGUUUUGCUAUUUUUCAGGUUUCAGGUGUUUCUAAACCUUCACAAUCUCCACUUAGAUGGUGUUUUGAAAAUUGAAAAGAGAUUGUAGGCUUAGGGUACCCUCCCGUUAGUGUUCUGCCUCGUUUUAAAAGACUUACUUCAUCACUAAGUCUACCUGGAACAUGCACAGAACAUGGGGUAGUGAUGCGAACAUGGUUUGGAGUAUGAAUCCUCGUUCCUAAAUUGAUGGAAUGAUGUGGACCAAAUUCCGAAUCACGUCUUCGGUUUAUUACCGAAGAUGCAGGAGAAAUUAAAAUCCCAACAAGUCGGUGUUAAGAGAAAAUUGAAAGUGGUGAUUUAGGUGGUGUUUGUUUUUUUGUUGAAUAGAAAAGUCAAAAUAUUUGGCUUUUUCUAUUCAACUAAAAGUAACAUAUUGAUACCAACUAAUAUAACUAAAGUGAACUUAUUAUCAAUGGUGGAGUUUAAUUAUAUUGGUUGAUAUCAAUAGGUUACUUUUAGUUGAAUAAAAAAAAGUCAAAUAUUUUGAAUUUUUCUAUUUAGCCAAAAAAACAAACACCAUCUUAGUUAGUCUUUAUUUAUGUGCUCACCCCAAAGUAACUAUUGAACUAUUUAAUUAUGGUAUAUGAAUGACGAAAACCACAAUAUAUUAAGCCAAUUCAUGGGAUUUAAGUUAUGAGGCUAAUACUCUUUGCACAUUGAAAGCAUAUAAAGUACGUACAAGCUUUUUGUAAGAGAAACUUAUACAUAUUUCCUAAAAUGAAUCUUGGAUAUACAGGUAAGAUAUUUUCUAAAACAACUCUUAGGUUGUGUUACUUAAAUAACUCUUUUGUUUUUGUUUCAUUUUUCUAGGAGUAUAUUUUUAGUCAUCAGUCAUUAAGAUAUUUUUAUUUUUUGUUUUCAAUUACGGGUUAAAGUUUGUUUUUUGGUUGACCUUAUAGACUUCAUAAUAUCACAAUUGUUUAAGUUUCUUUGUUUUCAUUUGCAUCACAAAGAAAUAGACAUCUACAAGCCAUGGUCCAUUUGUUUGUUGAUUUUGUGGUUCUUACCUAUUUUUUGAAAUCUUUGUGUCCCUCAAACUAGAAAUUAGAUGUUCUCACUUUACUCCAAUUUCAAGUUCAUGUUAAAUUUUGGCAUCAUCAGUAUUUAUUUAUAACAAUGUGUGUCUUUUAGCUUGUGAUGCUACCUAGAAUAGUUUUUUUUUUUUCCCACUUUUUUUUGGAUGGGAUGAUGACUCUAAAGAACUUGGGAAUAUGGUUAUAAAAGUAGAGGCUUAGUGUUUGUGCAUGAAAUAAGGAUGAUGUGAGUCAUAUAUUAAGGCCUGUAAUAGUUAGCUAGAGUUUACAUGCUUUUAUUAAUUCAAUACGUGCAAGCAAGUGUGGAUAUUUGAGGAAUAGAGUGUGUUGAUUCAAAUAUGUAUGUUCAUAUAUUCUUUAUAAGUUAAAUGUUAUUGGAAUAAAUUAAAUUUUAUUUAUUUUUUUAUGUUUUUUUCUUUGAAUUCUUUGUUUAAAUAUGAUAUUUACAUUCACUAUUUUUAUAUUACAUUAGUAGUACAACAUGUGCACUGCACGUGAGCAUUGUUUGAGUAAUGUUGAUUUCAUAAUUUAUUAAUCUCUUAUUAACAUGCUACUUCCAUUUUUUUUAUAAUUAUAUAAAUAAUUUUUUUUAAUCAAAUUCAUUAAAUAUUAUUAAUUUAAUAUUUUUUUUAAAAAAUUAUUUUUCCUUUUGAAUUUAUUAUAUUGGAUAAAAUUGAAACUUACGUAUAAAUUUAUUUUUAUAGCCAUUCAGAAAUUUUUACCUAUCAUUACUUCAAAUAAAUUCUUUUAAAUCAAAAUUUAUUUAUAAUCCUCCAAUAUUUUCUACCUAUCAUUAUUUCAAAAUAAAUUCUUGUAAGUCAAAAUUUAUUUAUAAUCAUCUAGAAUUUUCUACCAUCAUUACUGCAAAUAAAUUCUUUUAACUCAAAAUUUAUUUAUAAUAAUCUAGAAUUUUUCAUCUAUCAUUACUUCAAAUAAAUUCUUUUAGCUUAAAAUUUAUUUAUAGUCAUUCAAUAUUUUUUACCUAUCAUUAUUUUCACUAAAAAAUUAUUUAUAGUCAUCCAAAAUUUUCUACCUAUCAUUACUUCAAAUAAAUUAUUUUCACUCAAAAUUUAUUAAGGUUAUGUUAAAUUGUAGAAAAAGAUUUCAACUUUUUCCUUUUGGUUUCCUUAUUGAUAAUUUUAUGAUAAAGAUAAAUUGUAGAAGAAGAUUCUAACUUUUUCUUUUCUAGUUUCCUUCGUGAUAAAUUUAUGAUAAAGAUAAAUAUGUUUUCUUUUAUGUUGCCUUUUCUUUUAUGUUAAUACUUUUUCUCCUUUCAUUUAAUUCUAAGUUUUACUCUAUCAAUUUUAAAAUAUAUAUAUAUAUAUAUAUAUAUAUAUAUAUAUAUAUAUAUAUAUAUAUAUAUAUAUAUAUAUAUAUAUAUAUAUAUAUAUAUAUAUAUAUACAUUUAGAAUCUUCUAUGAUUUAUGAUACACACACCUAUAAAUGAUAAAUAUAUAUAUAUAUAUAUAUAUAUAUAUAUAUGAUAGAGAGAUAAAGAUAAGAAGUUGGGAAGAUAAUUAGAUAGAAAGUUAUUCAUGUCAUUUUUAUAUAUUUAUAUAUUAUUUUAAUUAAUUUUUAACAUAUAUACUAUAUUAAAAUUAGGAACAAAUUGUAAAACUUUUUUACCUAAAAAGUCUUUUCUAAAAAAAGUAAUUUCCAUUUAUAUUAAACAAAAUUUCAUUAAGUAUGAAAAUAUUUUUUCUUUCUCCCAUCACAAUAGUUACUUGUAUAGACUUUGUCCAUAAAAGGAAAAGUAUCUUGCACUUCUUUUUCUUCCUAAAAUACCCCCCGCUCAUUUAUUUAAUACCAUAAGACUAUUCGAUUAAGAGUAAUACUUUUAACACACUUUAGUAUUACUUUUUUCAUAAAGAGUAAUAAUUUUUUUUAUACCCUUUUUUUCUUAUGGUUGUGUUGAUCAAUGUGCAAUUUCAAUAUGCAAAUAUUUUAAUUUUUAAUAAAAUUAAUAUAAAUGAUUAUAUAUAAUUUUUUAUGAGUAGUACUUUUAACACACUUUAGUGUUACUUUUUUCAUAAAAAAUGGUACUUUUUUAUACCAUUUUUUCUUAUGGUUGUAUUGAUCAAUGUGCAAUUUUAGUAUACAAAUAUUUUAAUUUUUAAUAAAAUUAAUAUGAAUGAUUAUAUACAAUUUUUUAUGAAAAAUAUAUUUUAUUUGUUACUUUAUAUAAAUUAAAAAAUUAAAAAAUUUAAUACAACAAAAUGUUAGCCUCUUGUGAAACUAGACAUCUGUUGGUAUACCAUCUUCCUCAUUAUUACCCAAUACUUUAGCAGGGUGAUGGGCAUCACAUUAAGGGCAGCACCUUUAUCCACAAGCACUCUUGAAAUUGGGCAACCGUCCAUGUGCACAGUGAUGGAGAGGUGCUUGAUCAUUUUCUCACUUGGCUUCUUUCCUCCUAUUUACAAUAGAGUUGACUUCGUUCCUUUUCCAACCAGCAUUAGAGUAACAGCUAGUCAAGCUAGUAUCAAACCAAAAGUCUCAGUAAUUCUUUCUGAGGAACCUAUCGAGCAAAAUGAGAAAAAUGAGCUAACAGUCAAUCCUUAGGAGUUCCAGCUCCAGGAAUGGUGGAGGAUUCGGGGUGCGAAUACUAGUCAAGAUCGAGAUUGAGAGCCCGAUAUGGAUCGAGAUAGGAAGCAUGAGCAAGAGAGAAAAGCCCAAGGAGGAAAAAAAAAGCAGGAUUCCGAAAGAGAAAACGGCGCUGCUUCCACUCUUUCCCGCAGGUAAAACACCAGGAAAUUUGCCGUAGUAGGCCGAGCUUUACCAUAUCGCCAGACUCGAUCACAAGCAGGGGAGGUUCUAUUGAUCUAUCUACGUAAAGGGAGCUCAUUCAAUAACGCGGCAUAAAACCGCACCGAUCUACGAGAGAAGCUGAUGGAUGAGUAGGCUUCCCUUUUCGGUUCACAGAAUGUGAUCUGGGACACGAUGGGAGUUUGCGUGCCUCGGUAGGAAAGAGAUCACCGGAGUAUAGCACAAGAUCACCUUUUCUUGUUGUCAUGGGGUCGACCUGUGAACAAGGCAGUGAAGGCUCGCGAAGUAGACAGCAAGCAACAGCUUCUCAACCCCCUAACCUUUCUAUGUUAUUAGUAAAGCGCUAGCGCGCCCCUUUCUCUAAUAAUAAGGGCAUUAAGCUAAAGCUGGCGAAAAGUUUUUUUUUUCUUUAAUUAAAAAUAUUAAACAUUUUAGCAAAGAAAAAAAAUUAAAACCGGGGUCCUAAAUCUCUAUAUUUGUUCAUCAUAUAUUUAAUUUUAUAUUAAAUUUGUUCUCACUAAAUAUUUAUUAUAUAUUAUUAUUUUAUGUUUAAAAUGUUCACAAAUAAUUAAAUCCUAAAUAUGAAAACUCAAAUACUAAAAAAUUGAAAAGGCAACCUAAAGACAACACAUUUAAAAAAAUAAAAAAUAAAUAAAAACAAAAAGAAGAUAGAGAUAUUAUGGAAAGGAAAAAGUAAAAAAAAAAAUGAUAUGUAUGAUUGAUUGCCAAGUAUCAAAUUUAAAAAAAAAAAACAAUAAUAAUGACAAGCUCUUUGACUUGUCAUGUCAAAGUAAAAAAAAAAAAGAAACUUAUGGUAGUUGCCAGCUUAUGCAAGGAGGCUUAGAGGGCAAUUUUGGAAUAUUGAUAAUUUUCACUAUUUGAAUACAUGUUUUGAGGGUUAUUUUCCCCAAAAUAAGUAUCGUUUGAAAGUCAAAAAGUCACUUUCUAAAAAACCCAUGGUAAUAUAGGAAGGACAAAAGAAAGGACAGCAAAAAUAAUGACCCUUCUAUUAAUUUAUUUUACUUAUAAUGGGAAAUCUACGUGUUGAAAACAAAACAAUGCAAAGUCCAUGUUAUCCUAAAAGUAACAUUGGUGGAGUCUUAAACAAUAUGUAGAUUAUCCAAAUCAUGGUUAUUUUUAACAUAUCCAUAAGAAGCAAUGCAAAAAUAGCAACAAUUGUCCAAAAACAUAAAAAGUAGACCAUCAGACCAAAUAUACCUUGAGACACAAUACCAGUUUCUGAUAAGGCCUUCCAAUUUCUAAACAAAGUUACAAGCAUAAGUUAUAAAUCUCUACUUCUUUCAGGGUCUGAAGAUUUUUCUUUGAAUCAAUUCACAGUACUAUUUGACAAAAUUUGAUGAUUGGUUUUGAAGUUCUUGAAAACUUUGAUUUAUUUAAUUAUUUAUAUAAAAUAAAAUAUUAGUAAAAAAAACAACUAGCAUGAACUAGAAUUUUGGUUCUUUUGAGAUUCAUCACCAUCCACAGUUGUUUCAGAGUAACUGGUUUGGAAAUACUUACUGGUCCUAGUGCAGAAUUGUUGGUCUAUCAUUAUUUUUUAUCGGUAGUUGUCAAUUGGCAUAAUUGUUGAAGCAAUCGCAUUCAUUUCCUCCUUUGCCGAGGGUUUUAUAUAAGGAAAAAAAUUAUAAAUAUGUUGUUCCCAUGCCUUGUCAAUUAAAAGUUCAUUUUAUCAUUUUUUUUUUUUUGGUAAAAACUAUUUUUAGUUUUAUAAUUAAAACUAGAAAAUCAAAUUUUGAUUUACUUAGAAUUAAAACUUAGUUUUCUGGUUUUAUUUAAAAAAAUCAAUAAUUAAAAUAAUUUUUAGUGAGUUUGUGCAAUUAUUUUUAAUAUUUAAGUUAAGAUUAAGCUAAGUUUAUCUUUUUCAAUCUAAAAUCCAUUUUGGGUAGUGUAUCCAUGGAGCCAAUCAUGUCAAACUUGAUAUAAUAUUUAUUAUCAUAUAUAAUAAUAUUUUAUUUAUUUUUCCUCAAAAUAUAUAUUUUUUAUUAUUAUCAUUAUGAAAUGUUAUCUCCAUUAAAUUUCGAUACAAAAAUAAAAACAAGUUUCAAUUAAGCAUUAUGGUAAUUGGUUUCAACCUAACUCUACCAUACUUAACUCGUUGCUAACUCAAUCAAUCCAACUAACUCGAAGUUGGAAUAAUAAGGUUGGUUUAGACUUAGGUUGAGUACCUCAUAUUAGACUACACUUUGGUUAAAUUUUUCUUAAUUUAUUAGGCUUUGACAACACGAGACAACUUCUUGAGCUAUAACCCUAAUUUUCAUAAUCUACUAAAUUGUUUCUCUUUUAAUAUUGUUAGCCCAAGGGUUCUCCUAAUCGUGUUUUGAUGAUAACAAAUCAUGGUUAAGUUACUAAUUGGUUUAAAUUAUAAAGAAUUUCAGGUGUUAUUUUGGAAAUUUAUCAAAGGACCUAAUGGAUGUAAGAUCAAGACAUUUGAAAAACCUUUUAAUCAUAGGAAACAUAUGUAAGAUAAAUGCAUGGGUGUACUUAGGAUUUUCAUAUCAUUUCAUGUAUCUUUAAAAACUCAGUUUAUGCAUUAAAGUUACAUUUUCAUCAAAAUCCGAGUUCUAUCAAAUGAACCUUAGGCAAAACGUUUCAAAAUUGGCAUAUUAUUUUACCUAAAGACUCUAAGUGCUAGAAGCAAAAAGACUAAAAAAAGAUAGGUUUUUGGGCUAAAAAUUGUGAACCGAUCGAGGCAUUAGCCAACCGGCUCAACCAGCUAAGGUACUGAUUGACCGAUUACUCCUUCCUAAUCGAGGUCCAAUCGAGAGAUGCAAAAAACCUUCUCUCUAUUCCAGUAGCCUUUCUUUCCUAGUCGAGAGAUAUGUCUUCUCGAUCGAGGUCCGGUCGAGGGUAACAGUCACCUGCCAAGCAUUUAAUGUUCCAACAGCUAGUGAACUGGUCGACCCCCAGCUCAACAGGUCGAGGUUGUUUUUUGGUUUUUUGGCUCCCAAGGUUAAAAACCUAUAAAUUGAGAGCUUCACUUCAUUUAUGAGUAAGAAAACACCCGCAUUUAUUUGUUUACCUACUUGUUCUUACCAUAAAAGCUCUCAUUCUUUUCUUGGUGCAUUAAAUCUCCAUUUGCAUAUGUGCACCUUUGUGAUUCAUCGUAGCCUUGAGUUGUAUUUGAACCAUUGUUGAGCUAGGUUGAGAAAUUCAAACUUAUUAAUUGAGUGUCAAAACCUUUAAGUGAGUAGAAACUUGAAGAGAUUGUGUAAGAGCCCAUUGGAGCCAAAAUCCAAGUGUAAAAAUUGAUUAGAAACUUGGUUAAAGCUUCAAGUAUAAGUGGAACUCUCACUUGGUUAGGAGCUUGAGGAGAGUUCAUGUAGGCAAAGAAGUGUUGAACCACUAUAAAUUUGAGUUUGCUUUCUAUAACCUUAUCUCUUUAUAUUUGUGAUUCUUAUGCUUAAUUUUUUGGGUUUAAAAAGAAAUUUUUUUUUAACUCCAAUUCACGUCCCCUCUUAGGUGUUUUUAUUUGUUUAGAUUAGCCCUUUAUUUUCUAAAAUAUGAUUAGUUAAACUUGGAUUAGCUGGAUCAUACUUAGGUUGGUAGGGUUGUAUGAUUUAAAAUUCAUCUAUAAUGGUUUAAAUAUAUAUAUAUAUAUAUAUAUAUAUACCAAAAUGUAAAUAAUAAACAAAACGAAUCAAAAUUUUAAGAUAAUAAAAUAAUAAAAUUAAAUUUACAAGAUGUAUUUAAGAAUUUUUUUUUUUUUUUUUUAGUUAAACCUUGAAAUUGCUCUAUAUACUAUUGUUCACAUAUUUGAAUUCAAUUCAAAGAAACAUUGAAGAGCAAAUCAAUGUUUUGUAACCGAAAUUGUCAAUUCUAAGCAUGAUUCACUAGAAAUGCUCCAUACCAUAGUGGUAGGGCCAACCAUCAUCAAACCAUUGAAACAUGUAUUCCCAUUUGUCCUAUCUAGGGUUCAUGAUUCAUCCAACUCAAAGCCAUGGAAUUUGUUACAAGUCCCUAACUAUGUUCCAUUGUGUAUGUGACUACAUGAGCUCAAGGAUCAAUCUCAUAGUAUGGAUUUCAAUAUUUGAUACUUUAUAGAAUACAAAGUUGGAGAAUAAAUAGAGAAGUGGAAAGAGAUAAAAUUUCAAAUGACAUACAUCCAUGGCAUUUAAGCAGGAAGAAAUAUGUAAAUAAGGAUCUAGAGAAGAAGGCAUUCUUUAUUCAUACUUAUGUCAAGCACUUCCUUUAGAGGAAGGUAAAAGAUUAGAAAACAAAAAAUGCACUACUCGAACUUCCUUCUUAUUGUUUGGUCCAUUGUUAAUAUCUAAGAACUGAUUAAAACAACUUUUUGUUAAAUAAACAUUUUUGUGGUACCAAUCAAAUAUCAAGCCUAUUCUUCAAGUGAUCACAUAUCAAGCAUAUUCAUUAUUGAUCCAUUAUGUUAUUUUGUAACUGCUCUAUGGGUUAAUCAUGAGCAACAAGGGAAACAAGGUAAGAAAAUCAUUUUCAAUCCUUUCAUAGAUUUGGUUGAUAUUCAUACCCAAAGGUGAAAUUGGGAUUUACCAAUUACCCAACUGGAAAAUUUGCAAAGAGAUUGAUGAAUUUCUUAAGGGAAAAAUAAACUUAGGGCAGGAUUGAAGUUUGGGGCAAUAAGGAUGGUAAAUUUUUCUUUUACCAUGUGCAUUGAAGAUCAAGUAAGGUACUUUUCUUGUAAUUUAAUCACCUAUCAUCUCUUCUCUAUUUUCAAUUUUGAAACUGAUUUCCAAUAUCUCCAAUAUUCAAUUUAAAAUUUUGUUUUUAAUUGCAUAUAGAACUAAGCAUGACAUUAUAUUUUGUUAGCGUGGUUUGUUGGUUCACCUUACGUAUAGUGGUUACUAAACUUAGAUACUACCUUAAUCAACCUUAGGUACUACAUUAGUCAACCUUAGGUACUACCAUACUAAACCUUAAUUUACUACCUCUGUGAACCUUAGGUACUUUCUUUGACAUUAUAUUGUACUAUGUUAGUCAAUUUGUUCACUUUAAGUGCUUACCGAACCUUAGGCACUAUCUUAAUUAACCUUAGAUAUUACCUUAGUAAACAUUAGGUACUACCUUAAUCAACCUUAGAUACUACCUUAGUACACCUUAGGUACUACCUUAGUGAAACUUGAGUACUACCAAAUACACCUUUGAAACUUCAUUUGUGAAUUGUAGUUACUCCAUUUGUGAACAUUAGGUAGUUCCUUUGUUAGCCUUAGGUACUCCAUUUGUCAACCAUAGGACCGAAAAGUGGCAUUCAAAAUAUGUAAUUAUUUUUUUUGACAUGAGAGAUAUUUCUUAGUGGCCCAAGCAUUGAGGAAAGACUACCAGGUGUACUAAUUAGUGGAAGUGGAAAAAUAGUUUUAUGACACAAAUAUGCAAUCUCUAUCUGACCAUUAGGAUUAUGCAAGAUUUGACAUGAGAGAUAAAACAAAAGUUGGAUCUAUGAAGAACUUUUUUGAUGUAGCUUGUGAGCUUGAAUUAUUAGAGAAACGACGUCUUUUGAUGUGUACAAAACGAAUUGUUGAGUUAUCAAUACAUCCAAAUCUUCGUAGUGCAAAACACAUGGGUCAUUGUUCAUGAGAGAAAGGAUUGUGGUUGGGAAAGAUCAGCCUUAGAGAAGUCCGAGAACAAAUGGUGUUUUCCAUUGGAGAUCUCAGAGAAUACAAAGUGAAAUAAAGAGUUCAAAAUAAUGACUUGUAUUGCAAAUCUUUAUAGUUUUAUAUGUUGUCAUUUUAACCACACAAUGUUUAAACAAUUGAUAGUUUGAAAAUGAGAUUUUUUUAUUUUUUUUAUUUUCUACACUUUUUGUUAUCUAUCAUUUACUCAAAUGGGUUGAAACAAAAUAAUUGAUCAAACAUUUUGUCUUUAACAGUAAUGUGGUAGUUUUCUACUACAUGUUUCUUUCUAUAAAAAAAUACUAUGUAAAUCUAUUUCUUUCUUUGAAAUUUCGAUUGACAUGAUGCUUCACUAAUUUGUUGCUUCAAAAAAAUAUAGUUGCUUGUCAAUCUUUAUUUUAAAUGUAGUUCAUAUAAUAACAAUUUUUUUAGAUAAUAAUAAUAAUUAUUGUUUCAUUAUAUUUUUUUCUUAGUGUUAUUACUAUUAUACAUUAAAAAAUAAUUGCAAUUUUGCUUACCAAAUUGUGAUAUUUAUUUCCUCUGUAUUGUAUAAUUUAAUAAUUAAUUGGGAAUUCGUAUUUAGAAACCGCACCUAUUUGUAGCAUUCCCCGUUUUUCUUUUGUCACUUUGUCUUUUUUGCUUUAAAUUGUUUUUUUUCUUACAACAUGAAAAAAAAAAUGGCCCUUUAAUAUCCAUGUUCUGGAAAUUGGGCCACAAUCCUUUUUAAAAUUGUUUGGUUCAUGCUAAUUUGUUUUAGAGCAUAAUUUUGAGUUUUUCAUGGAUAGUAUUAUUUCUGUAAAUUGCUAUGUUCUAGAAAUAAUUGAAAAUCAAUUUUGAAUUUUAUAUUAAUUCUUAUAAAUUUUCUAGAUAAAAGAUCUAUGACCAUUCUGGUAAUAAGUUGGCAUUAAAAACAUUAACUAAUUCACUUUAUAUGAACUAGGUUACACACUAUUUACAAGAUCUAUUUUUUCUACUCAAAAUAACAAUGGCAUCAACACAAGGUAUGGAUAUGUUUAUCUUUUUGCAUGUCCCUACAAUUUUUACAUUGAUAAUAUCUUAUCAUUUUCAAAGUUAUAUGGAAUCUACAUUACUAAAAAUGAUAGACAUGUUUAUAGAUCAAGAACAAGCUCCAAAACAUAAUUAUGCAACGAGAAGGUAUGCUAGGUUAACAAAUGAACAAAGAGAAAAGCAUGUACAACAUGUGAUGCAAAAUAAAUAAAAAAAGAGGCGUGAAACUUUCAUUUGCAAUUCCUCAAUGCAUGAAAAUAUAAGUGUCCUAAUCGCAACUUUUGGAAAUGAAGAAUAUCCAUCUAUAGGGCAAUAUAAAGGUAUGUUAUACUAGCGAAAAAAAUAUUGGAUUUUUAUACGCACUUGUGUUUUUUCGCUAUAAACCUAACAACAAUGUUUUAAUAGGUGAGAUACGAAAUCACAUUGUUUACUCACCAUUAUAUGAAUUGAGUAAAACACGUCCUUGUCCAUUUUGUGGUGCAAAAUGAUUGCAACAUGAACCUCCUACCUUUUAUUGCUACAAUGGCAAAGUAGUUCUUUUUGUACCUCAAAUUCUAGAAGAUUUUUAUAUUUUAUAUUCUUCUCAAAGUGAAGAAACUAUAGAAUUUCAAUGGCAUAUUCGAGCUUACAAUAGUAUUUUCUCCUUUACGUCAUUUGGGGUUAAAUUAGACAAAGAGCUUGCAAGCUCAAGAAAUGAAGUUUGCACUUUUCAAGCUCAAGGUCAGAUAUACCACCAACUUCCAGCUCUAUAACCAUCUCACAACUCUCCUGUCUUCUUCCAACUAUAAUUCUAUGACACUGAUAAUGAAAUCCAGAAUAGAUUAUGCAUACUACAAAAUAUGCCCCUUAAUGAGACAAUUGUUCUAAAGUUGAUGAAUAUACUACUACAAAAUUCAUAUGAUCAAUUAUUCCUCACUCUAGAGCGUGCUCCAUUAGAUGUUUAUGAAAUCCGAAUUAGAAAUGACAUUUUGUUGGAUCAAAAGGUUUACGAUUCUCCAUUAAUUGAUCAAGUGGUUUUCAUAUGGAUUGAAAAGAAUAAUUCUAAUCUAGCUCAUGAAUGUGAAAUUAUAGUUCAUGCCCAAUCCAGUGACAAACAUAGAGUUAAACACUACUAUGGUUGUUAUAAUCCUUUACAAUACCCUCUAUUGUUUCCUAAAGGAGAUGUUGGAUGGCAUCAAAAUAUUCUAAAAAGAGAUAUAUUAGACCAUAGUAAUGAUAAUGCACAUACAUUCGAAGAUUUAAGCAUACAAAAUUUUUCAUCAGUUGAAGAUGUUUUACAUCGAGAACAACAAGGUAGCACUUUAAAUCUCAUAUUUUAUUUAGAUAGACCCAAUAAUCUAUCUAAUAGCAACUAGCCUUCAACUUAUUCAUUUUCCUUAUAGAUCGUAUUUAUGGAGGAAAGAGAAAAGUGUCUUGUUGACAAUAUUAUUGCUAUAAGUUGCAAAUUAGAGAUGAUGGCUCAAUUCUAUUACUUUAUGGUAGACUUUUGCAACAAUAUGUGGUCAACAUGUAUAUCAAGCUUGAGAAAACAAGGUUGGACUACUAUAGAAGGCAGCAAUAAAAAAUUAAAGUAGAGUUAUACCAAAGCAUCGUUGAUAGUAUGCUAGCUGGAGAGAGUAGGGCAAGUCAAGUUGGGAAAAAAAUCGUGCUACCAACAUCAUUUGUAGGAGGCCCUAGAGACAUGUGUCGUAGAUAUCUGUAUCCUUUGUCUUUGGUCUAACGGUUUGGAAAGCCAGACCUUUUUAUAACGAUGACAUGCAACUUGGAGUAGAAGGAAAAUCAAAAUGAAUUGAACAUAAACCAAAUACCACAGGAUAGACCUGAUUUAUGUUUGUGUGUUUUCCAAGCAAAGAUACAGGAUCUAAAGGAGCAAUUGUUUAAAAAAUAUAUAUUUAGAAAUGUUGUAGCACAUGUUCACGUAAUAAAGUUCCAGAAAAAAUGCUUACCUCAUGCACAUAUAUUGAUAAUCUUAAAGCCAAAAUAUGAGAUUCUCACUCCCGACCAAUAUGAUCAAUUUGUCAGUGUUGAAAUCCCAAAUCCUAUAAGAUAUCUACAUUUACAUGAUAAGGUUGUUAAGCAUAUGAUGCAUGGCCCUUGUGGACCUUUAAGGAUUAAUAAUUCAUGCAUGCGUGAUGGGAAAUGCAAAAAUAGGUAUCAUCAUUCCUUCUAUUUGAAAACAAUGCAAAGUCAAGAUUCUUAUCCAAUUUAUAGAAGAAGAGAUGAAAAACGACAAGUAUUUGUGUGUAAUGCUACUUUGGAUAAUCGUUAGGUUAUCUCCUGCAAUCCCUAUCUUUUAACAAGAUAUAACUAUCAUAUUAAUGUCGAGAUUUGUUCCAGCAUUAAAGCAAUUAAAUAUCUUUACAAAUACAUAUACAAAAGACAUGACUAAGUAGUUGUUCACAUUGCUAAAAAAAAUGGUAGUAUAGUUGAUGAAAUUAUGGAGUUUCAAGAUACUCGAUGGGUUUCAACACAAGAAGUUGUAUGGAGAAUUUUUUUAGUUUGAGUUAAACGAGAUUCAUCUGGCAAUCAUCAAUUUGCAACUGUAUCUUCCUCAUAAACAAUCAAUUUUCUAUUAGGAAAACCAAAAUUUAGAACAUGUGAUUUAUUCUAAUCUCGCAUCAAAGACUAUGCUCACGGAAUUUCUCACUUUGUGCUCAUAAGACAAUAAAACAAGAAUUUUUUUGUAUAAACAAUUUCCAGAGCAUUAUGUAUGGAAUAGGCAAAGUAAAUUCUGGACUAAACGAAAUGCUAGAAAAGUUAUCGAUCAAGUAAAUGCAGCUAAUCCAUCAAAAGGUAAGAGAUAUUAUCUGAGACUUCUUUACUUAAUCAUAAUAAAGGGCUCGAAUCUUUAGAAGAUUUAUUAAGUUACAAUGGUCAUCAAUAUCCAUCAUUUAAGGAGGCUGCCCAAAAAAUAGGUUUGUUGGAAUUAGAUGACUCUAUUUUCAAAUGUUUACAUGAAGCUACAACAUUUCAAAUGGCAUUACUAGUGAAACGUGUUUUUUCAACAAUCUUGGUGUAUUGUCAACCAACUGAUGUAAGAAAGUUGUGGAAUACUCAUUUUGAAGCAAUGUUAGAGGAUUUUUGCACCCUUGAUUCGCAAUCAGUUGAAUCUCAAAUGUUGAACACAUUGAAAAAUGUAAACUUUUUCCUUUAAAGUAUGGGAAAAAGUUGUGUUGAUUAUGACUUACCCAUGCUAGAUUUGAGUUUUUCUGAUUUACCAAUCACUCAUAGUAGAGAAAUUUAUGAUGAAAUCAAGAUAAAUAUUAGUUUUGAAGAUUUGAAUGCAUCAAUGAGAUUUCAUCCAGAACAACAACACGCUUAUUCAAUUAUCCUUGAUCGAGUAAGUUCUGGUUUGGGUGAAGUCUUUUUCAUUGAUGGUCUAGGAUGGACAGGAAAAACAUAUCUAUAUCGAGCAUUGUUGGUGACGAUUAGAUCAAGAAGAAUGAUUGCUAUUGCAAAAAAAGUUUCAAGCAUAGCUUCCUCCGUUAUGCCUGGUGGUUGAACAUCGCGUUCAAGAUUGAAAAUACCAAUUAAUCUUAAUGAAUAAAGUUUAUGUAACAUAACUAAGCAAAACGGCACUACUGAGCUACUCAGAAAUGCAAGUCUAAUAGUAUGGGAUGAAGCACCCAUGGCAUUUUUUUAGGUUAUUAAAGUGGUUGAUAGAAAUUUAAGGGACAUUAUGGAUAACUAAUUGGUGUUUGGAGGAAAAAUUAUUGUAUUUGGAGGAGAUUUUAAACAAGUACUCCCAGUGGUUCCUCAUGCUACAAAGGCAGAAACCAUGAAUGCGAGUUUAAUCAUGUCAUACCUUUGGCCUAAAAUGGAAAAAUUAAGGUUGACUAGAAACAUGAGAGCUCAAUUAGAUACCACAUUUAGUGAUUUUCUACUACGGGUUGGAGAUGGUGAUGAGAACUCAACAAAUGAGGAUAUGAUAAAUACACCCAAUCACAUGUUAGUUCAAUAUAAACAUGGUGACGAACCUGAAAAGUGCAUGAUUAAUACAAUUUUUCCCUCAUUGAGAGAGCAUGCAAGCUCGUCGAAAUACGAAGUAAUCCUAGUUGGACUUAAUCUAGCAUUGGCUCUUAUCGCCACAAAAGUAGAAGGUAGAAGUGAUUCACAAAUAGUGGUUGGACAGAUUCAAAGAGAAUAUGAAGUAAUAGACGAGUACAUGGCUCGCUAUCUUGCCCUAGUGGAUGCUCAAAUGAAAAAGGUGGAAGGAUGGUUGAUUUGACGUGUACCUUGAGAGAAGAACGAAUGAGUGGAUGCACUAGCCGAGGUUGCUACCGCCUUGCCAAUACAAGAAACCACGAUGUUGCCAAUCUAUCUCCAAGUCUCUUUCUCAAUUUCUCAUGAAUAAGUAAAUGAUGUUGUCUAAAUGGAUAUAGGGUGGAUGGAAGACAUUGUGAAAUAUCUACACAUGGGAGAAGUCAUUAAGGAUAGGAGGGAAACUCAUAAAAUCCGAGUACAAGCCGCACAAUAUACUCUGAUAAACGAACAACUGUAUAGAUGAUCAUUUAGGGGACCUUAUCUCAAAUGCCUAAAUGAUAUGGAGGUGCAAUAUAUCCUAGCAAAAUUACACGAGGGUAUAUGUAGAAAUCAUCGGGCAAACGAACUCUGGCACAUCGAGCCUAUUCCCAAAGUUACUAUUGGCACACCAUGAAAAAAGAUGCAGAAAGCUACGUCAAAAAGUAUGACCAAUGUCAAAGAUAUCCUCCCAUACCCGAAAUACUGUUUUGAGUACCUUAAUUGGUUAUAAGUCCUUGAUCGUUUGUGUAAGGGGCAAUAGAUAUAGUUGGUCCGCUCCCAAUUGGUGCGACACAAAAAAAAAAAAUUGUUGCUUGUAGCAACAAAUUAUUUCAGCAAGUGGGUGGAAGCCGAAGCCUAUGUCAGCAUCAAGGAUAAAUAUGUUUUUAAAUUCGUUUAAAAGAAUAUUGUGUGCCAAUUUGGAAUUCCCCAAGCAAUUAUCAUAGAUAACGGGUCGCAAUUCUAUAGCAAUGUCUUCUAGACAUUUUGUUUAGAACUAAAGAUAAAAAAUCUUUGUUCAACUCCUAGAUAUCCUCAAAGUAACGGAUAGGCAUAGGCAACCAACAAGACGUCGCUAAAUUCGCUAAAGAAAAGGCUCGAAUGAGCAAAAGGAAAAUGGGUAGACGAGCUAUUAGGCGUUUUAUGGACUUAUCGAACCAAGAACAAGAAAUCCAUAAGGGCUACUAUUGGGCUUUGUGGAGCUUAGUUUUGUUUGAUCCGGUUUGAUGACCCAACCCGAAUAAUAUUGCAUGGCUUUUUAAUGAGAGAUUUACUGACGCUUGUUGGGCCCGUUUAGCCCAUUGUGGAACCACCUUUUGUAAUUAGGGUUUUUUAGUGUGGUGUUGUAUUUGGAGAUAGACAAAGAGAUUACACGAUGUAUUUGGAAUGGAUUUUCAUGUGAUUCCAGAGGAGUUGACUUGGUUAUAUUGGAUAGAUAUCAAUCUUUAGUGUUGAUCAUGUGAUGGUUUGAAAGCAUGAUGUUUGAAGUUGUGGUCGAAGAAUGGGUUGUCAUCAUUUCAUAAGCCUUUUUACCCGAUUAGCCUUAUACAUAGAGUUAGCCAUUGUUAGCCCUUUAAGCCUCAAACGAGCAUUAUAACCCUUUCCUUACAUUGUCUUGCCUACCUUUUACACCGAAACAAGGGCCCUUUAGUGUAUACAUACUUUAUUUAGGAGUCUCAUGAGUUUUAGACCAAUAGGCAUUCAUCAUGCUUCAUCCUAUCUCAUUGUUUGUGUCCUUCAUUCCAUCUUAUGUCUUUGUUGUCACAUUUCCUUCCAUGCCUUAAGUGAUGAUCUUUCACAUUUCAAAUGCAUAAAGGACAGUCAUAUCACUACCUCCAUUCUCAUGGAUAUUGGUUCAGAGAUCCUUAGUUGAGAGGGUCAUCUUGUUAGUGAGAAUUAGUCCUUACAUCAUUGUUUGAGAGUUUAUUCAUUUAAUUGUGUAUCUUCAUUAGAGCCCAUUUGUUGAUAUUUAAAGUAUGAACAGUUCAAAAAAAAAAGGUGCAUAUAUAUGUAUGUAUGCAAUGUCCUCCUUUGAGUAUAUAUAUGGUUAUUGAGAGUUACCCUAUUAAGUCCAUUUAUUGAAGAGAGUUCACAUGUGAGCUUUCUAAGGUCUUCAUUUCCUUAUGCCCAUCUUGUUAUGUAUUUUGUGUGUGAAAGACGAGUGGCCAUUUCCCAAGGACUCCCGACUUUUUUCCUCUCUAUCAUUUCAUACAUUGGUGAUUUGAUUCUUUUCUAUGUCUUGAUUUGAGUGGAUCAAUGCUCAUUUGCUUCCUUUUGAUCUCAUUGUUUUUCUCAUUCUAUCUCAUCUGCCUUAUCUUCAUUAUUCUUCGUUCAUAUUGAUUUACAUUCAUGUUUAAUAUCUUAUUCGCAUCAUUCUUAUACAUCUUGUUGACCAUUUGAUGUUUUUCCAUUACCUUAUUCUCGCUAGUAUGCUCAUGUUGGACAUCUUUAGGUUCAUAUCUUAUGAGAUUUUCUGUACAUAUUGAAUUUUAUACACGAGGGUAAGGGAUUUUCAUCAUUGGGUAUUUAAGCCUAGUUUCCUUUCAUUUCUUUUAUCCUAUUACCCUAACCUACGUUACAUCCUAUGUCUUAAGACCACCCUAAGGUCAUGAUUUCAUGUAUUAUAUUUGAUAGCUCACACAUGAAAGAUACUUUAGAUCAAUUGAAGAUCAAUUAGAGUAUGAUGGACCAGUAGUUGUGUUAUGACCUUACAUUAGGGCAUAGCCACCUUAGAGAGAUUUUAUUGGAUAUAAAGCCACUUUGUUUGAUACACUACACUGGGGCAUAGCCACCUUAGAGAGCUUUUAUUGGAUAUAUAGUUACUCUGAUUGAUGCACUACAUUGGAGCAUACCUCUCUCGAUUGGCAGUUGAAUUUUUCGAUGACCAUUACACUGGGGCAUAGCUCUUUCAACAAUGGACAAUUUGGAGACAUUAUUUUACAUAGGGACAUACCCCUCUCAAUCAAUGGUGGACUUCUCAUUUAUGGUCAUUCUCUCAAUGAUCAAAUUUUCCUUUCACAUUGAAGUAUAAGAUAUGGUUAGGUAAUUUCCUUUGAUGUGAUUAUAUAGGAGCAUAGCACUUUUAUUGGUAUUGAUUGAUUUUUUUUAGAUGAUUUAAUCAUGGAAUAGACACUUGUAAGAGCUUAUAAUGGAUUCUAGUCAUUUCAAAGAUUGCCCUACAUUAGGGCAUAACCCUCUCAUCAACGAUUGAUCUUAUAGACAUCAACUUAUAUUAGGAGAGCAUUUUUUGUUGAGACAUACCAUCUUGAUUGAUUUUCCUACAUUAGGACAUGCUUAUUCCUUGGAAAAGAUCAAAUACAUUUUUCAUGUUACAGUAUAAUGAGACUUUUUUUAGGAAUAGAAAUGUAUUUUAACUAGAUGAUAUAUGAUGGGUUGUAUUCCUCUCAUUAAUGGCUUGAUUUGGAGAUAACAGCUUAUACUCAGGCAUAGCCCGCUCAUUAGUGAUGAAUGUUUUAUAUGAUAGUUUAUAUCAGACAUAUACUUCAUAAAGGUUAUCUUAUAUGGGACAUGGUCAUUUUGUAUUUUCACUUGUGUUAGGUCAUGUUUCUCUCAUCAGGGAUUGAUUUUGGAGGUGUUUGUUCUAUUCAGAGCUUACCUAUUUUGAGAGGAUGUAUUCACACUAGGGCAUAGCCACCUUACUAGUUUUCGACAUUAAGACUUGAUCUUUUGUUCAUGAUUGCUAUUUUUGAUGGGUUAUAGAGAUGAUGAUACUUUAGUUCAAUUUUCUCAACAUAUCUGGUUCUAUUUGGAUACCCAUUUACCUAUGUUACACACCUAGACAUCCCACUUUUGAUACCAUUACACCCACAUCCAUCGUGUCAAAGUCUGACCAAUAUUGAGCCUACCUAUUUCGACAUUCAACAUAACUUUAUCAUGCUCUCUUGAUCAGAGGAGGAUGUAGACAAGUUUUAAGUUUUUUGGUCAAGAUUCCACAUGCUCUUAAACAUUAGGUUCAGUAUCUUCCAUGAUGACGAGGCCUGUUAAAUUGUCGAUGCAUUUAUGAUGAUGUUUAUCAUUAUAAUUGACAUGUCGUGUCUUGUCUUGCUUGCAUUUUAGACUUAUCCUAGUCAACUUUUGUUUUGUCCACUAUUGCAGUUUUGCUUUGUCAGCAUAGUUUCUAAGAUACAUGGUCUUAUUUGGACAUUCGUUGAUUAAGUCUAGAUAUUUUCAUUAUAUGAUUGUUGAGCAUAUCCUAGAGUGUCCCAUGUUUUGACAUUCUAUGUCUCAUGUUGGUCACUAUUGCAUAUUGGGGUAUAACCUCUUUUUGAGUUUAUUAGAUCUUCUGUUGAUUAUAUGGCCACUCGAUCCGCUUACUAAUACUUGUGAGUCGUUAUACUAGGGCAUACCCCAUUUUUCAUUGAGUUCAUUAUCCCACUCACCCUUUUUGUGGUUCUUUUGGGUGUUUUUGGUUGUAGACCACUUUUCUUGAUUCCUGUUUUUGCUUUAGGUGUUUUUUAUUGCAAAUCGCAAUACUUUCUCCUCUUUCUUGAGUUUGUUUAGGGUAUUCCCUCAUUCUUGAGCUUGUUUAGGGUACCCCACCUUCCUUGAGUUUUUUUCAGUGCAUUCCGGCUUCUUUGAGUUUGGUAAGGCAUUCUUCUUCCUUGAGAUUGUUUGUGGCAUCCCUUUUCUUAAAGAUUAUCACCUCCAUGGAUUUUCAUCUAUAAGCCUUUGAGAGUUUUCAUCACCAUAGAUUUCCAUCUAUGGGCAUUUGAGAUUAUCACCACAAUAGAUGUUCAUUUAUAGGCCUUUGAGAAUUUCACCACCAUAGAUUGACAUCCAUGAGCCUUUGAAAUUAUCACCACCAUAGAUUUUCAUCUAUGGACCUUUGAAAUUAUCAACAUCAUAAAUUUUCAUCUAUGGGUCUUUGAAAUUAUCACCACUAUAGAUUUUCAUCUAUAAGUCUUCCAGAUUAUCACCUAUAAGUCUUCCAAAUUAUCACCAUGGAUUUUCAUCUAUGGGCCUUUGAGAUCAUCACCACCAUAGAUUUUCAACAAUGGGCAUUUGAGAGUUUCACCACCAAAGAUUGGCAUCUAUGGGUCUUUUCAACGCAUGAGAGGUUUGAUUCGGAGUUGCGGAUCGCAUCUCCUUUUCCAUAGAUUUGGCCUUCAAAGCCAUUAUUUUUCAAUUUAGUGUUCAAAGUCCACAACCCAAAGUUGUUCAUUGCAUCUAUAGCCCUAAGUUGUUCAUUGCAUAUACAUUCUCGUACAUUGUCGACCUUCUUAAGCAGAGUUAUUUCUACCCCUAGUAUAUCAUCCAAAUUUUUAAGUUUAUCACAUCAUGUGCUAGGACAAAAAAUUUUGUCCUUCUUAGUUCUUCAUUAUAAUUCAUUUCGUUCAUCUCAUUACUUAUGUUUCCACUCAUAUGCCUUACACUCAUGGUCAUUAAUGAAAAGGGGCAUAUUUAUAGACACUCCAUUUUGUCCUCUUGGCACAUGUUAUCUAGUAUUUGUCUUCCUUCAUCUUACAAUCCCUUGCUGUACACUUAAUUUUUGAAGUCCUAACUGUUUUUUCAAAUCUUAUUACAUUAUUGAUUUUAGAUCACUUUGUUACACUUUAUCUCAAGUUCAACUCACUUAGUUGCACCUUAAGUCUAGCUCACUUAGUGGCACCUUAAGUCCAGUUCACUUAGUUACACUUUAACUCAGUUUCAACUCACAUAGUUACAUCUUAAGUCUAGUUCACUUAGUUACACCUUAAGUCCAAUUCACUGAAUUACACUUUAGCUCAGUUUCAACUCACAUAGUUACAUCUUAAGUCUAGAUCACUUAGUUGCACCUUAGAUUCAGCUCACUUAGUUACACUUUAACUUAAGUUCAGCUCACUUAGUUAAACCUUAGCUUUAGUUUACUUAGUUACACCUUAACUUAGCUCAAUUAGUUGCACAUUUACUUAACUUACUUAUUUGCACCUCAAGUUCAACUCACGUAGUUGCACCUCAAGUUCAAUUCACUUAGUGACACCUAAACUUAGUUCAUUGAGUGCCACUUUAGUUUAGCUCACUUAAUUACACUUUAGCUUAAUUCACGUAGUUACACCUUAGGUUUAGUUCACUUACUCUAAUUCACUAAGUUGCAUUUUAAGAAAAUUCUUAGUUGUAUUUUAGUUUGAGUUUACUUUAGGAUAGUUCAUCUAAAUGCAUAUUUAGUUCAUUCUAUUUAGGUGCACUUUAGGAUAAUUCAUCUAAAUGCAUUUUAGAAAGUCUUAUAGGUGCACUUUAAGAUAGUUUCGUGUCACCUUGCAUGGCAUGUACAUGGAGAUUGAGAUUGGUUUUUGAGAUUUUGAUAACACUCUUGUAAGAUAUACAUGGCAUUGGCUUAGAAAGUUUAAGAUAUGGAAGGAUUUUUUUAGUGUAUGCACAACCACAUGGAGAAGGGGAUAAGGAAAGAUUUGUUUUUUUUCAUGAGAUUGAGUUUAAGGCUCUUUAGUAUGCAUGGUUGAGAGGUUAUGGAAGGUACACUCUUGGAAAUAAGGGAGAUCAUGGUAUAUUGAGUUGGAUUGAUAUAGACGGCCACAUGGAGAAGUGGAUUAGGAAAGCAAAGAUUUUUUUUGGAAAGAUUUGGAAGAUAAGAGCAUCACAACAAGGAAGGUUGAGUAUGGAGAGGAUCCUUUUGGAAGUGGGACUUCCUUGGUACACGACAUGGGAUUUUCCUUUGAAAGUGCAGCCACCAUAUUGAAGAAUUUAAAAUUGAGAGGAUUCUCUAAGACGAUAAAUGACAUCAUGAGACUUUGAGAGGAAAUAGGACUCUUUUAGAGAUUUUAAAUUAAGGUGAGAUUCUUUGAGGACGACUACCAUUAAGAGUUUGAUAUUGUAGGGAUUCUUGAUAUUACUAUUUUGAAAACUUUAUAUUAAAAUGGUUGCCACGUAUUAUUGAGGGAAAUUAUUCAUCGUUUUGGAGACUUUAAAAUCAAGAUGACUUUUUUUUAAAGGUGACCAACCAUCAUAGGAAUUUCUUUGAUUUGGAAGAUGCAUAAGGGAAGUAGAUAGAGGAUACACGAAUUUUAGGAAAAGAAAGGCUGCCAUAGGAAAGAAAGGGAUUCACAUGCAUAGGAUCUUGGAAGGAGUCCACGCGUUGCAUAUAAAGAUAUUAGAAGUUUAAGGAAAGAAAAGGAAGUUAUAAGAAAGGUGGGUUGCCACUUAUUAGAAGAUAGAGUCCACGGCUUAAAGGACUUUUGGAUAAGCAAGAUUCUUUGAGAUUAAGGAUCAUGGCUUGUGUUGGUGCAUGACUAACAAUCUGAGUAUCUGGCUAGCCUUUGAUUAACAUAGACGACGAAUGCGCUUGUAAAAAGGAGUGUCCAGAUGGGUUUUUUGGGCGCACCCCUCUGAAACUUAAGUUAGGCGAGGAAGACUUGAGCAAAAGAUCACUGAAAAAAUGGUAGCCUACUUUCCUUUUAGUGAUUCAUGGCUAUUUAUCCUUGCCCAAAAGUAACGCCUUUUCUGUGUUUUUAUUGUGUCUUUGAUUGUACAUUUAACGCCAAUGAUUAUCGGCUCAUAAUGGCGUUUGAGUCUUGAAGUUUAGUGUUUAUGCUUAGUAACGGUUGUGACAUUCAAUGUACUUAAUGUUUGUCUUAUGUAAUACUUGUCAAGCAAGAAUGCAUAGUGCCUGCAUAAUUUGUGUCUGUCUAUACCUAGGGAGGACAAACAAUAUUAUACAGCAAGCGCAAAAUAGAAGCCACAUUAGACAAAGGCAAGCAUCCCACAAUGCCCCCUAAUUCUUGGAACCUGGUUCAGCUAGGUUCUAGAUGGCCAUGAAGAAGAAUUUUGUUAUUGUUACAGUUUGAAUUUUUGGCGCUAAGGAGACAUGCGUUCACUAUACACAUCACGAGGGGUCACAUCAUUAAGGCAACUUGUCAGCGGCUUCUUAACAUUAAGAUCAUGUCGUUUGGUUUUAUGGUUUAUGCUGUUUAGAGUUGCCACUUAGCUUACCCUAUGAAGGGUUGUACUUCAACUUUUAGCUUAUUUUGAACAUAUAUUUUCAAAAUAUCAUGCUUUAUUAAUAAUAUUUCUUUAGAUUUGCUACAUUUCAUGGUCGUAGUAGUUGUGUUCUAUCUAUAGUUUAUAGAUGAUAUGCCCUAGAACCUUCCGCUUUAGUUACAUAUAUAGGCCUUCCUAAUUAGCCUAAUGUUUGUCAACUCCUAUUUCUACCGUAUUUUUGAAGACUCGUCUCAAUACCAAAUCUCCUGGAUGGAAGACUCGUCAUGCUCUAUUGUUAUACUGAGCGAUCACCCUCUAGUGAUAUGAUGUUUUUUUAAUUGUGGCUACUUCCCAUUCUCCAUCCACCCAAUUCAAAUGUCUUUCCAAAUCACUAUUAUCCUUCCCUACCUCCCAAACAAAUGUUUUUGCUAUAGGCAUUCUGACUUCAAUCGAGAUAAUUGCUUCCAUCUUGUAUGUCAGGUCAAAUGGGGUAGCUGUAGGGAAUUAAAUCGAAUUCCUAACCCGUGAGAAACAAAAAAAAAUAAAGAAAACACACGCCAAAGAAAAACAAUCACACACACAAGACAGUAUUUACGUGGUUCGAUAAUUUGCCUACGUUCACGGAGUUGCAGGGAUAUCACUAUUAUCAGGGAAGAAUACAGAGUACAACCACAACGGCUACAAUAUUUUCUCUCUAUAUAUAACAUGGCAACAACACCACACUAAAAAACCCUAAUUACAAAAGGUGGUUCCACAAUGGGCUAAACGGGCCCAACAGGCCUCAGUAAAUCUCCCAUUAAAAAGCCAUACAAUAUUAUUCGGGUCGGGUCAUCAAACCGGAUCAAACAAAACUAGACUCCACAAAGCCCAACUGUAGACCCUCAAUUUUGUCCCUUUAGCACAUGUCUUUAAAAUUCAUUUUCAAUGCUCCACAAUAGUUCCUUGGUGGCCCAUGGCUACUCAUACCACUUACCUUUUUCUGAGUCACCUCGGAGAUUUUGGUUGAGGGAUUAUUUGAUCCCUUAUUGUGACCCUUGGCAGCCCUAACUUAGACUUAGGCUUUUCUUGUUUUUUUAGGAUAGCUUUUAGAUACACUUGGCCCAUUAGGCACUACCCUAGGCCCACUUAGUCUCACCUUAGGCCCGUUUAGGCACACUAGGCCUACGAAGACUUUUAUUUUAUUUUAUUUUAUUUUAUUUUAUUUUAUUUUAUUUUAUUUUAUUUAUUUAUUUAUUUAUUUUGUUUUUAAUUUUAAUUUUAUGAUUAUCAUUCACUUUUUAUUGGUUAUCUUCCUCUUUAUAUUAUUUUCCUUAACUUAUUUAUUUAUUUAUUAUUUUUACCAUUUUUUAAUUUAUUUACUUAUUUAUCUAUACAUGCAAUUAUUUAACUUCAAAAAUUUCAUGUUUUUGCAAGGAAACUUACCAUUGGAGUUUAAGGAAGAUGGGACUCUCAUUGGAAGGUUUUGGAGGGGAAUUUGAAAUUGGGAAGAUUGCUUUUGAUUGGAGGAUUUAAAAAAAGAAGAGAAGAAGAAAGGAAGGAGGAGAAUUUUCCUUUUUGGAAACAAAUUUAAGUCUUGAGGGGUGAUAUAUAUAGGUGAGAAAAGGAAAAGAAGAGAGAUUUUUCUUGGGGGGCAGAGCACACGGAAUUUUGGAAAAAAGCAAGGGACUUCGAACGGAGAUUGGGCUGUCAUUUAAUCAUCAAGAGAGGAUUUUCUCUUUCACUUCAAAGGUUAGUUUUCUAUAUAGUACUUUUAUUUAGCCUAGAUUUUUUUUUUUUUUUUUUUUUUUUUUGGAAAUUUUAGUUUUUGAUUAAUUCUUUGUGUUAAAGUUUAUAUUUUUUUCUUUUUAAAUCCCCAAUUAGUUUAAUUCUAAUCUAUCUUUUAGUUUAAGUUUGUUAAUGAUUUUAAUUCUUAAGUUUAAAUAAUCAUAUUGAAUAAAGUUUGUAUUUUUAAUCCCAAUUAGUUUGAUUUCAAUUCGUUUUUAAUUUAAAUGCAUUAGUUGAUCUUAAUUCUUUGUUUUAAAUAAUCACGUUAAAUAAAGUUUGUAUUUUUAAUCCCAAUUAAUUCGAUUUCAAUUCGUUUUUUAGUUUAAAUGUAUUUUGUUGAUCUUAAUUCUUUAGUUUAAAUAAUCAUAUCGAAUAAAGUUUGUAUUUUUAAUCUCAAUUAGUUUCAUUUUAAUUUGUUUUUUUAGUUUAAAUGUAUUUUGUUGAUCUUAAUUCUUGACUUUAAAUAAUCACGUUAAAUAAAGUUUAUGUUUUUAAUCUCAAUUAGUUUGAUUCCAAUUCGUUUUUAGUUUAAAUACAUUUUAUUGAUCUUAAUUCUUAAGUUUAAAUAAUCAUAUCGAAUAAAGUUUGUAUUUUUAAUCCCAAUUAGUUUGAUUUUAACUUGUUUUUUAGUUUAAAUGUAUUUUAUUGAUCUUAAUUCUUAAGUUUAAAUAAUCAUAUCGAAUAAAGUUUGUAUUUUUAAUCCCAAUUAGUUUGAUUUUAACUUGUUUUUUAGUUUAAAUGUAUUUUGUUGAUUUUAAUUCUUAAGUUUAAAUAAUUGUAUUGAAUAAAGUUUGUAUUUUUAAUCCCAAUUAGUUUGAUUUCAAUUCAUUUUUAAUCUAAAUGCAUUAGUCGAUUUUAAUUCUUAAGUUUAAAUAAUUGUAUUGAAUAAAGUUUGUAUUUUUAAUCCCAAUUAGUUUGAUUUCAAUUCAUUUUUAAUUUAAAUGCAUUAGUUGAUCUUAAUUCUUUGUUUUAAAUAAUCACGUUAAAUAAAGUUUGUAUUUUUAAUCCCAAUUAGUUUGAUUUCAAUUCGUUUUUAGUUUAAAUAUAUUUUGUUGAUCUUAAUUCUUGACUUUUAAUAAUCAGUUUAAAUAAUCAUAUCGAAUAAAUUUUGUAUUUUUAAUCCCAAUUAAUUUGAUUUUAAUUUGUUUUUAGUUUAAAUGUAUUUUGUUGAUUUUAAUUCUUUACUUUAAAUAAUCACGUUAAAUAAAGUUUGUGUUUUUAAUCUCAAUUAGUUUGAUUUCAAUUCGUUUUUAGUUUAAAUGCAUUAGUUGAUCUUAAUUCUUAAGUUUAAAUAAUUAUGUUAGAUAAAGUUCAUGUUUUUAAUCCCAAAAUAGUUUAUUUUUAAUUUAUUUGUUAGUUUAAAUAUGUAUGUGAUUUUAAUUUAUUAGUUUAAAUAAUCAUGUUAGAUAAAGUUUAUAUUUUUUUAAUUCUAAAUUAGUUCAGUUUUAACCUAUCUUUUAGUUUAAGUAUAUUUGUGAUUUUAAUUCAUUAGUUUAAAUAAUCUUGUUAGAUAAAGCUCAUAUUUGAAAUUCCGAUUUAGUUUAGCUUUUAUUUAUUUUUAAUUUGGAUGUGUUUGUAAUUGUAAUUUAGUAGUUUAAUUAAUCUUAUUAAAUAAAGUUCAUGUUUUUAAUUACAAUUUAAUUUAGUUUUAAUUUGUUCUUCACUUGUAUGUGUUUGUGAUUUGAAUACAUUAGUUUAAUUAAUCCCGUUAGAUAAAGUUUAAUCUUGAUUUAAUUUAUUUUUUUAGUCUAGAGGCAUUUAUGUGUUUAGUUAAUCUUAUGUUAAUUAUGGAUUGUUAUUCUCAAUUUAUGCGCUUCUUGAAUCCUUGUUGCUAAUUCUUGAUGGAUAUUUCAUUAGCUUACUUGAUCUAAAUAUUAAUAAUUUAUUGCUUUGAUAGUUUCCUUUUUGUUCAAAGGCCAUUGGAAAAUCAUGAAGAUUGACCUCUACCAUCACCAUUAUCAUUUUUGUUAAUUACUAAAAAAAUUUUACUUUGAGGUUUCAUUUUUGUUUUGUUGGGUAUUUUAUUUCUUAUAUUUUAUUUUUUCCAAAUUAAUUCCUUUUAUUUUAAAAUAAAAUACUUUUCUCAAAAAAAUCAUUUUAAAAAUCUAUUUCAAAAACUCAUUUAGAGUCCUCAGGAUCAAAAUCUUUUUUUUUUAUUUAUUUAAAAAUAAUAUGCAACCAUAUCUUGUUCGGUUUGCAUCCUUCUCGGUUUUCAACAAAAAUUUUGGUUUUGAACAAAAACACGAAUCAAAGCUUGUGGUCCCAAAUAAUGGGAUGAUUCUGGGCUAAAUUCGUGUAUAUCAAUUGGGGAAUUGGUGAAACCCCUACAUAAGAAAAUCUUUUCAAAAAUUAUUUUUGUUGCCAUUUUUGUCACUUGUUGAAAUUAUGUCUAUCUUUUUUAGGAAUUGUAUAUAAGAUGUGUGUGAUAAUUAAUGUUUUCAUAUACUUUGAUAAUUUUUGUUAUGCUAAUUAGAUAACAAGCAUGCUAGGGUUUCUUUAUUUUAUUAUUAUCUAAUCCCUCAUGUCUUAUGGGAGCGCAUUGUAAGUUAUUUAUGCUAUCCAGGUACGCCCCCCCCCCCCCCCCCUAUCGCCUACUUUCUAAAUUUUGUAAACAAUCGUGUCACUAUGAAGUAUGCAUAUGUUUGAUAAUCCUUAGGUGUUUAGAUGUAUGUUUGAUUCACUAUGAUUAAAUACAUGUUGUGUGUUAUACUUCUAUACUAACUCUGAUGUUUUAUGAUAGCGCUUGAGAAGCGGUCCGGGUACGCAUCCUAACCUUUCUUUUAUGGCAAUUUGAUCUUGUUUAGCAUGCAAAUUUUUUGAAAUCACCUAGCCUACUUAGGUAUCCAUAAUUAACCGAUUAAUUGCCAUAUUCCCCUUAACUUAAUUAGUAGAGACCUCUUUAGGGCUUAGAGGGGUGCUACCUCCUAGAGGUACCUUCCCAAUAAGUAACCUGAUCCCCGGACCAAGACUUGGGUUUUCAAAGACACACUUUUCCAAAAAUUAUGGAGUCAUUUUUUUUAGGGUUUUAUUUCUUGUUUUAUUUUCCCUUCAAAAAUAAAAAUAAAAUAAGUGGCGACUCCAACUUUUUUUCAAAAAAUCAAAUUUUCACAAAUAAAUAAAAAGCGAGUCUCGCCAAUUGAGUGGGGACGCACGUGAAAAAUGCGGGUCCACACCAACAAAUCUCCCACUUGGAGACUAGCUCAAUCACCAACAUCAAACCGCUAUCCUCCAAGAAACAAUCACUCGUCCCUGUAACUCAUUCUCCUAUCCUCAAGCUAGAAGACUAAUUGAAGCUGCACACAGCUUCAACUUCUCAAUAGUAACACCCUUAGUCAACAUGUCUGUCGGGUUCUUAGAUCCACAAAUCUUCUCAUAUUACCAGUUUAUUUUCAACAAGAUAACGGAUAAAGUGAUAUUUUGUUUGUAUAUGCUUCAACUUUGAAUGAAAAGCCGAAUUUUUGGCAAGAAAAAUUGCACUCUGACUAUCACUGUGUAGAAUGUCCAUCUCCUGCUUCUUACCCAAUUCAUCUAAGAAACCAUAUAGCCAAAUCAUCUCUUUUUCAACUUCAGUUGCUACAACAUACUCAACUUCUGUAGUAGACAAAGUAACGAUCUUCUGUAGAUUUGAAGUCCAUGAUAUAGUUGUACCACCUAGAGUAAAAACAAACCCAGUAGUACUCUUUCUACUAUCAAUAUCACCAGCAAAAUCAGCAUCUACAUAACCCCGCAGUUUCAAAUUUGCACCUGUGAAGCAAAGACAUGUAUCUAAUGAACCCUUCAGAUAUCUUAGAAUCCACUUGACUGCCUCUCAAUGCUGCUUUCCAAGCCUACUCAUGAAUCUACUCACAACUCCCACUGCAUGUGCAAUGUCUGGCCUUGUACACACCAUAACAUACAUCAAGCUGCCAAUAGCUGAAACAUAGGGCACCUUGCUCAUAUGGUCCCUUUCUUCUUCUGUCUUUGGUGAAUGUUCUUUACUUAGUUUGAAAUGACUACCCAAGGGUGUGCUCACUGGAUUAGCUUCAUUCAUGUUGAACCUGCUAAGAACUUUCUUCACAUACUCUAACUGUGAAAGCUUCAAUGUACCAUUAGCCUUGUCUCUAAUGAUUCUCAUACCAAGGAUUUGUUUUGCAGCUCCCAAAUCCUUUAUUGCAAACUGUUUGGACAAUUGCUUCUUCAGAUUAUUAAUUUUCUCAAUGUCAGGCCUUGCAAUAAGCAUAUCAUCCACAUACAACAAUAAUAUGAUGUAAGAAUUAUCAAAAGACUUAACAUAGCAACAGUGAUCAGCUUCACAUCUCUUGAACCCAAUUCUAUGCAUAAAAUUGUCAAACUUCUUAUACCACUGUCUAGGAGCUUGUUUAAGGUCAUACAAGCUCUUUCUCAGUUUACAUACUAGAUUCUCUUAUCCCUGAACAAUGAACCCUUCUGGCUGAAUCAUGUAAAGGUCUUCCUCCAAGUCACCAUGAAGGAAUGUUGUCUUCACAUCUAAUUGCUCAAGAUGUAAGUUUUCUGCAGCCACCAUUCCAAGUACAAGUCUAAUUGUUGACAUCUUCACAACUGGAGAAAAUAUCUGUGUAGUCAAUGCCCUCCUUCUGCUGGAACCUUUUAACAACUAAUCUAGUUUUGUAACAUUUGCUACCAUCAUGCUCGUUCUUUAUUCUGUAUACCCACUUGUUGUGCAAAGCCUUCUUUCCUAUUGGCAAUUCAGUCAGUUCCCAUGUCUGAUUCCCUAAUAGGGAAUCCAUCUCAUCCUUCAUGGCUAACUCCCACUUGCUUGAAUUUUCAUCUUGCAAGGCUUCAUCAUAACACUCUGGCUCACCACCAUCAGUUAAUAGGAGAUAAUUUAAAACAGGUGAAUAACGCUGCGGAGGUCUAAUGUUCUUAGAAGAUCUGCAAACUUCAGCUACAGGUGUACUCAAAUCUACCUAUGAAUUUACAUUCUCCUCAUCUUCUUCACCCCCUUUUUGGACAGUACUUUCAGUCAAUUCAUCUAAGUUGACAAACUCAAAUUUCUUUUGAUCUAUCUCUGUAACAUCUGACACUACAGUUGACCUGUCCUUGUACAUAACAUGUUCAUUAAAUAUCAAAUUUCUACUUUUGAUGAUUUUCCUGUUUUGUUCAUCCCAAAACCUAUAGCCAAAUUUCUCAUCACCAUAGCUAAUGAAAAAACAUAUUUUUGACUUUGCAUCAAGUUUACUACGAGCAUCAGAAUCAAUAUGAACAUAAGAAACACAACCAAAAACUUUUAAAUGUGAAAACUUCACCUCUUUACCGCUCCAAACCUCCUCAAGAAGUCUGAACUCCAUGGGAACUGAUGGUCCUCGGUUUAUCAAGUUAGCUGCAGUGCUAACAGCAUUAGCCCAAAAAGUUUUUGGUAGUCCAGCAUGCAACCUCAUACUUAUAGCACGCUCAUUGAGAGUUCUGUUCAUGCGCUCAGCCACACCAUUCUAUUGUGGUGUCCUAAGAAUGGUCUUCUCCAUCCUAAUUCCCUGUGCAGCACAAUACUCACUGAACCCUCCAUCUAUGUACUCUCCUCCAUUAUCUGAUCUCAAACAUUUUACUUUCAAACUUAUUUCUGUCUCAACCAUGGUCUUCCAUUUCUUAAAAGUUUCAAAUACAUCAGAUUUAUUUUUCAGAAAAUAAACUCAUACCUUUCUACUUGAAUCAUCAAUAAAAGUGAUGUAGUAUCUUGAACCUCCUAUGGAUGCAACUGGAAAAGGCCCCCACAAAUCAGUGUGUACUAGUUCUAAUUUUUCAGCCUUUGGUGUCCUGCUAGUUUUCAAGAAGCUCACCUUUUUUUGAUUUCCUAAGAUGCAACUUUCACACAUGUCAAAAUCAAUGGACUUCAAUUCUGGUAGUUUUCCUUUUGACAGCAACAUCUUCAUCCCUUUCUCGCUCAUGUGACCAAGUCUACGGUGCCAUAGGCUUGUAUCAGUACUUGCAUCAACAACUGCAAUUAUGUCUCUUGGACAUGAGGUCAUAUAUAGAGUACCAAUCUUCUUUCCACGAGCCAAUACCCUAGCUCCCUUUGUAACCUUCCAAGUACCAUCAAUAAAUAGUAUUGCAUGUCCUUUAUCAUCAAGUUGUCUAAUAGAAAUCAGAUUCCUCCUCAGGUCAGGAAUAUGUCGAACCUUCUCCAGUAACCAAAUAGACCCAUUGGGCAACGAUAUUCGGACGUCUCCCAAACCCACAACAUCCAAGGCUAAACCAUCAGCCAAAUACACCUUACCAAAAUCACCUGCAACAUAAUUUUGUAUGAUUUCUCGGUGUGGAGUGGUAUGAAACGAAGCUCUUGAAUUCAAAACCCAAUCAUCAAGUGGAUUGUCUACUGCAAGAAGUAAUGCAUCCUGUACCUCUUUUGUUACAGCAUUAGCAAAAUAUCUUUAUUCUUCUUCUUAAAGCUUUUACAUUGCCUUUUAGAGUGACCUGAUCUAGAUUUGCUUCUGUUCCGAUUAGAAUUUCUGGAAUUUGAUCUACCCCGAUUUGAAUUUCUGUCAUUACCUUUGCCUUUUGUCUCAAGGUUUAGGGCAAAACCAGAUCCUGAGAUUUCACCUACAUCUCUUCGAUGAAUCUCCUCAGCCAUAAUUAAAUCUCGUAUAUCAUUGUACUUAAGCUUUUCCUUUCCCGUAGAAUUGCUUACUGCCAUCCUCAUUGCCUCCCAACUGUUUGGCAAAGAAGCCAAGACGAUCAGAGCACGAAUCUCAUCAUCAAAAUCAAUUUCUACAGACGACAAUUGAUUUGUGAUUGUAUUAAAUUCAUUCAGAUGUUGUGCUACUGAUGCAUUCUCUGUCAUCUUCAAAUUGAACAAUUUCUUCAUCAGAUGCACCUUAUUGUUUGCGGAUGGCUUUUCAUACAUACCGAACAAAGCCUUCAUCAAAUUUGCUAUGGUCUUCUCCUUCACAACAUUAUGUGCAACAGACCUAGACAAAGUUAACCUAAUAACUCCUAGAACCUGUCUGUCAAGAAGCGCCCAUUCCUCAGCCUUCAUACUCUCAGGUUUUGUCCCUAAAAGAGGCAGAUGCAAUUUCCUCCCAUAGAGAUAAUCUUCAAUCUGCAUCAUCCAAUACGCAAAGUCUGUGUCAUCAAACUUUUCUAUUCCAGACGUCUUUCCUAUUUUCUCUGUCAUUGCUCCCACUCAAACCUAACCCUAGGCUCUGAUACCAGUUGAAGGGAAUUAAACCGAAUUCCCAACCCGUGAGAAACAAAAAAAAAUAGAAAAAACACACGCCAAAGAAAAACAAUCACACACACAAGACAGUAUUUACAUGGUUCGGUAAUUUACCUACGUCCACGAAGUUACAGGGAUAUCACUAUUAUCAGGAAAGAAUACAAAGUUCAACCACAGCGACUACAAUAUUUUCUCUCUAUAUAUAACAUGGCAACAACAUCACACUAAAAAACCCUAAUUACAAAAGGUGGUUCCACAAUGGGCUAAACGGGCCCAACAGGCCUCAGUAAAUCUCUUAUUAAAAAGUCAUGCAAUAUUAUUCGGGUUGGGUCGUCAAACCGGAUCAAACAAAACUAGGCUCCACAAAGCCCAACAGUAGCCCCUAUGGAUUUCUUAUUCUUGGUUCGAUAAGCGCAUAAAACGCCUAAUAGCUUGUCUACCCAUUUUCCUUUUACUCCUUCGAGCCUUUUCUUUAAUGAAUUUAGCGACUUCUUGUUGAUUACCUCUGCCUAUCCGUUACUUUGAGGAUAUCUAGGAGUUGAACAAAGAUUUUUUAUCUUUAGUUCUAAACAAAAUGUCUAGAAGACAUUGCUAUCGAAUUGCGACCCAUUAUCUAUGACAAUUGCUUGGGGAAUUCCAAAUUGGCACACAAUAUUCUUUCAAACGAAUUUAAAAACAUAUUUAUCCUUGAUGCUGGCAUAGGAUUCGGCUUCCACCCACUUGCUGAAAUAAUUUGUUGCUACAAGCAACAAUUUUUUAUUUUUUUUUUUUUUUUUUGUGUCGCACCAAUUGGGAGCGGACCAACUAUAUCUAUUGCCCCUUACACAAACGAUCAAGGACUUGUAACCAAUUAAGGUACUCAAAACAGUAUUUCGAGUAUGGGAGCAUAUCUUUGACAUUGGUCAUACUUCUUGACGUAGCUUUCUGCAUCUUUUUUCAUGGUGUGCCAAUAGUAACUUUGGGAAUAGGCUCGAUGUGCCAGAGUUUGUUUGCCCGAUGAUUUCUACAUGUACCCUCGUGUAAUUUUGCUAGGAUAUAUUGCACCUCCAUAUCAUUUAGGCAUUUGAGAUAAGGUCCCCUAAAUGAUCAUCUAUACAGUUGUUCGUUUAUCAGAGUAUAUUGUGCGGCUUGUACUCGGAUUUUAUGAGUUUCCCUCCUAUCCUUAAUGACUUCUCCCAUGUGUAGAUAUUUCACAAUGUCUUCCAUCUACCCCAUAUCCAUUUAGACAAUAUCAUUUACUUAUUCAUGAGAAAUUGAGAAAGAGACUUGGUGAUAGAUUGGCAACAUCGUGGUUUCUUGUAUUGGCAAGGCGGUAGCAACCUCGGCUAGUGCAUCCACUCAUCCAUUCUUCUCUCAAGGUACACGUCAAAUCAACCAUCCUUCCACCUUUUUCAUUUGAGCAUCCACUAGGGCAAGAUACCGAGCCAUGCACUCGUCUCUUACUUCAUAUUCUCUUUGAAUCUGUCCAACCACUAUUUGUGAAUCACUUCUACGUUCUACUUUUGUGGCGAUAAGAGCCAAUGCUAGAUUAAGUCCAAUUAGGAUUACUUCGUAUUUCGCCUCAUUAUUAGACAUUGAAAAGUCAAGCCACACAGCUUGCUCAAUUUGUUCUCCCAUGGGAGAUUGCAACAUUGUUCCCACCCCGGCCCCUAAUGUUCUUGAUGAUUAAUCGUCUACAUGGAAAAUCCACCAUUGAGUUUCACUUCCAGGCUUCAUCCAUUCUUAGGGUAGUUCAGCUAUGAAAUCAUCAAGUACUUGUCCCUUUAAGGACAACCAAGGUUUGUACCAUAUGUCGUAUUCACUUAACUCAAUUGUCCAUUUUAUCAUUCAUCCAGAUAGAUCCGACUUAUGCAAAAUGACUCGUAAUGAUAGAUUUGUCAAAACCGUUAUUUGGUGAGCUUGAAAAUAUGGACGAAGCUUUUUGGGAUGAUCCGCAAUGUAAGGGUCAUUUGUUCCUUGGGAAUAUAGUGUCUCUACGUCUACCAAAGCUUUGCUCACGUAGUAGAUGGGAUUUUGCUCACUGUGUUGAUUGUGCUAGAAUAGAACAACGCUAACAACGAAGUUUGAUACGACUAAAUACAUGCAAUGAUGAAAAUAUCGAUAAUUACGGAUAUAUCGGUACUUUGAUUUUACGAAUAUAUCGAAUAUUUCGGAGAUAUAUCGACGGAUAUUUUGGAAAUAAAUAUCGGUAAGCUUAAAAUUGUUAAAAACUCAUGAAAAUGUAAGAAAAAUCUCAUAAUAAUAUAAUUAAAAAUAUAAUAGACAUUUUAAAGUUAUUUUAUUGAAAUUUUUUAUAUAUGUAUAACAUGAUUUAUCAUAUUUAAUAAUAAUAUUGUAUACAUUGAUAAAAAUAUGAAUUUUAUAAGUGUACAUUUAUUAUUAAAUUACACCUAAUAUUAUCAUAUUUGAUUAUAAUAUAUCUAAUUUUAAAAUAUAUAUUAGUAUUAAAAUAUGAUCCAUUUAAUUCAAUUGUAUUAAACAAUAUAAAAUAAUAUAUAUAAUUUUUUAAUAUUUAAUUAAUUAUUAAUGAUAUUAAAAACAUUAUAAAGAAAAUUAUAUAAUUUUUAUAUUUUUGGUAAUUAAUUAAAAGACUUUGCAUUUAAUUAUAAAAUAAUUAUAAUUAAUUUGCUCUUUAAAAUAUUCUUAUAUUUUCUUUAUAUAAUGAGUUUAAGUAUAUAUAUAUUUGCUGCAUAUUAUAUGUUAGCCCAAGUGGUAAGCGGGUGAACCCCAAACCUUUUGGUUUGGGGUUCAAAUCCUCUCGGCAGCAAGCAAAUGGGAGUGCACUGUAGCGCAUAUGACUUUCGUUGACCCACGUUGACCAUGCGAUAUAUCGGGGAAAAAUCGUCGAUUUAUCGACAAAUCACCGAUAUAUCGCGAGAAAUAGGUUAUUUCUCGCGAUAAAUUCCGAAAUAUCGUCGAACCGAUAUUUCUCCAUGAAAUAUCAUGUCGAAACCCUUCGAUACACGAUAUUUCGGCGAUAUAUCGCCAAAAUAUCGCGACAUUUUCUUCCUUGAGUACAUGUACAACUCUUAUUUGGCCUCAAGGAUGCUCAAAAUUGGUGGUUCUAAGUGAUACUAUUUUAUGGCUUCAAAGGCAAGUGCACAUUCACUUGUCCAACCAAACACUUUUGUUCCCCACAUAAUGUUGAAAAAAUGGCAAAGUUUAUCAAUGAAGCAUGCUAUGAAUCAUCCCAAGGCAGUUAAAUGGUCGAUCUAGCGCUACACCUCCUUCUUGAUGUUAAGAGUAAGGGAUUCUAGCACUGCUUUGACUUGGGUUGGAUUCACUUCUAUGCCCUUCUACGUUGCUAUAAAUUCGAGGAACUUACUCUGAAUACGCAUUUGAGCGAACUGAGUUUCAUGUCAUGCUUGUGCAUUAAUUUGAAUGCUUCUUCCAAGUGAUGAAGGUGCUCGAAACAAUUUUUACUUUUGAUGACAAUGUCAUCAAUAUAGACUUCCACUAUGAGACCUAUUAAAGGCUUAAAAAUGCGAGUCAUCAACCAUUGAUAGGUAGCACAAGCAUUCUUCAACCCAAAUGGCAUGACUUUGUAAUAAUACAACCCUUGUGGAGUAAUGAAUGCCGAUUUUUCUAUCCUCACCCCUUUAUCCCCUCCAAAAUUGUGUAGACUCCUCCAAAAAUCCUAAUCAUGUCUAUCUUCCUUUCUUAAUGAGAAUUCCUCCCAAAAAAAACUCUUUCAUUUCCUUCUCAAAUUUUCCAAGUUGUGAUCCUCAAUCUCAAAUCAUCCUCCCUAUCCAAAAGUCCUCUUAGUUGUGGACGCUCUCCUGCAAUAAAUGGAGGCCUACCACCUUCCUUAAAACUACUUCAUCUUUCCUUAAACUCGCAAUCUCUAUAUAUGCAGCCCAUAGACUCCUUCUAAGAUCCUAUGUGUGUGAAUCCCUUUUUGUUCUAUGGCAACCCUUCUCUUCCUAAAAUUUGUGUAUCAUUUCUCUACUUCCCUUAUGUGUCUUUAAAUUCAAAGAAAGUCUUAUGGCAGCCACCUUCCAAAGAGAGUCCUCUUGAUUUUAAAGUCUCCAAAACCGUGAAUAAUUUCCAUCAAUAAUUCAUGGUAGCCCUCUUAAUCUAAAGUUUCUAAAAUAGUGAUCUAAAGAAUGUCCACAGUAUCAAACUCUCCAUGGUAGCCGUCCUCAAGAAAUCCCACCUCAAUCUAAAAUCUCCUCCUCUCAAAGUCUCACCAUGCCAUCUACCUCUUUAUAGAAUCCUCUCAAUUUUAAAUUCUUUCAUAUGGUGGUUGCACCCUCAAAGGAAAAUUCCAUGUCGUGAACUAUGUCUAAGAUGAAGUCUAUUACAAUACCAAUUAAAAAAAUACAGGAACCAAAUACACUUGACAUGGCACUUAACCAAUGUUUGAACCAAAUACAGGAACUUGACAUGACAGUUGAAUCAACAAGCAUGUAGAGAACUCAUUUCAAGCACUUUGAGAUAUAACAUACACUCAUUUUCUUUUUUUAAGAGCUCCAUUGUAUCAUGUAUUUCUUUCAACAUGUGCUUAGCCAUCAAAUAAGACGUGAAUGAAUAUAUCCUUAUUUAUCGCAUCGGUUUUUAUAAAUCAUUAUGAUCACAUUUUAUACCCUAGUAAAGGUUUUGUGUAUGUUAUUCUAAUAUGAUAUUUAUGAUUAUGAUUUGAUACAAAGUAAAAGGACGCCAUUGAAAAAACACUACCUCAAAGUUCAAAGGCACGAGACAAAAAGAAGACCAUCUAUUAUCACAUCCUAGUGUUAUGCUCAUCAUCGGCGACUUAUAUUUCACAUAAGGUAUUGUAAUAUAAAGGUGAGAAUACUUCUUAAAACAAGAUUUUGAAGCAUUUUUAAAAUAGAUGAAACAUGCUUAAUUCAAUAAACUAAAUGGGAGAAUGCAACAAGACACGCAAGUGAUAAACUAUACUAAUCCAUGCCAAAAUUUGGCCAAUGAGUAGAAAUCACACGCAAGUGAUAAACUAGUCAAGGAAGGCCCAAUAGGAGAGUUGGAACAUGCAUAAGAUGUUUCUUCUCAUGGUCAAUGAGUAGAAGAUGAUACAGACACUACACUUCUAGGUGAGGACGGCCCAUUUAGAUUUCUAUAUGAGAAUCUCAACGGUAGAUUCCAUCUUAUGACAUCCCAAAGAUAUUAAUUAUUAAUCAAGACAAUGUUUUAAUAUAAUUCUUACAUCUGUGAAAAUAACAAUAUUAAUAUAAAAAAAUAUUGAAACUUAUAAAUUAAAAUAUAGAUUUCUUAUAUUUCUAAAAAUCACAUUCUAUAAAAUUUAAGUUAUUAAAUUUUUUUUAUUACCACAUUUUAAUUAGAUUUUAAAACAUUUUCCAUAUAUGCUAUUAAAAAUUCUUAUAUUUUAUAUAAAAAUUAGUACUUUUUAUUAUCAUGAAACCAAUCAUAUCAAGUAACAAUUUUAAUACUAUAUACAUAUAACUUCUUAUAGAUUUUUCCAGCAUUUCCUAAAAUUUUCAUUUCAUCAAGACUGGUGUUCACAAUUUUUGAUAUUUUUACAAAAUAUCCCACAUCAAAUAAUAAUAUAGGAUUCCAAACUUUCAAAUCAUAUGCUACAACCAUAUUCUCAUCCCACCAACUCUUUUAACUUAACUUUCUUUGUGAAAAUGAAAAAUCACUUAUUCAGCGAUCUCAUUGCCCAACUCUUUUUCUGUUAACAAGAGAAACAAAGUUUAUAAUACAAGCAAGAAUCAAGUCUAUAGUUUUACCUAAUGGAUUAAGGAGUCACCAUUUGAAAAUCAAGUUUUUAUUUGGUUCAUGGUUAGAUGCUAGAUCCCAAAAUGUUAAUACGCAAGAAGCCCUCAGAUCUCAUACACGGUAAGGCUCAUGGUUUUCAUUAAAGGCCAGUCCACACCUUCAAAAUAAUAAUAAUAAUAAUAAUAAUUGUCAUAACACAGAGGCUGAUGAAGAAGGAGGAGAAGGGGGAGGCUAUUAAUGAAAACCAUAUAACCACACAUGAGUUUUCCAUCAUUGGGCAUUUGCUCACCACAAUGAAAAAGAUAACCACAAUUUCGGAUAUCCACCUGUGAUUCACUAGUGAUAUAAUGAGUUCAUCAAUCUAUACCAAUUGACCUUUUUAAAUAAACCCAUUCGAUGAUUCGAUUUCUUGAAAGGCAACAAGCUGAGGCAAAAAGCUUCUUGCUUAGCAGAUUGUCUGAAGUUCCAACUUGCAUAUAAACUCAUGCUCUUCAAAAAAGCAAACAUAGAUCUUUCUCAAAAGGCAAUAUUAAAAAACAAAGAAGUAAAAAUUCAGUGGGAGUGGUAAUGGCAUAUGAAAAUUUAAAACCAUAACUUUCAUCACAUGCUAAAACUGGGUUGAUCUAAAAGGAAAUGUAAGAGAAGUGAAGGACAAAAAAAAGAAAGAACCAGACAAUAACAUCUAUUGAUAGCCCUCAGAUCUCAUAGCUAUUAUUAGUCAUCGUCAGUUAUAACAAACUGAUUCUUAUUAAGAGCCUCCACAUCUUCAACCACAGUAGAAAAGAGAGAUAGAGAGAGAGAGAGAGAGAGAAAGAGAGAGGUGGUGGUGGUGAGGCUGAUGGUGAGGAUGAGAGUAAAGGCUCCUAAUAAAAAUCAAUUUAAACCCUCCACAAAAUAAGUUUUCCAUCAUCGGGCAGAUGUUCAUAUUGAUAUUAUUGUCGACUGAAAAAUCAGGAUACACCUAUAAUAAGAGAGGACUGCAUGCAAGAAAACAGUUCAUUUAUAAAAAAUAAAAAUAAAAAAACAGAAAGAAAGAUAAAAGAUGAAAUAAGAAAACCAAUUCAUAAACAAACAAAAUGUGUAAUUAUACUAAAACAAUUUGAGCUUAAAGCAGAAGUACAACAGGAAAAAUACAACAGCAGCUUAAACCUAUAAUCAGUUUGGGUGGGUCAGAUGUGUUCAGCUAAAUAAUGUUUCAAUGAUUAAAUGAAAUAGGACCAUAUGAAAAAUUAUGCAGUAUCUGCCCACCAAUAACCAAAAGAAAUAAACAAGGGCAAAUCCCAAAUAAAUAAAUUUUCAAAUCUCAAACCAUCAAUCUAAAUUAAGCUAUAGAAGUAAUAAUGCCAAGAAGAACAUCAACAGAAUACUAGAAAAAUCCAAGGAAUAAAUAAUGGAUAGGAUUAAAUGGAUGCAAUAUCCUCAAGAAAUGGACACCUGUAAAUACCACAAAAGCAAAUAGCUUACAAUUGGUCUAUAUCUUGUCAUAGCUGAGCACAUCUAUAAGAUAUACACACCACCAAAAUAACUUUAUUCUACUACAUAAUGUUGUUUAAUCAUAACAUCAACUUAUUCAAAUAUGCAAAAGGCAGUUAGUACAGUUCACCUGCUGAUCUUCAAGACUUAAACCAACCAGCACUGUACCCAUAUGAGAUAAGAAACACUCCAUUCACAUAAGCUUCCAGCACUAGUACCAUAGAAAAAUAAUACACAGUGCUAACUUCAACAUCACCCCCAUAGGCAUCGAAAUCUCAGAAAAUAACAAGACAAAACCAUUGGAUAUAACAAUAGUCUCCAAAACAAGUCUCAACUGGGCGAGUAUCAGUGAGAACUUCAUUCCCAAGAUUAAGAGCCAUUCAAAAUACUAGAAAAGCUCAAACUUCAUAUGAGACAAAAUGGGUUUUUUUUUUUUUUUUGCAAAUCAAGUUUCCAUUCGAAAAACAUAGAUAUGAAGAGUACAUUUACAUGGUUCUCAUUAACCUAAAAAGAUUGUCAACAGUUCAAUGUCUUAGAUGCCAUAUUACAAUAUAUAAACAAGUAAAGCCCUCAGAUCUCAUAGCUACCAAUAUUCAUAGAAGGUAAAGCUUGUAAUUUUCAUUAGAAGCCAAUCCACAACUUGAUAAUAAUAAGAAUGCUAACAGCAGUAGUAAGAAGAAGAAGAAGAAGAAGAAGAAGAAGAAGAUGAUGAUGAUGAUGAUGAGGGAGGCUCCUAGUGAAAACCACAGCAACCACACCAAAUAUGAGAAUUCCAUCAUAGGGCAGAUGGCCAAGAUUCAAAAGCUUUGUCAUCCAUGGUUUAUAGAAUGAAAUAGUCCAGAUAAUAAGAACAUAAAAGAGAGCAUAAUCACAAAGGAAGGAAUGGUAAGAAGAGGUCAGAAGAGCCAAAGAAGAAACGAGCAUAAAGACUCCCGCAGAAACCAUAAACAAAGCUGCUUCGGAAAAACACAUUCAGAAUUACAAGGAAGCAGAUUUCACAAUCAAUAGUAAUUGUAACAGAAGUUCUCAUUUGUUUAAAAGACAAUAAUAACACACGUUGUGCAUUAUGGGAUCAAAGAAAAGAUCAAGAAGCAACCCAUGUUAAGGACUUGCCUGACUUUUAGGGGAAAAAAAAAGGUGAUCAUAGGUACAACAAAGCACUUAAAACAGUGUAGACAAACUUGAUAACGCAACUUGGCCCCUCAAAUUUGUUGAAAAAUGGUGAGACUGAGGUUCCGACUAGUGCGUUUUUUAAUGAACCACACUGACCUCUCAAAAGGCUAUCUUAAUUAUAUAAUUCUGUGAAUAAAAAGGUCAAAACAUGCACAUAGUUAAAUUGAUCUCAAAUAAUAGCAGGAUAACAAAAUAAAGCACCCAUCACGUGUGUGACCCAUAGGAUGAAAAUCCGUUGCACCAAGUAAUUUCACUAGUCUUAACUCAGGUCGUAAGGGUAUAUUUCCAAUCAUUCAAAAAGUCAGCAACUUAAUUCAUGUAAUUGAAACUCCACCAGUAACCUAAUGACACCAAAAUAACAAUGUGAUAGUUGUCUGAUAUUUAAACCAAUCGAAAUCCAUUCUGAGGCAGUAGCAAUGAUAGAAGAAAACAUUUCAAUAGUUAUACCUAAACCCGAUUCAAAAACCAAAACACUUGAUCAAAUGAAACAAAAAAGAAAGGACGCAAUGGAUAGAAAAUCGCAAAAAAAAAAAAAAAACAUAGACAAAAAUAUACUAAAAAAGCCCUCAGAUCUCAUAGCUAUCAUAAGUCAUUGUUAGUAAAACAAACCGGUUUUUAUUAAGAGCCUUUCCACAUCUUUAUCCAUACUAAAGAGAAUGUGAAAGAUUGAGGGAGGAAGAGGAGAGAUAGAGAGAGAGAGAGAGAGAGAGAGAAAGCGAGAGAGAGAGAGAGAGAAGACAGAUUAAGAAGAAUAUGGCGAGGAUGAUAGUCAAGGCUCCUAACAAAAACGACUGCAACCCCCUCCAUAGAAUGAGUUUUCCAUCAUUGGGCAGAUGAAUUGAAAUAAUAACUAAUAAUCAGAACACCAGCCAUGAAUGCUUGUAAGAAACAAUUAUAAGUUUAAAAGAUUAAUUAAAAAAUUAAAAUAUAUAUAUAUCAUAAAAGAAAACAUAAUGAUCAAAACAAAUUGAAGACCACAAUAUUCUCCCUAUCUGAAGAUAAAUGAAACAAGACAUCAAGAUUUGUUUUCUUGGUUAAUAUUCAAAUAUGUUGACAAAACCAACAAAAACUCCAUACCAAAAAAGUAAUUGCAACAUUUAAAGGCAAAUGAUAUGAGAAGGGUGGUCAGAUACAGCUUUCUAGGCUAGCAUUUCCAUCAAUAUUACUCAGAGCCCAGUGCAUAUCAUCAUUCGUUCUAAAAAAUCAACAAAAGAAAGGAUAAAAAUGUCCAUUGAAUAAAACUCUAUUAUUCAAGAAAAAUCUUGCAACUGCAAGAUCCAUAAAAUCGACACCGCAUUUGAUGAAAAUCCUCAGAUCUCAUGCCUUUGAACAAACAAUCUAGGGUUUUGUACUCAAUCGCAUUCAUCAAAACCCUUUUCUAUAUAACACAGUAAUUCAUAAUAAAAACUAACAAACAACGUAGCCAUCCGACAGCUCCGCAGCCACCGUCGCAGGAGUCGUCAGCCCGGAGUGCGAGCAGAGGUAGAUGGGAUCAUGGGAAGAGGUAUAGAAUGACGUACGUAGGGUUUUAUCGCCCAUUUAUAGGCAGAGUUGAAUUCCUAAAAGAACCCUGGAUUUAGUCGUAAAUAUCUAGGUUCACCCGAUCUGGGCUUUUCUUUGGGUUUGGGCUUAUUUGAUAUAUCGAAAGUGAUGGGCCAGGCUAAGCUUUCGUGGGUUGUAUUAUGUUUAAAGGAUUGCAUGGGUUUGAGGUUGAUGGUUAACAAGCCCAAACUAAAGCCCAUGAAACAAAACCAUUUUUAUUUAAAAAAAGAAAACCUUAAUCCUUUUUUUUCCUUUUUUUUUCAGCUUUUUUAUAUGAUAAAUGACGAUUUUGUCUCCAUUACAUAUUUAAUCAUGUUAUAUUUUUAGGAUUUUUUUUUUUUAGUGAAUGCAACCACAAUCAAAAGAAUUUUUGAGAGUUUUAUCAUUGUACUACACAUUUUUCAUUUUAUUAAUGGAUUGUUUAGUGUUGGUGUACUCCGUAGACAUAGAGAUUACAUUGAUCAUCGAAUCACAUCAAAAUCUCGUAUUUUUCUUAAUUUUUGGUUGUGUGUGUGCAAUAAUUAAGGGGUAAAAGAACUUUCAUUAGCUUUUCCUUGCUAUUUUUGGGUAUAGAUUUAUUUUCAUUUCUAUCAAGAUUAAUUUCAUCCUUACAAUUAAAUAAUUGUAUUCAUUUUUAAAUAUCAAGCUAUUAAAAAAUCAAAGGUUUAUGAACAAAUUCCCUUUUCAAACUUCAUUUCAGUAGGGUAGUGAUGUGCUGAUGAGAAUGCGCAACCCACUAAUGAAUCCAUCUUAAGAUCCACAGUGGCAGUGUGUUAUCUCCUAAAAAGCCACUUUAGUGGCCACUGCCCACCCUACCAGUCCAUUUGCAAUCCAUUAUUUUACAAAACACUAUUGAUUUUCCUAGCAUCACUCCUCCUAGUGUAGUGCGCCACCAACCAUUUCCAUCUCUUCUUGCUCUGCAUUUCAUAAUAUUUGCAUCCAUUAGGCUGAUAACAGAGGCAACUUGUUGGGUGCAAAAGGUGGUGGUCCCAUGGCCCAUAUGAACAAAGGGUGAGUUCAUGGUUACUUGGGUGGAUUCCAUGGAGACCAGGUGGAUCCAUAAUCCCACAUCAGGUCACACUAGUUUAAUGUGAUCUCCCAUGUCCCACUGCUGAUUCUUGUCACACAUGCACACUACCAAGAAAAGGAUAAUGAAAACUUUGUUCAGGGAAUCCCAUUGAGUAUCUUGUUUUGUUUUAAGUUGUUUGAUUUGGUGAUGGUUUUGCAUAAAUGUCAAGUUCUGUUUUUAGGUAAGCUCAGUAUUUAGAGGCUGUGAUCACCCUCAUCAGUCCUCUCUCACCAUGGCCAUUGUUGGGCUGAGCCACCACCUAUGCUACAGAGAGGAUGGGCGUCUGUAUGAGCCACCAUGAGAAGCCAAGAAAGAAAUCUUCUGAGGUGCACUCAGGGCACUUCAAUUAGGCUGCCAAGCUGUGCUCACUACUCGAAAGUCUGUCAUUGAGGUUGAGCCCCAUGGCUCAGUCAGCUGCCUGCCGGGCACUACCAUGCCUUGUGAGAAAACCAAGCCAGAUGUGCUCAUAAGGAUCGCGAUCGGCCUGGUUUCUCAGGUCUGUUUCAAGUUAUGUAGCAUUCUGGUCCAAACCAUCUAUGCAGCUGAAGUUUGUAUAUAUGGCUUUUCAAGUUAUGAAAGUAUGGUGUUUGAGGGGUCCUUUUGUGUCAAGAAUUUGUUGUUACAUGUAGGUAGGUGGUGAGAACGAUUGUCCACCACAAGACGCUGUGGAUACAAAAACAGGGACCCUAUUCUUGUGUGUGUGGCAUGGCUGCCUACUUUUGUGCUAUCUAUAAAUAUAAAUCAUCUGGCCCUGGUAUUUAUCAACCAACUCACUUUCAUAGACCAUAGGGAUCAGCUACAACAAUUGGCAGUCAAAUUUCUAACAAGGAAAUGCUUAAAUGCUAGCCGGGAAAUGCCUAAAUUCCAGACUCAGCCAUAUAUAUGGCUGCCCUCUUUCCUAGUACUCUAACUUAAAUAUACUCAUUUGAUAAACCACCUUAAUGGAGAAGGUAAAGAUUUCAGGUCCUCUUACCCAAAAUUGGGUAGGCCUCCAAACCCGUAGUGUAGUUUAUCUUUCUCUACGCUUUCCCUCUUUAUGAGAUGUUUUCAAAGUUCGUACAUCAUGCCAUCGUCCAUAUAUCACCCGCAGGUUCAACCUUUUCCAAAGUUUAUUUCAGAUUGAUCUAACACGGACGUCACAAAGGCAAGAUGAUAAAUAUUUGAGGCAAAGGUUGAAAAGGAUGGAAGGAGAAAACCAAGAGCUGUGUAAAGAGCCAAAUGACCUCUGCCUCGCACGUUGUAUUGGGCCCUAAUGUAUUUGUAUCAUGAUGAAAGAAUAAGUGCUAGAGGCCCUAUCGCAGGCGGGCUUGUCGACCAAAAUCAGAAUAAGCACAAAAGCAGGUUAACCUUCACACCGUUUGGCAUCCACUCUACGGCACCCCGGUACUAAGUAUUUUUCACCUAUGACAAAUAAUUGACCAGUAGAUACAUUCCUCGGGACAAUAAUAGAACUCAUAAGUCAUAAUCAACAACAGGCAUAAAUAAUUGCUUCGCCAUCAGGAUGAGAAUAUGAAUCAAAACAAACAUUCGAGCCAGUAAACCAUGUUAUAUGAAAGGCAGACCAUGCUGGGGCAGGUUCUAAAUGUGGGGCUUGAGCAGAACUUGGAGACAUUGUCUAGCUGCACACUGGGCCAACCGUCUCUCUAUACUUCCACUUGUAGAUUUGAACCCUGUUAAACAAUAAGCCUCUUUGUCUUUCAUGGCAAUGGGCACAGAUUCAAGACAAACAAUUAGCCUAUCAGCUUCCAAACAUAAGAAGCCGGAUAUGUCAUCAUCAUCAUCAUAUCAAUCUUUUCUUAUGCUACCAGACUGAAUGUUUUGGAAGUCUAAACAGAUUCUUUAUAGGCAUAUUUUAAAAAAGGGAAAUUGAAGUUCAACAUCUGAAGGCAUUCACAAUGGCCAAAGCAAGCUAGCCCAAGAAAAAAGGAAAAGAUCCCUUUCCCCCUCCAAUGCGCACAGACAAUGUUCUGCACUCUUCAGCCUACAAUGAGAUAUAGAUGCAUUCAAGAAACCCCAUCCUAUGGAACUCUAGAAAAGAAAAUUCAUUACCAGCUAAGUGUUCUAUUCCUUACCAUGAUCUCCUUUUUUUUUUUUUUUCUUUUUCUGUUUUACUUCUAUUCACAUGCCAACUUAGUGUCGAAGCUGCUCAAGCAGAUAGCGAAAGCCUGAAAAGCAGACAGAGGAUAUCGAUAAUCCAUGGUAAACAUAUCCUUGCCAACUUUGCCAAACUGCAGAAUAAUCUUGUCAUGAUCAGAGGCUGGAGGCUGUGAUGGUGUUGGCGCACCAGCGGCCGGCUGUGUGGCAGCAAUCAGCUGGAAAUUCUUGACUGAGGCAACAGUUACCCUCCCCCGGAAGUUAAGGCACCAACAUUGCAGCUGCUCAUGCCAUCUGGGCGGCUUGUUUCGGAGAACCAGUGGUCUGUCCUUUCCCUCAUCCUCUUCAUCACGAGGCCCAAUAAUGUCUGAGAACCGGGAGCUGCUGAACUCGGUUGAGUUAUCAAUUGAUUUUGAGAAGGAGAUGCUACGGAACGAAUCUUCAAGGUUGCGAGGGAGGAGCUCAGCCUGGCCAGGCACAGUGCCACCCGGCUCAAGGGAUGAAGCAGGGAUUGAAUGCAUAGUGCAGUGCAUCCUUCGUGGCCCCCUGGUGCCUAAGACAUUCAGCUCAUAUGUGACCUGGGCAAUGUUGUAGCUGCCAGUUGGGACUUUAGGAGAAACCUUUUUCGAGUAGAACCUCCGGCUCGUUCGGCCAGGUGGGGAGAGUUGAGAACCAUUGUAUGGUGGCUGUGUAUCAUAAAUUAUGAACUUUGUGCCAAGGAAAUUUGACCUGAAACAAGGGGGAGGACAAACAAAUUUUGAGACAGAUAGAGAGUAAUUUAUGAACACAAACUAGAUUAUAGGCUUAAAACAAAAAUUGACCUGAAAUAAGGAAAAGAAGUGCAUUUCAUUCAAUUAAUAAGACGGAAAUGCAGUGAGUCCUAGAUACAAACUAGAUUAUAGACUUGAAAGCCCUCACUGGGUUAUGGUUAUAUACUCAGGAUAUACUGUACCAGCAGACAGAUCUUCUUUCCCCACUAUAGCAUGGUCCUUAAUGACCAAUAAUCUUAGUAGAAAGUAUCUUAUGUUCAUUACAUAAUUACUAUUCUUGAUUAGUAGAACUUAUCAUCGAUAUUUUGUGUAAAUGUAUAAGAAAUUAUUCUGAAAGGGUCCCUAGUUAUAACCUAUACAAGAGUUCUUGGUUUAUAAGUAAAUCCAUUCCUUCUAACUUGGGAUUUUUUGGUACAUGAAUAGUAAUGCACAGAGGUAAUUAAUUACAUCUGCAUGUUUAGUAAUUUGGUUCAAUGGCAGCAUUGCUAGGAUAAGAGACAGCCAUGAGAAAAGACACGACAAUGAUUUAACAGCUAGGACCAUAAGCAUUCAUGUAUCUUACAAGGAUAACAAUGAUUUACGGCCUUGGAUAGAACAGGUAAGUAGAAAAAAAUUCAUGUAGCCAACUAUAAGCAGCUAGGACUAAGUCUCCAUUUAGCUAAAAAAAUUGUUAUUUUGUGCAUUUGUUAUUAAAUGCUAUAUAAAUAUCAAAAGACACAUGAUUACCUCGAGAAAUAUUGAAGCCCUAAAACAAGUUCACACCUCAAUAAUUUUCAUAUUAGGAACACCAGAUGUUUGAAAUUUAAUCAACAUAUUCAAACAAAUUUGUAGUUCAAAUAUAAUAAAACUAAAAAAGGAAACAUAAAUCUUACUAUACAAUUAACACCACUUCAAUUCUGUAUAACAUAAAUGACAGGUAUAGGAUAUCAGUAUACUUUGUGCACCAACAAUAUGAUGAAUACUACAGACAAGUAUGGAAUUACAAGAACAAUGAUUUAUAUAAUAAAAAAAGACCUAACUGUUUCCUUAAAGAUUCUCAGGUAUAACAGUUGAUUUAGGAGUUUCCCAUACAUGGACUGAAAUUGAGACCUAUGCUGACAGUCUUUCACCUCAAGCUUUCUUAUGCCCAAACCCAAAUAAAUCAGAAUCUUUAGAGAUAAGGAAAGUGGACAGAAAAUUUUCAAAUCAGAACCUGGAUCCCUAGAAUGAUAUUGGAGGUGGAUUAAAGAGGACUAAUUCCAGCUACACCGUCCAAAUACGUCAUGUAGAACAGAGUGAUUUACAUGUUCUUAAGCAUUAGGAAUCCUAUUUUAUGCUUAAGAAUCAUAUCUUAGAAUCAUAAAUAGGAGGGACACACAAAAAUAUGGCAUAGUUCACAUGCCAUGAUAAAGUUGAUGGGCAUUUACUGAAUGUAAAAGAAUGGUAAGAAAAAUGGUGUAUUCAUCUACCUCAGCUUCCCAAUAUAAGUGCUGCUUGAUCUUGAUAUGUUAUCGGCAUCCAUGGAGAUUACAUAUUCUGUGCAAGUAGUUCUCCUGUUUCGUUUUGCAGACAGAAGAAAUUUCCCAUUUUCAACAAGCAAAGCUGCAAAUAUGGAACAAUAAAUCACAUAUCACAAAUAAUGGACAUUAGGAAAAGCAUUUAGUAAAGCAUUAUCUUUUUUUUAUAUAUAUAAGUAUUUAGUAAAGCAUUAUCUUAUACAGCUUAAAAGUAAGCUAGAACACUAAAACAAUUUGAUUUGUGCGUGAAAACAUAACUUAUUAUCUAGCCAUUUGCAGAAAAAUGGGAUGACUGAAAUUAAAUUAUAAAAAGAGAUAUUUUUUCUGUAAAAAGAGGAAAAUACUACCCUACUGUGACUAUGAUGUCAGAGGUAAUAAGGCUUAUAAGAACACUAAACUAAAAUUAGUUGAAAGCAUAGGAGCUGAAAUUCCAUUCCAUGCAGCACAAGUACAAAACCAAUUGCAGAAAAGAUUUGGUUGAUUCAACCACUCAAGGAAAAUGGUCUAAAAUCAUAGGAGCAUAAAUCUAUCACAUUCAGCAAAAGAGGCCAAGUUUAAGACAAGGUCAUGAUUGUUCAUCAAGGGGCAAUUUGGGAAGCCUAUACAAUUGGAAGCAAUGCACACACUUGUCAAGCAGGAUUUUCAAGGGAUUACUGUACCCCUUGCUUUUAUAUAUACAUGUAUGAAACAGAAAUUCAACAGAUUGACAUUAAUUAUGAGUUUCCAAAAAAUUAAAACCCUUAGGGUACCAUCAAAACCAUGGAAUUAAGAUUAGGCCUUCAGUGUCUACUAAUGCUAAAAAGGUACUAGCUUUACUAGUAGACAGAUGGAAUCGCAUAAGAGGCUGAAGGAGAGCAUAUAAGAAAUUGGCUUCUGAGCCUUCACUCUCAGAAGGAAGGUCUUAGAAAUAACAAAUUUCAGGUGGCUAACACAACAUUAUAAGGGCUGAUAAAUUAACGAUCAAAACUGGAAGCUCAGCCACAUGUGUAAUAUGAGCCAUAAAGAUUAAGGGCAGCACAAUUAGCAAUCCAACAUAAAAAUCACAACUAAAGCCUGAAAUCAUAAGUAUCCCUUCAUUGUGCCACUGGGCCUUCUGACUCAAAGUCUGCUAAUAAAAUCAAGAAACAUGCUAGCGCCACAAGUGACAGCUGGUUAUAUUAAUUUGUGAUCCACAUCAGCCCAACAAAAGUCAUGUCCCAUAAAAUCCGUAAAAGGAAUCAGCGGCAAACAAACCGUUGAGAGAGAAUCUUACCAGGGCUAAGGCAAAGGAAAAGGUGGUAAGUCAAGUUGGACUUGUCCCUCUUAAUGAAGCACUGAAUGGUUCCAUCCCGAGGCCCUGGCUGUAAACAACAAACAAACCAGAACUAGGUCAAUCAUAGCCCAUCCCCAAUAUAAUGGGAAAUUCUUUCUUUUCAACAAACACAUGAGCCUUUAAGUAAAUUUGCUCACAUAGAUUAUACUACGGAUAAAGAAAUCAAGUAACCGUUUAAGGAAUCAAAACUUACGUAACAACUUGGGAGAAACCAACUUAAAGCAAAACAAAGACCAUAAAAAAACAUGCCUGUUUCAGAGAGAUGGGGAAAGUAAGCUUCCCAGAGAACUCUGGACUUUUGACAAUUUCUUUACACAUUUCUCUCCAGGAUCUGCAAACAGCAGCGCAUGCAACAACAUGCUUGCGAGAUGGCCAUGUACUCUCGCUUGCCUCCAACCUCUUAAUCACAUCACGAAGUAGCUCAGGUGGAAGGCCAGCCCAACGACUGUUUUGGACCACAAGAGGCUGGUCCUGCAACUCAUGGACUGAGCCAUGGGAUUUCCCUCUAUGAUGGCCAGGAAGCCUAACAUCAAAACUCCGCCUUGAUAAGCUCCCAAACCCAUCCCUCACAUCACGAACAAUGCUGCGAAACGACAUUCACUCCAAUAUGGCUGAUAUUUCUGCCAAUCUUGUCACAUAAAUUAUAUUCCUCUUGAGUAAAAUAAUGACCACAAACAGUUACACUUGCAUACAACUGCAAAUCAAGCAAAGUUUAUUCAAAUUCCAGUUAGAAAGCUUAACAACCAAAAAAGAGAAGAGAGAGAAGAUAGAAGAAGAAAAGCACAAAGCAAGAAAAGGAGAUUCCCAGAAAAGAAAGCCUAGCAUGGACUUAAAGCAGCUCAAAAUACCUGACUUUUAUCAGGAACUUCUUCACAGUUUUUUGAAACCUGAUUUUUGAACCCAAAUGUGAAUGAUUCGAUAGUUUUACAAACUAAUUCAAAUGAACAAUACAAAGUCCAAAACAUAAUCAAAGGAAAAUCCAAAAGAAGUCCCGAAAUUCAAAAAAAAACUAAAUAAAUAAAUUAAAUAACUGAGUCAAACUAUACAUUUUCCGGAUUUUAGAAUUCUCGGAAGCAAAGCCAUCAAAGAGACAUCAUAAACACAAAAUAGGAUUUUUUUUUCCCCCUUUUCCCAGGAAAAACAACAAAUCAAUUAGCCAAGUAAAAAGUACACGAGAUAAUUUAAAUGGAGGGAAAAAAAACACACAUUUGAAGAUAUCUUGAUUUUCACUCACUUCAUGUUUAUUAUUGCCAUGAAGUUUCACACAAUAUAAUAUAUCCCAACUAACCCUAAAUAUAAACGUUUUCCUGCAAAUCUUAGUGGUGGAGAUGGAGAAUUAACACGUGGAGCUGGAAAAUCCAGGUUUGAAAACUCACCUGAGCAUCACAAGGUCGGAAUACCAAUACACCACUAUCAAAGAUCGAUUCUUUCACUUGGAAACCAUAGAUCCAUACAUACAACAGAUCAAUCAUGCAAAGAUUAAAUUUUUCUACAAAAACCCUGCACGAACAGAAACUUAGCCUCAGAAGCCAUGCAAACCCCAUGAAAUUUCCAAAAUAAGCCAAGCCCUUUUUUCCUCUAUAAUUAUUAUCAUGGAAAAGAAAAGGAAAAAAAAAAAAAAAAACAGAUACCAAAACCCGAAAUAAAAUUAAAAAAAGAAAAAAUACUUUCCCUCAUUUUUUUCCCGGAAAAGAAAAAUCAAGGAAAAUGAGAACAAAACCAUUUCUUUCCAGACAAGAAAAAGGAAAAAGGAAAAAAUAAAUAAAUAAAUAGGAGCUUGUGAUCAAAAUGUGGUGCUUACAACACCAAUAAAACUGCAUGAAAAACAUUUUUUUUUUCCAGAAACAGUCGAAGAAUCCAGAAAACGAACCUUAACAUCCAACCAUCACCCAAAAAAAGAGAGGGUGAGAAAGAGAGCUGAGAGAAGAAAGAAACAUAUACAGAGAAAGAGAGAG